CGUACGCAGCCCAACGCGGCGAGAACGCACCCUUGGAAAUGCCCAAUCUUUCUCGCCUGAGGGCCUACGUUGGGGGCAAUUCUUGCCGCUUCCCGAAGAUGCAAGCCCUGGGGUUAGUUUGCGUGGCGUGAUUUGACGCCAACAGCUGUAGCUGCGUGUAUUGCAGAUUAUGAGUGGUUAACGAGGCUUGCCGCAUUCUGCAUAUGAGAGGGGCGCGAGCAAGAGACAUGUCGUACAAUUGGCAGGCGCACGUAGCCCCGGUAGAGGACAGUGACGCCCUUGGUGACGCCUAUCAGCGUGUUAUCAACGUGCUUGACAAGAAAAGGUGGCUCUCCCUCGCAAGGGAAAAGUGGGCUGAGCCCACGCCACGUCCUCCGUCUGAGGCCGAAGGUUCCGAUACUAGCCUCAUCUCCCGGACAUAGCCGGGGUCGGUUUGUACAGGCACCGCCCGCCAUAUGUGCCCAGUCGCGCCCAGCUAUCAAGCACUAGUGCAGCAGGCAGCAGGCCAACCAGACAGCAAGGAAAACCUCUCAACACCCUUGCCGCUGCAGCUGACUGCCCGCUACGCCAUCCUCGUCAGCACAGGUCGCUAACCAGACAACACCGGCAGGUCUCAACCUGCGCGCCGGCGCCGCUUUGAAGGCGGCGCCGCGCUGUCCUCCUCCACGUGGCCUUGCCCGCCCCCUCUGCUCCGAACAUGCGCGCCGCCACUGCCGCUGGGCCCAGGGCCGCCCGUGCCGCCGCCACCACCGGGCCCAACGCCGUGGCCGCUGCUGUUGCCGCCGGUAGGCGCGGUGCCACCACCGCCGCCACCGCCGUCUCCAGGCCCUGCACCGCCGCCACCGCCACCGCCACCGCCACCGCCGCCGCCAGGCCCUGCACCGCCACCGCCGCCAGCAGGUCGCAGGGCUGCAGGCCGCGGUUUGCCAAGCAGCAUCUCCAUCAGCGCGUGCCGCAUGUUUGUAGCCGAGUUGGCGUCGCGGCCCUGCAGUUCAACAUGCAAACAGGGCGUGUGUCAUCCCGUGUGUCACCCCGUAUCAUCUCCAAACCGCCCUGUGUCAUCCCGUGUCAUCCCGUGUCAUCAUCUCCAAACCGACCUGCCGCCCCAAACCUGCCAUCCCACUUACUCACACAGUCCCGCAGUGCUGGCACACUUGGACGUCGCGGGCACGCGAGCCACCAAACGGAAUCACAACUUCCAGGCAGCGCUGCCCGUUACCAAGCAGGCGCCGUCCGCACUUCGCACACACCUGCUCAGACACAGAGAUAGGUUUGGGCCAGGUAAGGUACGUGUGCAUUGAGCGUUGUGCGCAUUGCUUUGUGAAGAUCACAGCGUACCUGGCUGGUGUAGUACUCGUCCACGUAGACCACCAGGUGGGCGUACUUCAGAGAAAUGAAAGCUAGUGUGAAUGCAAAUGCAAGACGCCAUCGAGUGCUCCAGGCUAGCAAGCAGCAAGAAAGAAGUUAGAGUUAGCAGCAAUUGCGGUUGCUUGUUACCUUUCGAGAUGAGACAGCCCCACGCGGCUCCACAGCAGGCGCACCAAAUGGUUACACUGGCGUGAAGCAGACUGCCGGUCCGGGCAGGGCUGACGUGUACCAGCUCGCGCGCGACUAGGCUGCCAUUCGCGACAACGCGAAACCCACAAAAUAAACCCACCUGGAACGCAGCCAGGCAUCCGCGGUGAGCCAGGAGGACAUGCGAGGACAGGAGGAAAGAGAACGGCAGAAAGAAGGGUGCGGCAAGGCGGUUGUCAAGUUGAGGACGGCCGCGGAAAACAAACCAGGGUGGCUGCCUAGCUGCGGCCGGGCUGACACGAAGGCUGUCUGGCUGCUGUAAAUGGGUAAGAUGGUACUGGAAGUAUGCACUGGCGCCGGUCAGGCAUGGUGAGUAGUGGCGCCGCUGCAUGGGUCUUGUCAUGGUACUUGUCCACCAGCAGACGCAGCAGCGCCCGGUUUGGGCCCCUGCCUGACCUGAAUUGCGAAGUAAGUGAGUGAGUGGGUGAAGGUGAGUGGGUGAGUGAAGGUGGGUGAGUGAGUGCGUUGCUGAGCGAGUGGCCGGGUGAGUGAGUGGCUGAGUGAGCCAAGGACCAGAGCCCCCGCCUGACCCAGGCGGUACCGAAGGGGCGUGGCCACAAAAUCCACCUUGAACCUAAUUGCUGCGAGCGUUGCCUCGUCCUUGCAAACGCUUCGCAGCGACACCUUACGGGUGCUAGUUUUCUGAACCAUUAUGAAGCGUUAGGGGUGUGGGAGCCGGCCCACACCCCUAACACGGGCAAGGUUGGGCGGACUUCAGAAUUGUUUGGCCUGUGCUACGGCUACAAGGGUGCGAAAGGCGAAAGUUUGAAGUUGGCAACUCUUCCUUUGUGGAAUCCGCGUGACAGGGCUGCUUUCCUUGCGACCUCGCGACCUCGCGAAAGUCAAGAUGUCCAUGGACUCGCGAGGUCGCUUCUCGCUCGCCGAGUUUCAACGUGCUUGAAAAAAGCAACAAGCACUGUCCGCUGAUACUCAAGAUUGGCAUUACAUGGGAUGCAGAUUACAAGUGAAGCGACAGCCGGCGCGACAGGCCAGAGGUCUGCCGACAUCCCUAUCAAACGCAAGCACCACUCAUUUUCUCUCGUCCGCAGACGGUGGCUGGCGUCAGAGACGCGCAAUGCCUUGGCCCGAAGGCCCACGUCUGGAAACGUCUGUGCCGAGGCACCACAAGGGAAACGCCUACCGCUACGCAGUACCCCGGCUUGCCCCUCCCCCCUCAGGCGCCCCGCCCGCGGUGUAAGAUGGGGGGGGGGGGCAGUUACCAGCCAAUGGAGGGGUGGUGCAAGGGGGUAUGUACAGCGAUUCUCUAGGAAGACCAACGCAUUGGCACAUCCAUGAUCUCGCAUUCAGUAGUCAUGGUCUUAGCGCUGAUCUGAUCAGCACGGGGCGCCUAUCGGGGGGGGGGGGCGGGACACGGGCGGAAGGGGGCCGAGGGUGGCGACAGGAUCGGGGCACAGCCGUGGGAGCGGGAGUAUGUGACUGUGCGGGCUACGAGCAUAGUACCAGCCAUUCUCGCGCAUGAAGAAUGAAAAGCGCUUAUCAGAUCAGUGGGGCGCUGUAUUUCGCGCGAGGAUUUAAGUGUCGGAGGGCCGGAUCCUCCGAUUGCCUCCGAUUCCGUCGUCUAUCGCCGGGCGCCUGCUCGUUAAAUUUUACAAAUAACGUAACAUACACCACGCUUGGACUCUAGCACUGCAUCGGUACUUGUGCGUUGCACCAAUUCCUCGCCAUUUCAUUCGUUUUUGCAAAGUUAUGCGUCGCCACAAGUACAGUGAAUAGCUUCUUACAUUUAGCACGCAUUUUAGCUGGAGCAACGGGGCGUGCCAAGUGCACUUUACCGGUUACUGGAAAAACCGGGAGGGCCCCCCGCGGCGAGCUCGAUGCGACCGCAAUGGCUUUUGCCCCUCCCCCUUCGGGGGAAGGGGCAAGCCAACCGAGCCGGAACUUGACCUAACCACCAGCACACCAUAACACCUCGCCACGGGCACACCGCCCCCCACCCGCCCCACCAGCGAACUCCACCGACCCACCAAACAGGCCACGAGCGCGCCCGGAGGCGAACAUGCCCACCAGCCUUCCGGGCGCCCGGGCAAUACAGACCGUUGUUGAUGUAGUAUGUGUGACCUCAAGCGAGCAGACUGCUUAUAUGUAGACGCGAGGAGGCCCGGCGUGUUCAGCGGCAGGCAAGACUAGCACUGGCCAGCUAGCACUGCGAGGGACGUCGAGUAGCGGGUGUAACUAAACCCCCUACAGCGAAGGGCUACGACGGCAGUCCGAUCGGUCCGAUGUGACUCAUGUGAGGCCCACUCCACACUUGCGCUGCGUAUCCGGGGCCUCUCUCGCCGGACGUACAAGUGACAUGCUAGCCCUAAGCCGACAGAUGGGCGUGAUAGAAGUGCAUACGAACAAAGGACGGAGACGGUCCCACGUACGCACUCCAAACAAAUGCUCAGUUGCACGUAGUAUGCCACAUCUCAGGGGAGAGAUUUGCGCACUGGAACCACCGCACAGGCACCCCUGGGCACACGCGCCAUCAGUGCGGGCUACGAAAGCACACCACGCUGCAGGUCAGGUCUCGCGCCCCACGCAGGAGGCAGCACGCAGCCGCUACCCGACCACCACGCACGCCUGUGUACCCAAGCUUCGGCGGGGUGGGGUGCCACGAUGUCAGACCGAAACGCGCAAUGGAGGAUUCGGUGGUCGAGCACAUGGCGCCAGAUGGCGCACACACUCUAGUAUUCAGACCGAUGGUACGGGGACCGGGUGCCAGGGCGCAUACACGUGGCGUGCCUGUCGGUAUUGUUGCUCUGGAGGGCGGGCAGGCGGCCCAGGGGAGUGAGCCGCGAGUCAUACCCAUGUACAGAUGCGUCCGCGUGGGACAAAAAGGGAGAGCCGAACAGCGCAGCCAUCCUGUGCAUAACCACCAACGCAGACGCGUUUUAUUGCAGACGACAUGAGGCUGCGGUCAUCAACACCAUAAAGCUCGCAGUGUUUUUGCUCAAACAACUCGCAACAGCCAGUUGCGAAUUCUGUCAUAGGAUUAGCUGUUUGGCUAUCAGGCGCCUCCGGACUCAGAAGAGUUAGUGGGGCCGCAUGGACUCCGACGCCAUGUAAAUGCUCAUGCUCAUGUGAUAGGUUCGGUGCCGAAUGCAGACUUGACGCCGUUUUUUCUCAGCCGCGAUCGCUGCAGGUUGAAGUUAAUUUGCAAUCUCAUAAACCGGGGCGAUCACAACGCGGCGAGGAGCGCGAACCUGGCCGCUGAAGACUAUAAUGGUGAGGCUCCAGCAAACGCUCCGCUCGACAGCGCACCCCAAGCUCAGCAAGCCAUGACUUCUCUGCAGGUCGCGUAAAGCUCGGAUGGCGUAUCCCGCCCCAACGGGGCCCCUUAGCGAGGGCGGUCUCACCGGGCCGUGGGCGUCGGCUCUGCGCGUCCCCCGCUCGUUUCGAUGCCCGCUCUCGGGGGGCCUCAUGCGGGACCCUGUGGUCAGCCCCGUACCUGCUGCGGGUCUUCCAGCAGGCACGUCCUUUGAGCGCGCUGCACUGAUGGGCUGGCAUGCAGGCGCUACCGCAGGUGAGACUUCGAGGAAGGCGGGAGCCGACCCGAUGCUGCCGGGGCCUAACCGCGUUUCUUGGCGGUCCUUGUGUGUGCCGCUUGACGUAGCAUGGGCACGGCCCGUUGUCCUCACCCGCCGCACACAUUUGGACCGUUCGCUGCCCACCCCCUCUUCGCCCCCUCAGGCACCCAGUCUGCACCGCUGCCAGUGCCCCCGUUCCAGCUGCUGCCCAACGCCUCAUUGCGCGCCGCCAUCAGCGAGUGGCUGGAGGCGCAUGGACUGGAUGCAGCCGCCGCCGAGCAACUGCUAGUGCUGGAGGCGGAGGCGCAGCAGUGGCGCCGGGAGGAGCGGCAGGCGGCAGCGGCAGCCCGCACGGCGGCAGCAGCGGUGGUGGUGGGGCCGUGGUCUGGUGCCGUCUGGCCGCAGCCACAGGUUCACCUGCCGAUGGCCCCGAUGCCGAGGGCCCCGGUGGCCGUGCCUGUACCGGCAUCAACAGCAGCAUCUGGUGCAGUCGCAACCCGCGGGGGUCUGGUCAGGGCUGGCCGCAUGGUGCCCUCGCACUCGGCGCCGUCGCUGACACUCCUGGAGAUGCAGGCGGCAGCUGCAGAAGCCAAGGCGGAUACACAGCGGCAGCAGCAACAAGAGCAGUACCAGCACCAACACCAGGAGCGCUCAUACCAUGGGACCCUGCGUGCGCCUCAGCUGCCUCAGGGGCAUAGGGCGGCAGAACCAGCAGCAGCUGGCGCAGGCGUGCCGUGGGCAGGUCCAGGAGCCAGUGUGCGUUCAUCUACCAUUGCCGCUGCCAGCCAUGCCUUCCAGCCCCCCGCCCACACGUACCAGCAGGAACAGCAGCAGCAGCAGCAGCAGUCGUACGACUUGCCGCCCGGGAUACAGCCGCGCCUGUCCAUGGCGCGACACGGCAUAUCGGUGGCUCCGUCUGGAGCCGCUGCGGAGCGCGCGCGUGGUGCCAGUGGCAGCAACGCCAGCAGCUCCGCUCAUGCACCAAUAGGCGGCCCCGGUCAGCUGCCGGCGGCCCACACCGCGUCCCACCUUCCGGCGGCCCCGGAGACCGAAGUGCUGCUGGCGGGCCGCUCGGCGGCGGGCGGCGCGGCGGUGACCCGGGCGUCGCAUCAGCGGACAGCUCGACCGGCUGCUCAAGCGGCUGCUCCAGGGGCGCGAGGGGCGGGAGGGGCACGGACUGGUGCUGACACCUCCAGGGCUGCACCUGCAGCACCUGUAGCUGCAGGGCCGGGGACUCGCUGCGCGGACUGGGACUGGGACUUUGAUGAGGAGACACGGGCCGAGUGGGCGCAGCUGCUGGCAGCUUCCGCGGCGACCGCUGGCGAUCCGCAGGGGGGCCUCUCUGACACGAGUGAAUACGCCGGCGGCAUCAGCCCUGGCCGCCAUCGUGCAACCCAGGUGCCACCUGCCGGUAAGGCCUCCUCCGGCCGCCAGCACCAGCAUCAGCAGGACCGUCCGACCGUCGCACCCACCGCGCAUUCGGGGGGCCGGGUGGAUGAAGGCUUGCAUUUCUUGUCAGAGCUCCCGUCGGAGCCUGAGGCGGCGGCGGGCCAGGGUAUGUCUGCGGGUGGUCCGGGAGGACAGGCAAGUCGCGGUGCCGGGAACCCCACGGCGCCCGCGAGCAGCACAGGUGCUGAAGGGCGGGUCGGCGGUGGCGGUAAUGAGAGUGGCAGCGAGGGCAAUGGUGGGGUCAGCGGCUGGUCGGGGCCUCUGCGCUCUUGGCUGGGCCGCCUUCCCUCGGCUCUGGGCGUCGGCCGUAGACAAGGCGCUUUGGGCACCGACACCGCUGCCGCCGCCACUGCCGGGCCUGGCAGUAAGCCUUGGGAGGGUGCUGGCGUCCGCAGCGCUGCUGACAGCGCGGGGCCCAGGGGUCGGCGGGGAACCAUGGACAGCGUCGUACGGGCGGGAUCCCAGGCAGACCACCCAAGACAUAGGGGCACGGCUACCGCGGCGACGACGCGGCUACAGGAGGAAACAGACAACAGUGAGGUUGAGGGCGAGGACGAAGAGGAGGGGCUGUGGGCGGGCAGUGCUAGGGUCAGGCAUACCGCCUUAGACAGGGGUGGCGGUGGCGGUAGCGGUGGCGGCCUGCGCCACGUCAUGUCUGCGGUGCUGGAGCUGGCGGGGCUGGGUCUGGGCGUCAGGGGCAGAGGCAGCGAGGAGGGAGAACAGGGAGGUAGCUCAGAGCCUUACACGGAGGCAGGCCUGGGUGGCGGCCUGCACUCCAGUGCGUCACUGGGCCGUCUCCGGGUGCCACUGGGGUCCGGGCAGGAGCGGUCUGGUGCCCCGGCCAGGCAUGGCAAGGCGGAGUCGCGCCAGUACCAGCAGCGCCAGCACGGGGAGCAGCACCUGCAGCGGAUGUACGGCAGUGCAGGCGGCAGCUCGGAGGACAGCGAGGAGGAGGACAAGGUGGAGACGGUUGGGCAGUCGCGGCCCGCUCAUGCCGCCGCAGCUGCUGGGGGUGCUGCUGUGGCUACGCUGCUGCCGGACUCGGGUGAGCUGCCGCCGCCACCGCCCCUGGAGCUGCCACUGGAGCUGCCCCUGCCACUGCAGUGGGUCAGUGCGGGCCAGCUCGCGGGCAGUGGCCUCAGCCCGCGCAACCCGCGCCAGGCGGCGGAGGCGCAGGUGGCACGGCUGCGGAGCUGGCUCGAAGGCGCCCCCGCCCCCGCCGUGUCCGACCUCUACACACUGCUCAGGUGCAGGCCCGCGCAGGCAGAGCUGGGGCUGGGGGCUGGAGGGGCAGCUGCGGCAGCAGGGGCUGGGGCCGGGCGCGGUGCGGCUGGGGCGGCUGUAGGGUGGUCGCAGCCGGGACGGCCGGCUGGGAGGCAGCGCAGGCAGCGGCACGGGCGCAGGUCUUGUGAGGCUGAGCUGCUGGCGCCUGCACAGGUGCGUACCGAAGGCCUAUGCAGUCACAGAAGUUUGGGACAUUUUGUGUGGCGCAAGUGUGAAGGGCUGUAGGCCCACCUGGGUCCGCAAAACGCCAUGUGCCGUGACCCUUGCGUCCACCUGACCGGUUGUGUUUGCAGAUUGGGCCGCUUUGCUGUACCUCCGUGCCGUGCGGCCCGUCCGCCGCUGGCAGCAACAACAGUCACAGCACUGCGGCCGCCCUGCUCCUGGCUAUGCCGGCACCGCCGCCGCCCCGUGUCACGGCCAUGGCAGUGCUGCCUCCCCCGCCCCCUCCGCCCAGCUGGAGUGGGCUGCUGGGGCUGAUAGGCGGAAGCGGGGGCGCAGGCGGGAGCGCGGCGGGCGCACUCGGCAGCGGCCUCCUGGGUGGCGCCGCCUCACCGCUGCCUAGGGCCACAGGCAGAGGAGGCGCAGGUGGUGCAGGCGGCUCUGUGGGCGCCUCGGUCCACCCGCACAUUCACAGUCGUAGCAGUGCGUUCGCGGUGCUCAUCACUCGCGACCGGCCCUCAGCCGCACUGCUACAGGAGCUGCCCGCGGACCUGCCAACCCCCGCCCCCGAGCUUCCGCACGCCCCCGCGCCACAGCCAGGCCCCACCGGCCGCUGCUGGGCGCUGCCGGCCGUGCGCGGGCGCGUCACUGCAGUGGCUGCCUGCCCGCGGGGCGGCUCUGUGGCUGUGGGAAGCAGUGCGGGCCUGGUGGCUCUGUGGCGGGGGUUCGAGCCCGAGGCGCUGGCAGCGCUGCGGGAGAUGCAGGACAUGUCCGCGGACCUGGACACGGCGGGACUGCAGGUGGGCGGGUCCCUCACGAGACAGACUGGGCAGGCAGCCAGCAGGGCGGCGACCGCAGCGAGGCAGCAGCAGCCACGGGCGUCCGGCGGCCCAGCGGUGGUGGCUGUGCAGCUGUCCGCGCCCUCGCCGCAGCUAACUGGCUCAGGCGCAGGUGCCGACCAGGGCGAGGGCGCGGGCGAGGGCCUGCCCCCGCCGCUGGAGUGGCACCUGUGCGGGCGGCUGGGCUGGCCAGAGGAGGUGCUGUCUGUGUCCACCUUGGCCCUGAACGGCACCAGCACCAGCACCCAGGCCAGCACCCAAGCCAACAUCACCGGCAUCAUGGGCAGUAAGCUCUCCACUGGCUCCAUGGGUGCGGCCAUGAUGCGCCGCAUUGGCUCCACAGGCCAGCUGGUGGGGCUGGGGGCCGGUAGCGGCAGCGGCACUGGAAGUGGCGGCCAGGCCCCAUAUGCCCCGUCACAGUCCCAACAGCGACUGGCGCUUCUAGGGGCUGGGCCCGGGACUGGCAGUGGCGCCAACAGCGCUGGCGGCGGCGAGCGGGCGGUGACGGCCCUGGCAUAUGGGGGCGGCGGCUCGGUGUUGUUCGCGGCGGCUGGCGGUGUGGUGGCGGGCUGGCGGCUGGGGCAGCUGGACCAGCCGGAGCGUGAGUAGGGCUCGGGCUGAGGGCGGGUGGGGAGCUUCCGUUGCGCCAUGCUCACACCCUUGCUCACUCCGCCCGCGCCCUCGUUUGCGGCGCACCCUGCCUGCACCUCCCACAGGCCACUCCUCCGGCAGCUCCAUGGUCAUGCCCUUCAUGCUGCUCACCCCGCACGAGCACGAGCUGGGGUUCACUUACACCGCACUGCCGCCAGACUCAGCCGGAGACACAGCCGGCGGGAGGCGGCAGCUCGAGGGGGGGGAGGCCGGGGAGGCCGGGGAGGGAGACAGCCGCACCGGAGGCCAGCGCCGCCGCGGGGCCGUAACGCCGCGGGCUGGCGGCGCCAACUCAGGGUUGGAGGCGGGCAGUGCGGGUGGCGGCGCCCUGAGCCCCCGUGCUGGUGCCCGGCGCAGCCUGAGCGGUGGCAUGUGGCUGCCUGCGGGCGGCUCUGUGACCUGUCUGGCCGCCUCGCCCUGUGGCGCCCACCUGGCCGCGGGCCUAGCGGACGGCUCCGUGCACCUGGCGCUGCAUGCCGCGGCGGCGGAGCGGGUGGUGGUGCUGCGGCUGCUGCCGCCGCCGCCGCAGCCCGCACUGGCCGCCGCCGGCUUCCCCGCCCCCGGCCUGGCCACCCAGCUGGCCUUCAGUCCGGACGAGCGGCGGCUGCUGGUGCUGGCGCUUGGGCUGCGGCCCGGGGCACUGGGUGGCCAGCAGCAGCAGGAGGGCGCUGCGCCAGGGGCAGCUGCAGGCGGCAGUGCGGCCCCCGUGGCGAUGAGCUCGCCCAACGCCGCGCGGCUAGGGGCUGGUGCGCAGGCCAGCGGGCCACCAGCGCGCCGCAGCGUUAACGGUGGCCACAGCGGCAACCUGGUGCAGCAGCGGCUGGCGGCGGCGUUGCAGCGCAUCGACAGCGCCGAGCGCAGCUCUCGGGGCGGCCUCGAUGCAUCCGCCGGCGCCGCGGACCCAGGGGUGGCGGGAAUCUUGGCUGGCGGUGCCCCGAGUGCGGCGCCCACCUAUAGUGCGGCUCGCUACACACUGCACUGCUUCCCGCUGACUGCGGCGGAGGGGCUAGGCGGCAGCGAUGUACAGGCGGGCGGUUGGGGGUUGGAGGAGCAGGAUCAGCAGGAGGAGGACGACGACGAGGAAGAGGAUUACGAUCAGAAGGACAGGGAGCACGGCGGCAGGCGGAAGGACCUGGCGCAGCAGCAGCAGGUCACAGACACCGACGAAGAUGAAGACGAGUGCGAGGCCGAGGAAGAGGGGGAGGGAGAGGAUGAUGGUGGCUCGGGUCGCCUGCCACCCCGCGCCGCACCCUGCAGCGACCUGACUCUGGACUGGUUGGAGCCGCCGCACUACUGCCCCGGAGGCAGCCUGGCUGGCCUGCAGCUGCAUGGGGGCGGGGGAGGCGCCACCACCCUGAGGCCCGGCGCCCUGGCCGCCACGUGAGUUGUGCCGGGUUCACAUGGACACGACACAGCCGUGUGCCUGCACGUGUGCAGGUGGACAGGUUAGGGGUGCUUUGCCGCGGCCCCGGCGCGGGGGGGUCAGCCUGCACUCGGUCGUGACUAUGUGCCGCAACUCUCCAUGCCCUCUUGCGCUGCUCCCAGUGUGCCAGUCUUGCGUCUCAACCGCCGCCCUUCCCUUUCCUAUACACCGCCCAGGCCCCUCACCGGCCUCACCGUGUCGCCCGACGGCACCUGCUGCCUGCUGCUAGACUGCAGCCCCACACCGCCACAGCCAACACCCGCCGCCGGCAUGGUGCGCCCUCAGGCGACGCCUGCAUCACCAGCAGCUGCAGCCACCACGCGCUACCAGUCUCAGUCCCUGCCUCCUGCUCCUGCUGCCCCCCGGCCUGCCUGCCCCCGGCUGCUGUACCUGGACCUGGUGGCCCGCACCGCCACACACGUGCCGCUGCAGCUGCCGCCACCGCCCCAGCAGCAGCAGCCAGCGCUGCUGCUGCUGCCCGGCGUCGGCUCAGCCGGCAACAGCCCCCUCAGCUCCCCGCGGUGCAGCGUGUGCGGCACCCACCCGGCGGGUGCGGCUGCGCCUCUGGGCACCGCUGUCCCGUCCUCUGCCACUGCCACUGGGACUGCAGCCGUUGUGGCGGCGCACCCGCUUGUGCGCCUCUAUCCAGCGGCGGGAGGCGGUGGUGGCGGCAGUGGCGCCGGGCUUGCUGGUGUUGGGGUUGCCGCCAGUGGCGGCGGAGGCGGCGCAGGCGUGGGCUGCUUGGCGGUGCUGCCUGGCGGGCGAGAGCUGCUUCUGGCGGGCGAGGGGCAGGGGUUACUGCGGUGGCGCUUUGGGCAGCAGUGAGUUACUGUCCGGCCGGCAGGCCACUCCGCGUGGCAGCACGACGCAGUCAUCUCCCUGCACGGCGCACCUCCGCCUCCACUCUUGCGCUCCUUCAGCGACAUGUCCAUCUGCUAUAGCAGCCCGCAGAUGCGUCAGCCACAGCCGUCACCACAGCCACACAACCGAUCGUCACCGCCUCCGGGCGCCAGCGGCAAAGCUUUGGGCAAUCGUAGCGGCGGUACCGAGCGGUCCGGUGGCCAGUAGUAGGUGUUUGGGGGGUGGGGCGCCGGUACGGCUGCCAUGCGCCGCUCUGCGAUGUAGCGGCGGCCGUGCCGGUGCUCCAAAUUGCUGGACGGCUUUGGUAAUGCGCCUUCCAGAAGGCUGGGUUUGCGUGUGGGCCCGUGAGGGUUUCACGGGUUUCCUGGGUUGUCAGCGCGGCUUGCGGGUAUCUAGGGCUUUCUCAUUCUUGGCCGGGGCGGGGUGGGGACGCGUGGCUUCGUGUGGGCCUGUGGGGGAACGCGCGGCUUGUUUUGGGCUCCUGUCUGCGUCUGCGUGUGUCGUGUGGGCUGGCCGUGGGUAUGGGGUUCCGGUGCUUCGUGGUUUGGGGUUUCGGGGCGCUAUAGAAAUGCAUGUGACACAGGAGCGCAUCUUUGUCAGUGACCUUGAUUCUUCCCUAACAAUGUUGUCCGGACGCUAUCAAGGCUAUUACGUGAUCCAUCAUUCCGCAUCCUUGCGGCAUGGUGCAUUGCGUUCUAAUAAUAAUGAUAUAAUGCUGUAAGGGCAAGGUGUGGCAUGUGUGCGCAAGGCACUGCUACAUGUUCCCAGCAAGGUGUGUGACGCAUUGGGCGUACGGGCUUGCCAAGGGCCUGCGCGUGAGUGAGAUAUGUGGUCGAUGUGAUGGUAGCUGUUAAUUAAUUUCGAGGGAUUUCACGGUGAGUGCACGAGCGGUUUGCGUUGCAGGGAGAGGUUUCGAGCGGAGUGCGAUUGGUGGCGUAGGCGGGCACGUGAGCGGCUGCGGUUGGCGCGGAUUGCUGCGGCUGCAGUUGCCUGGCGUGGGUGCCGCAUAUGUGAAUACAACGUAGGUGAGACGCAUUAAGAUACAUUGACGGCUUGCAGGGCGUAUGCACACGGGCAGGCAGCGGCCUAGCAACACGUGUUUGGCGGGUUCAUGAUGUAUCUCAGGUUUGCAGGGUGUGGGGUCGCGGGAUGCUGCGACACACAGCGCUGACUGUCUGUAGUCUAAGCGUAGUCUAAGCCUCUAUCACGCCCAUGCGGCCCAUGCGGCUCUUCCUAAGCUGCGUGGGCGUGACGCACCCGCUGCCUGGGCAUGACGCACCCGCUGUCCCCAUGCGAGCUUGCCGCCCCGUUCCGGAACAUCUCAUAACCUCGCGGCUGCAAGCCACAGGCCCACAUGGCCGUAGCUACACACAUUCAACAAGUGUUCCCCGGUCACGGGAAAAGGGGCUGAGCCCCUUCACAGUCUGAGGCCGAACAACCUCAUCGCCCGGACAUAGCCGGGGUCGGGUUCCACAGGCACACAGCCAAACCAGGUGCCUAUCUAGCAGUCGCGAUGCCACAGCAGAGCCAACCGCAGCCAGACGCAGCACAGUUGUCAACAGCCGCACUACUUGUCAUGCCGCUAUGCAUGCCCUGCCAGCCCCACCGCGGACCGCUACCUAGACACCAACUCCUCAGGCUGCGCGCUUGCGCCGCACUGCGCCGCUUCUUGGGCGGCGCUGCGCUCUCCUCCUCCACGUGGCCUUUCCCGCCCCCUCCCGAGUUUUCCCUGCCGCCUAUUUGUUUGACAGGGAAUAGCAAUUAAAUAAUACGUGGCAACAACAAGGAGGUGGCUGCCUUAGGGAGGCAGGAAAAGGGCUGAGCCCUCCCCUCCCGGGUCGUUAUCAACCCAGCCACCUUGACGCGGGCGCCUACUAAGCGCACGCCUCUAUGUUGGGGGCCUUUGGCAUCCCCGCAAAUCCGGACGUGGCCGGUUGGGUGGGGUGCACAGUCCGUGCUAACCCGCAGCUAACAAACUAGUCACGUCACUCGCCGCCAAUCGACACGUGCACCCUCAGCCCCACGCCCUGCUAGCGCCGUUCAGGCUCUCAGCCCGGCCCCGCCGCCGCCGGCGGCCAUGGCGGCCGCUGCAGCUUGGUCGGCCGCUCGAAGCCCAUCAGCUUCAGCAGGAGGAGCACACGGAUCACGUUGGCGGCGGAGACGUCGCGGUUCUGGGGAUGGGGAACGGGGAGGAAGAAGAGAGCUUCGUGGCAACAAAAAUGAGACAAAAGAGCCGGGCGUGCGGGUGGGGCGCGGCGCCUGGACUUCGGGGGGAGCCCGAGGGCCCCGCUAAUCCCGAGACCAGGAGAACCUGAAAAGGCCGCGGACGCUGUAAAUGAGACACGCCUGCUUCCAUGUCGGCGCUCAGACAGGGCACACGUACCGCUCGCGUUGUCCUCAUGAGCUCCGCCCUGCCUCAGCGCGCAUUUACAGUGCACACAGCUUCCAUACAACAUGGACCAACACAUGAACCAUUCCCGGCCUCCCUUGCCAUAUCAAUCGCAACAUGCCUCGUUUGCCACGUCGCUAGCAAACAGUCAUUGGCGCACCGUCUCAGCACGCCUCAUGGGCGGCAGUUGGCGUCACCGCUGCCACCCCCGGGCCAUCAACCCGCCCGGGCCACUGGUACUUACGGGGACAGGAUAUCACGCAUGCUCAUGCACACCACCUUGUAACCAACAACAACAACAUCAACCACCCCGCAGACAUGCACACACAUACACAGGGACUUCGCCGCCCUGGCCCCUGCCCGGUUCCAUCGCAUGCAGAGAUUGCAGACGCAGCAGCAGCAGUGUGUGUAUGCCCUGUGCCUCAUGACGCCAGGGGUGGGACCGCCUCCUCGCCCCCGCUGCCGCGCUGCGCCUGCUGCUCUCCCGGGCGCUGCUCGCCGUGACGUGUGGCAGAACGCCCGGGUCCGGGUCCUGGUCCCGACAUGACCUGAGCCAGGUGGGAGGUGGGAGGUGAGAGGGGGGGAGGCAGCGUCAGUCGCCACACGAUGCUCCGGCGCACAUGUCACAGCUGUACCAUCCAGGCACCCUCACACCCAUCGCACUCGGGCACCACCCACACACGUGCCCACCUGCGGGUCACCAGCCAGGUCAUGCAGCUGCUCAUGCUCCUCCGCCUGCCGCCGCUCGGCCUGCCCACGGCCGCCCCCAGUACCGCUACCCUCGCCAGUGCCAGUGCCGCCACCACCAACUUCGGCGGGCGGCACGUUGUUGUCGGGGCUGGAGAAGGCGCCCGCGGACCAGUCGGUGCCGCCGCUGCCCGGGCCAGUGCCAGUGCCAGUGCCAGUGCCAGUGCCAGUGCCAGUGCCAGUGCCAGUGCCAGUGCCAGUGCCAGUGCCAGUGCCGGCGUCAGAUGCAGUGCCGUACGCGCGUGUGGACAUGAGGGAGCUCAGCUCGGGUGUCAGGUCGCGGGGAGGCGGCGGCACCGGCGUGAGCGGGGAAAGCGGGCUGACGCCGCUGCCGGCCUGCGGGUGGGGGUGAGCCCGGUGCAACUCCGCCGCCUGCUGCGGUUGCGUGUUUGCGCUGGUGGCGGCGGCGGCGGCGGUCACCUCGGGGGGUUCCGCCAGGGGCCCGAAGCGGUGUGUGUGGUGGUGGGGUCCGGGGUAGUCGUGGUCAUCGCGGUGCGAGGUGGACUUGGUGCGGCGGCAGUGAAGCGGCGGCAGCAGGCGCACUGCGGCACGACGAGGCAGGCAGUAGGACAGCGGGACAGCGGGACAGGCGAGCGGGUUGGUGCUGCCCAUAAACCCCGCCCGCCGUGUGGCGCCUCACCCCUGGUGCGACCCGUAGGCCCAAGCAGCGGCCACGCCGGCCGCCGUGCCGCCGCUGCCUGGAGCAUUGUGAACAUGUGUGGUGCAGCAGUAGUGCGCGUCACUGUGGCAACUGCGAGUGUCGAGGUGGCCGCGCUGAAGCUGUCAGGCCGGGCAGCGUCGAAGCGGCAGCUCGCCCGCAGCAACGUCAACGGAAGUCGCAUUUGUACUCGGCUACCUUAAGGUACGCUACAAGCUGCAAUGGUGCCAAAUUCUGUGCACAUUCUGUGCAUUCCGUCGCGACGAGGCCCCAUGGGACCGUUCCCGCCCGGCUGCUAGCCCCGCCGUCAAGCUCGCGCCACAAGCUGCUCCAGUCUCAAACCUUGAUCCCAAGGCAGCAUUCACCCAUCGUGCCGAACAACCCGGAUGUUCCCUUUCACCACAUGCCGUGGCCGGCCCUACUACCGCGCUGAUGCUCCGUCUCCAAUCCGCUGCCAAAGCCUCCCCACAGUCCCCACGGCCCGACAGGUUUCAAGCAGCAGUCCAGCAAGUGGUGCCCUCCGUACCCAAACAAACCGAUGCCCGGCCGCGUACCAGGGUGAUCAAGUCUGGACGCUGACGCGGGGACAACCAAUGAUGAGCGAUUCAGCCACGGAGGCUGGCUGCUGCUGCUGGCGCGAGGCAGGCUGACGCAGUCUAACGUAGUGGGAUGCUAACGUUUCAGAAGCGAAGGAACGGACAAGGCUAAUGCUCGCGAUGGGUUGGUUGACACAGUCUGAUACACAGUCUGCUAGCUUGCGCUGUUGGCAACACAACCAGCGAGUCAGGGACUCGCUGGCCCGGCAUACCCCCGCUGGGCCUGUAGCGGCUCCCAUGCAGGACCGGGUUUGACACGCUGAGUCACACGCACUGAGUCACCCGACAGGCACCGGCAACAACCUACCGCUCAGCACAGCACACACAGCAGAGCCACCCCAAGGGGGGGGGGUAUGCAGCAGCGGCAAACCACAGACACGACAUCACACGACAGGCUGCUAGCCCCGCCGUCAAGCUCGCGCUACAAGCUGCUCCAGUCUCAAACCUUGAUCCCAAGGCAGCAUUCACCCAUCGUGCCGAACAACCCGGAUGUUCCCUUUCACCACAUGCCGUGGCCGGCCCUACUACCGCGCUGAUGCUCCGCUGCCAAAGCCUCCCCACAGUCCCCACGGCCCGACAGGUUUCAAGCAGCAGUCCAGCAAGUGGUGCCCUUCCGUACCCAAACAAACCGAUGCCCGGCCGCGUACCAGGGUGAUCAAGUCUGGACGCUGACGCGGGGACAACCAAUGAUAAAGUCAAUUGCCCAUAAAAAGCAACCCCUGCUGUCACCUUGCCUGUCAAGUUAGUGCACACAAGCACAAUUGCACAGUUCCAAGAGUCAUAGUCGGUACAUAGUCGGUACAUCACGACCGGCUGGACUGUGCCUGCUGGUGCACUCGUGCACCGCUGUGCAGCGCCUCAGUCGCCCUUGCACGCCCACCACCUGCCUGCUGCGGCAAGCACACUCACCUGCCUCCCAAUCUUACAUCCCCCUUUCCCCCCGUGCGCCUCCUCAGCCCUAACUCCCUAGUUGCAGUAUAGCAGGAUCUUGGAGUCCGCCCCCGCCGUGAAAAUCCAGGGCUGUGUGGGGUGGAAGGCGCAGUCCGCCACGCCCUCACUGGCCGUGACUGUGUGCCCGCCGCGCAGGAUCUUGACGGGCACGAUGAGCGGGUUCGUCAGCAGGUCUGCAUACACCAUGCCGUGGAACACCUGCAUGGGGGUGGGGUGCAGGAAGGGAAACAGGUGGAAGUGGGCAAAGGAGGCAGGGAGAGCAGCAGGUCCGGCGACGCCCAUGUCUACUAGCUGGUUGGAAGAGGCUCCUGGCCCCUUGCUAACAGUGUUCCCCUCCCUGCCCCGUCCCCGCCCAUCGCCCGCCUGACUCCCACCCCACCCGUUGACUCCCAUGAGUCCCAUCCCCCCAAAGGUGUCGGCCCCCCUCCUCCCCCCCUCUCACCUGCACGGUGCCAUCGUCUGCGGCCGAGGCGAACAGCGGGUAUGAGCGGUGGAAGGCCACGGCGCGGGGCGGCGCGGAGUGGUACCUGAGCGCCUUGUAGGGCUUGGUGCUGAGGUCCAGGUCGUACCAGGCCACCCGCUUGUCGUCACUGCCCACCAGCACGUGGUCGCCGCCCGGGUGCAGCGCCAGGCAGCUCAGCACGCCGCCGCCGCCCAGCAGCUUCUUGGCCAGAGCCUGCUUCGCCAGGUUGUACACACGAACCUGUACGGGGCAGUGGAGGAGGGGGUAGGAGGGCGGCGGGCAAGGGGCCAGGAGCCAGGAGUGGGGUUGGUUGCGGCGAGGAGGGCAACUGCCAAGAGGGGGCCUGGCAACUGCUUUCGAGACAUCCUGUUGCUAGCCGGCACUCCUCCUUGCUAGUCAGCCCCCCUCACAUCCCGCACUGGCCCCCCUGCCUCGGCCUCACGUGGUUCUGUGUGGCCACGAAGAAGAAGGGCUUGGUGGGAUGGAAGGCCACUCGCACCACACGGCCGCGGUUCUUGCGGAAGGGGUUCUGGCUGGCGCGCUUUGACAGCUGGUGCACCACCACAGCCUGGGAGCGACAGGGGGGGUUGCAGGUGUCAGCGGUACGUGUGGACAGGCACAGGAAAGUGCAAAUGAAGGUGACAUGGGAAGCAGUACUUAAUAAGUGCUGUAACCCUCCCUUACCUCCACCAAACAAUACCACCGUACUAGCGCCCUCGUCAGGCUGGUCCCCCCCUGCGUACCCAAUCAUAACACGCUCACAGCCAGACUGCUCCCCCCGCUGCGCCCCGCGCCUCCUGCCGAGCCCCACCCCCACCCCCACCCCCACCCCCGCCCCCGCCCCCGCCCCCGCCCCCGCCCCCGCCCCCGCCCCCGCCCCCGCCCCCGCCCCCGCCCCCACCUGUGUGUUUCCAGUGGGCGCCACACUUGCGAAGUAGUCGCCACGGCCGUGCCAGGCCAGUGAGCGCACCGGAAACCUGAGCCGCACCGCCAGACCCGCACCGCUGCUGCUCGCCUCCUCGCCGCCACCCGACCCCCCGGAAACGGGCCGGCAGCUGAAGGGCUCCCAGCGAGCCAGAGCCUCCUCCCCUGCCUCAGCCGCCUCAGCAGGUACCUGGGGCAUGGAGGCCGGAGUAUGGGAUGCAAUGGGUGAGUGAGGUGAGGGGCGAUAGCUUAGUGAAGGCUGCGGCCGGUACUAGCAGCGCCACCGCGCCAGCCACGUGUCAGGGUAGCUCUCCCCCCGGCUGCGUCUUUUACAUCCUUACCGACUCCGCGGUGACGACUGGACAACAGCCAGCUCCCCAAUCCGCAUCCCAACACUCCCUGUCCCUACCCCUACUUCUGGGCCCCCACGUACCCAGCGCCCCCCUCCCCGCCCGGGGCCCCUCACCCGCAGCGCCUCCGCCGCCGCCUCCUCCGCCUCCUCCGGCCCCGUGCCGCUGGGCAGCAGGACCACGCAGUUGCCCACCGCCGCACUGACCAGCCGCAGCCCGGCCUGCGGGCACCAGGCCACCGCACUGACCGGGCCCUCCAGCACCCACGUGCGCCAGCAGCGCCCAGUGCGCACCUGAGGCCGCAGCACAAGGGAGGAGUGGAAGGGGGGCUCAGGGCGGGCACAGCGAUGAAGCCGUGAGGCGAGACGAACAUGGCAAGGGCGUGGGCAAAGGCGGUGCCGCGGCGUCGGCAGUCACCAGCCGCCCCUGCGGGCGCUGCCCAACCCGCGCAGUAUCCUUCUUGACUCCGGAGUACUUCCCCGUACCCCAUAACCCGGUACACGAUACGGCCCAGCCCUGGUGCUUCCCAACCACAACAUGCGGCAUCCUGCCGUCUUGCAGCCCCUCCACCACUCCCGCAACCCCUCCUCCGCCUCCUCACCUCCCACAGCCUCAAUGUCCCGUCCUGUCCGCCGCUGAGCAGCCACUGGCCGGUCCAGGGGUCGGGCGCGAUGGACGCCACGGGGCCCAUGUGGCCCUCGUAGGCCAGCGCCAGGGUGGUGGGGAAGGGCUGCAGGUCGCGGGGCUUGGGCAGCUGCGGCACCAGCUGCUCGGGGGACUUGAUGUCCAGUCUGGAGAGAGGUAGGAGGGAAGCGGGCGGGAGGGUGGGCGGGAGUUGCAGGUACAUGUGCAAGGGAGAGCCCUCACGCCCUCCCGUGUUGGUGCAUGGGCACGUCAAACGCCCUCUGCCCUCCGCAAUACCUCCCCGCCCACCGCUUACCUCUUCCGGCGCACUCGGGGGCACAGGUACAGGUCCAGGCAACGCUCGAAGCGCUCCUUGAUGAAGUCGGUGUAGGCGGGUACGGCUCGCAGGCUGGUGAAGGCCUGCGGCAGUGCCUUGGGCCGGUCCUCGGGGUCGGCCAUCUGCCAGGCAGCCACCUCCUCCUGGGGGUGCGCGUGCAGGCAGAGGCAGAGCGUGAGGGGGAUGAGGGACAUGGCGGGUCGGGCGUCGUGAUCACAUGAACAUGCCGACAAAGCAGGAGCCGGGAAGCGCUGCAGGGCAUACCGUAAUGCAACAACUCCCUCAGCCCCAACUCACACGGGGGAGGCACCCUAGGUGAAAAACUGCAUUUGGGCCCCUUAAUAACUUUUGCGCGACAACGUCCCCAGUCACCAAAUUCGGGCAAUAUGAUCCUUAUGAUGUAUUUAACAAAUACUUGAUGUUCGGGAGACUGGGGACGUUGUCGCGCAAACGUCAUAUGGCUUGCAAGAUGGGGGGUACGAAACGUGUCAGAAGGGGGAAUCACUGACCCCAGACUUCAGCGGAUCCCUCCUAAACUCUUAUGAAGCAUGGCGGACACUAUCCAUAUGGAUUCUGUGAACUCAGGGGGGCGAAAUAAUAUGCGGGCUGGGAGAACAACCCGCGUGUUUGUCCGCACAGGUGGGCACGCAUGGACCAAAAUGUGUCCAAACCGACAUGCGUAUUCUAGCCGGCCGACUAGCUAAAGCUUCUAUUGUAUAUGUGUAUAACGUGAAGCGAGUAGACAGGGCUCAGAUUAGCCUGUCUGUCCGCACAAUGAAAGCAUGUUGCCCUUGAGGGCAUGAAUUCCAGUACCCUUUGCUGCCGUCGAUUUAUUAAGAUCAACUGAUGUUGUAAAACUACUUGUUGAACGAAGAGGAGGCCUCCUCGCGAUCCCGACUCUAGGUCACAACUAGUCUCCAAAGGGUUGCUUUGAGCCUUAAUCAAACGUUGGAGGACUUUAUGGUUGCUAAACGUUAGAUUGAGCCUUGUAUCGGAGCUACAGGGUCCGUUGGCGCAAAGCAUUCAACAUCUAUUUGCACGAUCGUCGGCAAACGUGAAUAUCUACUGAUAUCUAAUAUAUAUGUAGCACGUAAAAGCCAUUGCAACUUGUCCGAGCAGCUAACUCGGCCGCAUGAGUGAGGGGAACAUAUUCAGACCCCUCGGCAUGGUGCCCUCCCCGUGUGGCCCCAACUCCACACAUUUCCAUUCCUCCGUUACCCCGUCCCCGUCCCCGUCACGGUAACACCGUUAUAUCAGCCCCUUCCCGCCCGCUCACCUCUGUUGGCAGGUACUCUGCGGGCGGGUUGUAGGAGUCGGCGUGCCCCGGUAGCUGCAGCUUGGGCGCGGGGAUGUAGGUGAGGCCGCUGCCAGCCUUCGCCGCAGCCUCGUCCGUCAGGCCGUCGUCCGCCCACAGCAGGUAUGCGGGCGGGCCGGCUGCUCGCUCCUCCUCCUCCUGCUCGGGCGUCUUCUUGGGCGCUACCUUGAUCCAGCCCUUGCGGAUGGCGCGGACCAGCUUCACAAUCCUGGAGGGAGAGGGGGGGUACAUUCAUGACUAGUUAAGGAAGUGGGGGAGGCAGGCGGGGUUGAGGUGGAUUGCACUAAGUUUCAGAGCGUGGCGGUGGCAGGGCGGCAGCAGGGGUUUAGAAGGGGCGCCGGGGGCUGGGCAUCGGGAAAGUGUGCGGAGCUCCAGUACGUACUGCCUCCCUAUCGCUCAGACAUUGCGCCUUUUGGUUUCCCCUCCCUGCCCUGCCCCUGCCCCUGCCCCCCCCCCCCUCGCUGGCUCACUUUUGCUCCUCCCAUUUGGACGGCACGAAGCGGCUCUUGGGCUCGGGCCGGUCCACGAUGGGCAUCACCUCAGCGUCCCGGGGGUCUGUGAACCAGGUGUGCUCUGUCUCGUGCGGGUUGACCUCCAGGUGCGGGAACUGGCCGGCCCGUAUGCGCAUCACCAUGGCCAGCUCCUCCUUGCUCAGGGUCACCUCCUCGUCGUUGUAGGGGUCAUAGAUGGUGCGCAGGGCCUGGAGGUCGGGAGGGCCAUGGGCGGGGGGAUGCGGCGAGGCGCGUGUGGGUGGCGCGCGCACGAGGCGGGCCACAGCGGCGAGGAGGCGCAUGGGGACGUGUCACACGUCGGACAGGGGGGAGGCAGCGUUCUCCUCCACUGCAUACGCACUGACUAUAGAACCAUCCCUACAUGCCCUUUGGAACCCCAGCAAGCCCACCAUCAGCCGAGUCCCCCUGCCAUCCUGCCUCCUGUGCCCCUCCCACCAACCCUUAUCCCCCACCUACUCAAACAUACCUUUUUGGAGUCGUUCCUGUCCAGCAGCUGCUGCAGGCGGUCCUUGCGCUGCGCCUUGGUGAUGCGGGCACCCUCAAUGUCGUAGCUACAGGGGGGGGCGGGGGGCAGAGCAGAUGGAGAGAGGGGAUGAGGGGAGGCUGUACGGUGCUGCCCUGGCGACAGUGCUACUGCUUGGCCGGGCCUGCGCCCUGCACUGUGUAGGGCGUCCUUUCCACACACACGGGCCGGAGGAUCCCGCCCCAUCGUCCUCGCGCCCUCCUGCCCCCCUGCCCAGCUCCCCAGGCCCACUGCACUACUUCGUCUUACUUCUUGUAGGAAGGGCCCGCCCUCCCCUCCCCCCCCCCACACACACAUACAUACACAUCAUCCCGCCUGGCUCACCCGAUGUGUUCCUCGUCCUUGUACCACACCAGCGGCACAUUGCCCACUGUGUUGCGGUUGGGCCGCUCGUCCUCACUUGAGUCAGAGCCGGGGUCGGGGCCUGCGCGCGGUUUGGUGUUUGCGCAAAUGGACAAUCCGCCUGACGGCUGCACUGCAGCUAGAUACAGCCGCGUCGCAGCCACACAACCUCCCCUCGUGGCCCCGGCCACUACAGACCCAGCACACCGGUGGAUGGGUUGAGGGCCGCCACCGUUUCCCGGCCACGUGCCACUCCCCCCUCCCUCGCCCGCCCCCUCACCAUGUGAGCCUGGCCCCGCGUCCUCCUCCGAGCUGUUGUCAGCUGCCUCGUCCUCCGGGGCAGCAGUCCCCUCCACGGCAGCAGCUGCCGCCCCCGCGUGUGACUUGCCCUGAGUGCGAGUGCUGGCCUCAGGCCUGGCGGGGGAGGGGAGGCGAGCAGAGGGUCCCGGAGGGGUGUGGGAUGCAGCAGAAUGUGUUUGACAACUAGGAACAAGAGGCUGUGUCGGCGCCGCACAGUUCUGCACCCGUGCGCUGUAGAUCGCGGAGAUUAUGUGCAUGCUGGCCAGGGGGCAUUUGUUGUGAGUGGCAGUGUUAUGAUUUGCUACUGCCUACCACUGGAGGUCAGACGGUGCCAGUCGGCGCGUGGACUGGUGGGCUGCGUGGCGUGUGCGUGCUGCCCCAGCCCCUUCGAGCCCCCACACCCUCAACACGCAGGUGUGCACCCACGGCAACGCCUCUCCCUCUGACCUUCCCCACCCGGAAGUCUCACGGCUCCACAUCCGCACCCCGACGUCCGGCGUGCCCCGAGAGGCGUAUCAGGCUGUCUUACCUUCCAGACGCCGCUCUGGCGGCGGCCCUCCGCUGCGCCUCCUCCGCUUGGGCCGCCAUCAGCUCCAGCAUCGCAUCCUCAAUUUCAUCUUCAUUGCCCUCGGCGUCAACGUCCCCCGCCUCGUCCUCGUCGUCCGCCUCGCCGUCGUCGGCGCGUUCAUCUUCUGUGUCGCUCACGUCGCCAUCCAAUUCAAGCUCAUCUAGUUCAUCCUCAUCCUCAGAAGCCACUUCCUCAAUCUCCUUUACGGGCUCGCGUUUAGAAUUCCGCUUUGCCAUGUUGCAAAGGUUCGGCGCUGGGAGCCCCUACGUCUAUCCUACACCAAAGUUAUCAAGGACACGCAGGUAUGAUAAUUGACUUGUAACGGUCAAGUUUGGUUAUGGUACGCCGCAUUGGCCAAUUCGGUUGCUGCUUAACUCUCAUACUCUCUGCCUGCGGCCGAUGCGUGCUUGCCAAGCGCUUCUACGUACAUACAAGGGCUAUCAACACUACGACAGCUUCAGAAACAGUUCCGCGCACCUUUCUUGCGACUUUCUGACUUGUUUGCGCUAGCAGCGGCUCAGCGCUGUCGCAAUAUAUAGCUACAGGAUACCAGGCCGUGGAGUAGGGGGCUCGAACAAACAAACUGGCCGACCCGCCGAGGUCCCCGCCCCUGGUUCACUCGCUCUCGCUGCGGGAAAGAACGGGGCCUCGUCGACCCCAGCGGCAGCAGCUCAGCGGAUUGUCCGCAAGCCGCGGCUUACGCCCGCGCUCCUUAAAAGUCGCGGCGGCCCGCCUACGGGCGCACUCCUGCGGGCACGCCGCAGCCCGGCGCCGGCCCGCCCGCCGUCAGUGCUCCCGACCACCAGCCUCACAAGCCUCCAGUCAGUCAGUUCUGGGGGGUAAGCCAUGACCCAUCCCGGCGCCGCCCCGGCCGCUGCCACCCUCCCCUGUCAGCCGCCGCAGCCCGCCCAGGGGCGCACGGCGCAUCCGGUGCCGCAGUACUGCCACAGCAAGCACGGGCGGGGGCGUGUGGGCAAGCCGCUUUGGCAGGUGGUGGAGGAGGUGCAGGACGAGUGGUUUGAAGAGGAGAUGGAGGUGAGGCCGCACUGGCACGUAGCAGGGGUAAGGGCGGCGGGAUGCAGGGAGGCAGGGAGGGAGGGCUGCCACAUGUCAAUAGGACGGUCACUGGUCGAGCGAUUCCAGUAAUGCGUAUGCUCCCCGCACUCAACCUGUGUUUCCCUGCCUCACACUACAUUUAAGCUGUAUAAUAACUCUUCCCCCUUCUCCCUGCCUCCCCCAACCCUUUUCAGGAGGCCCGGGGCGGCAACCCUGUGUCCAUGGCGCUCGUGGGUCAGAUGCUGAUACAGGGUUACGGCUGCAAGCGGGACCUGGCGGCGGGGAGGGACUGGGUGGCCCGAGCGCUGGACACCGCAAAGGUGGGGGCGGCGGGUGAAGCGGGGGGGGGGAGCUGAGGGUGGUCUCUAAGCCUGGAGGAGGGGGCUGGGAGGCGGUGGUGGGGGGGAGGCGAAGGCGGCUCUGGUGAGGGCGGGUCGGGCAUCUUGUAGCCGGUGAAGAUGCAGGCGAUGAUGUCACCAGGACUACCCCGGUUGUAGCGGACGUCACCACCCCAAAGUUUGUAGUAGCCACUGCGAGGGAAGCAGCACAUAAGAGCAAUCCAUCAAGAAAGAUGCAUGCGAGCGGCGGCCUGCAGACUCCUCCCCAGUUCCCAACACCCCGCUUGGCCGCCGUAGCCCCUGGGCACAUGGCACCUUCACCCCGUGCCUGCGCUGCAUGCACAUACACACAUGCACACACACACACACACACACACACACACACACACACACACACACACACACACACACACACACACACACACACAGCUCGGUAACCUGCAUCGGUAUUUGUUGGUAACUGCGCGCGCGUGUAUGGCGGAAUUUUGUUCCGUUUGAUUCUUUGUUUAACACACACAACGGCAUUCACACACUCGCUCUACGCACUCCACAUGUGCACAUACAGGGCAAGCCUGACUACGCGCACCUGCUGGGCGGCUGGCGGGCGCUGUGGGAGGCGGCGGAGGCGCAGCCAGUGCUCAGCCGGAGAGGAGGCAGGCCGCUGGAAUAGCGGGGCGGGGCGGGAGGGCUGGAAGCGAGGGACGGGUAUCGUGGAGCGGAAGGAGAGGCGGGAGCUGCGUGUGCAGAAAGCUGGUUAUUUCAAGAGCUGGGCAGGUCUGUGUCGGCACUGUUGCCGGUGCGUGCAUGAGAGGAGGAACUGCUUCCCCCAAACUGGGGUCCAUGCGUCGUGCCGGGUAGUGUGGGUGCGCUGUUGUGCCUGACGACCUCCGCUGAGGGAGGAGAGGCGGCAGUUUGCGUGCGGUGUAGAUAGAGACUGAAGCUGUGACGCAAUCUCGUUCUGGGACGGGGUCUGCACGCUGCGGUGGCUUAACUAGGAUAGUGGUGAUAGAGGAACUUAUUUGCGACUGCAGGUGCCAGCGGGGGCACGCUUAGGUAAAAAAACCUGAAGCUUCGUGAGGGCAAGGGCAAAGGCAAGGGUAAUGUGGCCGAGGCAAGGGCAAGGGUAAUGCGGCCGAGGCAUCGUGUCAGCGAGUGGAUUGUUCUGGGCUGAGCUCAAAGCAGUGAGUUCCAGUGCACCCACUGCUGCUAAGCGCCUCAAGGAGCGCUGAAGGUUUCACAAAGACGACGUGUUAAGGGUCCCGUGGGCCCCGCGCGAGCUGUAAAGCAACAACUUGCGUUGCUAGUCUUGCGGCAUAACAUACAACACACAUCGGCAGUCGGCAUCAUGCUGUGUGCGGCGCUGGGUGGCCUUGCGGGCGCGGCAGCCGGCAGCCAGGUGCGUGUGGACUUGGCGGUGUGCUCCGCUGCGUGACUGCCCUGACCGCUACAGGCUGGCUCGCUGUGGGGUCAGCAAUGCUGCUGUGGCAAUCUCGGGCCUAGUAGGCUAGUACACGUUCCGGCGGCAUAUCUUGUGCGCCUCGCCACCUGUGCGCAUCCCGCCGCACUGACCCACGCACGCAGCUGGGCGGCUGGCUGGCGGCGCCACCCUCGCCUCCAGAAGCCGGCGGCGGCUGCGGUGUGUCCUCCCCCGUGCUCGCCUCCCCAGCCACUGCCUGGUGCGCCGCCGCGGCCGCCUCCCUGCUGCGGCUGCAGGGUGGUCUGCUGCGGCGCGGUGCCGGCAGCGGCCGCGGCAAGGGGGGCGUAGGCAUGGACCAUCCCCAUCAGGACGCGCACGGACGUCACGCGCCCCUGGAGCGGCAGCCGGCACACCGCUGGUCGGCCGCCGCCGCGCCGCCGCCCGCCGGCCCCGUGGAGGCAGUGGAGGGCGCAGAGGUCGAGGCGUCGGCGGCAGUCGCUGAGCCCAAGGCCGGCGGCGCGGGCGGGGUGGUGGGUUCAGGCGGCGGUGUGGAGGUGCGGGAUGUGCAUCUGCAGGUGGGGGGCCAUCAGGUGCCGCUGCCGCUGCCUCUGCAGCUGCAGGCACAAGGGCAGGCUGCAGGGCAGACUGCUGGCAGCAGCACUACUGGCAGCAGUAGCAGCGGUCAUGGCGGGGUGGUGGGUCAGGUCGCCUCCGCGCUGGCGGCACUGGCAGGCGGCGGUGCGGCUGCUGCGGCGGCGGUGGAGGGUCUGUGUGCGGCCGGCGACUCCCGUGCGGCCCUCACUCAGCUGGCUCCGGGCUGGGCGGUGGCGCCGGGUGUGGAGAAGGUGGGUGGUGGGGCAUGUGGUGCCCGUGCCCGGCACUGGUCCACCACAACCACUACCGCACCACACGCACUCACCACCACGUCUGUACACCCUCGUCACGAACUCCCACUUCACUUAUUACAUCACCACACUACCGUAUUCCGAAGCCCAAUCCCGCUGCCCCAUGUCCCACAAGAUUAUACCACUCUCCUCCGCGCUCGACGGUAUCUGGAUGGGUUGGCAAUUGUUUACUCUGGGAUUGGGAUGAACUACACAUCCAGUCCCCCCCCCCACACACACACGUCCCUUCACACAGACCGCCGCUCUGAACCAGCUGCUGCAGCUGCUGUGGCCGCAACUGGCGGCGGCGGGGGAGCGGGAGCUGCGGGCGGCGCUGACACAGGCACUGGCGGCGGCGUCUGGGGCGGCGCCGGAGGCACCAGAGGCAGGCGGCACUCAGCCGGAGCUGCUGCAACUGCGGGUGACGCGCCUGGGGCUGGGCCCGGCAGCGCCGCCCCGCAUUGGCGGUGUGCGGGCGGUGCCGGGGGGCGGCGACGGUACCAGCGUUGUGCCUGAGGCCGGCAGCGGCAGUAGCUGGUCUGGCGGCAGCGGCAGCAGCAGUGAGGAGGUGCUGGUGGUAGAACUGGAUGUGGCGUGGGCGUCAGAGGUGCGAGUGCCACAGGGGGAACGUACAUAGUGUCGAAGAUGUAAGUAGGGCACACUAUACCUUGUAGAUGCUCCUGUGUAAUCACCAUAAUAGUCCGUAGGCUUGUCAUCCCUGACUCAGCCAACCCAACCCUAGACCCCCUUCUUCUCAUGGCAUGGGAGCGAUGAAAGCAACCUCCCACCUCCUACCCCCUACCCCUAACCCCCCUAACCAACAACCCCUUAUGCUCCAGGCCGAGGUGGAGGUGGAGGCUGCGCUGCACCCGGCCGCCGCCCUGCCACCCGCCCUGCGCCGCCGCCUGCCCGCCGCCGCCCUGGCCCUGCUGGGCCCUACUGCCCUGCCGCCUCUGCGCCUGCGCCUGCGCCGCCUGGCCCUGCGCGGCUGUGUGCGGCUGUCCCUGGGUCCGCUGCUGCCCGCCCCGCCCUAUCUGGCGGCGGUGGCGCUGGCGCUGACGCAGCCGCCACUGCUGGAUGCAGCAGCGGACCUGGGGCUGGGGCUAGGGAGUGGCGCUGAGGGGGAUGUAGAUGGGGGAGGUGGGGAGUGGCUGCCGCGGCUGCAACUGAUGGCACUGCCGGGGGUGCGCUGGGCCAUCCACGCAGCAGCACAGGUGGGGCCGAGGGGGUUCGGGGCCGGCGCUGGGGCGUGUGACGUGGGCUGGCGUGCGACCGUGUCGUUCCUCCUGCAGGGGCGAUGUUGCCGUGCCAACCCCACCCGCCGUCGCCCCACCCGCCCUCGCCCCAACGCUCACCCUCCACCCGUACAUGUGUGUGCCCCCAGGCCUUCCUGCAGCGCACGCUGCUGUACCCGCGCCACCUGCUGCUGCAGCUCAGCCCCGCAGUAAAGGAGGAGGAGGCUGGGGAGGAGGGGGCUGUGGGAGUAGCAGCCGCCGUGCUGGCAGGGCUGCGGCGGCCUGUGGGGGUGCUGCGACUGCGACUGCUGCGUGCAGAGGGGCUGCAGGCGGCGGGGGUCCGCAGGGCGGCUGCAGCUGCGGGGGUUGAGGGCGGCGGCGGCGGCUCCUCGGCUGCAUUCGUGUAUGUGUCGGCUCAGGUGCGGCAGGGCGCAGUGCAGCGCUCACCGCCGCAGCCAGUCCUGCCCGCAGCCGCCGCGGCGACCGGCGCCAUCCCUGGCGACGACGGCGGCAAGGCAGUACUGGCCAGCUGGCAGCAGCUACAGCAGUCGGCUGGACCGGCUGCAUCGGCCUCCUCCGCCUCCUCCUCCUCGGUCUCCGCCGCCACCGCCGCCUGCCCCCACCACGAGUUCAUCCUGCCUCUCAGUGCGCCGCGGCACCAGCGGCUGCAGCUGAGGCUGCUGAGGGACCGGCCCGGCUGGUGAGCAGGGCGGCGGCAGGCAGGUGGUGGCGGGCGGCGAGGUGGUCAGUCCACUCCCUGGGCCUGGAGGCUCGUGGGAAGUGGGCCGGGUGGUGUUUGCUACGCCGCCUUGCCCGCCCCAUGCUGACCUCCCGCAACAAGCCCUUGCCGCCCCUCAUUUCUUCUCCUGCCGUCUGUCUCACACCUGCCGCCUGUCCCUGCCAUGUCCCUGCCUGUCUCCCUCCCCUCCCAUCUGUCAGGAACGACCCCUGCCUGGCCGCCGCCUCAGUGCCCCUGGCCGCCCUGCUGCCCGCACUGCAGCAGGUGGCGGGCGGGGCGCCCGGACCAGCCGGUGGCCCCGACAGCAGCGGCAGCGGCAGCGGCUGGGUGCCAGUGGUGGCUCACAUGCGCCGGAGUCGCGGCGGGGAGGGCGACGAAAGCAGUGGCGGUGGUGGUGGGGGUGCGGGUGUGGGCGGGGCGGCUGUGGCGGUGGCGACAGCGCCUCUGACCGGGCUCAAAGCUCUGGGCCGAGCUCUGCGCCACCCCGCAGCGGCCACUGCGGUGAGGCGUCAGGGAUAUGAACAUACCUGAGAGGUACAAUGCCUUGUGUCCUUGUGCUUGACAGCAUGCUUUAGAAGCAUAUACAAGGAACCUCUGUGAUAAAGAGCACAAGGAAAACAUUACGCGCAUGAUAGUGUAUGAUGCAGAGUUGCAGCCAAGGAAGCCUGUGUGUGUGUGCGUGUGUGCGUGUGUGCAUGUGAGAGCGGGCGGCAAUGAGCAAAGGGCAUGCAUGCGCGGCCACAGCUGCCCCACAAGCUGAAGCACACCCGCACCCGUUGGACCUACCCACCCUCCCCGGCCUCCCACACACACGUCAGGGCGGCGUAUCCCGCCUGACCCGCCACAUCGGGCGCUCACUGGCGCGUGUGACUGGUGCUGGCGGCGGCGGCGAGCAGGCAGCCGAGGCUGAGGAGGGCUCGGAGGAGGGCUCGGAGGACAUCGAGGAAGACGAGCAUGUGGAGCUGGAGGUGGCGGGGGUGGCACCGCAGGCUGGCACCGGCAGCAGCAGCAGUACGACGCCGUCCGCCCGCAUCCUCCCGGGCUCAGAUGUGGGCGGCGGGGCUCACCUGGGCGGUGUGGGUCUGCAGUCCCUGGCCGCAGUGCACAUCGGCGACCAGCCCCACUCGCCCCGGCCCCGGUCUGACCACGUGCGGGUGUACCUGCAGGCGCAGUACCUACCCCUGCCGCCGCCACCACGACCCGGUGCAGCCAGCAGCGGAACCAGCAGCGACACCACCAGCACUGAGGUAGCAGCGCCGGCUCCAGCGCCUCUCAACGAUACUGCUGCAGCCAACUGGCAACAACAGCAGCAGCUGGACAUGGGGAUGGGUCCAAGGCUGGCAACUGAGCAGCUGGCGACUGGGCCGAUGGUGGAGGCCAGUGCGGUCAUCGCCGGCGCGCCAGGUGCAGGCGGGGCAGGCGGGGCAGCAGGUGCAAGUGGGGGUGGAGGGGCAGCAGGGGACGGGGUCAGGCCGCCAGCGCCGCUGCCGGGGCCGGCCCAAUUGGCUGCGGGUCCCGCCCUGGGCGCUGUGGUGGGGCGGGAGGGCGAGGCGCACCCGCAGCCGCUGUCCACCUCCCCGCCCGCCAAGGUUCAGCAGCAGGGGCACAGGGCGGGUGGGGGGCCUGCUGCCGGUAGGGCCGAGGUGGUGCCGCCAGUGGGUGUGCAGGUGCAGCUGGGGGCAGUGUGGCCGGUGGCUGGACCCAGCCGCCUGGUGCGGCCGCCCGAGUCAGUGUCGCCGCAGGAGCAGGUGAGGGCGCGUGUCACUUGUGAGGGAGGCUAAACGCGUGCAUGGGUUUGUGGUGAGCGGGGGGUAGCAGCGCAACUCUGCGGCCAACGUGCUGUUCAUGCCGCCGAUGCUAACACAGGUGCUGUGUUGAUGCUGCUGCAACCGCUUGCUCCGCGCAGCCGACACUGUUCCACCGGGCCGCAACACGCGGUCACCCCGCCCUCCCCUCCCCUUCUGUUUCCUUGCCUCGCCAGGCGGUGCUUACGGUGCGUGUGCUGCGGCUGCGGCAGCUGACCGCCGCCUCCAACGCCGCCGCCGCCGCCGCCUCAGAUCCCUGGGUGGAGCUGCUUCUGCUGGAUCCGGUCACAGGGGGGGUGGCGGCGGCACAGCGCACAUCCACCCGCUACAACGCCGCAGAGGCGUCCUGGGAGGUGGGGACCGCAUAGGGGCUGGGGAAAGACGGGUGUGUGGGGUGGCGUCGUACACGUGUGUUGCACCUGCGUGUUCAAUCUUCACUAUCCCCCCCCCCACUACUCUGACCCCCCCUCCUCCCCAGGACGAGCCUGCACUGGAGCUGGUCCCCGCCGCUGCGGGCGGCUGGCUGGUGGCUCGGCUGUGGGACGCCACCACGGGGUGGGAGGCGGUGGGGCGGCUGGCGAGGCUGGACAUGCAGGUGUGUGCAGGGGAGAAGGCGGGAGGAGGGGGGCGGGGCGGGGCUGAGGCUGCGCAUGAGCGCAGGGUGCAGCACAAUGCAAUGAGUGACGGGCUGCAUGCACUUUCGGUGCGUUAGGAAAGCACUACUGGCGUGUUUGUGCUGUCCCCUCCCACCGUGCCCUUGGUCCCGCCCGCUUGGCAAGGCACCCGACUGCCACAGCCUUCCCCCUAAUGCCCCAACUCCCUGGCCGUGCCCUGGCCCCGUUCCUCCCCACCUCCCCCCCGUGCAGGGCGGCCUGCAGCGGCCCGACACGCUGCUGGGCGGUGUGCGGCUGCCGCUGCUGGGCGCCGCCACCGCCGGCCGCCUGCGCCGCACCUGGCUGCUGCAGCCCGCGGGCAGCCGCACCUCUGCGGGGGCGGCGGAGCUGGAGAUGGAGCUGAGCUGGUGCCCCCUGCCGCCGCUGCCGCCCUAGAGGCCGCGCUCAGCCCCAAGCUCUCGCACACGGGUGCCUGCAUACACGGGCCGCCGCGCCAUCGGCCCCCCAUCACCCCAUGCGGGCGAGGACAUUCCCGAUGUCGAAGGAUGCCUACUGCUUUUGCUGCUGUGGCGAGGUUGGAGAGGGGUCCAUCGAACGGCACACGGUGGGAGAAGGCGUGUAAUUGUCUGGCCAAUUGAUUGUUGGUUGGUGUGCGAUGGGACAGUGUUAAAGCAGGUUGGUGAAGUCCCGUAGGGUGCAGCUGAUUCCCAGACCCCAGAGUCAGCAGAUGGCAAAGAAUUUGCAACGGCAGUGCAGGAGUGCGCGGCUGGUCGAACGCCCGAGUUACUGUGCCGACAAGUUGGUUGGUGCACAAUGCUGGCUGGCCAGGUCGUUCACUGUACUUGACACACCGCAUGGCGUGGCAACUCCAAUACCGUAGUGUCACAUAUCAUAUGCACAUACCGUAAUGAGCCCCUAGCGGCAUGCCGCACUGGGUCGCCGCGUAAGAAAGCCUAGGGUAACGCGCGUGGGUAACGCGCUAGGGCGCACAAACAACAACCGCUCCGCCCGUACUCGCAACCCUGACCGCUGCCCCCGCACCGGUAGCCGUGGCCCGACAUGCUGUCAGCCCCAGCGCCUGUGCACCCUCACUACCACCACAACCGCACCACCACCGCUGCUAUGACACUUCUGCAUACUGUACUAGCAUACGGACACACGGCUGCGCCCCGCCGCCCGGGCAACCACCGUGGUACCCAACCUGUACACUCCCGCGCAUCACCGCACUACCCCUCCAAACAUUGCACCGGCUUAGUCCAGCCUCCCCGCCGCCCUGCAGUCACCACAGCCUGACCCCCCUCUCCUUCGUGCCCUCGACUCCUGCCACGUCCUUCUCAUGCUCAGCCCGCUCAGCUCUGCGCCGCCGCCUCCUUCUCGGCGUUCGCUGCGUCCAGCAGCGGCGUCAGCUCGGGGGCGUCAUAGAUCUUGUACACCACCUGAAGCAUGAGGGGGAGGCGGGGGAGGGGCAGGACAGGGGCGGGACAGGAGUGAGAGCGAGUUGGCAGUGGGAUGUGAGCUGCCAGCCUCAGCGAUGGAGGCACGAGGUAGGGGGGCGACCCAACCUGUCGCCUUGCCACUAAACCAAGGCCCCACAUCCCAGUUGCAAACCUCGUGACACGUACAUACCCAUCGCAUCUCAUGUAUAAAACCGGGGAUGGUGAGCACAGCCCUCUCUCCGUCCCUCGCUCCCUCCCUCCCUCGCUGUCCUCCUCCCUCACCUUGCCGCUGGCUGCAUCGCGGCUGAUGGUGGCCAGCUCCACCUUGUCGGGCGCCAGACUGGUGUCCAUGGACUUGGCCAGCACCUUGAUGAUGAAGGGGAUGGCCUCAGACAGGGGCAGGUCCUCCUGCAGGGGGGGGGGGCGGGGGGUAGCCGUUCAUGUGGAGAACGGAGUGCUAAAGUUACAAGUAUGAAGUGAAGGGGGGGCUUGCGAGGUUAGCGAGAGGCAGCGCGGGACUGGCGGAGGGCAAGCGGGAGGGUGGGAGGUACUUUGUAUGAGGUAGACUGCGGGAGGUGGGAGGGGUACAUGUGGUUGGUGAGCAGGUGGUGGCGAUGCAUGUGGGACGAUACUCGACUGCACACAGGAUUAGUUGGGCGAUUACAUGCCCGCUCCUAACCCCCUCCCUCACCCUCCUUACCUUGAAGUCGCUCUUGAGCAGGUUGUUGGCGGCCUGGUGUCCGGCGCCAAUGGCCACCGCCUUCCAGCCGCCGUAGUUGCCGCUGGGGUCGGACUGGUACAGCUGGAAGCCGUAGUGCUCGUCCCUGCGGGGUAGGGUGUGUGAGGCCAGGUCCAGCAGUCAUGGGCCGUUGCCGUCCUGCUGCCUGCUCACGCCACGUGGUCCCCCGCGCAAGACUCCAGCCCUAGCACCCGGGCAGCUAGCACAUCGCCCCGACCCCUGCACGCGGUCCACACGACGCCGUCCGCCCGUCACACGCCCUCCGCUCUGUGCACACCGCACGCUGCAAACCCCCCUCCCCCAGCGGCGCCUCCACACACGGCCAGGCCCCGCCCCCUCCCCCACUGUGCGCUCACCAGCCAGCGUACAGCAGCGACACACCGAACGGCCGCUGCCCUCCAAACUGGGUGUACCCCUGUGUGGGGGUGGGGUUGCACGGUUAGGGAACGGGAACAGAGUAAAAGCACCGGGCGGGGUGGGGUGGGGUGGUGGAACGGCAGGGACACGGGUCGUCAGGUCCUGCUCAGGCCGCAUCGGGCAGCAAUCCAACAGGGCAAAAGCCGGGUAGCAGGUUGGUGCAGUGCGGCGGCGCCACCCCUAGUAUUGUGUAUAUAACGUAUCCUCAAACACUCCCCCUGAUGACGGGACUAAUUCGCGGGGCUCGGCAAAGAAUCCCCCCGCCCCUCCCCACCCCGCCACCGCCCGUUGUUUCUCACCUGCUUGGUGUCGCACACGGUGCGCACCAGCUGCUCCACCGGCAUGGGCUCCUGGUAGGCGAACAGGUAGCGCUGGGCGGCCAGGCGGCACGUGUUGAUCAGGAUGUUGGCGUCGGCUGGAGAGGAAGAGGGGGAAGAGGUGGAGGGGGCAGGGGAAUGUGAAGGGAAAUGUGAAGGGGAAAGUGCUGGUUAGUUCGGGUCUUCGGGAGAUGCGCACCGACCCCACGCUUCCAUCCAGAUGGCCUUCAUAGCCACAUCGGCGGAGACAAUUGCUCGCCAGACACGCAGUCCUCCGCCGGUGGAAGCGCGGUGUUGACCAAGCGUCACACAAAUAGAACCGAGUCGAAAUGAAACCAGAGCUUCCCGCAUGCCACAACGGCAGAUACACAGAUGCCAGUAACCCUGCGCUACAACAGUCGCACAUGCCACCUCAACGGCCAUGCUGCAUCUGCAACUGGGUCAAGCCCACGCAGCACGCGAACCCGCCAGACCCCACCCGCCCCCACCUGUGAUACCCGCCACCGAGCAGGCGAUGUGGUUGUCUAUCCGGUACAUCUUCUCUCGGCGCACACCCACCGCGUGCGUGUCUAGGAGCUACGCGACCGAAAGACGAUGCAAGUUAGCGCCAGCCCUGGAAAUUGGGCGCGAUCCCAUGCGAGCCCGCCUAGUUACCUUGGAUGUGAUCUUCUUCUCCGCAAUCAGGACGACUCCAUCCUUCGCCAGCAGGCCAAUGGACGCACCGGCGUUGGAAAUGGCCUCCAUGGCAUACUCAACUUGGUAAAGGCGCCCCUCGGGGCUGAAAAUCGUUGUGCGGGAAUCAUAUCUCCGCGACAUGGUGAUGUAUUGAGCUGGAGGGACACGUUAGUGGAUUAAAGCAGCAGAGCAAACGAGCAGGGCCAAAAGUCUGGCAAAGAUCUGUGUUUGUUAUUUAUCCCAAGCAGUUUUCUAGAGCCUAUGUAUCAAAAACAAUGUAAGCGUAGUGGCCUAAGUUCGCGGUUUGCCGGGGAUGCGCCUGCGGUCUCGACAUCACGAGAGCCCCCUGCUCAUCCAGGCACGCAUCCAGGUGCCACGCCAACUGCUCACGCCAAAGCCCCCGAAGCCCUUCAAGUCCCCCUCCGCUUUUCCAAGAUAGCCUGGAAUAACACUCUGCGCCCGUGGGUCCAUCAGUGUGGCCGCUCUUGGGUGUUCCCGUCACUGCAGGCAUGCUUCGCACGCUGAAUGUCCAAGCGUUCAGGGAAUUCAGGGGAUGGGCUUCACGUCGGUGGUACAUCUGCAAAGUAGGAUGUACGUUGAUUAAGCGGGGGGAAUGAGCGUUUGCGUAUAGGGCUGGUGGUGGUCUGGUCGAUUAUGACGCCUGGUCAUGACAGCACAUCAACGAUCGCAAUGCACACAACUAUUGCAGUGUGCCUGUCUUGAGCGGUGUUGCAUUGCAUCUGAACAAUAUUCAGGGAGGGACGAGGGGCAGAUUCCGCUCGCGCCAGGAGGUUGGCACGUGUGUGUUUUUGUAAGGCCCCAGUUGAAUAGACACCGCACAAGCACACGAUAAGACCUGCAAUUUUGCAUGGUGUACUAGGUUGUGGGGGCAGCGGCCUCAAAUUACUGACCAAAGCUUCGCAAUCACAAACUCUAAGGUUGACAAGUCUAAGAUGGCGAGUGCGCUGUAAUCGACAAAGCAGCAUAUCACAUAUCAAUUUCUCUUUAUAAGAACGUUUCUCAGUGCACUUGAAGACUGCGCUUUGCGAAGACAGAAUGACCAACCGGGCGACGUUGUCCCAAACCGCGACCUCGCUAACAAGUACCACUGGGCGGCGAGACAGGCUACAACGACAAGAAGACACAACGCUAUUUGGAUAUGAGUCUCCACCCGACACGCCAGCCCUGCAUCGCGACGUCUUGAAAUGGGUUCAAGGCCUGGACUUGUCGCAGUCGCUGAAGAACUGCAGGCGGUAAGGCAUCUCGGGGCUGCAGCGGGCUGGGCGCGGCGCCGUAGCUUCGCCGGUGCUUACCUGCCGGCCCCAGUCGCUGUGAGUCCAACGCCUGUGCUCCCGACUGGCCGCAGGGACGUGGCGAACGGCUUCCUAGUGGCGGAAAUCUUCUCAAGAUACUUUCCGGUGCGUGGGCAUGGGGAGGAGGCGUUCGGGCCGGGAAGCGCCUAGGAAGGGAGGGGCAGGCGUGCUGCGACAGCUGUGUGGGACGGGCUGGGCUCGUGCUGACGGGACUGGUCAUGCUGCCCGGCCGUUUAGGUAGAAUAUGAAUUGCACACAGUAGAUUCAAAUGCAGACCGUAUGUAGCUAUCAUGGCGGUGGGUAUGGCAUCCACGCCCUCGUGCCGGAUCACUCUCGCCGGUAAACAUACGUUAGCAUGUGCGGAGGCGGCGGUGGCGCGGCAGUGCACCCACCGGACUAGCCCCUGCAGCACUUGCAACGACGCACCUGAUGCGCAUAUCAUGUCAUGCAUGUCCACUGUUGGGUUACGCCUGGUGGGGGCACGGCCCAGGCUUGAACGGGUUAAACACCAGCGUUCAGCGCCCUCGCGUCGCCAUGACAAGUGGGGCUUGGUCUUUACCCGCACUCCCCUCCUGUGCCCCUCCGCAGGCUGACAUCCAGAUGCACUCGUUCGCCAACGCAGCCAGCUCGCAUUUCAAGCGGGACAACUGGACGCAGCUGCAGGCCUUCUGCGGGCGGCAAGGCAUAAACCUGCCCGGGGACCUGGUGGAGGGCUGUGUGCAGGGCGUGCACGGUGCCGCCAUUGCGCUGCUGGAGCACCUGUAUGAGGCAUUCACUGGCAAGAAGUGAGAAGGGGGCGGGGGUGAGGGGGAGAGGGUGAAGGCGGCGGCAACCAGGGUCAGGGCGGUUAGCCUGUGUGCGGGGUGGAUGAGGUGGUGGGGCAGCCGUUGGAGAGUCGGGCGCGAGGCGGGGCCGAAAUGACACCAGGGUAGGGUGGGGUGGGGCUGUAGAUACCAGCCCAAACUAAACCUAACCCGGUGGGGUGGGGUAGGGUGGGCCGGGGUGGGAGUUGAAGCCGGCUGCAGAACGCCCUCAGGGAAACACAGCCGGACUGCUACUUGUCCAUGGCAGAGAGGGCCAAUGCAGUGAGAUGAAAGACUCGGGGAAAAGUGCCCGUGGCAGCAUGCACGUAUUGGCAGCCGCAAGGCUGAGGUGGCUGCGUCACAGGCCGACCUGAUGGCCACACAGGACAGUAACAACAAGUCACGCUCGUGGCCCUGUGGUAUUACAAUGAUCAAUCCCGUUGACCGCCACCACAGGGUGCCGCGCCUCAAGGUGCCGGACGCGGCGGCAGCGGCAGCGGCGGCGGCAGCGGCACGCGGCGGCCCGGGUGCAGUGGGCGGCAGCGGCGAGGGCGCCAAGCUGAUCAGCAGCACGGUCAAGACGGCGCAGAACCUGGAGUUCGGGGCGGUCACCACACAGCAGCUGGCGGGCGCGGACGCCACGGCACUGCGGCGCAGGCUGGCAGGCGGGACCUCGUGAGCCGGCGGCGCGUCAGGGGUGGUGGGUUAGGGGAGGGCGGCAGGCAUGGGGAGUAAUGCCUAUAUGCUCGAUGGUGUAAUGUUUGCUGGUUUGAGUGCGCGGCUAGCUGCGCGUAUGACCGGCAGUGGGACUGCAAGGUGGCGAGCUAGACAGUGUGCUGCAAAUAUUCAAAGAGCCGGCCACUUCGGAGCCGGCGGCAGCACGGCUGGUUAACUGGCUCCCGGCCUGCGUAGACGAUGGUGGCGUAUGCGCGGGAUGCACUGGGCUGGGGAGCGGUGUCAAAUUAUGUAGGGUUGCGCGUGCAAGGACACAACAGACUCCGUGCCGUGAGCCAGGCGUGAUAUACGGUAGCUGUGGCGAUAGUGCUGGGCGCCCGAGAAGGAUGCCCGCGUCGGGAGCUGGAAGCCCGAAGGCGGGUCCCGAAGACGGGGCUUCUAGGAGCCAGGGCGAGGCGUGUGUGUUUGUGUUGUGUUGUGCUUAUGGGAGAGAAUAGGCUGUAGAGCCCCUCAGAACUGACUGCCUGAGUUGCGAGAGCACACUCCACGUUGGAUGUGACCAGGGAGUUUGUUGUGUCAUUCCACGCGCAAACAGCGUUCACAUUCUCGCUCGUGAGAGCCCGGGCAGAGAGCAGGUCCCAUGGGGCCCCGUCCGUGUGUGCCACACGUCAAGGCACACACGCUCACUUUAUUACUAAACUGCAAACUCUGAAUUGCGAUGUUAUACGACUAGCGGCUCACGAGUGAUAAAGCAAAAUGUCCAGAGCGAAUUGCCGAAGAGCGCAGACUCUUGCCAGCCUUUUAGCUUUCAUUAUUGUAGCCUUAUUAUCAUAUGCAAAUGCACAAGAGCGCGUCCGCGCGGGGAGAGCCUUGUUUCGCGGGCUACAGGAGCGAGACGUUGUGGAGCGGAUAGUGAAAGAGGGCUCAGCGUCCAAGCACUUAUACUGCAAGCUCUCAGGUGCGAGGACAGGCUUGGCGAGUUGGCGAUCCACCGCUCCUGUGUCGUCGUGGGCAUGGAACCAACCUUGCUGCACCUUCUGUACACCUGCUCAAAGAGUCCCGACGCCGCAUUGUCACGCUGACAGGGGGCUGCUCUCAGUGUCAGGAGGAUGAAGAGAUUGAGCGCUACUGCGCGGACACGGGCUUCAAAGAGCUGCUGCAGUGCACCACCAACUCGGAGCACGCCACGGACUGGCCGGUGAGCGGGCGCCGCGGCUUUGGGCCGGGGACACUGCCCAACGCAGGACCAGCAGCCAGGGAUUGUUGAAGGUACUGCAGAAGUGGAUGAAGGGAUGUCAAGAUGACUCAAGGGUCACACAGGGGUCCUGCAAGAUGAGGCGGGUCCUGCCACACGGAGCGCGGCGGUUCCUACUUUACACUGCACGGCGCUCGGGUGCAACCACAGCCCAACCACCCUCUCUCACACUUCUCCCCCCUCUCUCCCCUCUCGUCUAGGUCACACUAACCUACCCCUACCCGCCCGACGUGCACAUCGACGCUGACUUGGACGAAGCCGUCUCGGCCUCGACCUCAUCCGGCUCGGACUCGGAGGGCGGCAGCGGUUCCGGCUCCCGCGGCAGCCACUCUGGGCGCCACGAGUCCUUCCGGGUGGUGCGUAGCUGCACGGAGAAGACGGUGGCGGCGCAUCAGCAGGCGCUGGCGGACGAGGUGGCGGCUGCGGACCGGGGGCCGCACAGCCACGGGCAGAUGGGGAUGUUCAAUUUCGAGCUGGUCAUGGUGCUGCUGCUGGGGCUGGCGCUGCCCGUGGUGUACUGGCGCAAGAUACGCAUCCGCCACCUGUGAGCGUUGCACAGUGCUUGAUUGGGCGUGUGGUUUGGCAAAUGUUGCUGGACUCUGCCGGUCAUGUGUAGGUACAGAGGAGGUGUGCAUUAAGGAACGUGAUGGAGGUGAGCUAGGUUAGCAGACGGAAGGCGCACGACUACGGUACAGGACCCAUUAAGACCCGGACCGGCUUGCGGCUCCGCGGGAGCCCCAUGCCAUCAUGGUGGGCCAUAGAGUCAUAGACCCAUAGAGACAUCACAGGGGGGGGGGCUCGAGAUGGGCGCAGGGCUUGCACCUUCCAGGGGUGGGCCGCCGCCGGAGGCGAGAAGGGCCCAAACCACGUUCUCGCCCACGGCAUCCGGGGGCCCCCAAAUGCCUAGUUUGUAGCGUUUGGGGGGGAAGGGCGCAGCCGCUGCUGCAAGGAUGAAUACGGUAUCCGAUGAAGUCGAACAUAGGCGGGGGAGUGGGGGGAGUGGACUGACACAUUAGAACAAAGGCUGAACCCCAACACUAUCAGCAGUCUGUCCCGUGAUCACGAUGCAGCUUGCUCGACGCGGCGCUGGGAUGCACCCCACAUAGUGUGGGGCCGGCAGCCCGGCACUGUGCGCGCACGAUACCGUUCAUCCACUAUGCAUGUCCUUGUCCAGCACUUCCAAUGCCGUGUUGUGCCACCACAAGUCUUUGCUUCACAUACACACACACGUGCGACCCGCUACAAGCGCCAUUUCCCAGCCUAUCCACACUGUCCACCAGGGGAGGAUUCCCUGCUGUCCACACUGUAAGACCUGCCCAAACUGUAUAGUUCCCUCUGCGACAUGCCCCCAUCCGUGGCUCUCGCCAACGCGGCGUCCCCACACCCCAAACCAUGUGUUGAGUUUGCGCCUAUGACAGACGACCACUCAGGACGGUGUAAGAGGGCUAGCGUUCAGACAACCUAUCUAGCUCCUCACAUCACGGACCUAGGCCCAAACUGUACACAUGGUACAGAUUCAUGAAUUUAAUCACUGUCAUUGUGGAAUUGUCACGUCGCCCAGCACAUAGCCCGCUUUCCCCUCCGGUCCAUCCAGCUGCGCUGCCGUCCACUAGCCAGAGCGCUACCGACGCGGCCCCCCCGAGAGGCUGAUGCUGCCGCCACCGUGCGCCCCGCCAAAGCCCCCCGCCUGCGCCUGACCCGGCUGUGGCCCCGGCGCGCCUGCGGCAGCAGCAGGCGCGGUCCCAGCGGGCCCCUGCACCUGGCCUUGUCCCUGCGCGCCGGCCGCCAUGGCCCCCGCCAGACCCGCCAGUGCAGUAUUAGUGGCGUCAUACUCGGCCUGGGGGUGUGCGCGGAGGAAUAGGGAGGGCGAGGUUUGAGGUGGCGUAAGGUGGUUUGAGGCGGCUAGAAGAUACCAUCGCGGCGCAGGAGCAGCGACGGCCAAGGCACCGACCAAUCAGCACCCAACACAGUGGACAGGUGACUCUUCAUAAUGUCGCCAGCGGCAGCGCCCUGCCUACCUGUAUGGCUGCCAUCUGUCCCGACAUGGCUCCCAGGGUGGCGCGGGUGCGCUGCGUGGCCUCCUCCAGACCCGCCUUCUCGGCCUCAAGAGCAUCCACCUGGGUCUGAAAGUUGCAAAGGGCGAGGGGUGACGAACAGAGGCCAGGUUGUUGGGGGAGGAUUUGUGGUGGGAGAAGUUGCGCACAAACCCCGUUCGGCGCGGCAAUGAGUCAGACACAGGUUGUACCGCACGCAGUCUACAUGGCUUGACCCCCAGUGCCCCACCGCCGCCUGCGCCCGCACCUGCAGCUCGCGCAAGCGCCUGCUGGCCAGCUCCGCCGCGCCCUCGCCGUGAGCGGCCGCAACUGCCGCCGCCGCCGCCUCGCCGCCCGCUCCCUCAAUGCUGGACAGCAGCUCCAGGAAGUCGCGCUCGGCCUGGCGCCGCCGGCCUUGCUCGUCCUGCGGUCCAGAAGCACAGACCAAUAAGUACGAUAGCUGCCCAUGUACAGGGCUGGACUACCCCAGGCUGAUGACGUGAACAGCCUUCUGCACAGGGCCCAUUGCAGCAGUGGAGUGACAUGCAUGACACCGGGCUCCUCACCCUCAGCUGCGACUGCAGCCGCGCCGCGCCCGCCGCCGCCUCCUGUUCCGCAGUGGCUACACGCCGGGUGGCCGUUGCGACCUGCUGCCGGGCGGCGGCGGCCUAAGCGGAGGGGGGGGGGAUUGCAGAUGGAGGAUAGAAAUAUCAAGGCAGCAUUUUUUCGCGUGUGUGCAUGAGGUGAUUGCAUGAGGCACCGCCCAUCGGCUGCGGCCUGGGCAUGUGACAACGCGCCAGUGCGCCCCCAUGGCUGUACACUUGCUGCGCCCACCUCUGCUGCCGCCGCUGCCUUGUCCUGGUCCAGCCGCGCCACCAGCUCCACCAGCCGCCGGUGCUCUGCCUGCAGCGCACUCAGCUCGUUCUGUGCCGCAGACAGCAGCGACUCCUGCUGCCGGCACGUGUCCUGCAGCUGCGGGGUCGCAAGCAGGCGGGCAGUACGCAAACAGCCUAGGUCGCGGGCGCACGUAGCAUCAGGGCACCUGCAAGCAAGCUGAGCCUAGCGCUGUGGACCAUGCGCAUGGCCCGCCCCUGACUCCUGAGCCCCACCGUGCGCAGCUCCUGCAUCAGCUCCGUGUUGCGGCGCUCCAGCUCGGAGCAGCGGACCCGCAGCACCGCAGCAGCCUCAGACCCAGAGCCAGCAGCUGGGAUGGACACGGCGGCGGCUGUAGACGCCGAGGCGGCCGCUGCCUCGGCAGCCGCCAGAGCCCCCCGCAGCCGGGCUGCCUCGUCCUGAGCGGCGUCCCGCUCCGAGGUGAGCCGAUCCAACGCCGCGGCCUGUGGCCAACAUGUGCAGAAGGCUCAGUGCUGCGGCACGACAGGGUGCCCAGCACACAACAUCCCUUCUGUCGGCGAUUAUGCGACACCCAGUCCCCGUCCCCUUGCACACCUGGUCCUUGGCCGCACCCGCCGCUGCGCCGCCCGCAGCUGCUGUGCGUCCCUCCAGGCUGGCCGCGGUGCUGGCCGCCAGCGCCAGCGCCUCGCCACGCAGUCGGGACAGCUCGCGGUCCUGCGCCUCCCGCGAGGCCUGCAGCGCCCCCACCUGGUGCUGCAAGGAGGCUACCUGCAGGCACAGGGGCACACACAGACCCGUCCAGGAGUCGGUUGCUGUUUGCAGUGCAGGCCAUAACAUUUGGCUAAACGUGCUCCUCCAGCCGCAAAUAGCCUGCCUAUCAGACGAUACGGUCACAUCCCCGCCGCGGGCGCCCCACCUGCUCCUCCAGCGCCCUGUUACGGUCCACCAUGACCGCCAGCUGGCCGCCUGCCCGGUCGCUGGCGAAGUCGCUGCGGAACUCGCGCGCCCGCAUGCCCGCCAGCAGACCCUCCAGCUCCGCAACCCUGCAAUUGGUAAUGACAGCGGCGGUGGUGGUGAAUAUCGAGCAUUGCCGGGGUCGCAGGGAGCGCCUGUCAGCGAGGUGGGUACAGUCAUGUGCAUUCACGGUGGUGUUAACGAGGGCACAUGCACGUGCACCUCAACAACGGGCUGCGUUGGUGGCGUGGACAUCUACAAUGGGCUGCAGUGGGUGACCGGAACGCCACUGCAACACUCGCACCUGCUUCGUUCCAUAGCCAGGCGCUGGUUGAGGCUGGCAGCCUCGCUGUUGGAGUCCUCCAGCCGGGCGCGGCCGAUGGCCACCUGCAGCCGCGGGCGAGGUGCACACAUGAACAUGCAGCAGGGGCGGUCUGACAUACACAAGGACAAGUGCGCCCGGGGCACUGUACGGGCGAGAAGUGAGUGACACGCCACCGGCUCAAGAGUCCCACUGCACCCCACCGCCCGGUAACGCCUCCCCCCCUGCCCACCUGGCUGUCGAGUGACGCCACCUGCCGCUGCAGCUCCUCACGGUGCCGCUCCAGACCCAGCCGCACCUGCAGCCAGGACGUGCGGGUGAGGCCCUUGGGUGCACAGCGUGGGUGCAGACCCAAGUCUAAAAACCAGCCAGCCCGGCGAAAGCCGCAGCGUUGAAGCAAGGAGUCCUUAGCGUACUAGGUGGCCGGCCUUGCGCCACGCCGCCCGGCUUCCUCAGCAGCUCACCUGCUGCGCCGCGCGUAUCUCCUCCAGCAGCGCCUCACGCUGCCGCACCAGCUCCUCGCCGUCUGCCUCUGCCUGGCUCAGCUGCCGCGACAGCGAGUCCACCUGCCGCUCAAACGCCUGUGCAGGUGUGUACAUGGGAACUGUGUUCAGGAAGAGGUCGGCACAACAUGUGUUCCGCUAUGCAAAUUGCCCUCUCUUCCCCUGCGUCGUCCCGACCUGCCCCCAUCUUCUCAUUGUGUCCACCUUCAGUCCUCACCUGCAGGUCCAUGACAUACUGGUUGAUGGUGGCCUGUGCAGCCCGCUGUGACUCAGCCAGACUGGACACCUCCGCCGCCUUGGCCUGCAGCGCCGCCUCGCGCAUGGCACCCUCCCGCUCCAGAGCCCCAACACCGCCCUGCAGCCGCCGGUGCUCCGCCGCCAACGCCUCAUAAACACGCCGCAGGUCCUCCGCCUCCGCCUCCUUGGCCCGUAGCAGCUGCUCCGCACUCGCCCGCCGCCCGCCCAGCCGCCGCGCCUCCUCUGCCGCGCUGUCCCGCUGCGCCGCCACCGCCGCCAGCUCGCCGCCCACUACUUGGUUCUCUCGCACCAGCGCCUCCAGGUCCUCGCUCACCGCCCGCAGCUCCUCACGCAGCGCCUCGCCCUCGCCGCUCAGCGCCCGCACACUGUCCAGCGCCGCCGCCAGCUGCGCCCGCACUGCCGCAGCUUCUGCCUCGCCCUCCCGCGCGCGGUUGUCCGUCAGCGCCAAGCGGCCCUCAGCCAGCGCCAACAGCCUGCAUGUGCGUGGCGUGUGGUAGAAAAACCAAGCGGCAUGAACGUGCAUUGGAGCAAGCACGCAACGGUGCGAGCACAGCAGAGGGAGCCACCCUGCACACGCACACCUGGCUGUCUAGCAACGGUCCCGGCACAUCAUGCAGCAUGUCCCCCACCUGGCUGCCUCCUGCUCUGCUGCCUGCGCCCCUGCUAGCUGCUGCUCUUGCGCCACCAGCCGCUCUGCCUUGGCAUCCAGCUCGUGCUGUGGGAGGGUGGGAAGGGGCGGGGGCGCACAGGCGGCCGUUGUCUCAGCUGCAGUGCCAGGCUGUCCUCAACGACGGACGCGACACCACGAACUCCACCCGUUGCUGACCCGCACACCUCACCUGCAGGUUGUCCCUGUCCGCAUCCAUCUGCCGCAGCAGGCCCCGCAGCUGCUCCGCCUCACUGCGCCAGCUGGCGGCCGCGUCCUGUGCCGCCGCCGCCUCACCCGCCAGGUCAGCGGCGCGCAUUUCGGCGGCACGUAGAUCAGUGGACAUGGCCUGUGUGCAGCAAACGUGCAUAACCAUGAACGCACGGAGACGGAAACACCAGAUGCCAGCCGUCCAGAUGCGAUGCUUCUCCAUGUCUUCAGCCCUUUUCCACCACCCCCGGCAGCCCGUCUCCCACCUUGAGGUUUGCCAUGUACUCCUGCACAGUGGCGUCACCCCUCAGGCUCAGAGUGGUCAGCUGCUCCACCUCACUGCGCCGGGCGUCCAGGUCCCGCCGAGCCGCCGCCACAGUGUCCUCCAGAGAGCGCAGCGCCGCCGCAUCCGAGUCACGGGCCGCGCGCAACUUUGGGUUGGGGCAUAGGAAGGGGUUGGGACACCGUGCCAUACACGAGACAUCGCUGCAAGCGGGCACAUUCGAGAUAACAAUGCCAGCCUAUUGUAACUCCUAAGUAGCUCAACCCCCGCUGCGCUCACCUGUGCCACAUCGGCCUCAUACUCUGCCACCAGUGCCUCUGCUCGCCGAGCGCGCUCCGCCCACUCGCGGCCCUGGGCACGGGCCUCCUCCUCGCGACCCCGAGCUGCUGCAGCCGCCGCUUCCGCCUCCUCAGCCGCCACCGCUGCCCGCUCGCGCUCCUCCUGCGCCGCAGCCGCCGCCCGCUCCGCCGCUGAUAGCCGCGCCGCCAUCUGCCGUGCGGUGCUGCCCGCGUCUGCCGCCGAGGACGUCUCCGCCGCCAGCUGAUCGCGCAAUGACGCCAGGUCGCCGGCGGCCAGGCGCGCGUCCAUCAGCGCGCGGUCACGGUCGGCCUUGCGGGCAAGUGGGAGGUGGGCAAGGAGCGACAUGGUUUAGGUGGCAAUACUGGCACGUGUGCAAAGGCAAGGCCUAUCAUGGGCUGGAAUAGCGACAUGAGGAUGAGUGGCAGAGGACACCUUACCUCUGCUGCCUUGAGUGCCUUGGACGUCCCUUCCGCCUGUGCCUCAACCUCACGCAGCUGCGCCCGGACCAGCGCCUCUGCCUCCCGCGCGCCCUCGACCUCCCGCCUCGCCUCCCGCAGGCCCCGCUCCGCCCGCGCCUGCCCCUCCUUGGCUUCGGAGACCGCCGCCCGCAGUCGCACAGCUUCUGCCUCAGCCUCAGCGGUGGCCGCCUGUGCGCGGCGCGCCUGCUCGCCCAUCUCUUCCAGCCGUUGCGAAAGCGCUCCUAACCCCGACAGCUUCUGCUCGGCGCCGCUGGCCGCCGCCUCGCUGGCUGCCAGCUCGCCCCGCGCCGCAGCCAGUUGCUGCCGCAGCAGCUCCGCCUCCUGUUGCUGCAGCGCCAGCUGGCCGCCCAGCCGGUCCACCUCGAGCUGCAGCGUGUCGUGGCCCGCCCGCAGCUCCUCCGCAGCGCGGCGCUCGGCCGUCAGCUGCAUCCGGAGCGCUUCUGCUUGCUGCCGCGCGCGAACAGCCUCGUCCUCUGUGCUGCUCAGCGCCGACGUGGCACGCACCUUGCCCACAGACACGUCCUGUUACAUAGGAACGACCAGGAAUGUUGAAGGAUAAGCCGAGCCGAGCCGAUAUCUACCCAGCCUCCCGAAACAGCGCGUGCGCACCUGGAGCUCCUGCCUCAAUGCCGCCGCCUCUGCCUCCAACGCGGCUGCGCUGCCCCGCACCACCCUCAGCUCGGAGUCCAGCCGCGACACCGACUGCUGUGCCGCCGCCGCAGCCGCGCGCUCAGACGCCGCAGAGCGCUCCACCUCAUCCAGGCGCCGAGCCAGCUCCUCAGCCCUUCGGUACAACACAGUGCACAGGAAUCCGUGUAUGGCUUUCGUUUGGCACACAGCCACACAGUGCACGAGGGCGCCCGAAAUAUCCAUCCGCACCUGGCAUUGGCCUCCGCGCGGUCCUUCUCCAGCGCUGCAAAGCCCGCCUGCCGCGCCUCCAGGUCGGACAGCACCACCGCCAGUUGGCUGUCCAGCUCCCGCAGCCGCCCCUCACGUGCCGCCGCCUCGCCAGCCAGCCGUCGCGCCUCGCUCUCCGCCACUGCCUGCGCUGCCGCCAGCCCAGCGGCGCGGCUCUGUGCCUCCGCCAGCAGGAACUGGGUAUCGUCCAGCUCCGAGCGCAAGGCGGACAACUACGAUGUGGCAACACGGGAAUAAUCACGCUGCCAGGAAAAUAGGAGGCAAUGCGGAGUCCUGCCGGUAGCCACGCCUGCGCACUGGCAGCCUACCCACCAGAUCAUGGCGGUCAACAUAACGCGCUACCGCAUACCUUAGCAAAUACAUACACACACCUGCUGCGCCAGGUUUCUCCGCUCCAUGUCCGCCGCCGCCAACUGCCCGCUCAGCCUCUCCACGUCCGCCCGAGAGUCAGCCAGUCGCUGCCGCAGCGCCGGGGCCUGGCGGACCACAGAACGGCAGCAACGCAGGUGAUACGAGGUCAGGUUACCUUCCAAGCCAUGAUGAGGCUGUACUUGGCGCAGCACCCUAGCCCUGACUUCUAUGCAGCGUCGAGCGCUUUUGACCACUCACCCCUGCGGUUGUGUCCGGUGUACUAGCCCCCGCCGCGUCUGCCGCCAGCAGCCCCGCCGCCCUGUUGUUGGUGUCCUGCAGAGCCGCCAAGUCGCGGCGUAGGCCCAACACCUCACGAGACAGGGCGUCGUGGUCGCGUGCAGACCUGCACAGGCGGGAACGGACCAUUAAUGUUUGGCCAUAUCCCAAGGCGGCGAGCUAACUGCCGGAUAAGGGGAUAACCCUUUGACUACAAACGGGGUCCGGCACCCACCUGCUGUAACGCUCCUCUGCCUGGUCGCGGUCCAUCUCCGCGCGGCGCAGUGCCCCCUGCAGCUCUUCACACCGCACCUCCACGGCCUCCAGCUCACGGACCCGGGCCGCCAGGGAUUCCACCUGCACAGAGAGAGCACAGCACCUGUCAGCAACGCCCCUCACCACAGGCAUUGCGCCCCUCCCCAUACCUGCACCGACUAGCCACGUACCGUGCCGUUGAGCUGCAGGAUCAUGCUCUCAUUGGCCUCGUUGCGUGCCCGCAGCGCCAGCACGUUGGUGUCCGUCCCCGCCCGAGUGCCCAGGCGGUCGAUCUCCACGUCCCGCCGCCGGAUCUGGUCCUCGUCCUCCGCCACGCGCUGCCGCAGCUCCUGCAGCUCUGCGGUGGCGUCGGCCAGUUGCCGCUGCAGCGACAGGAUCCUGUGGCGCCAUAGACCAGCGUUAGAAGCCGGACGUCAUUUGACUAGCAACCUUACCCAAAGUACAAGAGCAACAUGGAGAGGCCCCAACACUCGGGCCUCACACCUACCUGCCGUUAGCGGCCUGCAGCACAUCCACAGUGGCCUGACGGGGCCGCGGCGGAGAGGGAGGAGGCGCAACCCCUGCAGAGCGUCGAGCACGAAACACGUCAGAUUGUGCCCAGCUCGUGCCUUCUGCCGACUAUAUGCGCCCGGCGGCCAGGCCUUGCACUUACGGAUGGGGCUGCGCGAGGAAAUCUUGGGCGCCACGGACUGCGGGGUCGCAGCGCCUGCAUUGGGCGACGUGUAAGGUCAGGCUCAGGUGCUGUGUUUGGGGUCAUGUGUACGCGAGAAUAGGCCCAUCACAUGCAAUACUGCGGCCACCACCACAAUGCCGCACAUCAACCGCCCCCACGCGCUCACCCGAGGCAAGGCGGUCCGUGAGCUUGGCCAGCUCCUCGCACCGCUUCCGCAGCCCCGCGUUCUCCUUAUCCGCCGACGCCAGUUUCUCCGCAGCAGCGUGCUUCCAGUAGGACAGCUCUGCGAUGGUGUCCUCCAGCCGCUUCACCGCCGUGUAGUGCUCCCGCGCCUCCCGCUCGUGCCGCUCCGCGUGCUGCAUUACAAGGACGUGCAGCUGGCUGUUCUCCGACUGCAGCCGCACCGAGUCCUGCCGCACUGACUCCAGCUGCAUAAUCAGAGGGUGAUCGAGCGGGAAAGGCCGGCAUGUGUGAUACAGUGGACAACCAAGAAAAACGGAUGGCUGCCUGACGUGCAACCCUCCAGCUUUCCGAAAACCCGGCUCUUCCUGCCCCUUCCCUGUCCCCUCGGGCCUCAACGUCUCCCGCUGGCCACCGACACCUGCAGUCUCUCGCACCAGAAGCUAGCUACUUCUCACCCGUGUGUCGAACGCUGCUAUCUCCUGAGCUUGCUUCGCGCAUUGCUGCUUCACGGCCGUGUAGCUGUCCGUGGUGUGCACCAAGUCCUCUACGAGCUUUUGCACCAGCUGCAAGCUCGCCGGUUCAAGCGGGUCGGAGUAGCCAAGGGCCUCCAGCUUGCGCCGGAGGACCGCGAGAGUUCGGUCUACAUCGAUGGCCAUGGUUGACUGGCUGCACCGAGUAGCCAGGUCGGUCAAGAUAAGGUUUAAGUUUCUAAGAUAUGCGUCAAGAGUGCAACUCUUCGGCCAGCUGCUGCAACUCUACGUCCCAGACUGAGUUCAUUUUUGCGCGGUAACAACGUGCUUGACCGCGUGUCCUUUGCUUUGUAUUUCACCAAGAGCCAUAAGAUACUGGUAAAACUGGUGAUGAAGCGACUCAACGUGCGCAAAGUCAAGUUUCAAGUGUAAGUUUCAAGUGUCGCUGUCAGGGUCAGCUGUGGCUCUGGGGUCGUUGAUGGGCUUUUAGGUGCGUGAGCAUUUACAGUUGGCAUUCGCAUGGUGCGCCGGCUAAUGCCUGUGCGAUGGCACGAUGUCAUCGCCACGGACCCGCCCACGGACCCGCCCCCUGCCAUUUACUGCUUACUCCGCACAGCAACCAUCAGUCCUCGUGCAAUCCACCUGAGCCUGUCCUCAGGCGAUGGAUAAGUGCAUGCACAAUGCCAAGUGGAUCGGCCCCUGAUAUGCCUACGGCCUACCGCCCUCCUUGCCGCCCUCUCUUCCCACGCAAUCACCGCGUGGACCCGACAGCACGACCCUGGCCCCAGUACGGUACUGCGACGCAGGGGUGGAACGUGUGCCCAUACGCGCAACUAUCUGGACCUGUCCGGGUGCGUGUGUCCCUGUGUCCUCCAGUUACACUAACAAAAGAGUCUCAUCGCGCCUGCCUUUAACUGGUCCACAGUCCAUAACAGUUAUCGAUGACGACUACGUUACUCACCUCAAACACAGUCCCCUGCUGCUGCAAACUCCUUGCCGCCGCCGCAACGGCGGUUCUCCUGCUGAACGGUCUUACGUCACAUCGUACCCCAUCUCCUAGUGACCCGCCAUUGCGUGCCCCGGGUCGUCAUCGCCCUUGAGUUUCAGCCCUCUGACUACAAGGGGCCGGCCUGGUCCCCGCUCUACCGCAUGCCCUUCCCCCAUGCCUCGUCCCGCCAUCUCCCGCCGCCUGCGCGAUCACGCCCGCCCAGUCCCACCCCGCCUCGGUAAACUCAAAAAGUUCAGAACCCGCGAACUCAAACCAACACCCCCCCAUACACGUUCAACAGGGGCACCCCUGACGUUCAACGACCACGAACGCGUAAAUACUGUGUGCGCGGGUGUUACCCGGCACGCUGCAUAGCUUGCUGGUACAGCCUGUCCUGCUGUGUCCCGCCCCCCUGCAUACGCAAGCAACACCGCAAGGUCGCUCGCAAAACGAAGCAAUUGUUAUCAAUGUGAAAGUCCCUGCCCAUCACUGAUGAAGGGGCAGAGCGCAUGAUGCAUUUAUGGAAUCACUUUGCAAAGUGCAAUGCAAACAGGUGCAAACGAGGGAAACCAUGGAAAUAUCAACAUUCCAUCUAGUUCAAACGAAACUGAGGUCACAUUGUCACAGCCAUGCAGAGCCAUGGCACCCUUACUGUGCCAGCGCAGUGCACCGGUACACUCUGGCAGAAUCUUGGCGGAUACUCACGCAGCCCGUACGGUACACACACAGGCAGCCCAUACCGCACCGCGCAUGGCGUACUAUGCACACCGCUCAUUAUGCUCUGCUCUUCAACAAAACACAUUUACAUGUGAUAAAUCCCUGAGAUGAUUCUCAGAGUCUCCUUCCUCCGCGGCCCCUUGGACGACCCCUCGCUCCUCGCUCUUUUGAAUUGGGGCUGUAUUAGGUUGAGCUGGUAUUUACAACCCCCAGCUCCGUCGUCUACUUGACCAAGCUGAGCUUCGCCACAUCGGCCGGUGGCGCGCAAGGCAGCCCCGCGGCCCGCACCGCUGUCGUAUUGAUGCGGAGCCCCAGCGGAUCCCCGCCGUUCAGGAACCACAGGCCCAGCACCUCUGCGCCGCGCUUCUUGUCGCCCACACAUAUAAGGUGGGCGUACAGCCGCCCUGGCACAGCGCAGUGGUCGGGGCUGUCCACCACGCCCUCGUGCCGGUACGCGUCAUCGUAUUUGUGCCGGUCCACCGGGGGGCAGUUGAUGUUGCGCUCCCAGGGACUGUUGUGCCGCGCCACACGGGCCGCCUGCGCCGUGGGCACCUUGCGGGACCCCACCGCCGGGUCGGGCUUGCAGUCGGCCGCCUUGGGCCCCGCACACGCCAGCCAGUGCACGCCGUACAGCUCGUAAAAGACCUCUUGGUCGCCGGUGCGGCGGGUGGCGGCGGCAGACCAGGCGUCAUACAUGGCGCGGGAGUUGGGGCUGUUGCGGAUGAACAGUACGCCCGUGUUGACGCCCCUGGCGCCAGCAACAGGGGCAUCGGAUGGGUGAGGGUGACUGGUGGCGACUCACGUGUCCUGGUCAGUGACUAGAGGUGUUGGGGGCACGCAGGCCACAGCUGUGGGGACGGUUGCAAGCGGGGUUGCUGUGCAGGUAAAUGAACACAAGAUGCAUGGUGUUGGGGCCCAGGACAAGGCAGUCGCCCGCUUGCCGCUCACUUAUGUCCGUAGUCCUCCACCAUGGCCGUCAUGUCCCACUCGGUCCCGGACAUGAAGGCGUCCACACUGGGGGCCAGCCGCUUCAGAAAUACCUGGGGGCAAAAGGGGAGAGGGCAGGCGGGGAAGAGUAAGGUGGUGGUGGCGGUGGCGGUGGCGGUGGCAGUGGUGGUGGUGGUGGUGGUGGUGGUGGUGGUGGUGGUGGUGGUGGUCGUGGUGGUGGCGGUGAUGGUGGUGGUGGCGGUGGCGGUGGUGGUGGUGGUGAUGGUGGUGGGAAUGCGGUGCUUGCUGCGGCUUCCAGGGCCCAAAGGCCCUGGGGGUUAGCAGCUUUAGCCUUUAACCUGCGUGCUGCCUCCUGCGUCCUGUCAACUGUUUCCUCCCCUGUUGCCUUUUAAACUGCUCCCGCCUCCGCCUGCCGCCUCACCACGUCGUGGUCGCUGAGCAACACACUGACUCCGGGCGGCAGCAGCUGCAGCACCCGUCGCACCACAUGCACCUUUACCCAGCAACCCAGGUAGUAACCUGGACGGCAACAACAUUAGGGCGCAACCAUUUUGACUCGCUUGUAUACGCGUGAUUGCUACGAGCUGGGCAAAAUCACAGGAGCUCACACACAAUGGCGAGCAUGCGUCCCGAGGAUGAUCCCAGUGCAGUCCCUCGCUCAACCCAGAACGCACUACAUUAUUAGGCUAAAGUAAUGCCGCAAUACUGAAGCCUGCCCCCGGCCUCCCUCAAUCACGAACAGCCAGUACUCACCCUCCGUUCCGUACCCGCCGUGUGCGCCCCUGUGCUCCGCCGCCACCUCCCGGGUGGCGUUGUAGCAGGGCAGCCCCAGCCGCAUGCAGUGCGCCAGCCCCUCAUUGUCCGCCACCGCCACUAUGUAGGAGCUGCCACCGCCGCCAAAGUAGUGCAGUGUGGUCAGCGCGUUGGCCAUCAUCAGGGCUGGGGCGGGAGUGGCAAUGGGCCACCAGGCGAGAGGAGGUAUGUGGGUGGGGAGUGAGGGUGGUAGCCAGCUCGUUGCGGAAUGCAGGGUAGAUGUAUGAGGCAAAUGCCUUGGUCGACGCAUGGUGUCAGCGGCUCUGGCCUGCCACGUGCCGGGGUCACGGACAUUGUCGUCCUGGCGCCAGACGGGUGCCCAGUUAGGCUAGCGCGCCGCUCCCUGUUCCCGCUACCGCCAACGCCCACUGUGCCUAUGUUAUCUCCACACAACUUUCCAUGUCCGUUCAUGUGCACCAGCAUGCUCCAUUCAGCCUUCUCCUGCCCUCCGGGCACUGUCCCCACCAUGAUGUGUGUCCAGGUGUGACAGCGCGAACACUGCGACCCAGGUGGCGCCGGGCGGCCGCUGCACCGCCAGCAGCGCUGCCAGGUCGUUCUGUAACCCGGCAUAUGGGGCCUGCCAACCAACUGGGCGCUGCCAGGGCAGCAGCGGCAGGGAGUCCAGCGAGCCGACUGCCUUGACGUCUGGGUUUCAGUAUGGGUAAGGGGAAGAGGAAGAGCAGGGGUGAACACUUCGGGAGCAGGAAUGGCGCUGCGGCGUUCGGGCAGGGGAACACAGUCACUGCGAUUACGUCGGUCACGGCAGUCACUUCGACACGCGCAGUACGCUUCGCUGCGCAUGGCUGGCUGGAGGCCUAGUAGGUGCGGUGUGGGCUCGGGGUGCAUUGUGGUGGGAGUGAGGUAGAUAGGGCGCGAGGACUAGAGCUGGUGAGCGGCGCCCUACCUUGGGUGGUGCCGACAACCUUGUCGCCAGCAGCUUCCAUUGCCGUGAUGAGAAGGGCCAGAACGGCCCCUGGGUAAAAGUAAGCCCGGCUAAGUGCGCGGCACCGCCGCAGUGACCAUCUGCAGCUAACACUGCGAGCUGACAAUUUGCACAUCUUCACCACUAGAGCACAAUGUCGACGCGCUCGAUUGCCAGACCGGAGUCAAGCCACGGCCUUACAACAGCACCUUGUCUGCUUGUAGUAACAUCGUUGGUUGCUCUGUGUGGCUUUUUGGGGGUGACGUUUGGUUCCAAUCCAAGAACGAGGCCCGCAAACUUGCUGAACUUUGUCCAGCAGUUUCGUUCUUGCAACUGGGCCGAACGACUGGCAUACUGUAGUCGUCUAGUUAUUUCAUGGAGCGGACGAGUAGCAUCAUAACAUCAUCUUGGACUGCGCCCGCUGCAACGGCGUGCGCCGUACCGUGUUCCAUGGCCUUCCACGGUGUUCCGUGUACACAAAGCCACUACCACUCGCGCACGCUCGCGCCGCUCGAAACCCCCAGUGUACCCUCAUCGUGACAAAACGACCGCGUGGAGACAACUCAACAGCCACGAUUGCCACACUCAAUGCGCCAGUUCGCGUUCAUAUCAUCGUCUGUCUACUCUGCCGGGUCCCGGUUCACACCGCACACACGUCGAACGUAGCCCCUUCUCGCAGACUUGCCUGCGCUAGACAAACGCGCAAUCGAUUGAUUGCCAAGACCCUCGCGCCACUUAAGGGAAAUGUGUACAUACCCUGAUAUCGACGAUGAUUUAAACCCUGUGCAGAGGCACUGCGCUUCCACCAGGACACAGCCACACCAGGCCAGCCGCACAGGCGGCGAGAGCGGUGGCUGUAAAAGACUCCGCCCGGGCGCGCCCCAGCAACACAUGGUGCAGCUCCUAGCCCAUGCAGCCGCCGUCCCUUGCCAAUGCCCCGGCCCUGGUGGCCGCAACCAGGUACCCCAGGUGCUGGACACCUCCGCCAAGUGGCACAGCUACAGCGUUGCGCAGCACACAGCUGUGCGCGGCGGGCGCUAAUGAGGCGCGGGCGCGUUACUAGGGGCCGGCCGCAGUGGCGCCCUCAGCCGCAGCGGCCCCCGCCGCUGUCCCCGCCGCCGACUGCCCCAGUGCCGCCAGCAGCGGGCGCAGCAGUGCGGCGGCCAGUGGGAAGUUGUCAGCCAGAGAUCGCGCCAUGAGCAGUGAACCGCGCAUGCCGAUGUACACAGCCACUGCGAGGAGGACGGGGAGGUGACAGGUGGGCGCCGAGAGGUAACAGGAGGCGGAUACAGAGCGGGGGGUUGCCGAUAGACACCAGCCCAAACUGAACCGUGGUGGGCGCGGAAGAGGAAGGGUUAAGAGUUUGUACAUGGUAAUAGCAUGCAUCGCUAGCGGUUGGUGCACGCACGUGCCAGCCCGACAAGACCACCGACGAGCGCGCAGCGAGUACACCAGGUGUUCCCAACAGCGCACAUAUGCUUAAAUCCAACACACUUGCCGCUACCCCAUCUCACCGUUCUCGCCCCCUGACAGUUCCCUCCUUCCCGCAGGCCCAACGCCCGUUACGAGCCCUCCCACUCUCGUAGAUACGCGCUUGCUAUCUACCGCCCCCGCUAAGACCAUACCACCGUGCUCUCUAGGCUGGCUGGCUGGUCGGGGUCUGGGUGUCCAUUGAGUCGGGCUAGGAAUGUACUCAUCACCCCCAUAACACCCAUUGCUGUUGCUACUGCUGCCGCACCGCCGUGGUGCCCACGCUCCAAACCUCCAGUGCACGUAUCAGUGCCGGCUUGCAGGGACCACGUGCGAACACCCGGCGGACAUAUUGUCCUAUCGAUGACAUCUGGACCAAGUCGUUUUGCUUAGGCACAUACUCGAGUGUCUAAUGAUUGUGCUGACUAGGAAUGGUGUAGACAGUCCCCACCCCCCCGCGGCUAGAACCCCGCCCCAUCCGGUCACAGCCGCCGAUCCGGCAGCCUGCCCGGCCCCUCCGCCCCCACCUGCCGGUAGCGCCAACACCGCCGCCAGAAGUAGCCCCAGCAGCAGCACCGCCAGCACCGUGUCCACUGUCAAGAACACGGCGCGCCUGCGGGGCAAAGCGGGGGGCGAGGAGGGAGGCACUGCGUGGGGGAAGCUAGGGCCUAUGGGUUCAGGGUGUGAAGGCCGCAAGACUGCAGCCCGCAUGCCGUGCUCUGGGGCGCCGUCGCGCUGGGAGACGCAUAUUGGGAGGGGUGGGCCAUGUGAGAGCGAGUGCUAACGUAUAAUGACCGCCUAAACUGCCGCAAGGUCUACCGACCUGGGGUUGGACAAGGCGGCGAGCGGCUGCCAACGCCACACCACAAAACGCCAGUGCGCAACGGUCGGCUAGCUUGACCUCGACUGUAACCUAGCCCAUUUACCUCCCGGGUCGCGACAGAAGGACAAGCAGCAGGAAUCCAAAAAUGGCUGUCCCCGCUGCAGUGAACUGUGCCGACUCGGGGAUGCCGUCCAGUGGCGGGAGCGACUUCGUGGUCCACGCCAGGGACGCCACUGCGCUGAGCGUCUCUAGAUCUUGCAUCCGCUGCAUUUGGAACUCCGUAAAGUUGAAGGGCUGCAUUCUCUAGUCAAGUCACACAAAGUUGCAGCGUCCUGUAAUUGUAUGUGUACUAGAAGAUGAACGUGGACACCUCGGAAGUAUGGUGCAACGAGCUCGGGUCGUGAAAAGAGCGACCGUUUCUGACGAGGAACCUUCUCCGAGUCCCUUUAAGCUCGUUUUAGUAGGCCCAGUACUGAGGUAUACCACGUUACACUGUAUCAUGGUGCUGCACAAAGAACCAGGCAAAUUGGUCCCGCCGAAUGCAUUAUGCAUGGGCGCAGCGCUUGCAACCCUUGCUUUCCCGCACACCCCUUUAUGAUUGACGUUUAACAGGCGUUAUUGUUUCGGUAUCUACUGCUGGGAUAUUGUGGGCUGGAUGGACGAGAACAGGCCAGCGGUCCAACCCCUUCCCAAGCUCUCCCGCGAGGACAAGGCCUGGUUGAGUAGGAAGUACCAUCGGCGUGUUAAGCUUGCUACCAACGCAAUUCUCGGGGUGACGCUAGUGAGCUGCGUGCUCUUCGAUUGGGACACAUACCUUGGCACAGACAAGCACAUCUUUCGCAGCGUUCGCCCAACCGUUCGACGAUUCCUGGACUCGGUCUACGGAAUUGCGCCUGAGUCGGCCGACAAGAAGCGGGACGCUUGAGGCGCGACGGUACUCAUUUGUGCGGCGGCGCUCUUGCGAAAGGUACGCGAAGGGACUCCUGCCGACACGGUGGGGCCCCGUCUGCAUAUCACUGGUAGCUAGGUGUGAAGCUAUAGCACUGGGCUAUGCAAGCCUCGCGGUCGGCAGACGGCCCCGAAAGUCCAAACUGUUGAGCGGCACGUCGAUCCCCGCGCGGGUGUUGCAGUGAAGCCCCGGCAAGUCGCCACCCGUGUGCCCAAAGGCACAUCGGUGAUUGACGUGGUGCCUGUGCAUGUUCUCCCUGAAUCUCGUUUGUGCCUCACCAGUGCUGCAGCUCGGCAACUCGAACAUACACCAACCGCCCGGCACAGUCCGGCCACUGUGCUGACCCGACUGACCCGUUUCAACCACUUGACCUGUGCCGCAGACCCGGCCGCAGCCACGCCUGUGACAAAGCGCAGUCGUCAUCUGCUGAGCACGGCAUUAGCACGGCAGUGACGUCUUCCCAUCAACACCAAUAGCAGCUUCGGCUCCACGCGCCACAGCAUCAUGACCGGCGCAACCGCCGCCAACGCCCAGGCGCUGAACGCCGCCGCCAAGGAGUUUGUGCCGCACUGUGACGACGCGGCCACGCUCCGGAAAGCCCCUUCAACUGAGCAGCCUAAGAAGGACGCCGCACAGGCCCAGUCCCACCUACACCACCUCCGCGUCAACGCGCCUGCGUUCGUGCCUCGCGCUUCCGGCCACCACCCCGCUACCCCCGACCGGCCCAGCGAGCGGCCCGCCCAGUCCUCAUCCUCCAUAGCCGCCAGCGUGAGCGGCAGCAGCACCAGCGGCGCCUCGCGCACCGCCGACUGCUGCGCGCCAGAGGAGGGUGACGACGAGGAGGGCGAGGCCGGCGUCGGCGCGUGCGGCGAGUCGUCUGCGGGUGGUUGCUGCGAGUGCGGCGCUGAGGACGGCGAGUGCGGCCACUCUUCCAACGCAGGAGAGGAGGGAGAUGCUCUGGCAGGUGGCGGCGCGUAUGGAGGCGGCGCUCUGGAGCAACUACCGUACCGCUGGGAGGGCGGCGUGCCGUACAAUGGCGCCGUGUACUACGACGCCGCGUUCGUAGACCCGUACGGCCUUGCCACGUACGGCUACCUGACUGAUGGUAGCUUUGAAGCCAGUCAGUGCCAGGCCUACUACGACUCGGAGGCCGCAGCCGCCGCGGCCGCCUACUACGCCAUGAUGGGCGCCGAGGAUCUUGAGGGUGAGGGUGAGGGCGAGGGCGCCAGCGGCACCAGCGGCAGCACGGCGGCCGGCACUGGCGCAGGCGCAGGCGGCGCAGCGUCCGCAGAGACGGCCGAGUCGCAGCUGGCGGCGUCGGAUUGUGUUGAGGGCCUGGCUGCCUCCCUGGAGGGCAGCGACAAGGCCCUGGCUGCGGGUGAGGCGCGGGAGCUGCUGGAGCUGUUCUUCCCGCACUACGCCGGGGCGGCACUGGCGCGGCUGCUGGCGCGCACAGGCGGCGAUCUGGCCGCGGCCUUUGCGGAGCUGGCGGCUCUGGAGCGCCAGGCGGCUGCGGAGCGAGCGGCGGAGCGGGCCGCGGCGGCCGCAGGGGCCAGCACCAGCGGCCGUGGCGCGGCGGGGCAGCAGGCCGGCAAGGGCAAGGGCGCCACGGCUGCGGGCGGUAAGGGUCAGGGGCAGCCGGCCCAGCAGGGUCAGGCGGGCAAGGGCAAGGGUGGCGCGUUCAAGCUGGACCCCGAGGUGAGCUGCAAUACAGGGGGCGGGCGAGGCAGACGUGCGGGCGGGCGGAUGCAUGGCACAUCGCACGGAACAGAUGCAAGACAGAGGAUUACAGCUUUGUUUGCCAAGCUUACGUCAUGUUGGACGCGGCCUAACGCCCCUAUUCCGCACGGCACAGGCCUUCCCAACGCUGGCCGGCUCCCCGAUGAAGCAUCCACAACAGCAACACACACCCAGCAAGAAACACUCUGGCGCAGCCGCUGUGGAAGACGCCCGUGAAGUGCAGCAGGAGCAGAAGCAGCAACAGCAGCAGCAGCCCAAGGAAGGGCACGCAAAGGCGAAUCGGCCACCAGAGGCGAAGGAGGAUGCAGUGGAGGCGAAGGCAGAGGCACCAGCGGACGCCCACCCUGCGGCCAGCACGGACGGAGAUGGGAAAGCAGCCCCGGCGCCGGUCCCCGCUACCGCUCCCACGCCUGCCCGGGCAGCACCCAGGCCGGGCGCCCAGGCCAGCAGCAUCAACCCCGCCAAGCCCAACUUCGCCGCCAUGCUCCGCAAUUCGGUCAGCGCCGACGUCAACUUGGCAGCGCCCGCAUCCAAGCCGGCCGCAGGCAAGUCGGCGGUCGGCGGCGCCAAGCAGACGCAGCCGGCGGCGGCACCCAAGGGUUCUGCGCCUGCGGCUGAGGGAGUGGCGGUCCCCCGUGUGGCCACGGGCGCGGCUGCCGCGGCGCAGUACGGCGAGGAGCGGGCGGAGGCGGCAGUGCUGGCGCGCGCACGAAACGCGUUCUUCAUGCAGGUGCGGCAAUGGGAGGUUUGGGAUGGUAUGUGGGGGACAUGCUGCGGCUGUGCGGAUGCUGAUCGCGCAUGCCCGUGCAGUGAGCCGGGGCCGCAGCUUGAAGGCGGUCCGCUGACGCGUUCGUUGGAGCGGUGUGUGCAUCCCGCCCCAUAAGCCACCAGCUUCAUGAUGCGCAUAUCCGUGCACGAGUUUCCGCGCAAGGCCCUUCCCCUCCCUUCCCGUCCCCUGCUUCAGGCCACGCUGGCCUUCCUGUCCGGCGACAAGGCGCUGGCCCGGCAGCUGGGCCGCAAGGGCCGCGCCGCCAAUGAGGCCAUGAAGGCGGCGCACGCGGCGGCGGCGGCGCGCAUCUUCGCCGCCCGCAAUGCGCACGUCGCCGGCCGGCAACAGCAGCAAGGCGGCGGCAAGCGGCAGGCGGGUGGCAAGACGGAGCAGCAGGGCAAGGGCGGCGGCAAGGCACACCCUGCACAGCCACAGGGCACCGGCGGCAAGGCGCAGGGCGUCCCCAGCGAGGGGUGUGUGCGGUUUGUGGACCUGCAUGGGCUCCAUGUGACGGAGGCAGUGGCGGCGCUGGAGGCUCAGAUUGAGGCGGCACGGGCGGCGGGUUGCAGCCACCUGCGCGUGUGCACCGGCACAGGCAGCCAUACGAAGGCGGGUCGGCAUGGCGGCGUAUGCAUUCGGAAAAGCCAGGGCGCGCAUGCUUGAGAAUGGCCAUGAUGCGGCACGAUGCCUGUUUGCUGUCCUCUUUGAUCUUACAAUCGCUUCAAACAUUCAACUCCCACCCUCUCGUGCGCAUCCGCAACACACAGGGCGCCAAGACGCCCGCGCGGCUGCCUGCCGCGGUGGCAGACACGUUGUUGGCGCACCACAUAACCUUCCGCACGCUGCAGCCAGGCCUGCUGGAGGGGUCGCUGUGAGCGCGACGGUGAUGGGCGUGAGGCUUUUUGCGCCGUAUGCUGUGUGGAGUGUUGCGUUGCAUUGAGAAACGGACUUGUUAGCAGCAGGCUGCGGGAGGUACUGUGACAUGUGACCUGUGGUGUUGGCUAGCUAAUGGCAGGCGGGCGCGCGGAUUACACACGAUAUAUACAGCGUGUCCUUGCGCAACUCAUCGACAAUGUCGUGCUAGCCAUAGAACAUGAUGGAUUGAUGGCCACACCAACAAGUGCACAUGGUGUCGGUGACGGCCGCAUGGACUAUGGUGUCGGUCUUCUUAGCAGCUGGUUAGCGGCCUACUCGUGUCAUACAACGUGUAGGUGUGUAGCAUUAAGCUGUGUAAGGCCCACCCAGUAUGUAGCUGGCCGUCCAGCGCCGGACCUGCUGUGCUUCCUGGCAACCUUUUGUGAAUGUGGGACGAGUUACAUGUAGCACGGCAUGUAUUAAAGGCAUCAUAAGCAGCAGCAGUGAGCUCUGAUGGGAUGGUGGCGGAUGCAAAGAUAUGAGUGUCUAUCUUGUACUGACUCGUAGACAAGCUCGUAUAGGCGUUGUGGUAAGAUAUUAGACCCGACGACGGGGAGCAUACGUUUUGGACCGUUUGUUCGUUGCGGGGAGCAAGCGAACUGGGCGGUGAGGCAAAAGAGUGAGGGUUUGACUACCUUCCAAUCUUCUUGUGAUAUAUGUGCAGUUGCGUGUCUACAUUCUCUCCCGUGAUUCUCUCCCCUGAUCGCAUCAAUUGCUGUGCCGCGAGACAAGAAAGCUCAACUGAACGUAUGCCACACGCGUUCUUGCAAUCUUGCUGUUACGUUGCACCAUUGUUCCUUUACCGUCCUUCACGUCUGAGGCACCGUAAAUGAGACACCGUACAGGACAGGGUAAGGGCAGGUUGGCUGGUUCCGUAGUGUGCCUCAGAAGUUGCUCCAAGGCUCCAUCCUGAACCGGUCUCUUCAUCACAGCUGGCAGAGGGACCGAACUGUCCGAUGCUGGGUGUGCGACACGGGCCACCCCUCAUCGCUGCAGUGUGCGUGACCAGCCUGCUGUUUUGGCUCGCUGUACAAUACUACGUGCGUCCCACCCGUGCACACGUGCUGUAGCCACGUCCAGCUUACAGCGCAGUUCCUUUGCCGUUCCACGGCUUAUUAUCUUGCCAAUUCUAUAUUUUGGCUGUUAUGACACCUCGAAUGCACACUCCACAUGACAAACCAAACCCUUAAACCGAACACCACAGUCCGAGCGCGCCCGCGUCGGACGGGCACACCCGACAGCCGACAGGGGUUGCCACGCCAGCGUGCAGUCAAGAACACCGAGGACGAGGCAGAACAGGCCAAAUCCGCAAGGGCUCACAUGAAUGUGGAAGCAAGAAGCACCCGAUAUGGUCACUCACGCAUUCUUCUCCGCGCUCUCGUCUAGAGCAAAACCCUGUCAAUGCCAAGUGCUCUCGGGCCACUCCAAGCUUUUCAUGCCCCCUACGCUCGAGUAAUCGAGCUCAGAAACCAGCCCCGCGUUACGCCGAGCCGCGUAGUAGGUAAGCGAAGUAGCGCAAAUUCUCACGCUGACACCGCUCCAGUCGCAGCCACCGGACAGCUUCAGGACACACGCUCUGUGUCAGCAGUUACUAUAGGCGACUGCGGCUUGUGCCCGCAGUGCUCAUGCAGGCGGUUUACUUGACAAACUUGCUCAUGUCGUUGUCGAACAGGCUCGUGCUGCGGCCCACGAACAUUGAGCGAAUGGAGUUCUUGAACUGGUCACCCUUCUUGGCUGCCUCAGCAGUCUCAGGCGUGAUGCCCGCAGUCUGCUCGGGGUCGUGCUGUCGGUGGGCAAUUUGUGGGGCAGCAGACCGCGGUUGGCAAGCCAAUCGCAAAGCACAGCAGGCUAUAAUGAGGCACCUAAAGAGGACGCAGGCUAGGGUGCCAACAGAGCCUCCUGAGUCGCAAACAAACUCGGCGGCAAAGCUCGAUUGCCUCGCCCUGCGCCCUGUCCACUUACGCGGAUGACGCGGUAAAGCAUGGUGCUGAAGGCGCCCGCCGCGAAGACGAUGGGCACGGACAGCGCCAGAAUAUCAGCGGGAAUGCCACGGGCGGGGGCCAUGAUGCACAGCUGAAGUGAACACAAGGAAGAGGGUAGUAAGAGGUCUCAGGAGUGCAAGAGGCGCAAGAGUGAGUAGCGAAGUCGCGGAUGCGUCUGAAAUCACGCCCUUUUGUGCCCAAUCUGGGCGCCCAAUCAUGCCGCUCACACAGCGGUCACCCCAUUACGUGACGCACUAACGCACAGAGCCCAAAUAUGCACUAGUUAGCAAACGAGUUAAUUGAUUUGGAGCAACGGUGGCGAGGGAGGUGGAAAGCCGGUAGGUCUGAUCAAGUGUUCCCCGGUCACGGGAAAAGGGGCUGCUUUAGACCGUUGUUUGGCAGUUUGGCGCGUCAGAACGAACAGAAGUCUGUGGUGGCACAACUGACGAGCCCCCGAACCCAGCAUUUUAAGGCUAGGAUAUGUCUGGCGCGCUUCUGCACUGCAUCCAGUCGUCAACCAUCACAACACCCUGACUCCCGCCCCGCUAUGGACAAACCGCCAAUACCUAGUGUAGGCCGUGUAGCCUGGCGUGUGGUUAUGCCCGCUUCACCACCUCGAUGGUCCAGAUGGUCCUCCCCUGCCCACCACACAUCCACCCUUGUCCGCAACCGUGGGGCACUUGGCGAUCAGUACGGCGCCUUGCCGCCUUCAUGGCUCUUCUGCUCCCACUGCUCAGCCUUCUAGGACCUUCUUCUUUGCCAGGAACUCCAGGUCGCUGUCGUCUUUAAGCAGGUGAUGGCAGGGCUUGCAUCUUCCAGGGCUAGGCCCUCUCGCUGUCAUGAACCCAAUCUUAGGGCUUGCAUCUUCGGGCAGCGGCAAGAAACGGGCCCAAAUGCCGGCCCUCAGGCGAGAAAGAUUGGGCGUUUCCGGGGGUGCAUUCUCGUCGCGUGGGGGCUGCAUACGGCCCCCGAAUCUCGCCUGGAUGCCGUGGGCGAGAUUGCGAGAACUGGCGAGAACGUGGUCAUGGGCUCAUGGCCCGUCUCGCCAGCGGCGGCGGCCUACCCCUGGAAGGUGCCCUGGAACCCAUGCGAAGGAUAAAAGGAGGUAGCUGUACCGCCACGUCAGUCAGGCAGAGUGGCCCUGACGCGCGACCGACGAUAAGGGGCACUUCCCGCCAGGUUUCCUUUGGGGUCGCUACCACUGGGCUACCGAGAACCAGAAAUGGCAACGUCGCGGCCAAAAGCGACCCGCGAUGCGACGCUGAAGGGCGCCUCAAGCCCGCGCGGACCAGUACAUGCAAGAUAACCCUGUGGUGUCUUGCCCGUCGGCAACCAUACUUAUAGCCCGAAACCGUACCGGCACCCAGUCACGCAUUCCCGCUGUAGUCGCAACCUCCUUCCACAACGUACCCAUUGCCCCUAACAGGCACGCGUCGAUGGCAGCCACUUGCCUUGUGGACGCCCCUACUGGCAGCACCGGCACUCAUGGCUGCGGCGUGCCACUCCGUGUCUGCGGGUCUGCCGUGCCGACUCUUGUCCAGUGUUACGGAGUAUACCGGUAUGUCCAAACCAUGAGCCGCUAGCACAUUAAGCUGCACUGCACAACAAGGAGGUGGCUGCCUUAGGAAUGCGGAUGUUACAGAGGGGACAGUCCCAGCACCCGAAGACGCCGAGCCAUCACAUGCUAUCAGGGCCCAACAUGACUCCACCAACCCCGACUUUGCUGCAAACCCUCCCGCGGGCAAAGUCCGUGUGACUCCGCGCACAGUGAGUCCUAGCCAAGCCUCAACCCGCCAGAGCCCCACCGCUGUGCCUCAACGUCACAAGCCUAGGCACAGAAGUGCCGGGAAACGUCUAGGCCGCAGGACACAUGCACAGCACACGCACUAACCAGGGCGCAAGCGUCCAGGUACUAGAACGGUCGCCCACGCGUACAACCUGCCCACGCACAAAGCCACCAACCACGCACAACCUCUCACGGCGAGGAGGCGGGGAAUCAGCGUCAUACGGCAAGCGCAAAACCAUGCCGUCACCAACAGCCCGAGAGAUGAAAGGAUGCGCAGACGGCACAGUGUCCCAACCCUUCGGCCUGAUACCCAAAGACACAAACGUCUGGAGCCGACCCCAGAAGUCAGCUACGACGGCAAGUCCAAUGCUCAGCACCCGGGCCGACGGCAGCUUCGCUCGCGCCGCCAGCCCGGCCAUAACCAUACGCUGCCGACCAAAGUCCAGGGCAGACAUAGCAGCGAGACACACCACAUCCCACACAGGUGGCGCAAGCCCCGCAGGCGGGCGCACCAACCACAACUCCUCACGAGAGAAGGCACCUAGAGCAUCCUCUGGCAUGAAACCCAUAGCCAUUCCCAUGUGUUCCCGCAGGGACAGCGCCACAGUGCAGUCCCAAAACCAGUGACGCCGGUCCCCAUCCUGCAUGUCAACACCACAUGCCCAACACCUGCCUUAGGGAGGCAGGAAAAGGGCUGAUCCCGGGUCGUUAUCAACCCAGCCACCUUGACGCGGGCGCCUACUAAGCACACGCCUCUAUGUUGGGGGCCUUUGGCAUCCCCGCAAAUCCGGACGCGUCCACUGGGGGUUGCGCCCGGACCAGGAAGAAAGAGGCGUGAGAGCGAGCCGCUACAGAAAUGGACAACGGUGACAGGCUCUUUAUGACGGCUCGCCGUCUGCUGUGUCUUUGUAGCACAUUUACGACGUACAGAAGUCAUACUGCGCAAAGCCAUGGCUUGCUUUUCGGGCAACCUCGCGAAAGUCAAUUGUCCAUGGACGUGCGAAGGCACCUCUCGCUCCGCCCGAAUUUUCCCCGCCGCCUAUUUAUAUGCAAUAGGCAUUAACAAAUACUAAUACGUAGCAGUCGCGGUUUGCGCCAGUAUGCUACGGUAUGUUUUGCCGACGCCACGGACAGGGGUGUUCCUGGGGGGCUUCGCCCCCCCCCCCCCUGGAACGCUUCGCUGGGGGGGCACUGCACAAAAACCAUACGUCCCAGAACCGUCAGCAAGGACCAGUGAACAUUUCUUUGAGACUCAUCUUGGAAUAUACACAUAGGCGUGGGUGCGCAAGCGUGCAGCCGCCCCGGCGCUUCCUCGCCGCAAUUCCCAGCUACCCCCAUCACCUACUUGCCAGCCCCAACUCAAGACGUACUGUAAGAAACCGGAACCAAGUGCAUGCAUGCCCAGAAGUCGUGCUGCUGAACAAGCAUACGCUUCAUACGGUCCCGCACUUUACGACAUAAGGACACUUCGUUCGUCAGCAACCGUUCAAUAUAUCAGCGACCGGUGCCAGAAUGUGCAAGCGGGACCGUCAGAAGCUCACUACCAGAAAUACGGUACAAUGCGCAAGGCGCCCACACACGUAAAUUGCGUGCACGGCAACGACCGCAACAUCAUCGUCCACUCUCCCUUGGCAUGGGCCCAUGACGCCGGCCCUGUCUCAAGCGGGGCCAGGCACCUACCCUAUAGGGCGGCCCCAGUACUGCGCCCGAGCCCAGCCGCCCACCUCUGACAACAUAACACACGGUAUACUAACACCAGACGACGUCCAAAUACAACCCACAUGCCGCUGGCCUACAUGGCAGCAGCGCUUGCCCUGCCAGGCACAGCACGCCCAUACCUACCAACACUCACGUCCACACUUGGCCGCCAUCUAGGCCGAUAUCCCCUCACUCAGAAAGGCAUUGCUCCUGACCCAUGCAUGCCCCCGGUGUGCACACUGCCCAGUCCCCCGCUCCCAUGCAGCUGCUCCACUGACAUACUGGACUGAGGUGCCCACGCGUGCUACAAGAACACCGGCUGCUCACAACGCAGCGGCAACUCUUAAGCACUAGCGGGACCCGUUCUUUGUUCUCUCUCUUCUCUGACCCCUCGUGUAGCAUGUGCUAGCUCACCAGGUGCCAUAUGAAGCUCACCGAGCGACGUCAAAAUUGGCGACAUGCCAUGCAAAAACGGAGUACACCGCCCGGCCUCAGGCCUGCGGGACGGUAUGCUGGCCCGCCCCAAGCGUGCCAGACAGCCCCGCCGGCACCUGGGGCAGUGACGCCGACCCCGAGGCGGAACCGGCCCCAGGGCCGGCGGGUCCCACGGGCGGCGCUGACACGUUUCGGCUGCUGACAGCUGCGUCCAGUGCGGUGGGUGCUAGGAAAUCGAGGCCGUCCAGGGUUGGCAGCGGGCCCAGCAGCUGCAAAUCGGAGAAGCACAUGCUGUCGGCGCGGGUGGUGGUCAUCGUCAGCACCGACUCGGCCGGGAGCGCGGCGCCAACGCCCGCUGCCUGGGCCUGACCCGGCGCAGGGCUGGCCGCGGCAGCCACCCCGGUCACCGGGCACAGGCUGGGCAGGCUGUCCAGAGCGCCCCCGCUGCUGCUGCCACCCGUCAUGCCGCCAGCGCUGCUCUCCACAGCCAUCUUCUUCGCCGCGACGCCCUCUUCCGAGCUGCCACUGCCGUCCGCUGCCCGCAUGCCGGCCUCUUCAGCGCUGCGCUUCCGGGACUCGCUGCCGUCGGCCGGCACACUAGUGCCCACCUUCGCCUGCAUCAGCCGUAUCCAUGACAGCAGCAGCGGCAGAAGGCUGUUGGUGAGCGGUGGACGAUGAAUGGUCAGGAGGAGGCGAGUUGGGCCGCGUGAAGAGUGUCGGUGGACGUAGGUGAUGUGGAUGGUGUGGAUGGUGGACGUAGGUAGUGGGCCGGCGUGCGCAGGUCAGGGUGGUGGUGCCGGCGAUGAACGGUCCAAUUACGCGUGCAUGGGGUUCGAGGGUGGUGAGGGGGUGGGAGGCAUCAGCCACCAAGGCAAGGAACUAUCCCACAGCUCGAAACAUGGCACGCACUAGCAGGUACAGAGCGCUACGGCAACCGCAGAAUCCGCACGCACGCACGCACGCACGCACGCAAGUAAACGCCAUAGCCUAGUCGCACCAGGCUCCGCACUCACUGUGGCGCCACUGCUGCCGCCCGCCGCGGGUGCCGCCGCCAUCGCGUCCGGCCCGCCGCCACCCGCUGCCUGUUUCAUGGUGGCAGCCAGCUGUGCUGCCAGCUGCGCCGAGUCGCCGCCCGCGCCCUCGCCCGCCAAGGCGGCGCCGCCCAGCACCUUGUUGAGCAGCGCCGCCACCUGCUGCUGGCUGGCCAGGAGCUCGCGCCGCAGCCGCGUGGCCUCGUCCUCGGCGGUCUUCUUGGCGUCACCCAGCCCAUGCAGCUCGCCGCGCAGGGAAGCCAGCUCAGACUGCGCGGGAGCGACACCACAAGGAGCGGGGGUGCAAUUUAACGACGUUGCAAGGAUGAGGAACGGGUGGAGUGGUGGUCCUGGGUUUGAGGUGCACAACCCCUCCCCCAAUACAGGCCCGGUCGUGUCACCCUGAUGUCAGCCGCGCGUUACCCUGACUCGCCCUAUGCAAAGGCCCGCGCUACUGCUGGAGUAACGCCAUAUGCCCGACCCCUCUUAAGUCUUAACGCACUCCCCGCGCUUCAUGCACCCUUGUCACCCAGGCUCGCGGGCGUCAGGGUAAAUAAUUUAGUUCCUCUCGCGCUUCUUUGGCGUUGAUCUCGAAUGCUACAUUGCAACCCUGCGCAUGUCGUUUCGGUGCCGGCGCUUUCUACGCGGCGACGGUGCUGCUGGUGCGCCAUAUAGGUGGGUAUACAGUCUGUGUUGCGCAAUUUAGUGUUGCGGAUAGGCGCCGCGACUCGAUGGUAUUGUCUACAGUGUACGGCCAGCGCCGAGCCGCCGACAAGAAGAACAAGGCUCGAGGGCGUCCAAGGAAAAGGAGAAGGCCAUACAUCCUCCGCGAUAUGUGAGCUGGUUCCGUGUCUUGGUUCUUUGGGAUCGGAAUACCCCCCCCCCCCGCCACGCUUUAACCCCCGCUCCCAGUCAGCCGUUGCAAGGGCUCUCGGACAUGCCCUCGACGCACCUCCAGCUUCCGCAACCGCGCCGAUUCGCUGGCGUCCACCUUGGCAAUGCUGGGCGACCCGUUGGCGGCGGCGUUACCCGCACCCGCACCACCUCCUGCGCUCGCACCGCCUGCCGCCGCCGUAGCUGCCGCGUUUAGCUGUGCGGCGGUGGAGCUGCCGGAGCGCUGCAGCUGCUGCCGUAACGAGCGGUUCUCGGCCCUGACAGGAAAGGAAGGGGCGAAGGGCGAUGGCCAGGAAACUCGCUACAAAUCCUCCUGGGGUUCAGUUGAUAGCCCACAAGGCACCGGAGGCUGUCAGCGAAGCUUGCAUGAAAACUACCACGAACCUUGACUUGCUCAACCGAAUAGCCUUUGAUGUCCCUCGCACUCCGGCUCGCUCACCUCAUCACCUCCAGCUCAUUGGCCAGGCGCUUGAGCUGCUCGCCCGCAAUCGCGGCCUGAGCCGACCCGCCCAGGCCGCCUGGGCCCAGCAGCCCCAGCGCGCCCGCGCCCACGCCGCCCGCCCCACCCGCCGCGCCCGCACCCGCCACCCGGGGCGCCAGAUUAGCCACUGACGACUGGCGCGGCACGUGUCGCACAUGGUGGCGCAGAGGGCUCUGCAAGCGUUUCAGGCGCAUUAUGUAAUGGGCAAGUGAGCCUACCAGCAGCAAGGAAACAUUGGAGCUGUAAGGGCUCUCGAUCCACCUUUCCCAGCGAUCGUUUGGGAUCCCCGGCCUGAAUGCACUAUCCGUCCAGGAUGUCUCUGUCACUCACCCUCGCGCCCAAAGCGCCAGCGCGCAACGUGCCGCUUGCAGUGGGGCCGACGCCGGCGCCGCCGCGGCCCAUGCCGCCCUCCUCUGCGCCCUCGCCCAUGCCCUCUUCGCCGCCCUCGCCGCCGGCCUCGCCCUCGCCCUCCACCCCCAGGUCCUCGCCCUUGCCCGCCGCUAGCGCCUCGUCGCCGCCGGUGCCGUCGUCCGCCUGGUCGCCGCCGCCGCCGUCGUUGUCGUCCUCGCCGCUGGCCAGGCUACUCACCUGCACGGAGCCCAGGACCCCGGCAUAGGACAGCAGGUAAGAUUGGCACCCAAGCCCAGGAGGGAUGGAGCAAGGGCAAACUGCGAGGUACACAACAGCCAACGAGCCUCCAACCGGCAGCCAGCAUCGCUAUGUGGGGAUUUAACUUUGCCAAACUGCCACUUGAACACGAUUGCCGGUGUUACCCACCUGCGUUGCACCAUCACCACCACCGCCAUUCCCCAGUCCCGGUCCCGCGCGUCCAUCUCCCGCCUAUGGCGUCCAGGCGUGGUCAGUUUGGGGCGGGUGCGGCCAGGGCAGUGAGCAGCCAGCCAGGAGCGGAAGGAGAGGGCCUGUACAGACUCCGCUCACAGCCAGCAACCUGCCACCUGCCCACUGCCCCGAACCCCCACCCCAUCCACACCGCCCCUCCCGCCCGCCUCCACGCCAACCCUAGUCCAUGCCCACCACAUCAGCUACGGUAUGUGCACCAGACCCUGAUGAUGCCCCACCGCCUGCCCUGCUGACCCCGUAUCCAUCUCACCCUGGCACUACCCCUUCAUGACACGCACCUGGAAGCUGGCCCCAGGCAGAAUGCCGGCCGGGUGCGCCCCGGCGUUCAUGGCGCCCAAUGCGGCGCCCAGGUCUGGGUCCGCAGCUGCUAGCUUCAGGUUAUCGUCCGACUUCUCCUGUAGAGCGCGGGAGUUUGAUACUGAGGCAGCGGCAGGGGGCAUGACACGAGCCUUUGCACGCAAGCCAUGACACGAGCCGUGACGAUACAGGCCAUCCCCGAUUGCUAACUCAGUUGUGUUUGCGUGCUUGGUUAUCAUGCGUUCCAUGAGAUUGAGCAUCAAGUUUUCGGUCAAGGGGGUGGUGGUAGCCAUUCAUGCGAACGGUGGUAGGCUACGGGGGAAGACAGAUGCAGCUGACCGCUCCCGCCUGCGACACCGCCAGCUGAAAAGGCUCGCUGCUCAACUCCUGCUGCCUCAUGUUCGCCAUCCGUCGCCUCCCACAUCAGCACCCCACCACACCCUACUCUUACCCGUAGGCUCAUGGCUCCGCCCAUGAGCUUGGAGCCCAGGGGCGCCAUACCGCUGCUGCUGGCGGGCCGGCCAAGGAUGGAGCUGUUGCGCACGGGCUUGCGCCGCCGUUGCCGCAGAGAGUCGGAGCGCUGCAGCCCGCCGCCCGUGCUGCCGUCCGGCCCCAGCCCCGAAGCCAGGAAGGCGGCAGGGUCCCCACUGGCGAUCUCGUCCUGCUCCCGAAAGGCGUCCAGCGCGUUCUGGAGGCUGUCCACCUCGCCGCCGUAGGAAAGGUUGUUGAGUGACCAUAGUUUGCUCUUGUUGCGGUUAGGCGGCGGAUGCAGCCGCUGAGUGGCGCCGCCCGCCGCACCACCAACCCCGGCGCCGCCUGCCAUACCGCCGGCUGUAGUCCGCGGCUGGUCCACGUGUGCGGGACUGGUAACGGGCGGCUCGCCACCCAGACCGCCUGCCGCUGCCGCGCCGUCUGCGCCGCCUGCCAAAGAGCGGCCAUGUGUCAGAAUGAAGCAUGCUCUGGAGUCGCAGCCCAACCCCUUUGUGUGCCACACUUCCAUGUACGCUGCCCUCCUUCAUCAUUCCAUGCACCCGUUCCCCGCCCCUGCGGUUCCUGGCACGCACCUGUCGCCGCCAUCACCAGCGCGUCAAACAGUUGGCUGACCGAGGUGCCGGAACGUUUUGGGCUCUCGCGACCCACUGGCCCGCCGCCCAGCGCCGCAGCAGCCGGACCGCGGAAGCCGCCUGGCCCGAACAGCGGCGGCCCUGCACCGCCCGCGACAGCGGUCAUGUCGGCUGGCCCCAGGCCUGGCACGCCGGGUACGCCCGGCACACCCGGCACACCGGGAACGCCCGGCGGCACGCCAGGCACCCCUGGGAGGCCGGGCAACCCAGCUACGCCCAGCCCCGGAAGGGCCGCCAGCCCCAUGCCUGCUGCUGCCGCAUACGCGCCGUUGGCCCCCGCCGCCAGUGCACCCAUAGCCGCCGCCGCGUCGGGCGCGUGGUACUCAGACUGCAGCAUGCAUGACAGAGCGGAUCCAUGCAUAACGAAAUCAGGGGCCAUCUUUUGCUGUGUUGACUUGCAGCCUCCGAUCAUGCCUGACUUGGAAGGGUGCCUUGUCCCCGCCUUCUGCCACGGCUGCGCGGCCCGGCUUACCUUCAUGACUAUGGCCUGUCGGUCGCCGCCACUGAAUGUCUGUGCGGGGGGGCCACCCAUGUGCCCCAUGGCGGCCGCCGCCAUGUGCCCCGGGUGUACGGCGCCCACGCCGCCGGCACCGCCCGAGCCCAGCGGCCCCACGGCCCCGGUGCCCACCGCCGCGCUGCCGAGCGGCGGCCCGCCCUGGCACGUGCACACCUCCGUCCCCGCAGACACGAUGAUGGAGGAGUUGCCCUGCUGAGGCGGGAGACGGGGACACUUGGGGGAGCUAGAAGACCAAAGGCGCAGCAUAAGCUUUGAGAGCACGCCCCGCCCUUGUAAAGCCACAUGCCCUCCCUCAAUACAAACGCGCGCGCACACGCACGCACCUGUUUGGCGUCAAUGAUCUCCACGUCCACCAUGCAGGGGCACAGCCCCAGGAACUCCAGGUCGUACCGGAUGACGGUGAACAGGUAGUUGUCAUCGUUGCCGUAGCGGUUGCGGUCCAGGUUGGUGCUGUACUGCCCGCCUUCUCCGUCGGAUAGGUAGUGCUUCUUCAGCUCGUCAGGCACCCUGUGGCGGCGGGGCGCGGACUUACGCAGCCACUUCCGUGCGUAUGUGUGCUGUGCGUGCGGUUGCAUGUACGUGCGUGUGUAUGGUUUCAAAGCACAAGGAAAGGAUGUGUGAGUGUUUGCAACGGGAAAGCAAAUGCGCAUGCCGCCGGCAAUCAAUGAAAGUGCUUGACAGUACCACAUACGCACACACCUGUGUGUCCCCGAAGACAAUUCCACCACUUUAGUGCGUCGCGUAUUGCUCGAGAGAAUCUGUAGCGUGACAAAGAGAGCAGCGCAAACCGAAACCAAGUAGGACAAGAAGCUGCGCGGGGAACCCCACAUCCGGCACGCACACUGUCACAGCUCGCGAACCCCCAUUACACCCUGCCGGGUGCCUCCUCGCCACUGCUUGCACUCCCCGGCAACACCCCCCACCUGCAACACGUUGCGCUUGUUACCGCCAUGUCGUAGCUGCUCCGCGGUCUGCAUAAUUUGCAGAACCUGCGUAAUGAGGCACGUCAUCGCAGCCAGCUUAGUGAGCGUCGGUCAACCGAGUGGUAACGGCGCGGGUGACUACCGCCGCGCCUGGCUUCAUCACAACGACCUUCAACAACGUACCUGCAAGAAUGCAGCUGUGACACUCGCGCACGCGUCCGUCUCAACGGGCAUGUUUGCGUUCUUCAGCUUGUGAGGAUAGUGCGCCCAGCGGAAGUACGCCUUGUAACUGAGAGGGUCCAGGAAACAGGACAAUGUCAGGCACUUUAUAAGUGUCUGCUGCGCUGAGCGCCUCAUUGAGGCAACCGGCGUGGACCAAGACCCCGACACAUGCAAAAACGACUUGCACGCCCCACGCUUCUGUUGCAGCGCCAGCUACUCACAGCAGCUGGUUGUUGGUGGGUCGAGACCUCACAGCCUUUGGACUGGUCGCAAGACCGCCCGCGCCGGGCGGGGGUGAGUGCGCCGGGGUCGGUCGUUUGUUUGUCGGCCUCUCCUUUCCACCAAAAGCCGGCUUCUUGCGCGCAGGCGGCACGUAGUCCAUGUCAUCGUCAAACAUGUACUCCUCAUCAUUGUACGCGCCGUAAGCCUGGCGAAAUGCCCCGCCCGAGUUCGUCGCCAUCUCUGUUCCUUGACCCGGCACGUCAACGACGGCGCCCCUCCUGUCCUGUGCGCCGCCGCAAAGACUGGUUGAGUGCUUUUCUGCAGCAGCGCCAGCCAGCGGCCACGGCGCGCUCCUGGAAGUCGACCACCGCCGGGUUGUCUCUCGAGACCGAGACGCUUUUUCCUUGUAUCGAUCUAACGUCUUUACGUGCUGCAACGAUAUGCAUGCCCGCAGAGGGUCAUGGUAGGCGACCUAGAGCGUGCAAGCAGUGGGCGUUCAACUAGGAUUUCAGAACGAGUAGCCGCCUGAAGGGUCCAGUGGGCUUGGUUUUAAAUGCACAGCUAAAUGUGAAUAUGCAUUUCUGCCUUGAAAGGCUUACCAUGGCUGUCAAACAAAUGCCAUUGCAUGACACCCGCCCAGUUUUUCAUGUGCGAUGCUGCAGUGCUAGAACCACUCUUGCUUACAUUCAAUUGGCAUGUUUCUUCGGGGACUGCGCACACGGUGAGGCCAAGGCACGCCCACGCGUGCCACAACUGUCCCGCCGUGCCACUGACGUCAACGCCGCAGGACGCCGCUGGCCGCGUUCUUUCUUGUCAUACGGUUCACUAGCAAGCAAUUCGCUAAAAGGGGAGGCCGCGGAAGUGAGGCACGCCUCCCGCACAUUCCCCUUUGCAGUGAACCCCUCCCUCGAACGCAGGGCGCCGAUGCUAGCUCCGCCAAAGAUGCCGCACACGCUCGUUGAAAUGCUGAUGGGUAGCGCACCUCGGUCUACAGCACCUGGUUUGAGCCCCUGACCUGCUUGCUGGCGCAGCCGCUAGCGCCUGUGAUUGGACAACAGCACGGCCCCAGCCCAAGACCACCUCCUUGCUAUCACCAGGUCGUGCACCCGAAGCGAGAGAAUUGCACGUCAGGCAUUUCGAACGUAUCGGCACCGGAAACCCAGCGUUCGACCAGCCGCGCACUUACGCCUUGGCCCCCCUCCUGCACCUUGCCGUUGUUCCUCAGGUGAGAACGUUACAGGCCUGGGAAUACGCCACGCACACUAGACAUAGACCAAACAUAUUGUUGCCUCGAUUGUGAAGACGGCGAUGGCGAGAGCCUCGAAUGUUCCCGAUCGGCUGGACAGGUCCGCUGGCGAGGGUGACUUUACAGGCAGUCCUCUGCGCCUGGCCGUUCCAGGGGUCGACGUGCGCAUCACGCAAAGGAAGAGCGUGUCCAACAUUCACACGGCUGGCCCAUCGCAUGUGUCCAGUCACCCCUGGGUCCGGUCAAGGGAGACUGGGAGGGAAAACGCGCUUAGGCGCUGGCGUAAUAUAGCCGGCGUGCCGUGUGCUCAAGAAUCUCUGUGUAUGUAAUGUCAGCUAGAUCCAAUUGAAUUGCAGUGUUACUGUAGCAAUGGCGAGGAACAUGCAGAACCUGUGUCCUGAUGUGCCAAGCGCUGUCACCGCUGGCCUCGCUGAGGGCGUGUAUGGGGGUGGGUUGGAUUGAGUUCGGGGUUCAUAAGUCUUCAGGUGCUGGGACUGUCCCCUCUGUAACAUCCGCAUUCAUAAGUUACUGAUUUUAGGGCGAUGAUGGCGGGGCAUGUGCCAAAGGUUGAGCACAUCGGCCCCUGCAUGGCUGCGCCCACUGUUGGCGCCUUCGCCACUACACUGCCACCUCCGUAGGGGCACCGAAGACGUGGCUCAUGUGGUUGCCGGCGCACCCAUGCCGUAGUAAUCGGUCUGGCAAGUCAGCUCCGCCGGCUGCCAAAGCUGGUGCUUCUCCUAACCAGUACGCUUGCCGUAUCCAGGACAUGAGUCAUCUGGGUGCACAAAACCUGCUCACCGUGCCUGCUGGUGCCGUCCCUUCGCUGCACAUCAACGCGACAACCUUGCCAUCCCCGCGGUUUGCGUCGCCGCUUUCCAACGCCGCCACCGAAGUCCGCGCUGCUUUCCACAUACUCUCUCGUCUGAAGCCCAGCAACCCGCACCGCACCACACCACACCGCACUGCACCGCACCGCACCGCACCGCACCGCACCGCACCGCACCGCACCGCACCGCACCGCACCGCACCGCACCGCACCGCACCGUUGUCAAGAGUCGUCAAACCUGUGAAUCCGCUCCCGCUCAGUCGCUGUCGCACAGGUCAACGACCUCCACCAGGCCCCACUUCUUAAUGCUGAUGCUGCUCUUGUUCUUGCAGGCGCCGCACCGCGCGUCAACCUUUCCCCCGUCGCGCACCUCGACCGCCCUCGCGAUGUGGCUCCACUGCCCACAGUGGAAGAAGCGGCCUGUGAAGAAGCGCGGGUUGGUCUGCCGCAGGCCUUUGCGCCCCGCCAGGCCCUGGCCGCCUCCCCCCCCUGGCCGCCACUGUGGCAUCUACUGCCCCAUGCGCUAUGCUAAUUGGAUGGGCAAAAUCAUAUCAUCGGCGACCUUGUAGAUGCAUGGUGGGCUGGCUUGGACUACGCCAGCUUUAGUUGGGGGUUCCUGAAUUUUUGCACCAUUUCAAUGGACACGUUCGUGCCAUCCCUUGCCAUCCGUGACCAGCCCUUGCGCGCACAACGUGGACAAACCAGCUGAUACGUGUGUGUCAGAUGCUGCUUACCACGCUGAGCCGCAACGUAAAAACGGGGAGGGGGGUUCGUUGCGGCCGAAACGUGGCGCUGGCAUUUGCUGGCCUCGCUCGCUGGCCAUUGGGGCGGAAAACCCUAGACCUAGAUUCUGCGGACGCGAGGUAAGCUGGCGAUAGCUACCGAUAGCUAUAAACCAAUGCACGUGUUCAUGCUGCAUCCAUUCCUCACUCGAGCGCUCAGUCGUGAAUCUUAUUGCAAACUCGAGUCCUGCGCUCGGCCUGUUUGUGUCAGUUAAGGGCUGAACGCGAUUCCGGUCGCGGGAGCCUUUUCGUCCAUGCGGUAUUUGUAGAAUGACACCUUGGGUAUUGUAAGCUACCUACAGGGAAUUUCUGUGUACCCGAUCGGCAAUCGAUCAUACCAAAGUAACCUGAGAGGUCAUCGUAAGUCGCCGGCAACACCAAACAAACAACUCCCAAACUACAUCUAUUCUACCUAGCUGAUCCUCUAUCAUAGGGCUGCACGUCUACGAAACCACAGCCCGACCGACCAGAACUUUUAGCUUUUUGGCCCUGGCUGCCUGGCUAGAGCUACGAUUUUAUGCUUUGGGCGACCAAUACGUAGCUGCCACAUUGCUGAGACUACAAGCGGUCACAGAGCGCUAGUCUCCGCCAACCGUCGUCCCAAGGCAGGUUUGGCCCAGGCAGAAAGUCCGUCCCAGUUGACCGACACUGCUAGACACUCAAAAUUGCAUUCUCAUUUGUGCGAGUUCAUAAACGCUGCACACAACUAGUGACUGGGACUUACUCGGCGCCUACCUGACGCCCUGCGCGCCCUAGAGUUCAGAGAGCCGGCAGAAGGACGGCAGCUGGAGCACCAGCUGGCAAGUCGCUUUCUGGAGGCUGAAGAAGACCAUCGACACUUGGUGGACUGCAUACUGCUUGUCACCAGCUUGUUGUCGUCGGGCACAGUUAGGAGGCAGGCUUCAUGGACGGCUGACCGCAUAAACGUGCUAUAAGGCAGCGUCUGCUUUACUUUGGCACGAACGGCUGAAAAAUCAGGAGGUCCAGGAAUUCCAGUACUCCGCGUCAAGCAAAACAGAUGACAACAAUCGGUGCCACUGGUGGCGUUUUUGUGUUCGCGAGUGAUGGACGGCUUAGAAGUGUCACUAAAGGAGCAUCUUGCAACGCUAACUCCCAGCGCGAAGGCGCAAACCAGAGCCCCGUCUCGGCGCACUGGAUUUGCGCGCCGAGUUCACAGUCCGCAGAGGCCGCGGCCCCCAGCGCCGGUGACAAUCAGACGGCUGACGCGCAGCUGACCGCGCUGGAGGGCGCUAACCCGCCAGGCCGCCAACAAGAUCAGAACCACCAGCUGCCGGUACAAGACGUUGGUCGCCACCACGUGGGCGGUAAAGCGGAGGCCGCACUAUGCACUGCCGCCACAUCAGGGCCCGCGCCAGCACCGCCACUCUCGCCGUCGGGCCAGGAUGCGUGGGGCUGUCAUGUCCCGGCGGGCGCCGCAGUCGGCAGCCAGCCGGAGAUAUCUGCGGGCGGGGGUGGCGCAGGAGCGGCGGCACAGGGCUCAGGUGGCCGGCUGCUGCCUGCGCCAGCCGCGACCUUGUCACCCUGUCAGGUGCCACCUCAGCCACACGCGGGCUUGCAGCAGCAACGGCAUUCGCAAUCCUCCUCGUCAUCCUUGGAGCACCGUGACCACCCAUGGCAACAGGCGCUGCCGCAACACCAUGGCCAGCUGCUGCCGGGUCAGCACCAGCACCAGCAGGGGGCGAUGGGUGCCCUCGAACCAGUGGGCUGCAGCGGCAUGCACUGGAAUGGAUCCGGGUCCGGGUCCGCCCACGUCCCUGAUGCCGGCCAUUUCACAGCCGCAGGUGGCCCGGCGCCGGGGCAGCAGCUGGCGCUGGCGCCGGGUUCUGAGGCAGCGGCCGGGCAGGGCGCAGCGGCCGCGCCUGGCUCGGCCCAUCCGCCCUACCCCUUCCCGCACGUGCCGCCGCCGUAUCCAUACGGGCGGGGUGGGCCGCUGUGGGGGCCCGGGGGCUACCCCUACCCACACCACCACGGCUACGUGCGAGGUGGAGUGGCUGCAGCCACAGCGGGGCGGCCCUUCCCGGCAGGGCACCUGUCGUCGCCAUACCACCACCUGCAAGGCCAGCACCCGCACACGCGCAGCGCCUGGCACCACCACCCCUACGGUCACUCGGCGUACGGACACCCGCACGCCAGGCUCAUGGCCCACCAGUACCACCACCACCAUCAGCAUCAGCAACAGCAGCAACAGCAACAGCAGCAACAGCCCUCCCCUGAUGCAGGGCGCGGACCUGCGGAGGAGCAGCAGUCUCGGGGCGGCAACGGCAGUGGAGGCGCUGGCAGUCUGGGUGGCGUGGGUGGUGCCAGUAACAGCGGUGCCGCUGUGGGCGCUGGUGGCGGCGGUCGUUUCACACCGGCUGCGGGCGGAACCUUCCGCAGCUGGGCGGCGGGUCAGCACCCGCAGCAGCAGCAGGCCGCUUGGAGUGCGGGCAGCGGUGCCCAGCCGUCGCUGCAGGAGCGGGGUCAGGGUCAGGGGCUGGGGCUGGGGCAAGCCCAAGAUAGCGCAGCCGCAGGCUUGCCGCUACACCAGCAACACCCAGGGCUCCACGGCGCCCAGCAGCAGCAGGAGCACCUGCACCAGCAGUCCUCGCAGCGGCAGCACCUUGGGUGCGGGGGGCCGCUUCGUACCGCCGGCGGCUUCCAGCCACAACGCCUCAGCUACCCGUGGCCGCCGCCAGCUGCCGCUCGCCCCGACAUGCCCCGCCCCUACCCCGCACACUUGCACCAGCCCCAGCUGGCCAGUGGGGACGAGGGUCGCGGUGUCAGCACUAGCAGCUGGGGCAUCGGAAGCGGCGGCAGUGGCGGUGAGGGUGGUGCGGCGGUGGCUGGGCCGGCCGGCGCCGCGGCCGCGCUGGCCAUGAGCAGUGGUGCUCGCCGCGGCAGUGGCGGUGGAGGGGGCGGCGUGUGGGACGGCGGCAUGGCUGCCAGUGCCAGCCCAGCCUCAUACGCCUCGGGGCCGGUCGUCGCCGCCCCAAGUGCGGUGGCGCCACCGCAGGUCCCUCCUGGCGAGGGCGGGGGCAUGGGGGUCGGGGCGACGGCGCCGGUGCCUCUGCCGCGGGAGCUAUGUGUCAAUGAGGUGACCUGGCCUGCCUGCGUAUCCGCCGCAGCCGCCCAUGCUGGCGCAGGCAUCUUCCGCCGCCACUCGUCUUUCGGCUCGCUGGGUCCGCUCCCUGCCGCUGGCGCCUCCACAUCACCGCCCUACAGCAGCGCCGGCGGGGGCGCCGGCGGCCAGUACCACCAGCCGCCGGCGCAGCAGCAGCAGCAUCCUGCAGUGACGCCACCGCCUCGAGCGUCAGGUGGCGGUUGGGAUCUGUCCUCGCUGCCUCCACCGCAACCAUCCGGCGAAACCUACAGCAGCAGCAGCCACGGCAGCCACAUGCGCGCUGCCUCGUGGUGCGGCUCUCCCCCACCCGCCGUCGCAGCAACAGCGGGUGCCGGCCCUCAAGGCCCCACGCAGCCGCAGCUAGGCCUACAGGUGCAGCACUCGCACCAACCGCUGCCCAGCGCAUUCUCGUCUGGCUCCGCCGCGCCCGCUUCCGCUGGCUUUACAGCCGGCGCCGGCGGUAAUAGCCACAACAGCGCCACCAUGGCCUCCCAACACGGCCUGCCUGCCGGUGCCCCGGGUUGCGCUACUGGGCCCUUGGCCAUGGAGAUUCAGGGCGGCGGGGCUGGCGACGCGGCGGGGCUGUCACGGCGGAUGAGCUCCUACAGCGGCCUACACGCCUCGCCCUGCUUCAGGAGCAGCGCGAGCGGCACGCCCUCAGAGCCCCAGGCGCCCGGCAGCGCUCCGCAGCAGUCCGCCGGAGCAGCGGCAGCAGCCGCGCCCCAGCCUGGCGCCGGCUGCGGCUAUGCGCACGUUUCCGGGCUGCCGGCGCCGCGCUCUGACCGCAUCUUAAACGAGACCUACAGCGCUGGCGCCAGUGCUGCUACCGGUGCAGGCUACAGUGACUGCGCCGUUCCGUUCCGCGCCUACAGCAGCUCGGGCUUAAACCUACACGCGCUGCCGCCGCUGCUGCAGUCGGCCAUGCCGGCCGCGACAGGCAUGGCGGUAACGACGGCUGCCCCGGAGGAGGCGGCGUCGCCCUUCCGCUUCUCGAACAGCCCGCCGCAGACCUUCGAGGACAUCAAGUUGCGCCUGGCGCAGCAGGAGGCGGCAGCCGCGGCUGCCGCAGUGGAUCCUGCGCUGCCGGUCCCGCCAGUCCAGCUGGUAACGCCGCCGGCCGCACCACAGCCGAACCCGGAGCUGCAGCCGUCGCCGUCGAAGCGGUUGAAGGGCCCCUCCGAGCAGGGCGCGGCCGCGGCAUCGGCCCGCAAGGCUGCCAAGGUGAAGAAGCAGGAGGAGGCCGGCGCGGCGGAUGCAGCGGCGCAGGGGCAGCAGCCAAAGGAUGCGGCGGCGGGCGGCGCUACCAAAGGAUCAGCCGGCCGCACUGCCAGUCGCGGUGGUGGAGGCGGCGGCUGCCGUGCUAGUGCGCUGCCUGCACCAGUGCUGGUGCGCGUCACGUCCAAGCGACGCACCCGCAACAACAACAAAAACAAGUCAGUAGGCGGUAAUUGUCAAAUAUGACGCGUGUAAUGCAAUGCUGUUGUUGUUGUAGCAGCCAGCAUUCUGCAAACCAGUUGGCAUCCGGUCACACCCUGUCGCGCUUGCACUGACUCCAUCGCUGACCCGCCAGGUUUGCCUCCGGCGGCUCCGAUGGCUCACACCAGCCUGCCGCGCCGCCGCCGCCCCGCCGCCGCCGCUCCUCCAGCGGGCUCGCCGCCGGCGAGGAUGGACUGGUGCCAUACCGCGAGGUGUACGGCACCUUUCACCCGGGGCCCUACCUGAGAAACAAGGAGUGCAUCGAGCACGACGGCCGCAUGAUCACCCGUGGCCAGUGAGUGCGGCCUGACGUUGAGGUUUGGGGGUGGUAAGGUCACUUUGCGUUUGGCGCCCCUGUCCUUGGUCCCUCAUUAUGCGCGAACUGCCGGCAUCGCAGGCGAUCGUUAGUAAUUUGUUGCAUUGACUGAUAAACCCGCCCGGUAUGUCACCUGCUAUUGUCCAGCUUUGAGCGCCUCGGCGGCACCGCCACCGCCAAAUGGCACGUCAGCAUCAAGGUGAGCACCCCCACUGGCACCCGCACCGGUACCGGCAGCCCUGCAACCUGACGUGCCUGCGCGAAGGACCUUGCGGCUUGCGGCCUAGCCCGUUGGCCACGGCUCUUUGCUCACUUCGCACCCACCACACCACCACUCCUAACCGCCCGGCCUUGCAGUAAGCUUCAUUGAGCCUAACCUCCCCCACCUGCCCUUGCCAACCUUCCCCUGCCUCGUCCUCCUGCCCCUGCAUGCAGGUGAUGCCGCAGAACCUGGCGCUGGGCAAGUGGCUGGCGUCACACGGCCUACCCGUGCUCACGGUGAGGCAGGAGGUUAGGGGACUCGCGCCCCUGGCGUCAGCCCGUGUACAGCACCCAGCCGCCCACCGCUGCACAUAGCUGCUGCUCGGCCGCUCCCUGUGCUGUCGGCUCCCCGUGAACCUGAUUCGCUUGGGGUUCCAAACCGGCCGCCCCCACUGUACAAAAUCCUAUUGUCCGCUUGCACCACUCGAGCAUUUGCGCUGACGGUUAUAACACGCUAUGCAUCCCCGUGCGCACAGGGCAAGCCGCGCAAGCCGCGCAGCAACGAGGUCGGAGAUAGCGGCGGCAGCGGGCAGCCGCGGCGGCGCUCCGGUCGCGGCCGCAGCGCUGAUCGGGGCGGCGACAGCGACAGCGACCUGGACAGUGAGGUGGAGGAGGAGAUGCUGGAGGAGCUGGAGGGGGCGGACGGGGAGGAGCAGGACGUGGGCUCCGAGGAAGAGGAUGAGGGCACGGAGGAGCGCGAGGAGGAGGGCGAUGACGAGCAGGCGGAGGAGCGGAGGCAGCGGCGGCGCCGUGUGCCCAUUGUGCGGCAACGGAGUAGCUACGGCGGCAGCCAGGCGGAGGAGGCGGUCGGCACAGGCGCUACCGAGUCAUCCUGCCCGCAUCCCAGCGAGCAGGGUGGCGGCAACCGCUGGGCGGGCCUCAGCCUCGGUCUCGGCAGCCCCGGACCCGCCGCUCCUGGUUCACUGCAGCCGCCGCUGCAGUCCCUGCACGCGCCCGCCGCCGAGGGUGCGCUGCAGCCCGUAGCUGCACCCUUGCCCGUAGGCCCGCCGCCGCUGCGCAUUGACGGCGGCGGUCAGGGCAGUGGGCUGCGGCCUGUGGUGACCUUGCCGCCGCCCCAGCAGCACGGGUACCCCGGUGGCGACAGCAGCGGCUUGCAUCAGCGGCACUACCCUGCAUGCGACUUCCCUGGCUUCACCACACCGGGCCAGCACCAGCAGCAGGUUGGGCACGGGCAGUACCCGUUCGGCCAAAUGGCUGACGAAGACGUGUAUGGCAGGCUGUACGGCGAGUUCCGUACUACCUCACUGGAGGAGUCUGCCGUACACCUGCUGCUGGACGGUGCUGGCGGCGUUGGCAUGGGCGGCGGCGGCUGCGGUGGCGGCGACGAUGACUCGCUGCUGCUGCUGCUGCCACUAUUGGGCGGCGCCGCGGGCAACGACGCAGCUGCGGCAAGGGGCGGUGUUGCUGCCGCCGCUGCUGCUGCUGCUGACCGCGCCAGCUCCACCUCUCCGGCCCCACUGCAACCGUGUCCCUCGAGCAAGCUGGUAGGUCGACGUAUGGCUCAUGCGAUGACGCUAGCUCUCGGUUGCGCGCAAUGCAUGGAUUGCACGCUCUUGAUACAGUAUACUUCAGCGCAUAAGCGCGUUUUCCGCUCCCAGUCUCUCUUAACCGGGCGCGUAAGAUGGGCCAGUCUGAAUGUUGAAAAUGCUCCUCCCUUGCGCGUGUGCCCUCCUUAACGCCCCUUCUCCCCUGCCCCGCCUCAUCCACUGCAGAAUGUGCCCAAGCAUCUGCCGCCUUCGAGCUGCCCCACCGCCGCAGGUAGCGCACCCGCCUCUUCCUCCUCCAGCGGCAGCAGCGGUCUGCACAUUGAGAUGCCCGCGACGUCGGCAGUAGCCAACAAGGCGGCAGCGGCAGGCGCGCCGCCGCCACCUCGGCAGGCGCAGCAGCCUGAGCAGGCUCAGCAGCAGCUGAGUGACGCUCUCAUGAACAGCUUUUUCCCAUAUUAGUAAAGUGCGCUAGGAGAUCGGAUGGUGUGAUUUACACGGGGGCCUAUUGGGCCUACAUUUGGGCACCGCUUUGUAUGCAAGGCGUGUGUGCGCAUGUGCCGCCCAUUGGCGCAUUUGGCUGGUCAUGCGGUACACUGUGUCAGGAGGAGGCAAUGCUGGUCAGCCUCGUUAUCUGAUCAAAUGGCCUGUUGCUACAGGGAGAGAUCCAAUUUGGCAAUUUAACAAAGGCAUGACUCGCCACGUUAAUGUUACAUAUGAGCGAGGCAGAGAGAAACACGAACGCACAACACAUGGCACAUGGCACUGUAGUGAGGGCGCUGGAGUAGGUAGUUGUGUGCAGGUGCUGGCGCUGGUGCCUAGCCGCACAUGCGGCGGCUCCGGUAACAGCACUGCACACCGCGUGGCGGACCUCUCAGCCGCGUUUGGCGUAGCGACAAUUAAUGGAAAUGUGCAGGUUGCGUUGAGGGCCGCAAGGCGCGAUUGCUGUGUGUAUCUUGAAAAUGCAUGUCCGCAGCCCGCGAUGGGCGGAUGUGCCGGCUGACGUGCACUGCUGGACAACAGGCGGCAGCUGUUGUCUGCGUGCCGCUAUGUCAUCACUGCGACUAUCUUUCACCGCUGCCCCUUUGCACUACCCCAUUCAUCACUCCAUCAGGUGUGCAGGCAGGCUAGAUAGGCGGUCUGGGAACGUCUGAAAGGCCGCCACGAGUGGGUGUUCGUGUAUUACAACGGCUCAUGGCCCGUGGAUUAUGUUUGGCUAGCUUGCACCGCUAGGUACGGCUGGGUACGCUUCUUGCCCAUCACGCGUACGAGUAUAUAGCAUUGUCAAUCAAAUACACGACGUGACACGGUAGCACAGUGUAUGUCCCUAGGCUGACAACGCUCCGCACAGCCAGACCGGCGCUGGUCGGCGGAUAGGGAUUCCGGGGGACCAAGGCUCUAUUUGGUAGUUUGCUGAGAAUGCAGGCGUUCGGAAGCAAUGCUCAAUAAUUUGUGGCAAUAUGACGAAGAUGCGACGUAACUGUGGGGGUGAAGUGCGCCGAUGUUACGUCCCGUGCCAUGAUGCACGCGUGUUCAUGUGUGUGUGCACGUCUGAAGGCCUUCUAAUUGUGUGUGGCCUCGCCAUCAGCAUCACCGUAGACCUUGAACCUCCUUUGUCUGCCCGCCACACAAUCAUUGCCCCCGCUCCAACCUCCAUGCUUAACCUCAACAUGUUGACGUCUCCUGUAGGCCGUAUGCGCAGUUGUGCCUUGAUGCGGUGUUCUGCAAAGUGGGGCAGUGGGGAGUGGGUGUGCCCGGGACAUAGCCUAAUUAUGUGGGCAAAAGGAUCAUCUGCCGCGUAAUCGCGUUAGGACCUGCAUGCGAGAUUCACGCGCAGUUCCUGAAGACCUGUGGGCUUCGCUACCGCACGUAUUCUGUCUGUCCUGUGAACAGUCUACUGGCGAGCUAGGUGGGUCCAGCGGCAGCUAUCUUGCCGCUGGCGUGCAAAGCCGUUGGCCUUCAAGGAUGGGAAGCGUGUGAAUGGGAUGUGUGCGAGCAUGUAUGUGUAUAGCGGUAGCUUGGUUGCUACCAUAGUACUGGUCGCAUUCAGCCAGUCGAAGCAGUCACUUCACGGAGUGAACGGUACAUCAUUGACGAGUGUUGCGGAACUAAUGCGUACGUAGACCAGAGCGGAAGGCGGAGUGGGCUUGCAGGCGGCACGAGAGUAGGCAGUCAGUAGCGCAAGUCUCAUCAUCUGGCCGGGAGGAAGGGAAAUGGUCAGUGCCACCGCCGUCCAGUCAUGAAGUGAGGAGCUGCCAGACCUGCGGCUUGUUCAGUGCUAGCUCUCUUACACCGUUCCGGUUGUUUCCUGUGCUAGGCGUAGACCUAACACAUUGUUGCUUCGUGUGGGAUGCGGCGAGUGCAAGAGAUGCCCCUGGUCGCCCGCUGGCGAGGGUGGGAGUGCGAGUGUGAAUCCAUCACAGAUGCGCCCCUCAGGACCAGCCGGCGUCAGCUUCACUGCCUUCCAGCGUUGCUAGGACUGGGACACACCGCUGUUUGGACCGUGCGCUGCAACGCGCCGCAAGCCAGCCGGCGAGCACGGAUGGGCAGCAAUGCGCAACUAUAUCGAACCCAACUACAUCGAAUCCAAUGCAAAAGAGUGAGGAGGAGACGGGUGUGUACACAUAGGCCUACUGCUCUUUAAGUGGCACAUGACACGGUGAGACUCCCGGGAGUGGGCACAGAAUUGUUCUCUCCAAUUGGGCUUACAGUGCCCUCCAUGUGUGCGGCAUGCCCCAGCGGUAUUAGGGCCAUCCGUGGCUCUCGCCAUCGCCGUGUCCCCACACGCCGAAGCAAUGUGUUGAGUGUGCGCUAGUACAGACGAACCAUUCAGGAGGGUGUAAGAGGAUCAACCUAUCUAGCUCCUCACAUCACGGACCUAGGCCGGACGGCUUGGGAGGACAGGCUCAACCUGCCCUCCGGACUCCACCACCUACAUACAGUACGGCACACACGCACCCGCCAUCGCUAAUCCAGCCACCGCCAUGAUUGCUGCCGCCCCGCUUGGGCGGCCUGCUCAACGCAGCUGGCCAUGGCGUGCCGUCCUCCACGCACGCGGUGAUGAGGCGGAUGUUUGCCGCAGCGUUCAGGUCGCGGUUCCUGUUUCACAGGGAACAACGACAGGGACACGGAUGCUACGUUGGCCGUGUUAUCCUCAAACCCCUGCCCGCCCAAACCUGCCCCUGCCCCGCCCAAACCUGCACCUGCCCCUGCCCAAACCUGCACCUGCACCUGCUCUUGCCCAAACUUAACAGCCUCCCGGCGUGGGAAGCAUGGGCACUGCUGGGCAUGACCGCCCCGUGACCGCCCCGUGACCGCCCCGUGGACCGGCCAUAGCGCAGUCCUUGAAGUCGCUGUCGUCGUCGGCGCCGUCCAUGCCCUUGGCUGCCGCCUCCUUCGCCGCCUCCUUCUUCGCCCGGCACCGCUGCUGGGCGGCAUACUUGGCUGCGCGACGUGCCGCAGCGGCAGCCUCAUCCAGCUCAGGCGCCUCCGCCCGCGACUCCCGGAGCGCCACCGCCCUAGCUGACAUGCUAAGCUGGGCCACAGGUUUCUUGGACGACCCUGCAAGGCACACAUACCUAUGUUAACGCUGCUGCCUCUUGUGCGCCCCCCCUCCACACGUGCCCCACCUGCCGCGGACUUCUCGCCGCGCGUGGCCUCAAUAUGCUCUCGACGGGCCUGAAUACUGCGGUACCGUCGCGGUCGCCCCAGUCCCGUAAGGGGGUAGGCGUGGGACCAUCGUCCGUUUACCGAUUCGCAGUCAGUCCUCCCUGAUGCUGCGGGGCUCACCCGGGGGGUGGGUUGUAAAUACCAGCCCAAACUAAACCAAACCAAGCUACAACGAGCGGAGCACAGGUAGAGGCGUUAGUUGCAGGUGAUAUUACUUAUGGGAUUGGGGCCGAGGCGUGUGGAGCAGCGGGGCGACCGGCGCCAGCGAUAGAUGUCGCCGCCCAGGCUCGGUGGCACGCACAACAGCACAGGACAGGCACGCGGAGACAACAAAACCCACGACCGCCCGGGCUUGGUGGCGUGCGCACACGGGUCAAGAUCUUACCCCAUGCUCGAAACUGCAGAGCUUCAGAACAGCAUUACGCACGUACUUUUAGUUGUGGUCUGAUGAGGAAGUUCUGGGGAAGGUCUGAUGAGGAAGUUCUGGGGACGACCGACUCCCCCCCGGAUAAAACCUUGUUAUUGAGGGGUUAAACCCCUCCAUCUAAUACCAAAGUCGUGCCAAUCGACUCCUCUUGACGAGCGCUAUCGCGCUGUGCCAUCAGCGGUCCUGUUCUGCGACUUCGGUCACAGGCGUGAUUCUAUCCUUGGAGAUCCCCUCGACCCAGCCAGACCCAGCCCACCCCGCGCUCAACUCUCUGCCAUUUGAUGUAUGAAUAGCGUGCAUCGGCAACCUUGUUAAACACGAAUUCAUGCGCACCAGCGCUUGAGAGCACCGCCACGUCAGUGCGCUUGCGUCGAAUGUGGGGACAUUUGCCGACCUGUCCACGCCAGGACGCGCAAGUUGGCCCUCCCACGCUUUGUUUGUGCUUUUUUACGGCAUAAUGUGCAUACUUGAGACUUAUGGUGCUGCGUUUGGCGCCUAAUCCUGCUUGUGGGAUGCUUCCCGAAAUCCGCCAGGUUGGGCUCCCGAAACCCGGCGGCCCUGCAAAAACGCCCACGCGCCCCGUGCGCACAGCCGCGCGACCACCUUGCUUGCCCCUUCCUUGAGCAGGCGCGAUUGCCCCCCAACACCGUGCAUUUUGUCGCGCGCAUACCUGUAAAAUUACGGCCCAACAACCCUACUGAAAAGAUGAGCCCGCUGCAAAGAUGAGCCCGCCCCAGCUUUUGAGAUUGGAUCCCCUGUUUACCCAGGACGACGAUCGACCCCCCAACUUUGGCGAUUCCCUCAAGGGGGGUCCCGGGGUGUUUCGGGGCAGGGGGGGUUUCCUACCCCCUCGCCCCCCCCGGAACUGCCAGACGCAGAGGACUACCCGGUAAAGCCAGUUAGCCAUCCUCGCCCGCGGACCUGUCCAGUCGAUCGGGAACAUGCAAGGCUCUCGCCAUCGCCGUCUAGUCCUGUGCCGAAAGGUCUGCAAUGCCUUACCCGCUCUGAGUGCCCGACCUGGGAUAGCAGUCAUAGCACCGGCGGUGCGGGAUGUCCAACUGGGCCUGAAGGUCUCGCAACCGACCCUGCUGCUGCUGUUGGCAAAACGACAGCUCAAAUGAGGACAUGAGCUUGUCUGCACGUGCGCCCAGCCAGCAACUGCAUUGGAGACUUCCGUGCUCAAUUAUGUUACAUCCCCCGCGGACAGUGUAUGGACGACUGGGGGUACCCGCCCCUCAGGCUACCCUGCUCAACUUCCUCAGGCCUACUCAGGCCAACUUUGCCUCUCCCUGCAAUUGCUCUGCUCUGCAGCAUUACGGUGCAGCCGCCAGGUAAUGUCGGGCUAUGGAGCUCCAAACCGCCGGGCACACAGGCCCAUCACACGCACACCGCGUGUUCGCCUGUCCGUUCCCAAUCCACAGUACACUGUACGAACAAACAGCCAUCGUCGUAUCACAACGUCAAUGCCGAUACAAUCCACGCCUAUUUCCAGUUGCGCUGCUGAUUUCUAGCCCUCCUGCAUCCAGCACGCGCCCUGCCAUCUGUACGUCCCAUCAUCUCGCUCGCUCGCUGGCCACUCGUAUUUUGCCGCUCUAACCUAGUUCUACAGCUGGUAUCAAAACGUUAGAAUAAAAUGCUGUGGUACAACACAAUCGUCGGGCGUUGCCGCUGAGCCCAGCCUUUACUGCACCAGUGCUUUUUGUCACUCUCUAUACGGCACGCAGCACAUAACAUACUUGUACACAUACACACGCACACCACAACACACCACGACGUGGAUUAACUUGCACGAUGACGUUGUCAAUGCUGUAUUCGUCAACCAUGCUUGCAGCAGCAUGCCCACAGUCGACAGGGUAAGGGGCAGCAGUGGCCCUUACCAUACCUGCCUGCAUGCAUCAUCCCCGCCAGAGCUCCCCGACCGUGUUGGUUGGCGCCGCAAUUUAUUACCGCCGCAUGGCCUCUUCGCAUCCUAUCUCCAUCAUGCCUACUGCCUGCCAGCGUCGAUCUGCUUGACAGCGGCGCACAGGCGCCCCUUGAGCAGCGCACGUGCGUGUGCCGCCAUGCUCGCAGCGUCGCACAACCAUAAUGCAGCCCAUGCAUGUGUCCAUCAGCAGGCGGCGGUGCUCUCCAACAGACUUCAACCAUACCCUUAACCGAAUUGAGGUAAAAAGUAGCUAGGCUCCUCCACCAGACCAGACAGUUGAAGCACCUCGCCCUGUCACCCAACCUCGGAUGCAGAUGCACGCCGUAUGCAGGACUGCGGUGUCUGAGGCGACGCAAGCCCAGUAGGGCUUCCGUUACCACCGGAUUUCCCCCUGCCUGUCAGCCAAUUAAUGUUCGCGCCGCUUACGAAAUCACCAGUCCGGCGGUCGUUGGGUGCGUCCCUUUCGCUUUGCAGGCCUAGCCCCAGCACCAGAAACACCCUGCAAGUCACGCCGUUCCUCCUGAACUAACUGCCCUCCCUCUACGCAGCGCUGGUACCACAAUUGUUGGACAAGCGCCGGGACAGGCAGCAGUGGGCGCAACGUUGGCGGUGGGCGGCGGUGGCGUCAUCACCAGGGCGCCGCAUAGGCGCCCGGGGCGGGGGGCGCGCGCAUGCUUAGCACAGAGUGGGUUCUGCACUCGUGCCGCAAGCCGCAACCCCUUCCAGCCACAGCCACCACUGGCCCCACGUACGUGUCUAUGCCUCCGUCAAUCACUUCAGCCGCUGGCGCAGCUGAGCCACGCCCGCUCCGAGCUUGCAUCGUACGGCGUCCCGGGUCCGCGUCAAUUCGUGUCGACGCACACAGAACAAAACUACCGAACCACGUGCUUAGUGAUCUCUCGGCCAAUCAACAGAAACGACAAUGAAGGGGAACUACUCAGAUGAAGCCCCGCUCACCCACACUCAAUGGCUCUCUUCUCAGAACGGCCACACGGGCGCCGGGGAGCUCAAAAGCCGGGCCCCGGCUGGGCCGGGCGGCUGUUCUGCUGAGGUUUCGUCUCGGACGCAGACGAGGUGGUCGCAUUGGUGUUGACGUUUUUAACGGAGUCGUUGCCGGUGCUCAUCGCCCCAACCUGCGGCGUGAGGGAAGUGGCAAAGAACGCGUUGCAAAUGGGCUGACUCCUCGACCUCUCGGAGCCGUCAACCAGCCGGGAGGCGGCUCGGAACGGCCCUAACAGCUUAAAACCUCCCAACCACGACUGUAGUAUACUGGGUGGCAGCUAGAUCAGCGCCCGAGGGCUGGGAUCCGAACGAGCAGCCGAGUCUAAUACUUACGCGCUGCAUGCGGCUGAAGUAGGCGGCACACUGUUGACGCAUUUCCUCAAUUUGUACCGCAUACACAAAGCGCGCGUGCGCCUCGCGCUGCUGCUUCAGCCAUGACUCCCUGUGGUCGCGGAAGUAAAAUUAGCGCGUAAAUGCGUUUAGCGCUGGGCCCGCCGCAUCCUCGCGAGUGCCUGCGCCAGCCUGCGCCCCUCGUUUACAAGCUAUGAAGUGCUACUCACGAGGUCGGCGGAAUGGGGAUGGAGCCAUCCUCCUCGGUUUCCUCAUCGCCAGCCUCCGCACAGUCGCCCUCCUCCAUAUCGUCGUCGGAAUCGUCUGAAUACGCGUCCGAAGCGUCCAUAUAAGCAACGGGCAUUUGAGAGGAACCAUCCUUUAGCAGGCGGCUGAGGAGCGAGGGCGCGCUAGGCGAUGCCGUCGUGGCCUGCCGUGUGGGCUGCGCGGCCUCAGCGGCGCUGGACUCAAAACCGAACACCCUAGCGGGCAUGUGGAAGCAGGUUUCGCCCAUUGUUCAGGGUCGCCUGAGAGCAGUCGGCAGCUUGUACUGUUUGGGCCUAAGAGCGCGAGGGCUGACGGCGAUUGCUCUGCGAGUGUGCAGGUGUCAAUGCCCAAAUUGCCCGCGCGCUCUGAAUAGCGCGCUCUGACGACAACGGUACGCUUGCCUCUCUGCUAUACCAGGCCGCACGCCCCAUGGAGCCGCCCCCCAUUGCCCGGUCCUUUGACCCGCGCUCCAGCGGCCUCAUCGCAUUGUGGUGAUGAAUAAGAUCAGCUUCAUUAUGCGUCCAUCAGGCACUGCAGAGGUGCUGGUCCGGGUGCUGGUCAGGAAUUGAUCUGGCUCUGUCGACCACUCCCGUAAACUCGCUUCUGCGCUGGAAACAUGACGAUGUGCUCGCAUUCGGUUGAAAAGCCUGGAAGAGCCUCGGACAGCGAAAGGGCGGGCCCCACCCUUUUGGGCGCAGCUCGCUGUCCUCCUCGCCUCUUCACCGUUGCGCUGGGGCAGUUGGAGCCUGAGCUUCAUGCACCCAUCCCAACCUGUCCAAAUUUACAUUUGGGUACUGCGGUACUGGCUGGACCGGGUGACUCGGGGGGGACUGACCAGCAAAGCACAGGGUCUCGAGGGCAAAGGCCUGAAGCCUGAAGGAGGCGUACCAUGACACAUCCGCCCCAUUUGUCCAAACUCGAUUGGCAAAUACUAUCUGGGGCGGGGGGUCUUACCGCGCGUGUCCCUACAGCCACCUUAUCUGACACUUGCGGCCGCCGCUGGUGCUGGCGGUGUGGGGGCGCGCCCUCGGCCCCCAGCACCGUUAUCCCGGCUCCAGCCGGGACGCACCCAGCGCCCCACGGGCUGCUGUUCAACACACCCGGUCUACUUAAACAACCAACCGGGAGCCACCUGCGGUGCAAAUGCCCGCACAUCUCGUGGGUAACGAGGUGGCUCUGACCGGCUUCAAUGCUCAACUUCCUGUCAGACACCGCUCAGCCGCCCCCGCGCAUGGCAUUGUAGAAGCCUGCUUCGUGCGCUAGCGACUCUUGUGAUGUGGGAGGAAGUCGGGCAGGCUCAUGCAAAUGAGGCCCGAGCGCCAAUGAAACAUGGGACAAGAAAGGUGUUCUCCCCCGCAAGAGGUAAAUGGGCUGGGUGUGGUGCCGACCCACGCACGCACGCACGGACAGGGGCGUUCCUGGGGGGCUUCGCCCCCAUGAAUCGUUUGGGGGGGGGGCUCAGCCCAAAAACACCGCGUCAGCUGCAGCACACUGGCGUGCCUUUGGUGCACCGUCAAUGGGUUGCGCGUCUCACAAGGGAAUGCUCUCUUGGAGCAGCCCACUUGCAUGCGUGUCUGGGUUUGCGCACGCGCUUCUUGUCCUGUGUUCCCAGCAUCCCAACCCCGAACACAUGAAGCCAACAAACCAACAUAAUGUCCCCGUUCGCCCACUAAUCCACUGGAAGGAAAGUGUGCACUUUCCGUCGUAUGAGCAAUUGAGCAUCAACCAUCAGCAUUAUUCAGAUCUAGCACCAUCCCCGACGCCGGUAUACAUGCGCCAAACCUGCGCAUGCACUGUUCUGCGUAUCCCCAACCAUUGCAUCCCCUUGGGUGGCCCCACGGCGCCAAGGGGCCUCUCAGUCAUCAGGCGGGAUCUCCGGGUUGGGCUCGCAUAGCACCGCGGGCUUGAAGUUGGUGAACAGGUUGUACUGAUAGAUGAGGUGCGGGAUGGAGGGCCGGAACGCGGCGGCCUGCACCGCCGGCAGCCCGAAGCCGGCGGGGUCAGGGCCGGGCGGCAGCAGCUCGGCCAACAUGGGUCCGUUCUCGGCCACAGUGGUGCCCACCACCUUGCCUGAUAGGGGGCAGGCCGGGUGGAGUGUUCGGGCUUGCAGUAAAUCGGGUGGCCGGUGAGCAAACGGGUGCUGGGGCGUGAGACAGGAGGAGAAGGCUUGGUACAUACUGGGAUUGCAACAUGAUUAUGAGGAGUUGUGCAUAGCAUGGCGAUGUUGCUCCCCGUUCUUGCAUACGUCCUGCCACUGGGCAGGUAAAACCACAAGCACUGCACGCUGUCCCCCGAGGAAAUCAACCGGCGGCUGUGGCUCGCUGUCCUACCUGGCCGCCCCUCUCUCCGUCCUAUAGCCUGCCUAACUUCCACCCGCUUUCCCCCGCCGACACAUUUCGUUUGGGCUUGGGCGCUAACAUUCUCUGCCCACACACACGCACAGGGGCACCAGCUCACCCCCCGGCGCCAGCAGCAGCUGUGCGGCCUGCGCGUACAGCGCCCACACCUCCCUCGUGAUGAAGGGCGGGUCGAUCACCACGCAGUCGAAGGCGCCGCGCAGGUGGGCCGGCAGCGCCUCCGGCUGCUUGAAGUCGUACUUGAAGAAGUGCGGGUCGGCUGCCCACUGGUCGUCAUAGUCCAGCAGCCAGGCCGCCUGGCGAAGCGGCGAGCCAGCCUGUGUGCGUAUUGAGCGGAUGAGUAAGGGAGUGGGGUGAUGAGACAACUUCUGCGGCUGCGCUUGAACGUUGGUCCCACAUCAUUGCACGCGGCCGCACUACUCUGGCACCAGCAUACCCAGUAUGUGCCAUUGCGGGCACUCAUGCGCGUGAGCGGCGCCGACUGCUGGCCCGACGAGUGAUGCAUGCAUGGGCCAGCCCGACCAGCCCGCCUUCACGGCACUCAUACCGGCUCUUACCGGUAUUGAGAAGUAGAUGGAGGGUGUGGACAGACACGCAACCUUGGCGGCAGAUGCCUGCAGCUCCUGUGCCACAUCGAGCGUUUCACUUUGGGAGGCAGUCAGAGCAAAGGCGCACAGGGUGCAGCACCGCCCACAGAGCGUGUGCGUUGGGCUUCGGAAGUCUGGCGGCUGUGCAGCGGGUGCCGGGUGCAGCUGGCCGCCGCAGGUAGUCGUAAUCAGAGCUGCUGCGUGCGCGUCAGGCUAGCAGGGCACCCCUUGCCGCCAGUACGCCGCUCUUCGUGUUAGCACCGAACCUCUGCACACACCUCUACAAUCUUCUGUAUGGUGUAGUGGCUGUACCAGUACCUGUGCGGGUGCGUGGACCGAAGCCGCCGCUGUGUUAGUGCCGCUGUGAUCGGAGGUGGCAGGCCUUUCCCCUGCCGCUUCCGGACACCCAAUUACAAUUGAGCUGUCAGCGACCAUCCCUUACAGCCCCUUGUUCUCACUGGUUGUGCUCCGCCUUCUCAGGGUGCCUGCGUGGUUAAGGGCACGCUGUCAUAGCUGAGCUUGUUGGCCUCCAAUUAACAUUAUCACUGGGAGAUUUUAUCAGACAGAGGUUGCGAUGGAGUGUAUACGCUGGGAAAUGGCCUUACUUCGAGAGGAACCCGUUUGGUGCUUCCAUUUCCAACGACUUGAGCUCUCCGGUGAUAUGCUGGCAUCAAAAUUAUGGUAAGUCACAAAACCUUACAGCGAGCAGUCACAACAUCUGGCUGCUCCUGGCGUAAUGGCGCGCAAAAGAGCGCCCCAUGAUCGGGGUUGACUUGACCGCUAACAUGCCGUUCCGCCCGUUGAGGUUGCCAACCCUGAUGGAUGCAUUCUUUCACUAGUAUCAGCAAGCAUAAUUGGACCCCAUCUGACUCCACCGUUUUGCGUUAUUGGUUCCAAACACCCAGCUCGACAGGUUCUCCGCCAUUAAUCUUCAUAUGGUAGUAGGAUCAUCUCAAUGUGACUCUAUUGCAAAGGUAGCAGUGAUGGGAUGACGGCUCGCCUCGGCGCUGUAAAUGGCUCCCACACUAGCUGAACUCGAGGCCAGGCUUGCUGCGAAGGGCGCUGAACUGCAGAAGGCCCAGGCAGACCUUGCGAAGGCAGAGGCGAGGAGCGCCAAGCUCAAGACAUACUUGGUGGGGCUCGGGGCCAGGGUUUUAGGGUCCGGGACGGGGGCACAGGCAGCGUUGGUGGCGCUCACCAGCAGCACUACCUGGGUGCGGGACCGGCGUUCAGCAACAGGUGCAAGGAGGACUGCACAAAUUCGGGCAGGGCCGACGAUUUUAAACUAUAACUGGGGCUGGCACGUUUGGCCGUGAUGUGAGGCGGGGUGGACGGCGUGCCGGGAGGGCGCAGGACGUGACCGCCGGUGCCGCUGUGACCCGACCCGCCUGCAGGAGGGCUUCCGCGCCCAGGCAGUCAGCACAACCGCACUUGCGGACAAGUACCGGGCGCUGCAGGAGGACCACGGCGCGGUACAGGCGGCGCUGACCGCGGCGCAGGCGGAGGCGGCGGGGCUCCGCGCUCAGCUUGCGCGGGAGGCCACGGAGGCGGAGAAGCGCCUGAACGCAGCUCUGCGUGCUGCUCGGCAAGGAGCAGUCAGCGCGGGAGGCGAAGGUGCAAGCAGAAAGUCACAGCCAGAGGCGGGAGCUGCGGAGCCGGAGGGAGGCCAGGCGCAGCAGCAGAGCCAGGCCGAGGUACUGCGGCUGCAACAGACUGUUGGGCAGCUGCGAGCGGAGCUCUCUGCGGCACGCGACCAGCUCGGCCAUCUGCUCGAGCAGCAAGAGCAGCAACAGGCGUUAGCGGACGCUGCACGGACAGCAGCAGCAGCGAACGGGACCGCUUCAACUGCCGCGGCAGGAGGACGCAAACGGGGCGGGCGCGGCAGGGGCAAGUCAGGGCCAAACGGCGCGGCGGGCUCCGUCGCUCGCGCGGGCGAGAGCAGUGACAGUGAGGGCAGCAGCUGGGACGGGAAUACAUUGGCCGAACCGGCACCCACUGCCGCAGCAACAGAAGCAGCAUCAGCGGGUGAGGCGGGUGUAGGUGACGGAAAACGCCACCGCCCUCCAAGGGCAGUGGGCAGUAGGCAACGGCGGGACCGAGACCAGGGCCCGAGCCACAAUCCGGACCCCGAACGGGAAGCUGUGCUGCAGGAGCUGCAGCGGCUGAGGCAGGAGGCGACGCAGUGGCGGCAGGAGCGGAAGGCGCUGACAGGCCGGGUGGAGGCGGCUGAGGCGGUGCGGCGGACUGCGCAGGCGGUGUUGGCGGAGCGCGAGCGGCAGCUGGAGGCAGCAGCGGCGCGGGAAGCGGCGCAGGCGGCGGACAUGGAGGAAGUCAAGGUGCGAUAGUUUCGGAGCGUGUGGGCUGGGGCUCGAGGAAGGCUUGGGGCGGCUGUAUGUGGAAUAGAGGAAGGUACGGUAACCGGUCACGAGGUUGGGAUUGGGAAGCGCCAUGACCAGCACCGAACGUACGCCGGUUGCAACAUUGACAGCCGCCACCGACCCUACCGUACGUGCUGUGCCGCUCGCACCCCUUUACCUCACACAGGCCCAGAUGCAGGCGCUGCAGGCGCUGGUGUCGCAGCACGCCACCGCACUGCACCAGCACACGGCGGCGGCAGCGGCGGCAGACGCCGACCGGCGGAAACUGUCAGCGGCAGUGGCGAACUGCGGCGAGCGGCUGGCGGCGGUGGACGUGCAGUUGGAAAGGCGGCUGGCGCAGGUGGGCGAGCAGGCGGCGGCGGUGGCGGAGGCGACAGCGGGGGCAGCUGUGGCGGCGGUGGAGGCGCGCUUGGUGCUGCAGCUGGAUGAGAUCGCUGCGGGGGGCCGGGCACUGCGGGCGACUGUGGGCGGCAUGGCGGUGCAGCUGCGGGGCGUCAGUCGCACGCACCGCCUACUGCGGGCGGCCUUUGGGUCGGGGCCCGGUGGCGGCGGCGACCCCGAUGGCAUGGAGGAUGACGCUGACGCAGCGUUUGCUGACCUGGCAGGUUUUAGGGACGAAGAGGCAGGAGUGGGCACAACAGGCGCCGGCGCCGCAGGUGGGCGGCACCAGCAGCACCAGCAGCAGCAGGGCCAGCUGUGGCUGAUGGCUGCAACAGCCCCGGCUGCAACCGGUGCACCGCCUCGUCAGGCGCUGCCGCCGCCGCAAGCUCAGGGGCAGGGGCAGGGGCAGGAGCAUCGGGACAAGCGGCGCCGUCUGAACAUGGACCCGAACCAACACAUGGGGCUGUCAUACCCUGCCGCUGCCGCUGCCGGACCACGCACCGCACCAGUGGUAGCCCCACCACAGCCCCAGCCGCUGCCGCUGCCUGCCUCAAGAACCGCGCCGUUCACAGCUACCACCGCAGGUACAGCCGCUACUGCCACAGCAGCUUCCGGAGCGCUAGCACUGGUGCAGCCGCUGGCGCUGGUGCGGCGCAGCAGGGGCCGGCCGCGCAAGGAGCGGCCGCCCUCAGAGCUGCUGGCCACCCUGCUGGACGGCAGGGCCAGUGGGGCGGGCCAGCUGGCCAAGAUCGCCUCGGCGGCGGCGCGGCGCGCGGCGGAGGCAGUGCGCGGUGGCGUGCUGCACCCGGGCCCACUGGCGGCGGCGCUGUGCAGUGCGGUGCUGCGCUGCUGCAAGCCGCAGCUGGGGCUGCAAGGCGCUGGGGCGGCAGGAGGCGCCACGGCAGCGGAGCCUGGGGCCGCAGCGGCUGCCGCGUCUGUGGUGCCCGCGUCUGCAAAGCCAGGCGAGCGCGCAGCCGAGGCUGGGGGAAGUGGCAACGACAUCGGCAUCUCCGCAGCACAGGGGUCAACUGCUGCUGGUCGGCCCUCCGGCCACAGUGUGUCCGCGCUUCGUGAGCUGCUCGGCCCGCUGAUGGCAUCACGCGGUGCAGCUCGGGGUGGCGCUGCGGCUGGUGGUGUGAAGGCAGCAGGCGCCGGCCCUGGAGGAGGGGGCUCCAGUGUUGGCGCGACGCUGCAGGAUGCUGUUUGCGGGUUGUGGUGUCGCCCUCAGGAGCAGCAGCGGCAGGUGGUGCGGUGGCUGCUGCAGGUGGCUCGUGAGGCGGAUGUGCUCAUAGCGCAGGGCCAGCAGCAGGUGCAGCUCCAGCAGGAGGGGCGGGCAGGGCUCGGGCAUGGGCAGGCAGUGGGCCCACAGGACCACGAGGGCUCAGACGCCGAGGCAGGUGGCGGCGGAGGGGCCACGGACGCACCGGCCACACCCGCCAAGCGGGCCGCUGCACUGGUGGCUGCAGAGGAGGCUGUGGCGGCGGCGGGCAGCGGGCGGGCGCCUGCGGGCCGGCUGGUGGGCGGGCUGCUGGCGCGACAGCUCAGGCCGGUCGCAUGUGCCGCAUGGCUUCACCAGCACUUGCAACACCAGCCUGGCGAGGCUAGUGCGGCGGCGGAGGCGGGGCCUGCUGCGGCGGUGCACGGCGGCGGUACGGGAAGCGGUGGCAGUGUGGUAGAGCAGUGCGCCGCCGCGGCGGCACUGGGCCAGCUGCUGCGCCUGUAUCGGGACCGCCAGGUGGGAGCGGGGCGUGCAAGCCGUGAGGGGGCUGGGAGCAAAACAGUUAAUAUGCGCUGAACAUGGCGGGGAUGAGUGCAGUGCUGCAGUAUCUUAUAUUACUGUCUCUGGGUAGCUUGACAACAUGUCGUGUCAAGGCUCCUACUCGCGGCCACGGGUAAGGCCACUACAAUCCAUACAUAAUUUAUGCCUCCACUCCUUCCACCUGUGCACAGGGCUUCUUGUUGUCAGCCGCCGACCUGGUUCACGCCGCGGCUGACGCCCGUCGCCACCGGUACGACCAGCACUCUAAGCUGGGGCCGCAACAGCGCUCCCACCCGCACGACAGCACCAGCCACGGAGUUGCCGGCGGCGGCGCUGCUUGUUGUCGCCACGGCUCCAUUGUGCCGCUGUCUUGCCUCGUGGUCAGCUGGCCAGCAGCCAUGGCGGCCCCCAACAGCGCGAAAGCAGUCGCGCCUCAACAGCGUGGCCCUGGACACAACAGCCAUACGGGGCACAGCAGCGGCAGUGGGUUGUGGGACGCGGGAGGCGGUGCGGCUGAGGGGGCGCUGGUGGCGGCACCACUCAGUACGGCGCUGCAGGUGGCGGCGCAGCUGCUGGCGCUCGAGCGGCUGGCGGCGGCCGUGUCGGAGCUGCAGGUCGGGCCGGUGGGCCAGGAGGGCGGCGUGGGGCCGGGCUGGCUGCUGCCCCCGCUGCCCGCAGAGCUGGGUGCACAGACCGAGGCCGUGGCGGCGGCGGCGCUGCUCCGAGUGGUGUUGGAGCAGCACCAGCACGCCCAGGCACACACGUCUGCAGCAGCGGGCAGCGGCACCGGUAAUGCUGCGGCUGCGAAGCUGCCGGCAGGGGACAGUGCCAGGGCUAGUGAGGGCGGCGGCUGCGGCGGUGCAUCCACAGCUGCAGGCUCCAUGGCGCCCGCACGCAAUCCUUCCAUACCGCUACCCAUGUUACCCUCCUUACCGCGGCUGCUGCAAGCAGUGGGCGUGGUCAAGGCAGCGACCACUAAUGCGGGUGCCACUCCCGCAGAGCCUUCCAACUCAUCCCUGGACGAGGCUCUGACCGCGUCGCUGCAAGAAGCGCGCAGUGCCACGUCCGAGCUGGCGGGCCGCCUGGUCGGACUGCUGCUUGCUGCAGCGCCGACAUCGGAGCCCGGGGCUCAGACCGCAGCUACAGCGACCUGCGUGCUGGCUUCAGCAGCCGGAGGAGGGGCCGGACAACGUUCCGGCGCUGCGGCUGGCCCCUACGUCUCGGCACUGCAGCAGGCGCUGCUGGUGCUGUGUCACCUGCUACCGUACGAGCAGGUGUACGGCAGUGUGCUGGCGCCGCUGGCAGCAGCCCUCAUGGCGGCCAUUGCGCCGCUCGGCGGCAGCGCUGAGGGCGGCCUGGACGGGGGCGCCGGGGCGGCACAGCAAAAGCCGCAGUUGCAGCAAUUGCUUGAGACGUGCAGCCGCAGUCCAACGGCGGUUAGGGCGCUGGGUGAGGCAUUUGCGGACGUGGCAUGUCAGGCGCUGCUGAGCACUCAGACCAGCGCAAUAACGGCUUCUGCAGGACAGGGUGCAGCAGCGGCAACAGGGCGUGUGCUCCGGCAGGGUCUGUCGUCCGCCUGUGAGCAGCUGGCGGGCCGGGUGGCCGCCGUGCCAUGGCCGUCGCCACUGCCUCAGUCGCCGCCCGCAGCGGCCGCCGCAUUGGUGACGCCGGGCUUGGUAGCCUGCCUCGUGCGGGUGGCGGGGCUGUGCAUGUGCGAGCCAGACACCGACUUGCCCACGGUUGGCAGUGGAAAUGGAGUUGAGGGCCACUGGCACGCAGCUGUGAAUGCAAGCGUACUGCGGACACUCGGGCUGUUGAGGGGCUCGCUACACCGCGGCAGGUCGGUGCGCGGGCGGGCUCCAGGCAGCGGUGUCGGAGUGCCUGUGGCUGACGAGCUGUCGCUGGCCCCGUGGGUGGUGGAGCUACUUGAGCAGGGCAGGCCCGGCGAGGAAGCCGCAGGUGGCGGCGGCGGCAGUGGUGCUGAGCACCUGGUUCAGGUAGAGGCAGGGCACGGGGAGACCGGGGCUCGCCCCGCACUGCACAGCGCUGGUGCCAAAGCCGCGGCGGUUGGAGCGGGCGACUGGGACAUGGAGGGCGGCGAGGACCUGGGCGGGCCUGAGGCAGGGCACGGCGGCGGCGGUGAUAGUGAAAGUGAGGCUGAUGGCGCCGGCGGUGAGCCGCCAGGGCCGCUGCAAUUCGAGGCAGAGGUAGCAGGCAGCGACGAGGCGGACAACUGAGCUGCGGGUUUGCUGGCCGUUUGAGCGGCCUAGGCAACCUGAUGCAGCACCAGGAGGACUGGAUAUGGCCUGAUGGCAUCGUGAUAGCUUGACUGACCAAAUGAGGGUUAGCAGGACAUAUGCAGCUAAUAGAGACCGCCAUUUACCUAGAAAUGCCAGGCUUUGCCCCCUCUGCAACAAAGGAGUAGAGGAUGAAGGGCAUGUUUUACUUGAGAGUGAAGCAUACACGUGUGUCAGAUCAACGUACGGUAUCAGUUCUGAUUCAGUGAAGCAGGUUAUGCAAGGUGCUGACCAGGUUAAGUUGGCUUGCUGCGUACGUGAUAUUUGGUCUAAGCGCUGUCUUUGAUUAGGCACAACCACGACGGUGCACACGGUUUGCAAGACGCAAUUAACAAUCCAGUUCCAGGAGACGAGGGGCCCUUGCGGCUUGGUUAGUCUCGGUGCAGCUAUUAGGAUGCAAGCCUCAGUUUGUGCUCUGGCGCCAGAGACGCUCAAAGGUCCCAAACAAGAUACACCAUCGACGCCCCCACCCGCACAGACUCCACGAGAUGCCACAACCCUACAAGAGCCCACACCAUCAAGAAACAGGCCGGGAAAGCAAGGGCAACACCGCAACAGGCCACUAGGACUAGGUGCAGGCAACACAGCCGAACGGUGGGGCGACAUCCACAUUUGCACUUUUGCAGAUGAGCGGGAUAGAAACUCGCUAAGUUGCCCGACUAGGUAUGUUUAAGCAGGCCAAGGCCUCUUAUGAUGCUGUCGGAUGCCUUGAUGACUUGAGCCAGGGGGGGGGGGGGUACGAACAAUAGUUCCAGACCCCACCCCGCGAAACCUCCCGACCCCCCCGACCGACGACCGACCGUGCCGUACACCCCCUAAAUCCCCUCUGUUUUCUUCCAGGGUGGUGUCAAACGACUGCUUCCAGCGAGCUCUAUUAACAUGUAACCACGGGAAGUUCGUCGGGCGCGUCUUGAUCACAGCCAUGUUGUAAACAUAUCUCUGUGUAAAGCACGCCCACGAGACUUACCUACGCAUGGGACAUACACAUGCCUUUCCACCGACGCGCAAGCACCGAUCCGCGACUUGUGGCACGUUCUGGUCAGGCGAGUCGCACAUGACAUGUCGCACCCCAACAUACCAACCCAAUAUGUGUUGCGGGCGGUAGCCCUUCGUCUUCUGGUAGGCUCCUGACAUUCCCCAGCCGUUAAAAACUUCCAUUACAUGUUUUGGGCAACGGUCUGGGCUUGCCCCCACACGGGGGAGGCACCCUAGGUGAAAAACUGCAUUUGGGCCCCUUAAUAACUUUUGCGCGACAACGUCCCCAGUCACCAAAUUCGGGCAAUAUGAUCCUUAUGAUGUAUUUAACAAAUACUUGAUGUUCGGGAGACUGGGGACGUUGUCGCGCAAACGUCAUAUGGCUUGCAAGAUGGGGGGUACGAAACGUGUCAGAAGGGGGAAUCACUGACCCCAGACUUCAGCGGAUCCCUCCUAAACUCUUAUGAAGCAUGGCGGACACUAUCCAUAUGGAUUCUGUGAACUCAGGGGGGCGAAAUAAUAUGCGGGCUGGGAGAACAACCCGCGUGUUUGUCCGCACAGGUGGGCACGCAUGGACCAAAAUGUGUCCAAACCGACAUGCGUAUUCUAGCCGGCCGACUAGCUAAAGCUUCUAUUGUAUAUGUGUAUAACGUGAAGCGAGUAGACAGGGCUCAGAUUAGCCUGUCUGUCCGCACAAUGAAAGCAUGUUGCCCUUGAGGGCAUGAAUUCCAGUACCCUUUGCUGCCGUCGAUUUAUUAAGAUCAACUGAUGUUGUAAAACUACUUGUUGAACGAAGAGGAGGCCUCCUCGCGAUCCCGACUCUAGGUCACAACUAGUCUCCAAAGGGUUGCUUUGAGCCUUAAUCAAACGUUGGAGGACUUUAUGGUUGCUAAACGUUAGAUUGAGCCUUGUAUCGGAGCUACAGGGUCCGUUGGCGCAAAGCAUUCAACAUCUAUUUGCACGAUCGUCGGCAAACGUGAAUAUCUACUGAUAUCUAAUAUAUAUGUAGCACGUAAAAGCCAUUGCAACUUGUCCGAGCAGCUAACUCGGCCGCAUGAGUGAGGGGAACAUAUUCAGACCCCUCGGCAUGGUGCCCUCCCCGUGUGGCUUGCCCCGCUGUCUUAUGAUAUAACCCCCAGUCCGUGUCGUUCGGAGCUGCGGCACCCUUGCGCAACGUUAGCCACCGGCGCAAUCAUGUCCGCCCAGUCCCACCCCGCCUCAGUAACUUCAGUAACUUCAGAUGUAUGAGUACGGUAUGAGUAUACGGUAUGAGUUGUUGCAGCAAAGAGGCCGAUAUAAAGGCGCGCCUGGGCUUAUGAGCUAGCGAAGAGCCCGCAUGAGCCUUCCCGACUUCCCCUCUACGUACCGUAAGGACAUCACAUUACAUCAACCCAGCCACGCUUUUAGCCAGGCGUAUAGUGGCAACAACGUCUGCAACCAUCCAGUCAUGGUUGCGGUCGCAUACAAACACACAUCAACUUUUGACAGCAUGCGUGUAGGAAUGGCGGCAGUCCUUCAUGCUGGGGCAACAUCACCAUAAGCUCGGGCGCUGACCUGUAGUUGCUGCUGCGGCCCCAGGGGCAACAGACCCGGAUCCAUCACACCCAGGCUAGAGGCACCACGCGCCCCCAGGACGGACCACGCAGCCGCCAGCCCCGUCGCCCCUCCGGCCAGGUGCGGCGCCACCACGCCGUUGCCGUCUGAAACACGCCGGCUGCUGCAGGCUGACGCGAAGCCACUGCCGCCGCGGCUGCUGCAGGCGCCUGCCCUGUGGCUGGCGGCGUCCUCGAACUCGUCACUAGUACCUCCCUCACCCUCACCAUCGCCCUCACCGGCCUGCUCGCCCUCGUCCUCACCCUCUAGCUCGGACAUUCCAUCCAGCUCCAUGCCCUCCUCGCCCUCGUCCUCACCGAACAGCCGGCUGGGCAGCAUGGCGGCACCAGCAGCCGCAAAUAACUGCUGCUCCUGCCCGCGCCGCGCAGGCCGCGCUGCAGUGGCGCCGGCCAAUGCGUCCGGGCCCAGCUCGCCCCCAUCGGUACCCUCCACAGGCGUGUCCGCAUCCCCCGCAUCCUCAUCUUCACCAGGACUGCCUCUGCCUGGCUCAGUCGCUGCAAACGGCGUCCCCAGCGAUGGCCCCCAUGGCUGCUGCUGCUGCUGCUGCUGCAUGCGUGCCAGGGCACUUGGCAUGACGCGGGCGCUGCACGGCGUCUGCUCCACACCGCCUGCCGCCGCCCAGGCCCGAACGGUCGUGGGCACGCCGCGGAGCGUGUGCGGGGCCGCGCGCUGGAACGCAGUGGCUGGCGAGUCCCAGGCCCCUGCCCUGGAUGCAUCUCCAGCUGCCACCUGACCACUAGCGCCUGCACCUGUCCGCCACGGCGUCUGUGUGUUGGCGUUGUUGACGCUGGGACUGCUGGUGGCGCGGUAGCGGUCGCCGUGGUGGCGGGGCGCCGCACCCUCCUCGCCCUCCUCCGGCCCCUCGCCGUCACCACCGCCGUCCCCGCCCUCUUCCGGCACGGCGCCCCACGCGGCCGCCAGCCUACCCGCAAAGCUGCCGCCCAGGUCACCGGCCCCGUGACGCUGCGGUGCGUUGUAGGCCACAGUGGUUGUGCAGCUGUCAUAGGGCAGGAAGGGCAAACUGGCGUCGGACACUGCGUCGGGAUCGUCCGCUGCUGCCGCGAUGCGAGGCUGCCUGCCGCCGCCGUAGCCGCCGUCUGGACUGUCGGACUCCUGUGCCCACAGCCGUGGUCGCGACAUGGGCGUUGAGGCGGCGGCAAGUGCUGCGGGGUCCAGCGCCGCGGCGCCGCCCAUACCCGACGGCAGCAUGGCCGCCUCUGUGCCCACAGCUGAGGCGAAAGCGGAAUAGGAAGCAUCCGAGCUCGCAGCGGCCGGGUGGCCACCAGGGGCUGGGGCUGGUGCCGCCACCGCAGAAGCGCCGCCAAAGAGCCCGCCUCCGGCAUGAAUGGGUUGCUGCAUCGGCAGGUAACGCAUAUUUUGUGUUCAAUCAGAGGCCAAAGCAAACAUGCACCAGUCGUUACUCAUACCCUGUACAGAGGCUUACCUGUGACGAGUUCCCGAAUAAGGUCGCGGCUGCGGUCGCUCCGCCUGCGCCCCACACCUGCCCCAGGCCGAAGCCACCAAAGCCAGGCGCGGCGUUGCCUGCUCGGGCUGCGGGUGCAGGCCACGCGGUAGUCAGGGUCGGUGUGGCGGGACCUGCGCCUCCACCGCCUGCAGGCGGAGGGACUGCGCCGAUUGCCCAUGGCGCCGAUUGCCCACCAGUGCCGCCACCAACACCCAGCCAAGACGACUGGGCUGCACCAAAGACUCCGCCGCCGCCAAAGCCGAAACUGAAGGGGCUGUUGUUGGUGGCUCCAGCUGCCGGCGCCGCUGCUGUGGCGCCACCUGCUGCGGCCGCCAUGAAAGUGGCUGCGGGCUCUGCCGCUGGAGGGCUUGGUGACGCCGCCACCUCUGGUGAUAGGCCAUCGCCAUCGCCGUCGAGGCUGAAUUGAUCGUGCUCGUCGUCCUCAUCUUCUCCCACCCCCCCCUCGCCCUCGUCCUGCUCGUCCUCGCCCUCGGAGCCCUCGCCCAACAGAGCAAAGGGGUUAGCAGGCCGCCGCAGUGCACUGGGACCACCAGGCGAGCUCUCUCCACUCUCGUCUCCACUGUCGGCGUGGGCAGCACCGGCGCCAGUACGCUGCGGUGCAGCUGGUGCCCAGAUGGGGCUGCACCGGGGCUGGGAUCCCUCCGCGGCAGUGGCGGUGAGGCGUUGCUGCACCUGCGGGGGAGAUGCCACUUGCUCGCUGUCGGCGCCGUCACUCAAGUCCUCUUCGUUCUCAUCCUCAUCCUCAUCGGCGCCGCUGUCAUCGCCACCAAGCAGUGCAAACGGAUUGGCUGCAGACCUCAGGCCCGCCGGACUGCCGCCCUCAUCCUCGUCCUCAUCUUCCUCCUCAUCCACCUCGCUGUCGCUAAAGUUGACAGACUCUUGCUGUGCUGUCGGUUCCACGCCCGCCCUCGCUGCAGCGACAGCCCUCAGCACAGCUGCAGUGGAUGCCGCCUCUGCCUCUGCUGCCUGGUCCUCCGCGGCGGCAGUCGCCGCCAUGUGCUCCGCGAUCUGGCCUCUCAGCCACUCAGCCUGCGGGCUGGGGUCCUCCAGCACCUGCCCCAGCAGCAACACACGCGGGUCGUCACCGGCCAGCAGCCCCGCAGCCGCAGCCGCAGCCACCUGCGCCAGCGCCGCCACCUGCGCCGCCAUCUCCUCAUCCACUGCCUCCUUCUCAUUGCCCGCCGCUGCGCCGCCUGCUAGGCCGUCGUCGUCAUCAUCACCAGCCCCGACGCCUUCCUCCCCACUCAGCUGCUGCUCCUCGUCGGCCUCACCACCCUCGUCCUCGUCCUCCUCAUCGUCGCCCUCUGAGGAGCUCAGCAGCGCGGAGGGCAGCGUGAAAGCGGCCCGCUGCGGGCUCAGCGCAUGUAAGGGUGCUCGGGGCCGAGCGGGGGCAUCAUCGUCUGCACCGUCGCCAUCGCUGAACGCUGCGGCAUGCUGCGGCUGUGCCGGGAGCUGCUGUGUGGGCUGCAGGGCGGCGGCGGGGGGCUGAACCGAACUCGGCGAUACAGCAGGAAACCUGCAUGGCAAAGUAGGCGUCCGAAACAUUAGCAAGACAGUCGGUUGCUGAUGUUUAGACAUGCAUACUGUGCAGCAAUGCGACAGUAUUAUGACUCCCUAUUAUGACUUCCUACUGACCGUAUGCUGAUGCCCUCGGAGAUGAGCAUGGCCACCUUGCCGCCAGCCGCAGCCGCCGCGGCGCUGGCAGGGUCGGCGUCACUGCCCCCCGGCCCCCUGCCGCGAGGAGUGGUGCCAGCCGCAGCCAGGCCCGCCACCUCGGUGCUGCGGACGGGCACCGCCACGAACAGUCCGCCCUCGCCCGCGGGCCCGGCUGGCGGCACGCAGUCCGCCGGGCCGCGGCGUGCUGUGGCUGCAGCUGUGGGUGGCACAGGCAGCCUGACGCCCAAGGGGAUGUCAUCGAAGGACAGAGGCGCGGCCCUCAGCUGGGACGGCCCGGCGGCAUCUUCGCCUUCAGCCCGAUAGCUCGCCGCAGCGGCGCUGCCCAGCCAGGCCUCCUCGCCCGCACAGUCCUGCUCGUUGUCCUCCUCUCUCUCCUCGUCGUCAUCGUCGUCAUCAUCGCCGGCAAGCACUGCAAAUAUGUUGCCGCACAUCGCCGCAUGGCCACCGCGUCGCGCAGACGAGGCGCGUGCGGCUGGCCUGUCAGCGCCACUCUCGCUCUGCUCCUUCUCCUCCUUCUCCAGGGCGCCCUGGCCUUCCUUACUGCCGGGGUCCGUGGCACCAGCGGGAGUCGAGGCAAAUACCUCGUCGUCCUCCAGCUGCGGCUGAAGCGCGAGGACAGACCUCCGGCGGCUCCAGGCGCGCUGAAUGCGAGACGCCGCGAAGUUCAUUCGCAACACCUUUGCCUGCGCCUCCAGCUCUGCAGCCGCCUCAACCUCAGCUUCUUGCUGCUGCUGGCGGGCUGCCUCAGCCUCUGCUGUCUCGGCCAUUGCCGCUGCAAGCCGGCUGCGCUCCACAGCAACCGCAAUGCGGGCAGAGUGGCCGCGCCAAGCUGCCUGCAGCCUUACCGCCGCCGCCAGUUGGCGCUGCUGCUCGCGGCGCUCAGCCUCUUCUUGCUGGUGCUGCUCCCGCAGGCGCUGCACCUCGGCACGCACCCGGCUGCCCCGCCACGCCGCCUGUAUCGCAGUGGCUGCGGCACGCAGCUGUGCCCGCUCCUCAUCCUGCUGUCGCUGCCGCGCCAGCUCCUGCUCUCGCUGCCGCUGCUGCUGAUGCAGGCGGCUGGCUGCAGCUCGGUCACGGAAGCCACGCCACGCCGCCUGCAUCGUAACCGCUGCGGCAUCCUCUCGCUGCGCCUGCUCAGCCGCCGCCGUAGCAGCUGCCUCCGCAGCCCGGCGCUCCUGCUGAAGUGCCACGAAUGUAGCACGAGCACGCGAGCCGCGCCAUGCAGCCUGCACCCUGGUAGCUGCCGCCUCCUGACGAGCCUGCUCGGCAGCUUCCUCCUCAAGCCGCAGGCGAGCCUCCUCCUCGGCUGCUCUGGCUGCAGCGGCAGCGGCACGCAGCCGUUCGACCCGCCGACGGGCGACGAGGCCGCGCCAGGCCGCUUGCACCCUCAGGACCGCCACCUCGGCCCUCUGCUGCUGCAGCGCACGAGCCUGCUGCCGCUCCUGCUGUGCACACGCGCGAGCGAGUCUGCCCCGCCAGGCGGCUUGCACCACCACCGCAGCCGUCUCCAUCUUCCUCAGCUCCUCCGCGGCCGCCUCCGCCUCACGCAGCUCCUGCUCCUGCUGUCGCGCAGCCUCAGCAGCCGCCAGCAGCUCGGCCUGGCACUGUCGGCGGCGUACCUCCGCAGUUGCGGAGCGGGCGGCGUGGCCCCUCCAGGCAGACUGGAUGAGCACGGCGGCGGUAUGCAGGCGCUCCUGCGCGAUCAGCACGCCCAACUCCUCCGCAGCGUCCGCGUCCUCGAAGCCACUGUCCGUGGCCGCCUCGCUCAGGGCCGCGUCAUCGUCACCCUCCUGCAGAUAGUCGGCAUAGCCAGCACUGCUCCCUUGCGGGACGCCGGCAGCUUGCAGGCUGGGGGUGCAGGCCGCGACCGGCAGCCGUUGUGCAGCGGCGCCUGAUAGGGACGCGCGCUGUGACCUGAUGCCGCGCCAGCGCGCCUGGAUGACAGCGGCCGCACGCUCCUCUAGCUGCGUCUGUAUGGCGUCUCUAGAGCCACCGGCGGAGGCGUCACCACCACAGCUGCUGGCGGGUGUGCGAAAGGCCCGCUGCGACUGCUGCCGGUGCACUGCAGCGGCGACGCCCACCGAGCGGCGGCACCAGUGACGUUCCAGUGGUGAUGCCGUGGCUGGAGUUGAGCAGGCGGCUGUUGCCUCAGACAUUCCCUCCAGCGGCUGCUGCACCUGCAAGGCGAGCAGCUGCGGUGUGGCCGCGGCGGACUGAGGCCAUGUGGCGCCCUGUGCACCUGCCAUGAAAACGGCGAAACUGGGUGUACCCUCAGCUGCUGCGGCGGCGCACGGCGGUAGCUGCUGGCACACCCCUGGAGUGAGGAGCGGCGGAGCGCUCGGGACCGCGCCCCAGAUGGCCACAGCCUCAGAGAGCUCCGGCUGCUGCUGUGGCUGCUGCACGGGCAGGGCGCCAUCUGCGGUGACGUUAGCGUGAGGCUCUGGAGUGUGUGCAGAAAGGCCGGCAGUCCGGAACUGCAGCUCGCGAGCCAGAGACAUCUCUGGCAAGAGCUCGCGAUUUUGCAUAACUGCUGACGCUGCAGCAGCGGUGGUUGCCGCAGAGGCGAACGCAACGCUGCUCGUGUCGCCACCGUCAACCUCCUCGUCGGUGGCGUCGCCCUCGGCCCAGCGCCGCAGUGGCGUGCGGAAAGCGGGCGAGCGUGCCACGUGCAGCGCUGCGCCCGGCGUGAUACCCGCGGCCAUCUCGUGUGGGCUGUGAGCUGCAGGGGCCCCGAACAGGCUCUGAUUCAUGCGCUGCUGCUGCCACUGCAUAUCCCGAUCAGGCCGCGCAGCCGACGCAGCCGUGGCGAGCCCCAGUGCUAGGUCAGGCACGGCGUGCCCGGAACCUGCCGCGCCGCCGGGCGUCAUGCCAGUGCGGGCGCGGUCCCGUGUGCUGCCCACAGAGCUACUGCCACUGACCCGGCUGUCGGGCGCCUCCACCUCACCCUCGCCCUCCGCGGCACAGUACUCUUGCUCCUCGUCAGCACUGCCGCUACCAACAGUUGGCUCCACUUCCUCGGGGUCACUGGACCCGCAGCCGUCGUCCCGGGUCGCGGUUGCGUAUCGGCUGCGGAGGCCUGAGGCAGCCGCCGCGACUGCAGCCGAUGACAGAGGAGACGCGGCCACCCGAGACACGGCUACUGUGCCCGCAGCCGCACAGGCGCCCAGCGACGCCACCUCAGCACCGCUGUAGUCCAGCUUGCGAUUUGGGGUCCGGCGCAUGUCCAACUGCGGGUCACCAGCACAGCAUGUCAGCGAGGACGUGGUAGCUGCACUUGGAACACGCCCUCCCUAUCAACUACACGCUACAGCCGGGCAAGACUACACAGCAUGGCCACUCACCGUCUCCGGCCCCGCAGGUGGCUUUGGAGGAGUGGCCGCUGUCACAGCGCCGGUCUGUGGCGAGAGCCCCUGAGCACCUCGGGGGCUCUGGCCCAGCCACAUCGCAGCGGCAUGCGCCAGCUGCUGUGCCUGCUGCGGCGCUGGGCUUGCUGCAGUGGACACUGCGGCUGGCGGUGAGGCUGCAGGCUGGCGGUACGCAGGACUGGGCGAUGCAGCCGCAGAUGCCGGCCCAGGGCCACAGCCGCUGCGAGGCGUAACGUAAUCGUCCCAGGCCGCCGCCAGCGCCACCACACGGCCGUGCUCGUCACGCGCCGCAAGCUGCACCGCCUCGUGCGGCUGCAGCAGCGGCUGGGGAGACGGCGAGCCGGGGGGCGGCGGGGCCCGGGUGCGGGAAGCCCGUGCAGCAGAUGGCGACGCUCCAGUAGCCCCACCAGGACUGGCAUCGGCACCGCCCUCGGAGUGCUGAGGACUGGGCUCGUCCUCGACCGCAUCCUCAUACGCGUCAGAGUCCAGUGUAGUAGCUGCCGCCACUGCCUCAGCAGCCAUAGCGGCCGCGGCGGCAGCUUCAAGCUCUUGGGAGUCAUCGGCAGCUACUGGGCGCACGUCGCCGCCUGAGGAGAAUUGCUGAAGAAGGAAAGGAGGAGGGGCAUGACGUUACACUGCCAUAUCGCUUCUCGCGUAGCAUGAUCAACUUAGCCACGCAUCCAACACACAUACUAGAGAAAAGGAAUCACACCUACCUUGUGUGAAAGCAAGCGCUCAUGGAAGCUGGCUGUUGCCCCGGCCUUGCUGUAGCCCAGCGCUUUGUGCCGCCAGGCCAGACCCACACUGCGCCCAAACGCCCGUCGGUACACCGCUGGAUGCCCGCCCGCUCCUGCGGCCUCCACUGCAUCCACAGCCUCAGCAGGUGCUGCAGCCUCAGCCGCAGCAGGGGAACCCGGUGCGUCAGUGCACUCGGCCGCUGCCAUUGGCACGUGGUCCUGCGGGAUCCCGGGACCUGCACCAGCAGAAGCGCUGGCGGUGCCGGCCUUUGCCUUCGCAGCGGCGGCCCCGGCGGCUUGGCGGAUGACUGUAGGCGUCUUGAGGCGACUGAGGAUACCCAGGAGGUACGCUGUGUCCGGCACUGUCGCGGCAGCGCGCGUAGCAGCUGCGUCACCGGGCACAGCAGGGUAGGCCCGCGGGCUAGGCGCGCCAGCAGCUGGCGCGGGCUGCGCGGCCAGGAGGGCACUCGCCCGCGUUGCUGCAGUGGCGCCGUCCGGAACAGCGGGAUAGCGCUGCAGUGGCGCGGCACCGCUGGGACCGGGCGCGGUGUUGGGACCAGGCUGCGGUGCUCGGAGGUGCUCCGAGCUGGCAGCAGCGCCGAUGCACGGUCUAGGUGCGUGCUGCUGCAGCUGCGCUGUGGUCGCUGUACCGGCGGCCGCUGUGCUUGCGGCGGUGACCGAGCCGAUCCUGCCGCCCGGGCGCGGCGGCAGCUGGGACAGCGCCGCGGCUGCUGCACGGAAAUUUGCCGAAGUGGAACCAGCACCGGACAGCUGCCGAGGUCGGGUGGCUGCACCUGCAGUCGGUGCUGAGGCGCGCUCCUCGUGGCCGCCCGCUGCGGUCCCGGGCCCGGCGUCAGAGCCCCAAGACACCCGCCGUGACGGGGCAGGCGCACCGCUGUUGCUGGCGCCACCUGAAGAGGGUUGGCCAUUGUUGGCCGGUGGCACUGCGGACGCGCCGCCCAUAGAGCCGCUUACCCCCGAGCUGUCUGUGGGGCGCCGGGAGCCGGGCACGCUCGCCGCCAGCCGCUGAGCCACCUGAAGUUGUGUGAAGGGCGGUAUCAGCACACGAAAAGUAAAUUGCGGCUAAGUAAGCAACUCCCUAAUCUUAUCGGAGACAGGCCUACGGCAUCAUCGAUCGCCACUGGCUGUCCAUCACCCGCAGCAGCUAUCCGACCCUGUGGCUCCAAGCUUACCUGGCCAAUAUUUGAGCGAUGCACCAGCGCCGUCCACACGUUGCCUGCCUCACUAGGGACCUUGUACUUGGACUUACCGCCCUCCUUGUCUGCGGCGGCACCGCCUGCAGCUCCCUUCUUGCCGUGACUGGGCAGCGGCGGCGGUGCUGGGCCCAAUCCGCGAGGCAGGUCUUGCGGGCGCUGCAUCGCCGCCGUGGUAGACAGGAUGACAUCCGAUACAGCUGCCACAGCUGCAUCACGAGCACCGCCGGGCGGCAGUGGCGGCGCCGCGGCUCCAGUGCCCGUCUGCGGCGCCGGUAUCUGGUGUCCAGCCGCUACGCCAGUAAGCCCUUCUGGGGUAGGCAUCUGCGGCUGCUGCUGUUGCUGCUGUCGCCGGAGCAUGGCCAAUGUCCCGGGUGCAAAGAGGUCGAUGCCGCUGCUCCCGUGACGCCCAAACGCCAGGUCCGAGCCCCGGACUGCUGCCUCUACCUCUGCAGCGCUGAUCCCGCCGGUCGCAGCACCAGCCUGCCGACCGCUGCUGCCCGCUGCAGCCGCUCCCCCUACCGCCAGCCGCUGCCAUUUAGCGGCCACCUGGGGCUGUGGCGGCGGCGGGGCUUGCAGGUAUGCAAAUGGCAGUGUGGUAGCCACACCGCCCGCGUGACCCGCAGCCGCCAGAGGCGCAGACGCUAACAGUGGUGCUGCAAGCACACCAGAGACCGCACUGGCUCCGCUCCAUGCAAAGGCUGGCGGCGCGUUGGCGCCUCCGUCCAGCGAAGGUGCUGCAAACGGGUCUGCGGGGUAGGAGCCAAGCAGUGGGACUGCAUACUGCGCGGGCAUGCCUGACUGGAAGUAUGCCGCAGUCGACACGCUAUCGGUCGCAGGCACAGUCGGCGGCCUGCCUUUGCCCUGGGCGCCAGGCUGGCCUGCCCACAGCUGGUGCCGCUGCUGCUGGGGCGGUGCCGGCGGCUGUCGCUGCUGCUGGUGCGGGUCAGCAGGUGCAGGCACCGCCCCAGUUGUGGCCUUGCCUCCAGUGGCCCCCCACAGCUGGUGUCGUUGCUGCGGAUCUAGCGUGCGAGUUGAAUCCGCUGGCGUGGGCGCCGCAUAAGGAUUGUCACGUGUCGCCCGCAGCGAGUGCUGAUCGGCCAUGGCCAUGGGGUGCUGCAGCUGGCGACCAUCUGUGCCCGGCACAUACCGGCCAGCGCCCGAAGCCGCGUCGCGCAACGUCUGAUGGGCGCUGUCAGCCACUACUGCAUCUGGCCCUGUUGCUACCUGGAGCACCUCGCCUGCACCUCCCUUCUUCGACUUGGAGGGCUUUAGCAGCGCCUUCAGCGCCUUGCCAAACUUGCUUGCCCCGCUCGCUCCAGCACUCUUGUAAGCGCCAGCGUCUGCUGCGCCUGCGCCAGCAGCGGUAGUGUCCAGUCCCGGCCCGGCGCUGCACUCAUCUGCCGCCUGGCCCCCAGCACCUGACCCAGUCGAACCGCUCUGGGGCGCAGCAGGAGUGGCGCCUUCAUAACGACCUCUGCCGUACUGCUGGCACUGCUGCUGCUGCUGUUGCUGGUGCAGGUACUGGACCUGGUGCGGGUGAUUUUGUGGAUGUGCCAGAGGUACCUGGGCGUAUGCGGCCUGCGGCAGCCCUGCAUAUGCACCGCCCAGUGGGGCCUGUCCUGCCUGCUGUUGGGGCUGCUGCCAGUGCUGGUGCUGCAGCUUGUGCUGCUGGUCGCGCAGGCGUUGAAGCGCGGCCGCGGCCGCGGUACUGAGGCCAGCCGGCGCGACGGGGGGCGUGCCGCUGGCCUGCGACAUGAGUGAACGGGCCGAGGACUCGGCGGGGGCUGCCGGGUACAAGGAGCGGCUGGAGCCGGGCGCGGAUGGCGGCGGCUGGCUGGCGCUGGGCGAUGGCGAGGGUGGCAUCUCCACAGUUAGGUGCCGGAAGGGGGCUGAUGCCGGCUGCAGUCCCAAAGCUGCGGUUGUAAGAGGUUGGCGGGUAGGUUCCGUAAUGCAACUAAGUGCGCACCCAAACGCUAUGCCCCUCUACGCCACGCGCCCCCAUGGCCGUGUGUAUGCCAGGCAAGGCCCCAAGGCUAUACUUCCUUGAACUCACCUCCCUGAGCGCCAAACGAUGGUGCCACAGCGUGCUUGCCGAGGCGUGCUUUCAGGGCGUCCUUCUCCCUCGCCAGGGCUGCACUGUUGUCCUCUGCCUGCACGGUCUUGUAGGACCGUGCCAGCUUCUUGAGCAGGGCCUCUGUACCUGCAUGCUGGUCGUGGUGCUGUUGUGCUAGGUCGGCGUGAAUCCCUGCACAUCGAGGGGAAGCUUUUACUUUUAGCAUCGUCGCGAGGAGCAGAGUUAGCACAUACGCUGCCAUUACCAUGAUUGUAUCCUGUUGAAUUCAUUCUUCAGCCACAAAGCUUGGCUGCGACGUCCUAAACAACGAAUGCCGCUGACGGUGGUCAACGCUGCGGCGUGUGCGUUGAUGUGCUAUAUCCACAGUUCAGAAUGACUUCAUUCAUUCGUGUUAUUCUACGCUCUGAAAAUAAAUAAUUCCUUGCAGUUGAAGCCGGCGAGCCAGCUGUUGGGGUCUGUUCACGUUUGCAUUUAGUCGCCGUCUGUGGAAUGCAAUACGGCCAAUAAGUAUAUAUGGAUGCAUAUUGAAGCGCAAUGGGCCCUGCGGUCAACGGAUGAUGCCAGGGAUGGCACACCUCCGUGCCAUUGCCCGAUGGUCCCCCCCUUUUCGGUCCCUCCUGCCCUUCUGUUCCCCUCAAGACACCAGCCUUGCGACGUCCCGCAAACCGUACGCGCCAUUCCGCGUCAUCAUCGCCUGACAAUACCAGCUCAUCGCCUGCCGGGCUCCUUGGCCUCAUCCAUAUGCCCACACACCAAGCCACACACCAAAGACUUUGCAACGUUCCCAUGAGCUAACCAGUUCAGCCUCCACCCAUGCAUCUCGCCCACCAGGCGCAACUACUAUACAACGGCCAUGCGCAUGCCGGCAUACUUUCACCGCCACUUGACAACAGCGCUGUUGGGAUGCCUGCCCGCGCCCGCUUAUGAUGCAACUAUAUCGUACACGCGCACAACCCCGCGCGCAGCGCCGCUGCCAAUACUAGUACCAUAUAGCCUCCGCCAGUCACUGCCCAUGGCAUCCCUAGUGCAUUUGCCUGUGCAAUCAAAGCAGCAACUCUGGUCUUGCGGUCCCUACACCUGCUGGACACCCACGUCAAUUACGCAUACACCAUUUAACUGUCCGCUGCAGCCAUGCAACUCCUGCCCCCUGAUUGUUCUUUACGCCAGCCUGCUGCGGACAGCAAUGCUCUACGCAGCGCCCUUCGCACGUGCCCUCACACAUGCGCCCCGCCCACCUCGUCCUCUAUCCGCCCCAGAACUCGAGUAAACCUAGCUCUGCGACUUUCUCCCCUCCCCCUCGCUUGCCUCCUCCUCCUCCUGCUCCUGCUCCUCCUCUUGCUCCUCCUCCUCCUGGUCCUCCUCUUCCUCGUACCCCUCCUCCGCCUCACUCUUUUCCUCGCUCUCCGCCUCCCCCGCCUCGCUCUCCUCCUCCUCGCUGGUGUCCUCCAGAUCCUGCAGCUCCAGCAGCGCGUCGAACCGGGCCUGUGUGUGUGUGUGUGUGUGUGUGUGUGUGUGUGUGUGUGUGUGUGUGUGUUGUGGGGGAGGGCGGGGCAGGGAGGGUGAGCGGGGCAUGGCGAACCAUGGAGGGCUUGGGUUGGUGGAGCUGUGCUGUGGUUUGUGGUGGGGUUGCAGCGCGAGAUAUGGGGGUGGGUAUGAGACACGGCACAGCCAUCCGAGGCAAGGGCCUCUGCCCGCAGCCGUCCACACACGCACCCACAUGCACACGCCCCCGUUGCCCUUUCUUUCAGCUACCCACCCGCCAUCGCCCCCACCCCCUCACCCUGAUCUCCUGCAGCGUCAUGGUCUCACGCGCCGCGGGGUGGCCGGGUGGCAGUCCCGGGUUGGGGCCGGCAGCAGUGUCGCUGUGAGGUGGGUGGGUGGGUGGGUCAGGUCAGGAACGGCACGGAGGGCUCGGCGCACUAAGUGCGCAUGUAUGGUUCACCAGAGCUCGCAACGACCCGCAGUCAGGCCCGGACCUCCCCAACGUAGCUGCCUCAGUGGCAGAGCCGUCUUGCCCCCACUCAGCGCCCUGCGGCUGUUGGUCACCCAACGCUGUGCGGUGCAGCGCCGCGCCCACCGCCCAGUGGCCUCACAUGGACAAUCGGACCAUGGCGUUCUGUAGCUCCCAGCCCCAGUCCGCAGUGCGGCUGCAGGUGAGCGGGGGGUAGGUGUUGACCUGCAGCAGCGUCCGCGGGACAGGGAGAGGCGCAACAGGCGCGCCGCCCUCGCCCUCCUGAGGGCCCAUCUCCGCGGCCGCGUCUGCAGCGCCCGGUGCGACCUCCCGGAAGUACCAGUAGUGCCUGCGGCGCACCAGGAGGGGGCAGUGGGAAGCAGCGGGCCGCGGGGCACGGGCAGGCCGGAUUGGGGUUGGGGUUGGACCACCCGGGAGCCACAAGGGCGGCAUUGGACAUAUUGACGCUGCAGGCAGCAGGCAUCCAACCCCGUUUGAGAGCCUCCUCCAAAGCGCCUGCCACCAGCCCCACCUCUGCGGCUCGGAGUCCCCCCAUAGCGGGUCGGCGGGCGGCGCCGUGAGCGUGUGGUUGGUCUGGAAGUAGCGCCGCACAGUCAGUGAGCCCAUGGCGGCUGAGAACCAAGGGAUGAACUGCAGGUGGAGGGAGGAGGGGGCAAAAUUAAUGGAGCGACUUGAUGAUGAGAAGUGGGGCGAGCGCCAUCUGGCUUGUAGGCCGCACCCCACCCCCGUGCUGCCCUACAGUUGAUCCUUGCCGGCUGAUGUACCCUGCAACCCCCAACGCCUGCCCUUACAGAUUCCCGCCCUCCCUUCCUGCCCCCCGCACCCCGACUUCCUCCUUCCACAAUCCCUCCCGGGAGCAGCAAAUGCGCCGCUGCCUCUCCCACCUUGAAGGCGAGGUUCCACGUGAACCCGCAGAGCUCGGCCUCCGUAGGCACGUCCCGAUGCGAGUCCGCUAGCGACUGGCCAUAUGCCGCCAGCGGCCGUGUGCUGGCAAGAGUGCGAAUGGAUGGCGCGACCCAAACCUUGCCGGCCCAGAGUGCCUCACAGUGCGAACUCCAGAGCGCCCCGACAUCACGGGAAGCUUUGUCGCGCCAGCUCACGCUCACAGCACAUGCGCGUGCAAGCUCGCGCGGCUCCAAGAACGAUAGGAUGAGGCUGCUAGCAAGGGGGGGCAAAACGGCGAGCGGGUCUGUGCUUUCACGGGAAUGAAUAGAACUGGGCAUUGUGUCCCUGUAAUGUUGAAAACUUGCGCGCAGUUCUGGGGAGUACUUCAAGCUAUAUCAGCUGCAAAAAGAAUCGGAAUGGCGCCCUGCCAUACCACACCUGGCUGAACCAGGCAUGCGGUGCACCUAAGCGCACCACCCUGCAUCACCCAACGCGAGCUUCCCCGGCCCCUGCGCACGGCUGGCACGCCAACUCACCAACAUGGACACUAUUGUUGUUUAAGUGCCGAUGUCAGGCAAAGUUGCGUUCAAUUUGCAAAGAGCCCGCCGCCCUUUUUGUGCAAAGCGUGGGAGCCUCCACAUCCCACAUUCCUCAAGCAGGGUAACGGACUGAUGCGUGGUCGGCGGUGUAGCGAGGUGGCCAGAACGCCGGCCGCACUGGGAUGGCGCUUGCAUACGCUGCUGUGGGGAGUGUCCUGCUCAGGGAAGGUGCCCCACUGCCCCCCCUUGUCCUGCUGUCCAUAGACAAGGAAGGUGGCAGCGUCAGGCGACGUCUUGUGACGGGAUGACAAACAGUUACCGUACACGACCCUGACUUGCGGGCCUGAUACGUCCUGAUGGUAGCAUCCAGUGAACACAUGUCGCAGCCCGUCCAGCACUUCAGGAGCCUUCAGUCCAGAGCGCAGCCCGCGCCUAGCCCGCCUGGCCACCGCACGCACAUGAAGCCAUGUAGCACGCGAGCUGCAUUGCCUGCGCAGAUGCGCUCACGGCCCGUGUGCUGGUUGCUUGGGCCACUGCGGCUACGACCUUGUUUGAAACGAGUACGGUAUUCACGCCACACACGUCACUCCAGUUUACCUUGAGCACGCCACAUCGCGUCUCAUUAGCCCGACACCGUGGCGUGACGAGCCUUAGGUGCGAAAGCAUGGCACGUACACAUAGAGAACAGUGGCGUAGGAAUGCAGGUUGCUUCCACGUCUUCCUGCUGUAUUUGGGCGUGCAGCCACAUUAGCAGCACGCUAUUGAGCCCCAACCAACAUGAUGAAUUGCCACGCUUUCGUAACGUCGUACGACGCCAAGCGCAGCCCGCAAUAUCAGAAAUUCCGAAAGGUUGCAGGAAGUCCAUGAGAGCCGUUGACAGUGCACCAUAGCGUGCGUGACCCCAGGCACAGUAGCAAACCGCCAGGAUGCCCCACAGCUCGCCAACACCACCGCCAUAUCCAUCGUUAUACAAUGGCAACAAACACACGCAGGACGCAUAGCGUGAUCUCUCGUGGCGUUGCCAAGCUUUGUGCAGCAAGGUUGAAUUAGUAGGUAUAAAUGCCUAGCAAGGACCGCUCACACGCGGCACUUCUUGGUGGGCGAGACCUCGGCCAUGGUCGCGGCGGAGCGCUUGCCGUUGAGAGUCGCCGACAUCCGGAAUCCUUGGCAUUGUGUGUUUUAUUUAUACGGUAUUGUACCGCGUCCCGGCGAGAGUGGGCACGGUGUCAUAUCCUGACCUGGUGCACGGGGUUGGGUUGGGAUGUGAAACACGUCUGCCGCCCAAACAUGUAAAAGAAUCUUCACUUGAACGUGAAGGCAUGAAUACGUGCUCGCGCGGUGAGCCGUGCCGCAGACUGUAACUGCACCCCUUGUCGAUCGGUAAGCCUGCCUCACGCAUGGCGUUUGACUUCCGCCGUAACAGGUACCAUGGCAUAUAUGGAAAGCCGGGGCAUUGCAAUCGACUGACAUACUGUUUCCUUCCAUGCUUUGUAGCAGCGAGAAACCACUUGCAAUCAAUGCCCUACGCCAACAACUUCUGCCUCAACAAGCUCAUAUUGCUGGAUUGUGGCCGGCUGCAGUACGCUCUCUCAGUACCGCGCCAGGCAUCCAACACUCACCGCUCGAACGUCUUGCAUCUUCAAGUACAAUGUCAAUAGCGUUGGCAACUCAACCAUCAGAGCAUACCUAAGCGCGCAGGUACUUCACAUGCCGAAAUUGCUCACAUGUCAACCUCCUCGCCCCAGGGUGGCAGCGGCCCGGCACCGUGCCGGCCGCCCGCACCUCCAACGCCGCCUGCCGCACCCGGCGUCAACGGCGCGCCCGAAGGGGGCCGCGGCUGGCGUGGCGAGGAGGCAGCACCCAGCGCCGGCGUCGCCAGUCGGCCACCCACAACGGUGCUAGUGCCGGUGCCGCCCAGCUGCAGCUGUGGCAGCGGCUCUGAGGUGUAGCCCCCACGGCCGCCGCUGGGCCCGCCCCUACCCCCGCCCCCGCCCGCCAUCAGCAUGUCCUGAUGCUGCGGGCUGGCCUGCAGCUGACCCGGCACAUGCGACGGAGCCUGAGCCUGAGCCUGCUGCUGCUGGCGCCCCCGCGGUGUGCUGCCGCCUGAGCCACGCACGUGCGGCAGUGCGGCGGGCGACUGGUCCGAGAGGUCCAGGCAGGCGCCUGGGGGCAGCAUCACGCCGCCGUGGUGCUGGUGCUGCGUCUGCUGGCGGCGGCCGCUGGGGUCGCAGCCGGCGCCUCCGGUGCUGGCGAAGGCCGCCGCCAGCCGCGGUGACAGCGGCGAUACGGUCUGGCCCAGGCCUUGGUGCGGUCCCGCCAGCUGCGGCUGCGUCAGCGGCCAGGCGGGGCUGCCAGUGCUCUGACGCCGCGAGCGAGCGCUGGAGCCAGCAGCGAUCGGGCCCGUCUGUACCGACGGCGGCGGUGCCGGCAUCAGUAGCUGCUCGGGGGUCAGCGGCUGCCGGGCCGGCGCCGGGCCGCCGCCGUAGUACUGUGCGGCGGUGGUGGCGGACGCCGCCGCCAGCUCGUUCCGCAGCAUGCGUUGAGCCGUGGCACGGCCCGAUGGCGAAGCCGCCGGCGAGUAGAACCAGUUGCUGCCACCGCCGCCGCCAUCAUGAUUACCAGCGGGCGACGCCGGCAUGGACCUGCGGCCGCUGCUGCUGGCCGCGUCGUCGCCGCCGAGCUGGCUCAGCAGCAGCUGCUGCAUCUGGCUGCCGCGAGCGCGGCCCGCCGAGGCCUGGGACGCUGAGGCCUGGGAAGCCGAGGCAGGGGAGCCGCUGACCACCGGGACGCUACUCAGCACCUCGCCGCUGUGGGGCGCAGGCGUCAGCACGGGUUGGGGCGUGCAGCGCGGCGGCCGGUCGGUGGCGGCGCCUGUGACUACUGAGAAGCCACCGGCGCCAGCGCGCCCUGCAGCACUGGCCGCGUCGGCGCCGGGGAUGGCGUUGGCGGCGGAGUGACGGCGGCUGCGCUGCGUGGCGACGGGCGCCUGUGCCGGGAGUAUCAGCGCCGGCGGCCGUCGGGCAGUACCGGGACUGCCAGCAGCGGCCUGCUGCUGCUGCUGCUGCUGCUGCUGGUGUUGCCACUGCUGCGCCAUCAUCUGGCUCAGACCGCUGUCCUCCACACUGAGCUGCUGCAUGAGCGGCUCGCCGCCACCCGCAGCUCCCGCCCCACCCGCGCCCGCCAUGGCGGCGUCAUGUCCCCAGCCCACGCCGUCUGCCCCCGCUCCCGACGACUGCCCCUCCCCCUCCUCCUCCUCGGCGCCGCCGGGCGACUUGCACUCGUCGUACCAGCCGGUGCCGUCCAGUGGAGACAGGCGGCCGCUGAGGGAGGGCACCACCGCAGUGGAGCCGCAGCUGGUGGCGGCGCUGACACCGCGCACGUGCGGGCCAACGGCGGCGGCGCCGGCGGCAUGACCGUGGCGGCCGUGGGGGCCGCCGGCGUCCUCGCGGCCGUUGCGCGACCGGCCGCCCCAGGCUGGUGCGACCGCCCCGGCCGGCGGCCCUGCAACCACCUCCGCGCCGGCCUGGCGCUCCUCCUGGGAGGGCGUCAUGUGCAGCGUCACGCGCUGGCCGCCACGGCUGCGGCCACUGCGCGCCCCUGCACCGCCCGGCAACAGCUGCUGCUGCUGCUGGCGGCGGGUGUUGCUAAUGGUGUUGCUUGUGCUGCUUGUGUUGCUGGCGGCUGUGUCAUCCGCCGGCAGCACCUCCUCGUCCUCAAACCAGUCGUCCUGCUCCUCCGCGUGCUGGCUGUGGCCGUGCGGCUGGCGGCCGCUCUGGCGCUGCUGGCUGCGGCUGCUGUGCCCCGACUGCGCCUGUGUUGUUGACGGCCGCGAUUGCCCCCCGCCGUGCUGCUGCUGCUGCUGCUGCUGCUGCUGCUGGCGGUGGCUGUGGUGGCUGUGGUGGCCGCUGAGCGCGCCAGUGUUAAUGCCACUUUUCUUGCUGCGAUGACCAGUCAGGCCCCGCGCCGCCGGCCACUGCUGCUCGUUGCCGUGAACUUUGUGCGAUUGUGCAUGCGGGCUUUGGAUGUGAUGGCUGUGGUGGCUGUGGUGGCUGCUGGCACGGGAGCGCUGGCCCACCGCGUUGGCGCCACGCAGCUUCAGCAUGCCGCCCAGCGUCUUUGACCGCCGCUGGCCCGACCGUGACCGCCCCUCAUCCUGCUCCUGCUCCUCCUGGUCAAGGUCUACCUCCUCCUCCAUGCACUCUGCCGCCAUCAUGGUCAGGAACUCAGCGUAGCUGAUGCGCCCGUCACUAUCUGCGUCCACACGAGACAGCAGUGCCUGCAACAGGAAGCGUACACCGGUGUCAUCCGGGAGUGUGAGCGCGUGGCGUGCGUGAGCAGGCGUGCUGAUGCUAGGUGCUUGCCUAUCAGGGCGCAAGCAUUGGGAGGCAGCGUACAGGCAUGGGUGCGAGCACUUUGCAAGAACCCGCACAGCCCAUAGUUCCGGCCGCGGCCUCACCCGUAUGUCGGGCCCCUCGCCCGUGGGGUGGUGAGCCGCCAGCGCCGACCUCAGCUCGUCCACAGUGAUGUAGCCGCUGCCGUCUGCGUCGAAGUAGGCGAACGCCGCAGCCAGCGGGUUGCCGGGGUCGGACCGGGCCGCUGAGGCGCCGCUGGUGCCGGGGCGCGAGCCGCCCACGCCGCCCGGGCCCCUGCCGCCGGCCCCGCCUCCAGCUGCUGCGGCCUGCUGCGCGGCUGCCAGUGCGGCUGCGGCCUGGCGCGCGAUGACGGCGGUGGGCAGUGCGGCACCCAGGAACUCGGACUCGUCCAGCAGGCCGUCGCCGUUCAGGUCAGACCUAGGGGAACAGGGGAGAGGAAGGAGAGGGCAAGAAGCCAUGGGAAGUCGCGAUGGGAAGUGGAGCCAUGGGAUGCCGCGAUUGCGCGACGGGCAUGUGCAUAGCUGUGAGGAGCUGUCCGGACACCCUGUUCAGGGCAGUCUGUUCAGCGCUAGCCCUCUUACACCGUUCCGGUUGUCGCCUGUGCUAGGCGUAGACCUAACACAUUGUUGCUUCGUGAGGGGGACGCGGCGAGUGCGAGAGAGCCUCGGAUGUUCCUCGCCCCGAAUGCCUCGGGUCGGCUGGACAGUGACAGUCCGCUUUCAAGGGUGGGCUGCAAGAGCUCGGGCAGACGUCGAUAGCUUUAAAGCUGUCAAGCUUCACCUACUUCCAACAUCACCCUGCGACAUACUCGUGGAGAUACCCACGUCCCCACCUCCGCCAUCCCAACCCCCCACCGCCCCCAGCCCGCAGCCUCACCGCUCCACCAGCUGCCUCAUCUCCUCCGCAGUCAGGGCGCCCGGUGCCCCAGAGCCGCCGCCCACCGCCGCCGGCACCAGACCGGAGGCGGAGGCGCGGUUGCGCAUCUCCUGCCGCGCCAGACCGGCCUGAAGCAGGGGUUUGCGAUGUGGGGUGCGCCAUGUGGGGUCGUUUAAAGGGAAGGCAGUGAGCCGGAGGAAGGGCACGGCACGAUGCUCGAUAGGCGGCGCAGUCCCAGGUCCCAAUCCCAUGAACCCCCUCCCCCUCCCCCUCACCCCGCUGCCGCCUACCUGCAGCUCCUCCACACUGAGCUUGCCGUCUCCGUCCGCGUCCAACGACUUGAACUGCGCCACCAGCCCCGCCACCUCCUCACGUCGCAUCAGGCCGGCAACCACACGCCGAGCCUCCUGUAAUAGUGGUGGUGUGCCGAGUGCGUGACACAGCCGCGACGGUCAGGUGGUGGUCCGUGGGAGGCAUGGCAUGGCUGGUGGUGGUCGCGGCCCGCUGGCGCUUCCACCCACUUUUCUGCAGCCCUCGUCCCAACCGCCCCCCGCCCCCACCUUCUGGAAGCUGUUCAUGCGUGCGAAACGGCGCAUGCGCUCCGACACCACACCCGGCAGCGGCACGCAGGGCGCGCGGCAGGCGGCGGCGGUGCGGCCGAACCAGGGCAUGGCCAGCAGCUGGUCGGCAGUGGCGCUGUGGGUGGUGAAGGGAUGGAGGGAAAGGGCAACACGGGGAGUUUAAUCCCUGUCAUGAAUUCCCCGCCAAGCCAAGUGCUGUAACACGGCAAGCAUUGACCAAAGGUGGGCUGGUCUUGCAGGACUCCGCGCAUUAAAGUACGUUAAGACACACUGGUGACUGCGUGACCCCGCCCACACCCCAGCCCGGCCGCCCGCUCCGCCGGGCUCACCGGCGCUGCGGGUCCCUGUCCAGCAUGGCGGUGAGGGCGGCCAUGGCCUCGCGCGAGAUGGACGACCAGAUGGGGUCGGACGCCAGGUCAAGAUGGCCCUGGAGGGGAUGCAAGGGAAAACAUUGGGAGCAGAGGGGGCGCGAGCGGGGCAAGGAGGGAGGCACGAUGAUCGGGGGCCAGCAGGAGAGACGUUGACUAUACAGGUCUUAAACGUGGUGUUCAGUAUGCGCUUGGCAGUGCUGGGCAGCGGAGGGCAGCUGCCCGUGGCCAUGCACGUUCGUGGAGCAGCUGACCCGAACCCCCUCCCCAGCCCCCUCCCUGCCCGCCCACCUGCUGCACGGCCUUGAGGAUCUCCUGGUCGUUGCGCCCGUCAAACGGCGCGUAGCCAGUCUGUGGGGUGCGGGGCAGGGGAGUGCGGGGUGGACAUGGUGGGACCGGCAGACGGGCGCAUGCAUCAUGGCCCCCGCUGCCGUGCCCUGGGUCAGCCCCCUCACAGCUCCCCAGCCACCUGCUGCCUCCUGGCUGUCCUGCCCCCGUGGCCCUGAGGCCCCUGCUGGCCCCCGCCCCCCGCCCCCCGUCAUGACUCACCAGCAGGAUGUGCAGUAUGACUCCGGCGCUCCACACGUCCGCGGACCGGCUGUAGCUCUUGGCCAACACCUCGGGCGCCACGUAGUAGCUGGUCCCAACAGUGUCAGACAGAGGCGUGGCGUCUGUAGCGGGGCGGGGAGGAGCAGACGCGUAGGGAGAGGAGGGGAGGGGGUGAGAGGGAGGGGCAGGCGCCGUGUGUAUUGCAAGCAAAUACAAGCCCCCGCAUGUCCUCCCCCGCUGCUGCCGCUCACCGCUGCAGAACACGGACAGCCCAAAGUCGAUCAGCUUGAGGCGGGCGCCCACUGCGCCCUUGAGGUCGGGGUCCGCCGCCGCCGCCGCCGCAUCCAGCUGCGCCGUCAGGGCCGCCAGGCUGUCCGCAUGCAGCGCCGCCAGCGAGCCGCCAGGCAGCGUCUCAGGCGGUGGGGGCGGCGCGGUGAGCAUAAAGUUCUCGGGCUUGAUGUCCUGCGUGCGUGUGUGUGGAUAGUGAGCGUGUAGGAAAUGACUAUAACUAUAUAACACAAAGAGCAAAGAAGCGGGCCAUGCAUGUACGGUAUACAUUUCGUGGCUUGGCAUUCCAGCACUGCCUGCCAUGAGAGAGCAACUGGAUCCAUCCACACCCAGCCGCCCCCUCCAGCCCGCCGCCCACCCACCCUGUGCGCCACCCCCAUGGCGUGGCAGUAGGCGAUGGCGGUGAGCACGGUGCGCAUCACGUCCGCCGCCGCGCGCUCGCUGUGGCGGCCCACACUGAUGAUGGCGUCAAACAGGUCGCCGCCCUGAUGAGGCAGAGGUUGUAGGGUGCAUGAAUAAGGAGAAGAAGCAGAGCACGCGGUAUUCCCCUCUCCAGCCGCCCGGCCCCUUCCUCUCCCCACACGCUCCCACCCACCCGCCCUCACCUGGUACAGCUCCAGCACCAGGUGCAGCUGGCCCGGCUCCUCAAACACCCCCAGCAGCUGGCUGAUGUGCGGGUGCCCGGAGCUGCACGGGUAACGCGGAAGGUGGGCACGGGAGCGGUGGAGCCGGGUUCAGGACAGGUGCAGAGGGGAGGUGCUGCGAGAGAGGUAAAGUAGGGAUCGUGCUUGGGGCAGCCGCAUGUGCUGCGUUACAGCAUGGCUGGCGCCCUUUCCUUUCAACAUGCUAGGUAACUCCCGCCCAAGUGCUGCCGCAACUUACAGGUGGUGUAGAAUCUGCGGAGUAAGCGCAGGGCCAGGGCAGGAGCGAGGAAAUAGGGCGGGAGGAGGUGGGGUUAGGGCAGUCGCGGAGCGGUGGAAUGGCAGUUGACUGGCCAAGGGACGCGAGCGCAAGUUUAUCACCGACCGACUAUCACGGCACCGCGCCGCCACCCACCUCCACCUCACGACGCAGGGCCGCCACAUCGCCCGCACCCAGCAGUGAUUUCUUGAUGGUCUGCAGGGCGGGCCGGGUCAGGUCAGGUCGGGUCAAAACAGCCAGCGGAACGGAGGUGGCAUGUCCGGCAGGCCUGAUGUGCGCACAUGCUGACACGGCAACGAGCUGGGUGACACAGCUCCUGCCCGCAUGCCCGCUCCAAGACCCGUCCCGAUGCAAGGCCUCUACCUAUACAAGCCCCCGCCCCACACCGCGCGCUAGCCCCGCACCUUGAUGGCCACCUGUGCCCCGCUGGCGAUGUGCCGCGCCCGCCGUACCACCCCGAAGCUGCCCUUGCCCAGCACGUCGCCCAGCUCGUAGGCGCUCUCCACAGGCGGACCAGGCCGCAGCACCCAGGUGGGGGCAGUGUCGGCGGCGGCAGCUGCAGCGGGUUUCUGAGCGGCAUGCUGAUCCUGCUGCUGGUUCGGUGCAGGCGCCGGUGCCGCUACAGGCGCAGCCGGAGCAGCGACAGCGGCAGCUGCUGCAGCGGCGGCCUUCUGCUGCGCCUUCUGAGCAGCGGCCGUCGCUGCAGACGCAGGGGAAGGCGGGGCAGCGGUCGCGGGUGACGCGGGUGGCUGCACUGCCGCCGGGGGCCGCGGCGAUGGCGGCACCACCAGGGCUGCCUGUGCAGCUGCCCAGGCCGCCUCGCCUCCCGCGGAGCCGCGCCGUGCGGCCGCCUGCCGGCCCGUGCCUCCUGUGACGGAGGCAUCCCGGGGCGCUGUUGCCGCCAGGUUGCUGUUGGAGCGGCGGGUGCCGCCGACAGAGCCCAGCGCCGAACCGUCCACCGGGACCGCCGCCACACCGCCUGCGCCCGGGGCGCCGGACGGGCUCUCUGACGUGUAGCAGUUGGGGCAGGAGCGGGGCGGUGGAAGUGACGUCAGCUCCUCAGGGCCGAAGCUGUCGGGGCCGUCCAGGCCGGCGCCGUCAGACAUCGGCUCCGAGGGCCGGCAGAACGACUGAACCACACAGUCGGCCGGGCCAGCGGCAGCAGGCGCUGCAGCUGCCGCGCCCGCGGCAUUAUGCCUGGCACCGUUGGCGUUGGCGGCUACGCCAUUGGCGGCGCCGCCGUGGGAGGUGGAGUAGGUGCGGGCGGACACUCCAUCAGGUGCACCGUGCCCCGCCAACACGGAAGAGGAAGCUCGCCGCGUCGCUGGCGCGGCGCCGGGUGUUUGUGGUUGCGUGGCGGGCGACACACGCAGCGCGCCACCGGUGUUAGUGGUAGCGCCUCCGCCACCACCGUUGCCAUUUGUGGGCGACACGCGCGCGCCGACGCUGACACGCAGGCCCACGCUGCCUGAGGCCCGGCCACCGUUGCCGCCACCUGCACUAUCACGGUCCACACCGGACUCCUGAAGCAGCUGCUGCAGCUGCUGCUGCUGCUGCUGCUGCUGCUGCUGCUGGGCCUCGUCCGGUGACGCCGCGCCGCCGCGUAGUCCGGCGAUCUUGUAGCUGUCUGAGCGUUUGGCGCCACGCUUGCUGAUGCUGGCACGCAGCGACCUGCACACGUUGUAAAUGAGAGAGGCAGGUAGCAGAAGGUCAAUAUUCAUCUGUCACAGGCUACCUUGACUGGCGCCCGGGCACGCUGCGUUACAUGAGGGUUGAGGGCAGGCGCAAACUGCGGGCCACCCGCUGGCACUUCUACCCGUGCACCCAAUCAAUUUUCCGCCAUCCCUUCUCUCCCUCCUUGAAGGUUCGCCUUCAUGACAUGCUGGCCCAACGCUCAGGCCCGGCGGUCACCUUGCAGAGGUCUGCCACGCGGUCUUCAGUGCGGCCGCCCUGAGCUGGGCGGAGCCGGGAGAGGCGGAUAAAGCGCUCGGAGAGGAACCCGUCGGCUUAGUCACUGUCAGUGACGCUGCCGAGUCUGCAGGGUGCUCAGAGUCCGGUGGCCCUAGAGGGGCCUUGGAGAGGCAGAGCCCCAUAAUUUACACGUCACUUGGUGCGAUGAUGCGGCAGUGAAAACCUCGGGCGGGCUCACGCGCCUCGCCACGCCACGCGAUAACGGUUAUUUACGCAAACCAUAUCGUAGUGUGGAGUAUGUAAGAGCAAAUAGCGGCACACAGCUGAAUGUGCUGGUCAAUGGAAGGUCUGCUAAGACGGAGCCACGAGCUGCCUAUCUCAAACGACCUAUCACUGUAGAUGGUCAGACUUCAGGCUGCGCGCCCCAGGCUGAGGCUUGUUUGGCCAGUUAACUUCAUGCCAAGGGUUGGUGCGCUUAGUCGUCUGGAGGGAGUCGUAGUUGUUUCUUGUUGGUAUCUGCAGUCUAUGGUUAUGUGUGAAUAAGACUGGCAGGCGACAGGAAGUAGAAGAACGGUACAACGAUCGUGAAAAUGAAGUACACACUUGCGGCGGAUGGAUGCAUUCCGCUACCUGUCCUGCAUAUACUCACUUAUCAACAACGCGUGUGGCGCAGGCAGAACCACUCUGUCCGGGUCGGACAACACCCAGGCUCUGGCAUGUCGCUAUGGCCGUGCGUCGCAGCUUAGGGUUCGCUGACGGGGUUCCGACCAAGAGUGGCAGCUUUAGGUCGCGGUUAUCAUGACGGGUCGCAAGCGGGGAGGGUAUACUGUGCUGAACAGGCCGUCGCGCUGAACAGGUUGGGUGCCGCAGGUGGUAGGGGGUGGCACCUUUCCACUUCUACCCCCGCUUGAACCUUCAGCAGAUAGGCAUCAUGGAGUGCGGAUUUGGCGCAACGGGCCGGGGGUAGCAGUACAGCCGCAAUGCUUUUAUGUUACGGAGUUCGUGUAAAGGGGGGCGGGGUUUAGAAAGCUUAGCAUCUCACCCCAUGCUCCAAAUUGUAUAACUGUAGGAGAGCGUUACGCACGUACUUUUACUUUUGACAGGGGCGAUCUGGUGAGGAGGUUGGGGGGCCGGUCGUCGUCCCUGGGGUGUGCGAUGAGGUGCGAUGGGACAGAGUUUAGGCAGGUUGGUGACUUCCCAAAGGAUGCAGCUGAUUCCCAGACCCCAGCAGAUGAAUAACAAUUUGCGACGGCAGUGCAUGAGCGCGCGCCUGGUCGGCACUACUUUGACAUACAACUGAGGGGUUUUAACCCCUAACCGGCAAGGUUUUAUCCGUGGGGGGAGGUCGGUCGUCCCAUCAAGGGGGGCCCAGGGGAGUUCGGGUGUGGCACUUUGUUCCCUAUAUUCGGCUAUUCCCCCUGGUUUGACGACCUGCAAGUCCUUACGUUGCAGACAUUACGCUGCAGUCCUCGUUGCUGUGUCAUGGACCCAAAGCGAGGCUCACUGUGGGCGGAACACGGAAGUUCUACGACACACAAGUAUAUAACCCUGCGGACGGCGCCCUGUGGCACCUAGAUGUGUCUUUUACCGACUGUCCUACUACACUCACCUCCAAUGCUCCAACCGGAACCGGUCUCUUCGUCACCGCUGGCAGAGGGACCGCAGCUGUCCGAUGGUCCGCGAAACCGUCGGGAUACUCCUCAGGGCCAAGCUCAGGGCUGAGCACUGUGCGCCGCACCUCUCAUUCAACCUUGCCGUGUCCCUCGCUGCCACGCGGCUGUGCAGUUGGCGCCCGUCAUCUAUAUGGGGCCGAUGCUGUCGCCAACAUGCCUUCCCCGAAUUCAUGGCCAUUUGCCUAGAUUUGCCGAUUGCACGGAGGCCCGGCCCUUCGUGGGCAGUCCUACGCCGCGUCGCAUGCGAUUCCAUACUGGUAGCCUAUCACCCUACCCCCACAUGCAGCAUCCACGUAAUCGCUUAUCGCGUGCUCGGCUAUCCCAGAAUGCGUGUUGCGCGUGGUCCAUCCCUCACCAUAUCGCAUACGCAUUCCAUGCGCGGAUCAUACACACAGCGACUUUCUCGGCCUCAGAAAGCAGACAGCACCAUGCUCGCAGCACCCAUAUCGUUGAAUUCCUCACCUGUUCGACGCACCUUAAGCUCUUGCGACGCGGCCCAUAUGUCGCACGCCAAGACCACACUUUACAGCAAGGACUAAAGCAGCCUCCGGCAAGCAUCUUUGCCUGUACUACAUUGGACUGGCACGCCAGCAAAGCAGCGCUCUUCUUCACCUUGCUACGAAGCGUUUCUCCGCACUCUCGACGACAAGCAAGGCGCGAACUGCUUUCCGCGCUCGUCGUCACUAAGAAAGCAUCCCUGUGGAAGCCUUGACCGGCCAGAAUGCUGGCCCGCAGCGCCUUUGACAGAACUCACGCGCUCAAUGCACACAGCUCUCGAUUAGGUAGGAUACGCACGCGCGCGCGCUCCGCCGCCCUCCCCUCAGUGCACGAUGCCCAGCACGCGCUCCAGCUUCGCCUUGACCUCGGCCACCAUGAACCACGCCACCGUGGAGGCGCGGUAGUACUCGUAGUCGUGCGCCGACUGCCCGGCAGGGAUGGACGGAAAGAGAAGUGGGAUAGGGGGGCGCUCAGGGCACUCAACAUUUGGGUUGGUAGCGGCCACAAGCAUCCAGACCACACGACAUAAGAUGAAAGCUGCUGGUGGUGCCGCGAGCAUGUUGACGUAGCAUUCACGGUGGGUAUGUGACAGCUGCAUGCAACACUGGGCAGUAGCGCGAAUGCGGUCAUACACUUGGUUGUUAGCAGCCAGCGCUCACCUGCGGGUAGAUGAGUGUUAGAGCGGUCUUGACCUGCUCCAUCUUGACACCGGCCUGCGGAAACGAAGGAGGACCAGCGCACCGGUGUUCAGGAGUCUCGGACAGGCAGGUACCGGUUCCGUCAGUCGAUGUCUACCGUACUGGUCAGCACGAGCGACCUCUACCCCGGCCCUUUCCGAGAGCGCUUCACCUGCAUCCAACGCUUCAGCAGCUGGGGGCGCGGCACACAGAAGCCGCAGCGAAUGCCGUUCUCAAUUGCGUGGUUGCAUAGCGCAUAGAGCAGGCCUAUGGACAUGUUGAGGCGGUCCACGCUGCUCCACGUGAUGGUGUUGUCCUUGGUGGACUCUGCUAUCGCAUGCGACACGCGAUACCGCCAGUCAGUGGUGCUUCAUAGCGGGCGGGAGCAUCAAUGUCCAGAGUGAUAGCUAUAGGUACAAGAGCAUGACGGUGCACCCGCCAUGCCGAGCCAUGACUCACCCGCCGCCGCCAGCGCCUGCUCCUCUGUCAAGCCCUCCGCCAGUGCCGGCCGCACGCUUGUGUGCGGGAUCUGCAGCCCCCACAGCUCGAUGCGCUCGUCCACGCCAUAGUACCUGUGCAGCGCGCACACAGCACGGCAUGUUGCAUGCUAGACCGGGAAGCCUGCUGUGGAUAGGGGAACAACGAUGGCAUUGCAUGGAGGCAGCUGCACUCACCGCAGGUCCUCCGGGUCCUCAAAAUCGAAAAUGCAGGAGGCGAUCAUGUUGGUGCCGAAGGUGGCCAUCAGGCAGCCCACCGCCGGCCCCACCGCCUCCUUCAUCGUAGACUCCCCGGUCGCCACGCUCAGCAGCGCUGCCGCCAUGUCCCGGCCGGGGUUUACCUGCACAGGUCAACACAUGCAUGCGGUGAAGCGCAAGAGCAGCAGGCUUCUGGUGCUACACACGCAGUACUGUUUGCAUUAGACAAGAAGGCUGUGCCGCCAGCCCCGAGCCGCCGUCGGCACCCGCACCUCCAGGCGCGCCAGCAGGUAGGUCAUCUUGUCGCUGGCGGGCAGCGGCGUGUUCUCGGGCAGCAGGCUGAUGACGUCCUUAAAGUCCUCCUUGGUGCAGGCCUUGAACACCGCCAACGUGUCGUGCUGAUUCACCUGACACAGCCACAGCGGGCGGACGGCAGCGUGGAGAGCUCAGUCCUGGCCCCCGCAAUCACCUGCAGCCUCUGCCCUAGCACCUCCGCCGCCAUAUUUAAGUCUUCCCCAUCACCCAUGUCAAAGCAAGUGGCAUGGGUUGGCCUGGGGAUUGGGGUGUCGACGCUGGGUCCAGUGGCCAACCCCCUCAACAGCACUCACCUUGAACCGCGCCAGCAGCUUGGGCACCUCGCCCUCGUCUAGAAGGUCGUAGCCGCCCGCGUCCUCUUCCCGCGCCGCGGUGCCGUCCGUCUGGCUGCCCUCGCCCUCGCCCUCGGCCGCCGCCGCGGCCCGCUCCAGCUCCGUGAGCGACACCUCGCUGCCGCCAGCGCCAGCCACGCCUGCGCCGACCGCGCCUGCAUUCAUGACCCGACUCGAGGUUACACACGUGAAUGCUGCAGUCGACGCGGCAUACAGGGCUUACCACGUACCAGAUGGACAACUGAGCGCGCUUUGCCCAUGACCCACCAGCCUUUUGCGCCCUGCGGAACUUGGACUUGGCCGCCACGGGCGCCGCUGCUGCCCCUGCGUCGUCCUCCUCAGCAAACAUGGACUCCUCCUGACCGCUGCCGUCGCCUGCUGCGCCCACGCCGCCAGACGGGUCCUCGUCGGCAAACAUGGACUCGUCGGCCCCCUCACCCGCCUCCGCCGCGGCAAAGUCCUCCGUGCCAAUGUCUGCCUCCGCCUCGCCCUCGCCCUGCAGCCACAGCGUGUUGUCCAGUGAGGCCGUGGUAGGACAGUUCCAAGGAGGCGCACUACAAGACCAUGACAAUGGCAAUAACCGCUUAUGAAUGGGGAGGUUACCUGCUCAUAGAAGUCGUCGUGGCCACCGAACUCGCUGCCACCACCACCCGCGGCUGCGGCUGCGUCGCUGGCCUCUUGAGACGCCAGCCACGAUGCGAAGCUGGACUUGCCCACCGACUUGGCGGUCGACGCCCCUGGCCGCGGCCCUACAGUCAACAGCAACCCUAGGCGUAAGAGACCUGCACCUAACAGGCCACAAGCUUUCCAGACGUGCGCUUGAAUCGGUGUGCGCGGACUAUCCCAGCACUGCUCCGCACUGCCCCAGCCUCCAGACACGCACUUACGCGACGGAGUGGUGCCGCCCGGCGAGGCAGUGCCCUCUUCCCCAGCGGCCGCGCCGGCACCUGGACGCCUGCUGCUGCCCGGCCUAGCCGCAGUUGACCGCCGUGCGGAGGCCGGGCCGGCCGCCGGUAGCCCCUCCUGCGAACUGGCCACCUGGCUCAGCCGCAGUCGGUUGCCAAAGCCCUUCAGCAGGUCGUCGCCGAUGACCUGUGGACGCAAUGACACCGGCCCGCGGUCAUAUCCCCACCUGGCAACACACAACCUGCUGGUUGAGACGGGCGCGCACACACCUGCACCGCAAAAGCUGCCGACAUUUGGCCGCAACAGAGGGAACGUGGUUGAGGCCUACCUGGUCGGUGGGGAUGCUGGUGCCUGUCCCGCCUGCCAGCCGCCGCCGCAGCUCGUCGUACUGCGUGGCGCGCAACCGCUGGAAGCCCUUCGCCUUCAUCUGCUCCUCGCGCAUGGACAUGAGCGCCGCCAUCCGCUUUGCCUCCUUCUCCUGGCGCUCGCGAUCACGGCGCUCGCGGUUCUCUUUUAGCCGCUCGUGGUCCGCCAACAGCGCCUGCGCGUGUACGUUGACAAGAGCCAUCGUCACGCGCCCAUGUCAGUAGUUUGUCCACCGUCUGCCCAUUACUAAGCUGUGCGCAACACGCACGUGCUCCUCCAGCAGGCGCGCCGUUUGCGCAAUCACCCCCGCGCCCUAGACCGGUGUGCGCGCCCACCUGCAGCUGCAUCAUGCCCAGCGAGUUGCCCAUGCCCGCGGUGGGGAUGGUGGGCAGCAGGUCCUCCUCCAGCGUGGUGAACCUGGCGGCCAGAGGUGGGGACAACAGCAAGCACUCCUGAGUGAGCAGACCCGGCAGGUGCUACCCCAACCCGCCAUGCUGCACCAGCCGGUCUCUACGAUGUUGGCCUAGCUUCCUUCACUCUCACCUGUUUGGGAGCGGCUGGUUCUUGAUUUUACACGCGCGGUUCGCGUACUUCAGGGUGUUAUUGGUCUCCUCAAAAUCCGCCUCCGACGGGCUGAUACAGCUGAUCAGCACCGUCAGGCUGUUGCCGCCCAGCGAGUCCUUUGGCCGAGGCAUGGGUGCACAUUUUGUGUCAGUCAGGCAAGCGUAACCACAUUUGCAUCCCCGUCACCAACCCCGGUCCACGUUACGUGCUAAUGUCCCGUCUGCUCGUCCCUGCGCUUGAGACGACCAUAUCCCACCUGCAGCAGGCGAGUCAGCUUCGAGUCCCGAUACGGCACGUGUGCCUUCUUUUUCUCCACACCAGGCGUCUCCUUCUUGGCGCUGCCCUCCGCGCCGCGGUCCUCGCCCGCCAGGGCCACGAUUACGUUGCCCAGCGCCAGCAGGCCGCUGCGUGUGGGGAUAGACCGCGUGUGCGCGCUCUCAGUCUGCCCCCAUCCACAGACCACGCCCAUGUCGCUUGUACGGAUAUGCGCGUAGAAGGCCAUGCCGGCUGACCCCUGCCUAGCGCGCACCUGUUGAUGUGCGUGGCCUCCUUCAGCUCCUUGCCCGUCACGCCCGAGCGCUUGACGCGCUCGCUGCCGGCCAGGUCCACCAGGUGCAGCUUGCUGGUGAACUCACUUGUGCGCACCUAGCCACGUGGCAAGCACACGGGGUUGUGCGCUCUGGCGCGUACGGUAUAAGCGAACCAUGGCAACCACAGCCAUUGGGGCAUCCCUCAACGCGCAAGUACCACACACAUAUCGGACUUGUUGAGAGGUACUCUGUUUUCAUCCCUACCCUUCAUCUCCGGCCGGUGAGGUCUAACUCUGCUGCGCCCGUACACCGACCGGCCCACCUUGGCCUUCAGGUCCGAGCCCAGCUCGUUGAGCACCUCCACGAUGGUGCGCUGGAUAGUGAUGGUGAAGAUGGCGUGCGAGCGGGACGAUCUGCGAAAGCGCCGGCACCUCGGUUGCACUCAUGGGUUGCCUUCUAUGCCAUGUACAUGCAUACGCCCUCUGACCCUCCUUCAUCGCUCGACCUGAGCCCCUCUGUAAAGCGAAUCAACACAUGCAUGCAUGCGCACGCAAGUGUAGAUGUGUUGACCGUACCUGUCGUUCAGCUUUGUGGAAGAGGUGGAGCGGUUAUCCACACACUGGUUGAAGAAGUUCGUCAGCUCCUCCGCGCUGCUCACCACCCGCUCAGUCACACCCACCACCUGCAAUACAGGGCCGCGUCCGUUUGUGUGGUGCUCCGAAGCUUCGCACGUGGUAAACUGCACAUUGUUCAGGGCUGUCCCCUGCAGGCAGGCCCCUUACCUCCGGCACGACACGACCCUCCUUGCCGACCGGGCGCUCCUGCAGCUUCAGCGCCGACGGGUUGCCACCCUUGCCGUCCCAGCCCUUGGCGCUCUCAUCGCGCCCGCCCGCCAGCGCCAGGUCGCGCAGGUCCUCAUUGUACAGCUCCAAGCCAUAUGCCGCGAUCUGCGCCCAGCAGUGCCCCCGGUGAGCAAGUCAUGUAGUGGUGGGCGCCCUGGCCCUUGUACACGGCUGCUCAACGCAGCGUGCACAUGCCCCAUCCCAGCUGCUAGUACGCACCCUUCACGCCCCCUGCGCCUGAAUGACUCAUACCCAGCACAUGCCCACCUGUGUCUUCUCGCCAGGCUUCUCCUUCUUUCGGAUAGCCUCCGCGAGCGCGAAGAUGUGCUGAAUCACCCGAGGCGUGAUGCCUGCGCCCGGCACGGGUGUUUUAGUCUAAUUGCCUCUGUUUUGAAGGUGCUGACUGGCAACGUCGUCGCCAUGCAAGUGACUCACCCUGCUCCACAACACCGUGAAUACCCGCGCCACCGGCCAUCGUGUGCGUCUUUCCCGAACCCGUCUGGCCAUAGGCGAGCACUGUCGCGUUAUAUCCCUGCGUCAAGCACACCGACCAUUAUACAUCAGAAGAGCUCCUGAAACUCAGCAAAACACAUUCACGGGCAUUUGCAGCUGCAGCUGACCUUGAAGACCGCCUCCACCAGCUGUGCGACGCAGUCGUCAUAAAUUGCGUCCGACGUCACAUCCUGGCCGUAGCGUCGAUCAAACGCAUAUCCUUUCGCGGUGGCACCGCGCAGCUGCAGCAGCGUGUUCUUGUCCACGGCCUGCAAAGGACGCAUGCGCGGUCAAGCCCAUCUCCGCGCCCAAGCCAGCCCUACAAGCGCCAAACUCACCGAAAGUACGACUUGUCGUGUCUCCUCAUCGAAGUUCACGCAGGCGCGAAGGCCCUCGUCGCGCUCGCGCGGGUUGAGGGGACGCACCUUUGGAAGAAAACAAAAAGGCAGCCCCACAGUCACCGCGCCACGCAACCAGCGCCCUACGCCAAAGGACGCAACAAAACCCAGGAAAACACAGGGCCUGGCAUUCAUGUACUUACACGAACUGCUACUUGGAUUGAGCUGGAAAAUUCCGACUGAGCGCCUCCCUCCUGCUCCGCCAUCCCUGCCGGCUUCCAGACUCAAUAAGCAGCAAGAUUAAACCUUUCAGUCAGUGUGAAAAGUCGACCAACGAGGAGCAAAUGUGAUCCUUCUUUUCGCCUUGUAGUUUCAAACCUAGCCUCCGGCGUUUUAGUGCGACGCCAUGUUUACACAUGAAUUCAGUGCAAUUUGCAGCGCGGUUAGGCACGGCCGUGCCAAGAGACUCACGGCUGCAGCAUUGAGGACCCCGAUCGCGCCCACUCGACCGUGCCGUCAAGCACGCGGUUCAAGCGAUUCCAGUCUCAGGCCCGCUCACACCCCGCACCCAGCGUAAGGGAUCAUCCCCUUCUGGCACCCCCUUCCCCUGCUCCGCAUAUUCGUGAUACCACCAUCCUGGGAGCGAUGGGACAGGGUAAGGGGCAGGGGUGGCCGCCAACUCCGCCUCGGUUGCGCAGGCCCUCCUGCGCUCCUUGGAGCUGGAGGCGGCACUUGCAACAACGUCAGGGCAGUCACGCAGUCAGUCGCUGAUACAACAAGUCCUAGCCAUGAACGCAGCCAAACCGCAUCGCCAAUUCCCACACGUUGCCUCACCUGCGGACAGCAGCUUCAAAGAAACAGACGGCUGGCUGCUACUAGCUCACGCGGGAAAACGAUUGAAGCUUAGCCACGAAGACAAAGCUGUUUGGCAAGCCGAGAACCACGAUCCAUGAAACCGCACCCAUCUCCCCACCCCCGCACCACGGGCAUCCACCUCGGCACCUCCCCAAGCCUAUAGCCGCCGCCUCCUUCAAAUCUGAAUGGCCCCUUCCAGGCGGUCGCCACGCUUUGCCAGUCCUUGUCACCCCCCCCCCCACUUUUCCACCGUCUCACUAUGGCCAACAGCACUUGCGGUCAUCAACGUCAUCUUUGUGGAUGUAGACUUUGUCGUCCUGACAUUGAGCGCAGACGGGCUGGAUUAACGUAACCGUCAGCUCCCUUCAACCUUCGGCCUAAGGCUUUGCCACCACCCUGCAGUGCCGCACCAGCGCCUUCCGUUUGCCUCUUGUAGUAGGAGUCGCCACAGCCAUAACCAUCAGCCUGCGACAGUUCGCGUGUUUACAGCGUUGCAGGCUCGAUUAGCACCACAUGACGACUGCUUGCAACGCCCUACAGUGCCACUUCCGUUGCCAUGAGCUGAGGCAGGGACGUGCACUUUGGUGGGUGCUGGUCUCGCAGCCGUGUUGCAUGGGCCCGCACACCUUGUGCCUUCCAUGUAAAGGCGUUCGAUGCGUUGAGGCGGUACAACCGGGUAUUGCAAUGGUGCGCAGGUAUUUGGGGGGUUGGGGGCUUCAAGUGAAGGCUGUAGGCCAGGCAGCACGGGCUGUCCUCUCCAGCCCCAGCUUUUGCGGGCAGGCAUUCGUUUACGCCUCCUUUCAUAUCUGAGCUCCUUAUCGCAGGGGUUUGCAUGUGUAGGCCAGGCAUGGGUACCGAAGACGCUUUGGAGAGACGAAUGCGCAGGGGUGUGAAAGGGGUUUGCGCUCGCUUUGCGCGGCACCACGCUCUCGACCAGACCCUCAGUCCAGGCCUCCAAUCUUCGCCUCGCAGGCUCUGUCGUGUGUGUCGGGUUGCUGUAUCCUUUCUGUGUGCCUGUGCCUGUGUUACCCCGUCCCGCCCACCUAGAGGCCCCAAACGCCCUUUCCAGCAGGGCCCUGGGGAGCCAUACGCGGCCCGCGCCCUGCCUCUCCCCUAACCGCUAUUCUUCCCCCCUUGCCCCGUGUGACUCCUGCAAGGUGCCAAUGCAGGUGCCCAUGCAUGCUUAUACAGUGCCCUCCACGGGUGCGACAUGCCCCCACGGUAUCAGGGCCAUGGGCCAUUUGGGCAGGGGCGGGGGCAGGUGCAGGUUUGGGCGGGUGCAGGUGCAGGUUUGGGUGGGUGCAGGUUUGGGCGGGUGCAGGUUUGGGCAGGGGCGGGGGCAGGUGCAGUUUUGGGCGAUACACAUCUUGCUGCCCGCUGACAGUUCUCUCCCUCGUGCGUCUAGGACACCGUUACACCCUGUUCGCUCAUACAAGUCAUACUGGACUACACCAGGCAAAAGACCACCGCGCAAACUAGGUACCAAGUUCUACUGAACCAACCAGUUUUGCCUGCGUCAGGGUUGUGGGGCUGAGUCCACUUUGUGGGCGGGCGGCUGGCUGGGUGAUGGAUGGGUGGCUGGGUGGCGGCUCAGUGGGGCUUAGUGGGUGAUGGCUGGCUGGGUGACGGCUCAGUGGGACUCAGUGGGGCUCAGUGGGGCUCAGUGGGUGAUGGCUGGGUGACGGCUGGGUGACGGCUCAGUCGUGGGCUCAGUGGGACUCACUCACUCUACCCUCCCGACGGUGCAGGGACGUGACGUCAACUCCGCAACCAACAUCCGGCACGCGCUGGUGGAGAUGCUGCUGGGGCACAAGCGACCUGCAUCGCUGCAGACUGGCGGCGGCGGCGGCGGUGGCAGCGGUGGCGGCGGCGGCGGCGGUGGAAGCGGUGGAAGCGGCGCAAGCGCGCAGGCUGAGGAGCCGGCUGGCGGUGUCUAGGUAGCGGUCUGCGGUGGGGCUGGCAGGGCAUGCGUAGCGGCAUGACAAGCAGUGCGGCUGGUGACAACUGUGCUGCGUCGUCUGGCUGCGGUUGGCUCUGCUGUGGCAUCGCGAUUGCUAGGCACAUGGUUUGGCUAAGUGCCUGUGGAAACCGACCCCGGCUAUGUCCGGGCGAUGAGGUUGUUCGGCCUCAGACUGUGGAGGGGCUCAGCCCCUUUUCCCGUGACCGGGGAACACUUGUCACUCAUACCGUUUGCCUUUCCCUUUUCCGCAUUCCACUGUCCCGCCCUUUGAUCUGAGCCACCUUUUGGGCUGAGCCCCCUGAGCGAAGCGAUCCAGGGGGGGAAGCCCUGUAGGAUGGGCCCCUGUCCGUGCGUGCGUGCGUGCACCCCUGCGUGCGUGCGUCUGGUCCAAACCGUCCCGCCCUGGCGCUGGUCUCCUUCUUGGCGCCCGGGCUCCGUUGGUGUCUUGUAGGUGGGUAUUAUGCCUGUGACUGGUCGCAUUGCAACUUUGCAAGUAAGAGCGUGCGUGAGUCUGACUCUGCCCAAGCCUGGGUGCCUGGGUGGCAAUCGUGAUGGGCAGUCAGCACCGCCAGGAUGCGCAAGGCCUACCGCACUCAUCGCCGUCUCGGUACUCGGGUUCAGGCAGGCGGCCACCUUGGAUACCACCACCACAUCCAAAUACAUAGACACAGACAUUCUGUCAGAGUUUGCUGGGCAACGCGGCGCACUUUGGGAUGGGGCCUUGUUGAGUGUCGCUCCGUUAGCAUAGUGUAGGCCCCGCUCUCCUCCUCACUCUUUUGCAAUGGGUUCGAUAUAGUUUGGGCUUGUAUCUACAUCAAUCCCCCUCCCGACCUGGCACUGGUACUGCUCUAGUCCCCCGCAGGUGAGUAUCGUACAGUGUUGCGCUCUGUUUGCACUCAGCGGGUUGUGUUACCGCGCGCAGCGAGCCUAGGUGCCACUCGAUGAUAAGCGAGUCACGGGUCUACAGUCUACCGUCGACACCGCCCAGAAGGACAAAGGUUGAGGCCACACCUUCCUCGCGCUCUAUGGGCUGGCACUACCCCACCCCCACCCUAACCGCUGAUCCCCACACUGGACCUUCCCCACGCCCUCCCCCCUCCCCAACCCACAUCCCCAAUCCACAAAUCCCCCAGACCAGCACCAGGACGCGUGUGGCGGCUCUAUUGGCAUCAAUGCUGUGUCGGUAUGUAGCGCGCAAGGUUGACAGUAUAGUUAUGCCGCGCCCCGUUUCAGAAGGGUGAUAGAGAAACCCGGAGAAACAUCCAUGGAACAUGGGCGUGUCCGAGUUGCGGGCGGCGUGGACGCUGCGACUUCGUCAGCCGUAAGCACGCCAUGGUGCGAUGCCCAGCCAAGCAGCUGCAGGAAUGGAGUGCGCUGUGGCACGCGGAAUUGCUGCAGGGCAUUGUCGCGCGCCAGGCUGUCGCAGUAGCCGCGCAAGCCUGCAGCGCGCGAGUCACCCAAGGCCCGCAUCAUGCCCCCGCAACAUCGAGAUGCCCGUUCUGGUGAGGGGGGGGAUAAUGGGGUUAGGUUUCGGCCAGGUUUGGGAUGGCAGGUUUUGGGCAGGGUUGGGUCAGGCUUGGGUCAGCAACAGGUCAGGUCAGGUCAGGUUUUGGGCAGGUUUGGGUCAGGUUUGGGUCAGGUUUGGGUCAGGUUUGGGAUGGCAGGUUUGGGAUGGCAGGUUUUGGGCAGGGUAGGUCAGGAACAGGCAGGGAACACACGCAACAACAACUGCCUCCCUGCCCCCCCCCUGCCCCCCCCCCCCUGCCCCCCAUGCAGGCUUCACUGCGGUGGCUGCUGAGCCGGCAAGCGUGUGUGUUGGUGGCUGUGGGCCAUGCGUGCUAGACAGGUGGUGCGGAAUAGCGCGGCAGCUGUGGAGAAUUCUUCGCUCCUGCGCCUGUCUACUGAUGGGGGGACGUGGCUGUUGCAGGUGCUAACGUAGAUGGCUUCGGCAGCUUGAGUUGCGCUAGGAUGCGUGAGUUGGAUGUCUAGGACGUGGACAUGGCUGUGACGUGCACCAUCGUUGGUGCGCGUGCACCGAGCCCGAUGAUGGCCCCAGGCCUGAGGGACAAGCGUGAUGCUAGUAGUACCCGGCGGGGGCGGGGCAAAACCCCAAACCCAACGGGAGAGACAACGGGAGAGACAGCCGACUGUGCAAAGACUGUGCAAAGACGACUCCCAGCCCGUUUCAGAAGGGGAUAGAAACAUCCAUGGAAGCUUCUCGCCUCUCUGGGUGGGGUCUUACUUACCUCACAUCUUAUUAUAGAUACUAAUACAUAAAGCUCUCUAGCAGUUUUAGUAGCGAGAAGGGCUCAAACUGCUAUAUUUUCGCACAACGAUACAAAUGUUUAGGCCGGGAGACCCCUUUGGGAUGUUUGGCAGCGGAGACCCCUUUAUGCAAAUGAAUCGUAUGAUGGGCGCGAUGCUGGGGGCAGACCCUUUCUUCCACGGAUGCGGCGGUGGAGUUGCUGCGCCAGUGUAUCAGGGCCAGCCACGUGUAAGCAGAACCACGUAGUCCUAGGCUAACGCACAUUGGUUUUGAGUAUAUGUCACGGCCGCACGGUGUUCACUUGACCGAACCGAAUCGUUUAAUUCAGCUUCCCGUCUCGUCUGCCCCAAUUGCUCCUGCUCGCAGUCCCGACAGCCGGUGAUUGAAGAGGUGGAUGGGGAGCACUCAGGGCGAGCCACGCACGAUGACCCGAUUGUGGAGGAACCCGACGAUGGUACGCCCGCUGCAUCCAGAGGGUUCGGUGGGAGGCUCAGGCCCUUGCUUAGGCCCUUAGCUAAUCCAUACGCCGGUUCUUCUUAUUGCAUCGAACGCAUGUGCUCUUGGCUUGGCAGAUGGACCUCAGCCUGCCGGGAGGGCAGCACAGCGGCAACGGCGGCAUAGCCCAGAGCGUCGGAACCCGCCCGCGCCACAGGUGGCUAUGCCCAUGGGUGAGUGCGGCCAUACAUGUACUAGGACUGUCCCCUCUGUAACAUCCGCAUACAUGCUCCGGAAUCACGCUAUGCACUCUGUGUAUGCACUCUGUCCGUGGGUUUUGCAUGUUUACGGAGUCAUCCCUCGCGUUUCCUCCACCCAGUCGGCUUACCUCUGCAUUGCUGUUCUGUGUCCCACAGACCCCUUCAGCUCGCUGUUCGGGGCUCUGGCGGGCGGUAUAGGCGCUGCAACGGCGGCCGCAGCCAAUGGCGGCGCCGGUAACGGCAGUAGCUUCAUGUUCAGCAGCAGUAGCUUCAGCUCCCUGGGGCCGAGCGGCGUUAUGUACCAGGCGUCCAGCACCACCCGCAUGGGGCCCGGCGGGGUGAGCACGGCAUAUGCCGGUCGCGUCCGAAGUGCGGGUUACACCGGGAAGCCGCCUGCCAGGACCUGCUUGGCCGCAAGGCUGCGUGCGCAGCUUCGCAUUUGUGCCUCAUGUACCCGUCCGCGUGUGUGUGCGUGACAGGUGCGUGAGACGCAGGCGGUGGUCCGGGACGGGCGCAGCGGCACUGAGGAGGUGACCAUCAGCCGGGGGCUGGGCGACGGCCGCGCGCGCACCCUGACGCGGCGGCGGGACGCCACCGGGCAGGAGCAGCAGUUGGAGGACCUGCGCGGCCUGGCCGAGGUGUGAUGGGGGUGGGGGUUGACACGGUAUGCCCGAUUCCAACGGGGGGCGGGCGGAGGAGCAGGCUAAGGCCGAGGGAGUGGGCGCGCACAGGGAGUGAGCUCGCUUCUUACGGGAGGGUACAUGCGACCACUGGGUGUGCUGAUCACACGCCACCAGGCUUCGGCCACCGCUGGCGAUGGUGGACAAUGUCCUGAUGUCGCUGUGCCCCGCAGCACGAGGCCGACCACUUCGACGACCAGUGGCGGGCGGCUGCGGAGCGGGCGCUGCCGGGAGGCGGCGCCGUAGGAGCGGCCGUCAGCCGCAUCGGGCCCGCGCGGGCGGGCAGCGGCGGGGCAGGCGCGCAGCGGAUGCUGGCGCUACCGGCUGCGGGCCCCAGCUACACUGGCACCGCGCCGCUGCCCGUUUACGCGCGGCAGCAGUCUGCAAACACGGCGACACCUUCUACCGCUGGGGCAGCAGUGUAUGGUGCGGGAGUUGGCGGUAGCGGGGGCAGCCGUAGUGCGCGGCAUACCGCGCCACAUGGUGUGGCGCCGGCGAUGAGCACACAGACAACAGCAGCGGCCGCGUACACGCAUGCGCAGCCACAGGUUCCAGCAGCACAGCCGCGCUACGGUGAAACGACGGCUUACAAUUCGGCGCCGCAGUACCAGCAACAGCAGUAUCAGCAGCAGUAUCAGCAGGCGUACGCCGUGCCGGCGCCGGCGCAGCAGCAGCCGCAGUACCCCUACGGUAACGCUGCAUCCACGUACGCGCCCAGCAGCACAGGCGGGAGCAGCCGCUACCGCUAUUGACGGGCCGCCUGGUGGUGGCAGCGGGAGUGCAUGCCUUGGUCAGGAUGGCGACUGGUCAGAAUGGCGCCGUUGAAUUCCUAGUACACGAAGUUGCUUCUCGCUCCGGCUGACAUGUUCCCCCAGAACGGCGCACGAUGACAACCAUAUGUUCUUUGCAUAGCAUUUCAUUAAAAUGGAACGCGCCGAUUUUAUUGUCGGGAAGCUGCAGUGGGCUGGCCGGCAACAGCGUGCCAUGCCGGCUGCGAGCACAGCAGCAGACGCAUCGUUUGGAUGUAUUGAGUGGUGCACGUUCUCAGUAUGCGUGGCAGUCAUGGAAGUUGUGCGGCGGUCACAGCCGCGGGGUUCCGCCUCUGAUUUGCCACUUCACACUUUGUUACUGUUUACCGGGGCAUGCAGUGUGUGCCUCACCAGCAAGUCUAGCCGAGUGAAUUUACUCUUCAAAGUGUUAGAGUAUGUGUAAGAAGCCGUGGGGUAUUUAGAAGCGUGCCUAGUGCGACGAGGUUGAUGGUAAGAGGCACUAAGUGUAGAGGUGGGCAGUGCGGCGCAAUGGGCUGGUACGCACUAACACUGAACGUACCGUAAUGAUGUUUGUACUCUGUCUAUCGACUGAUGUUUGUAGAUGGCUAUGCUGUGCGGGGAUGUGCACGAGUGGUUUAUGUCGGGGCACAACGUACAGGGCUUCGAGGAACACGCUGUGUAUGCGAUGAAGAUGUUUAGUGUGUGUACGUGUGUGUGUACGUGUGUGUGUGUUUUUUGGAGCACAAGGGAAACAAAGCGCAAAGACAGUGUAUGCAAUGCAGCAACGCGGCGUGGUGUGUUGAAUAAACCAACAAAAAAAAGCCCGCCGCUCGUGUGUGUGGUGUGUGUGUAUGUGUGUGUGUGUGUUAAAAAAACGAAACGAACGCCCGCCCAAUGACGCGUCGUGUGUGUGUGUGUGUGUGUGUUUGUGUGUGUGUGAAAGGUGCGUUGGUAUCACGGUGCGAAUGCUUAACUGCUUGUCAAGUGCUGCACUGCGGUACAGCGGCCAUGUUACAGUGCAGUUACGGUAUCGUAUCUCGUGCGUUCGUGGUGUGUGGUUCAAGCUGCUUGCAUGGUUUGCGAAUGUGAAGCUUGUGGUUGGUGGUUGCCGUGCGUGAGGAGACACGUCUGGCGCAGUGGCACCUGUAAGUUUGCCACGGCAGCCAUUCGCGUAUCUGGUGUGCCCGCCCUUGGCCUGCAGGCUCUAUCCGGUGCCUUAGAUAGCCUGGUCUCGCCGGGGCGCAAGGCACCGACGCACGGCAAUCCUGCCAGUGCACGGCGCCCCGUUUGCUGCCCGAACUCCGGUAUGAGAGCACAGUCUGGCGCGCACAAUGAUGGUGAAUGCAUUCACCGGUGGCCUCUCCCUGUUGCAGGGAGUGACUGUAACCCUUUGCCACCCUUUGUCGCGACGCAUGCCCUGCUCAAUGCUUGCUGCUGCCAGCUGUUUUGCCGCUCUACACUAUCUCCCAGUGACUAUCUCCGCCUUCCGCUCUGUCUACGUACGCAUCAGUUCCGCAACGCACGUCGAUAUCUCUUUCUAGUCCGCUAUCCGGGGGUGAUCCUGUAGACCGCUCAGCCCACUCUUUAUGGUAGCUUUAUACCUCGCGCGUGCCGGCAGGGCUUGAGCUGUCUGAGAGCCUAUCGGUUCCGGUCGCUCGCGCACUCUCAUACUGCAUCAUUGCAGCGAACGUACGGCCGCUGCCUAUCCCCUGCCCUACCCAGCUACCCGCCCAGCCUGCCCUCGUCAUCACAUCUCCACCGCCACCAAUCGCUCCCUCGCCCUCGCCACGGCCCUCGCUUGCACCCCUACCCAUCCCCGUCUCACCUCCACCACGACCACCGCCACCACCAGCCCCUAUUUCCCUGCCUUCCCCCACCCCCGCCCGCCCGCCUGGUCGGGUUGCGGCGUCCUGGCGCACCUGGCCUCGCGCCUGUUCACAGAUGUCCCCGCCACACACACAUCUGCGCCGGUACUGCUGGAUUGGAGUGGAUGGAGUCGCACGGAUUAUGUUUGGGAGGUUUUGCGGCAACCCCAGGGUUUGGCACGCGCUGCUCAGCGCCGACGGCCAGCCCUGCCGCUACGCCCCGCCAUCAGCUCUGCCACGGGCGCGGUUGAGGAGACCAGCGGCCUGGCGACGGAGGGCGACGGUGAUGGGGCUGCACGAGUACUGCAAGACUGAGGUGCACGGCUGGAUUGUGCGGCUGGAGGAGCAGCUGCCCUGCCAGCAGCACGCACACUUCCUGGUGGGCGUGGCGCAGCCCAUCAAGGAGCUGAACCGCUGCAGCUCUCGAGCCGCAGGGGCAGCCGCUCGCAGUCCAGGUGGGUGCAGGGGAGGGUGGCGGUGGCAGUGACUGUGCGCCGCUGGUCGGGCUCGGCGGCGGCGGAUUGAUUGUCCAAGGUGUAAGCGCCUACGCGGUUUGCACUAGGUGUGCGUGCACGGAUGCAUGGCGCGAGGCAUGUGUGAGCACGCACGGCAUUAUAUUGCAGCACCAGAGGCAGCCCUUUCACGAUGGGGUGUACGCACGGGUGUACGUGCGUGGCGCCUCAGCCGCUGGCGAGGAGCAGCUCAGUUUGGCUCAGUAAUACCGGCCGGACUGAUGAGCGGGGCCCUUUCCUGCUUCCAUGUAAGUCCUAAAUGCUUGAUAGCCCCCGCUGCCCGAGAGUCCGAGACUCUGCGCUUUCAGAUGGACCGUAGUACGGGCGGUAUGUGUGAACUCCAGUUGGACACCGUUACAUACUCAAGACCACAAAAUGUACGGGUUGCACGAGGCUUGCAGCGCUCCAGCAACACGCAGCAGCACACAGCGUCCUACACCGCUGCCACUCCUGCCCACCCCUGUGCCACAUAACAGCCACACUAAUGCCAGCGACAUGGCGCUGUCACUGCAGUUCAGGCCAGGGAUCAAGUAAUGCUGUGAUGCAGCCCUGUGUGGAAGAAAGAUGGCAGUGGCACCACUGCCUGUGCAUCGACUGAUUGAACACGAACGCGUGUCUCGACUCACUCCGCUCUGACUCAAUAUACACAUGGACACUGCACUCACAACCCAAGCAAGCUGACUUCUCACCACUCGCAAGAAAGAGUCCAACACUCGCGGCCUGUACACUCUGGAUUCUAUUGCAGCAGCCGCGCAGCUCGGCAGUCAGCUGAUGGCCACACGGCUGCCACCGCUGCUGCCGCAGUCGCAGACGCUGCCACAGAUGCUGCGGGGCGCUCAGGGCCGGAAGGUGAAGGUGCGGAGACCGUCAGAGAUGGCCUUCUCCGCCGCCGCCGUCAGGAUGCCGGUGCGGCCCAGCUCCUGCAUGGCUGCCGGCGCCACCGACCGCACGUGUGCCAGAGCGCCCCGAAGCCAGGCGGCCAGCUGGGGAGGCGGCACGGCGUCCGUCCAGCCGCGCAGCACCGCAUACAGCGUCACCACCUGCACGGGUGUGGGGAGUGGCGUGUGUGUGCGUGUGUGUGUGUGUGUGUGUGUGUGUGUGCGCGUGGGCGGGAGCGUAUGGGAAGCCAGCAGUAGUAGGGUCAAACCUGAAGGGCAACCACAUACGCAUACGCAAACACACCUGCUCAGCCAAAGCCACCGGCUCCCCUGGUGUUUGCAGCAGCGCCGCCGACAGCCGCUGCGCAAUCGCGUCCGCACGCAGCGCCGCCGCCGCCAUGCCUGCCGCCCCGCCGGCUGCGGGCGCCGCCGACAGGUCCGCGCUGGCGAUGCUGCUGCCGCUGGCGGCGCUGGCCGUGGCGCCAAAGCGGCGUGCGUCGUCGGCCUGGGCUAGGUCCAGGCGCACCUGCGAGGGCCGGCCGCGAGCGGGAGGAACACGGAGGAGGGGAAGUCGUCCGCCUGACGUCAGCGCCGGCACCCGGCCACCCAACCACUCCAUCGCAGCCACCACCACGACCACCGCCCUCACCCCGCUGCUGCCCCCCACCUGCGGCGCCAGUAGCUCCAGUGCCUUGUAGUAGGCGCGUGUGCCGAUGCGCGUGAUGGACAGCUUGGGGUUGACGGCGUAGGAGGAGGAGGGCGAGGCUGCGCACAGAGCAGACAUGGACGGGGGGCGGGAGGCGGCAGUGAGGUGCGGGAACACAGGUAAGGCCCCGCGGCACCAAGUACAAAAAUCCAGCGCCCCUCGCGCUCCUACCCCAGCCGCCUGUUGCCCCCCGGCACCACCCGCACCCCCACCUGACCCACCUGCUGUCCCACCUGCCGCAGUGCUCCUGCGGUCCAGCACCACUUGUCCGUCCGCGAUCGAAAUGAACUCCUCCACCACCUCGGUGGCCAGCUCGCCGCCGCCAGACCCCGCACUGGCCAGCUCCUCAGCCAGCUGCUUGGCGCGCAACGCGGCCUGAGGCAGGACAGGAGCACAACAGGCAGGGGAAGAAGUUGGGAUGGCACACGUAACUACAGCGAUGUUGAUAUGGUGCGGCGUGGAGGCAGAAGAGAGGCAAGAGGAGAGGGCAGGAGAGCAUAUGCUAGGGCAAUGAAGGGGUGGGGCACCCACACACCCUGGCGACCCACCUCCAGCUUGGCGAGCUGCUCCGGGCUGAGCGUCUUGUACCUGCAUGUACACACACACACACACACACGCGCGCACAUCGCCGCGUCCAUAUUGACAGUCACGUUCAGGUGUAUGUGCCCCAGCCUGCCGAGUGCCGAGUGCACUGCUAAUCCUUCCCAAACUCCGCAGCCCCACAGCCGUCAAUCCACAUGCCCACCCCACGCCAUGCUAUGCCCCGCUACACGCCGCUGCCCCUCGCCCAGCUGCCGCACACGCACUUGCUCAUGUCAAUGCGUUUGCUGACGCCAGUGGCGCAUGUGCCGGGCACCAGCGGCACCAGCGACAUGGAGCCGCCGCCGUUGGCCCGCGACAUCUUGGCGGCACGCAUGAAGAAGGUGGACAGGAAGCUGCAAGAGGUGGGGUGGGGACAAGGCAGCAGGCAGGAGGCGUGGAGAGAGCCCAGGCAUGUUGAGACACACUCUCUCAUGCACAAACACACACACACACACACAUAUUCACACACGUGCAGGCUGAGGACUGGGAGCGACAUUGGGAGUCGCAGCAGGGCUCCACAUCACGCACGCCGCCCGACCCCUUGACCUCACCCUUCCUUGUGAGCACUCCAUCCGCUCCCGCGCCCCACGGCCUUAACCCCGCUGCCCUCAGACUCUCUCUCACCCUCGCCGCUGCGCCACGGCCCCCGACACCAGCAUCCCCUCAUACUCCACCAGCGCGUUGUCGUCAUCGCCGCCUGGCAGCCCCGGCACCGCGGCCGCAGCAGCAGCAGCAGCGGCGGCGUCCGCCGCCUCUGCAGCCGCCGCCGCCGCCGCAUCCGCUGUGCCAUCCGCGGCUGCCCCGGCGGCUGCAGCUGCUGAGGGCGGCGGCACGACGGGCAUGUCGCGGCCCUUGUCGUCCUUCACCAGGCCCUCACGUAGCAGCGCCGGACCCAGGCCUGUGCGAGGGAACCCGAGUGGCAUAAGGUACAUGAAGUGCACACACACACGCUGGGUUGCUGGUUUGGGCAGGCUCUAAACCAGCAUGGGGCGCCCUGCCCAACAAAGGACCUGAGCCACCCGUGCCUUGCAACCCUGCCCAGCCUCUGCCCCUCAGUGUCCGCCCCUCCUGCCUCUCCGCCCCGCUCACCCGCCAGUCCGCUGAGCAGCUGCUCCCACACGUCACUGAGCGGCUUGAUGUCGUCCACGACCACCAGAGCGUGGCCGCCCUCGUCACGCACCCGCUCUGAGAGGAGGGCAGAGCCAGGGGAAGGGAUGAGCCAGAGAUAGGGGAAGAGGCCCAGACAAGAGAGGCGGUUGCUCGCGACGGGGUACUCAGAGUCUCUGGGAUUACAACAACAGCAGCCACAGGGACAAGGCGGCAUGGCGGGGCCCGAGGCAGCGGCAGCACAUCACAGCGGCAGCACAUGGCAGCACUCAAUGCGGCGCGGGCGGCCUCACCUCCAAUGGAGCAUGCGGCGCACAUGGCGGCGUACUGGUGCGCCAGCGGGGCGGACUCGCCGGCCGUGACCACCGCGGUGUUGGCCAGGGCGCCGCUGGAGCGCAGCUCGGACACAAUGGCCUGCAGGGAGGCAGGAGGCAGCGGCAGGCGCAGGACACAUUUGGUGCAGUGCAGUGCCACAGUGAGCAAUGGCGUACGCGCAACACCAAAACCACUACCGGUGCCCAUCCUGUCCGCCUCGUGCGCCCCCUCCUCUUCCUCCUCUUCCUUCCCCUCUUCCUAUCCUCCUCUUCGUCCUCUCCCUCCCUCUGCCCCGACGACAAAGCCCUACCUACUGCCGCUCCAUCCUGUACCCACACUGCCCGCCUAAAUGUCCCAAACUCAAUCCCUAGACCGGACUUCGCUCUGGCGCUUGCUGCAAUCCUGGCAAUUGUGGAUGCCUGGCGCCCGGGAUUUCUCGCUAUUAUAAUGGCAAGAAUACGAGUGAGUGGGUUACGGAAUGGUGCAUUAGACGUGUGUCGAGCCUGGGUGGGCGAUGUGCGGAGCUGGCGCCAACCCGUACCUGCCCUACCGACUACCGACGGCCCCGACAACGUGACAGGGAAUAAAGGUUGUUACUGGCGCGCUUGUCUCGCACUCACGUGACUGGGUGGGCUUCUGAUGACGGACUAAUUCGUGGGGCUCGGGCGUAUAACCCCCUCCGCGCGCGCUCACCUGCACCUCGCUGUCGGGCCGCCCCGCCAGCGCCAGCACACAGCGCACCACACCACCCGGCGGAGCAACCGCCGCCCCGCUGCUGCCGCCGCCGUAGAAUGCGGCCUGCGCCAUGAUGGCGUCCAGCGCCAGGCGGGUCUUGCCGGCGCCGCCCGGGCCGAUCACCAGCAGGGAGGCGCCGCGGCCCAGGGGCGUCAGGAUGUCCAGGCCCUGAGGCAGGGGGAGAGGAGGGGGUGGCGAGGAGGGGAGGGGACGAGGGAGGCGUGCGGAGAGGGCUUUGGGGAGGGAUGAGCUGGGCUCAGCUCAGCCCGCACCAAGGGGGUGGACGGAACCAACUCCCUGAGCCAGCGCGUGUGCCUCCGGCGUCACGAGCAGCCCCUGUGCCCGCCCCAAGAAGCUCAAUAACCCCAUGUCGCCGCCCCCAGUCACUGACACCGCCGACGCCCAUGCCCAAGCCGCCACGUGGCGCCACCGGCCGCACCUUGACGCCCGUCAGCAGCGACUCGUUGAUCUGCUCCCGGUUCUUCAUCUCCACCUGCGCGUUCAGCAGCGGCCGCGUCACCGGCGGCGCCACACGCGCGCUGCCGGCCGCUGCGCCCUUUCCGCCUGCCGCCUCCUGCGGCUGCUGUUGCUGCUGCGGGCUGUCGAAGGCGGGUAGGUGGCGGCCGAUGUGGUCGUGCACGCGGCCAAAGGUAUCGUCCCCGGCGGGCACUGUGAACACGUCGAAGUCCUUGCGUGUCACCGGCCCCUUCACAUCGUCCACGACCUGGGGAAAGGAGGGAGGGGGGCGCAGCAGGUGGACGGCAGGCGCGUGAGGCACCCGGAGUGGCACCCAUGGAAUGGCACCCACGGAGUGUUGCGCCCCCAGAUGUGUGAUGCUCCCCUCCCUCCCCUGCCUCCCUCACCACCUCCCCACCUCACCAGCGCCACCGGCAGCCCCACCCAGUGCCCGCACCCCACCAGCCGCACCUGCAGCACGCCCUUGAUCUUGCACUCCACUGGGGUGCCCUCAACCACCGUGGCCUGUGUGUGGGCGGAGCGGGGAGAGCAGGGCGCAGGGCAGAGAGGAACCAGCAGCAGCGUCAGUGGGCGCAGCAGGCGGGCGGGUGGCGUCCUUCGCAGCGCGAACGGUGUUGAAGCCGCCGCCGUGAGCCUUCGCGCCCAUCCUCACCCCGUGAUACUUCCCGUAACUCCAUACUCCGCCAUAUGGACCCCCUUGCGGUCCCCUCUUCCGCCUGCCACGCACCGGGUCUCCCAGCACGAGGCAGAAGGACAGGUUGUCAGAGCGGUGCCACAAUAGCACACUGCGGCGACACAAAACACACACACGCAGUGGCAGCAGCGUGGCGCAGCAGGGUUCGGAGGCAGUCUUUGCCAGGUCCUAAACAGAUUCGCCGUGCCGCCGCGGCGCUACCACACGCAACGAAACCGCAACAAGUAGUCACACGUCAAAACGCAUGCAAGCACCUCAGCGCGCAGCCCUUCCGAGCGCACACCACCUCACGUCCACACUCCCUCACACCCUCACCGCCUCUCACUCACCCUGCGGUGCCUGUGAGGAAGGACACCUUGGUGCCCAACGGCGCGUCGGCGUUGAGUCCCGACACAAUCACCAGCCCGUCCCGCGAGUACAACACCUGGACAGUUGGCGGUGGGAAGUGUGUGUGUGGGGGGGGGGCGGGACGACUGGGUUCAGCCGGGGGUUGCAGCACGGUGCCGGUCGCGCCGUGAGGCCACUGCGCCUGUGCUCCGACCCAGCCGUCCACAGGUCAGGCCCUCAGCACCCAGAGCUCAUAACCAGUACUAAUGCAGUCAUGUUCCGCUACCAGUUCCACGUCUUAGACGGCAUACUGGUAGGCGCCGGUGCCGCCACCAGUCCACCACCGCCCGGGCGUCACCGCAACACCGACCCCCCGGCAGGGUAGCCCACGAACCCUCCCACGGACCCUCCCCCCCCUCCCCCUCCGCCUCCGCCGCACCUUGCCCACCGCCGUCUUGGCCUCCAGCUCCCUCAGUGUGGCCAGCUGGUUGGGUCGCGAGAUGCGCUGGUUGAAGAUGCUCAUCUCCGCCUCCCAGUCGGGCUCCUCGUCAGUGCCGCCGCUGCCCUUGCCGCCGCGGCCUGCCUGCGCAGCGACGCUGAGGUUGGGCAGGCGCGCCAGGCGCGACGCGCGCCGGCCAGUGACCGCCACUGCAGCAGAACCAGCGCCAGCGACAUUGGCGAGAGGCGCCUGGCUGGACCCUGCGGCCCGGCGUGUGCCGAUUGAUUGAACCCGGGUUUGCAGGGCGCCACCAGACUGGCUGCAUCCAGCUGCCAAGGAGGCCCCUUUGUUAGAUGGAGCGCGAGCGAGCAUUUCUUGCCAGGUCAGCUGACGGCUGUGACGCGACGAAUCCUCGGCUGUUCAGCAAAGCUUGAGCACUCGCUGUGAUCGCCAGUGGAAUGUUAUUAUAUUGCUUUGCAGUACCCAAUGCGAGGGUCUGCGGUCGUCAGUGCCCUGCUUCUUGCACUAGUAGCCUAGAAGGUCUUCGCUGUUUCACUGUUUGCACCGGCUGCAAUGGCUGUUCACGAGUCACUUCCAAGAGAAGCGACGUUAAAUUGUUUGUGUGCAAGCUUCUACGCUCGCAAGGCCUCGGGAGUCUUUAGAAAGUCUUUUGCGCUGGGCACGAGCCUGUUGUAUUCUAGCAGCUUGAAAUUGAUUUGGGUGGGCACAAAUAAUUUCAUAAAGGAGCUGGGUGGACCUAGUUACCCGCAAGAAGCUCACCCAAUUCCAACAUUAGCCCCCACUGCCAAGCCCUCAGUUCGCACAUGAGGCGCAUUGGCACCAGGCGGCCCUUCAAGGACACAUCCAACAUCCACACAGCCGUAUCAGCGCGCUGCACUUCCCAGUCAUGCCCCUCCACUAGCAGCCCGCCUCCAUCAGUGUGCGGCCUCGGACAGACGAACACCCAGUGUCCACCCGUGGGCGUGGAGGCAUUGGGGCAUGGCCGAUCCACGCCUGGCCUGUCUGCGACCACCACGAACCUCCCGGCCGCCCCUGAGCAAAGUAAUGUACUGCUGGCCAGCCAACUGCGCGGCUGCUACCUUGCUACCUUCCUGGUGCACACAAGCUUGGCGCACAAGGGACGCGACUGCCGUACACCCGGACCUCAUAAUACACAAACACAUAGCCGCAGUAUCUUGCCGGUCUAAGGUCUUCACAGAAUCACGAAGUCAGGGUCCAUUGCCAGGGUCAGGUCCACGGUCAGAGACACACUCCAGGUCAAUGAUGUAAAUCUGGGCCAAUGCGCUUCCCCAACAUGCACGCUCACUCGUCAACAAGACAACAACUGAACGUUGCUCAUGAGUCAUGACACGGCUUCUGUCAAUCAGCUCCUGGCCCCCCUGCACCACUCUGCAUGACACUCUUGCCUAGGUUAUGUCCCACGGUUAUGUCCUUUGACAAGUGGAACAUGACGACAGCACCCAACCACAGUGCUGCUCAAUGAAGACUGGAUAUAUGAAUUCGAGCAAACGCAAUCCUGCCGCUGUUGAGCUCUGCGCAAUGCGCCAAUUUCAAAAUGCGUGCAAUCCACACCAAUGAAAGAAGCAAACGCAUGCGGUCGCUCCAUUUCCGGGCUUGCGCGGGCCACACGCUUGGUAGGCUGUCACACCCCGGUCAAUGGGCCUGUCCACGCUCACGGGAUCGUCGCCGUACCAGUCGCCGCCUUUCGUGGCGCCUCGACCCGGCCGCUGCAGCACCUACCGCAGAUAGGCCGUCCCGGCCCGCACCUGUGUCCGCUGUACGGGUCGUGCCUGCCCUAAGCCACCGCACUAAGCCCUACCAACUGGAGCUGCACCCUGAUGCGGCCCCCUUGCACCGCCAGCAGGGGAUGUGCCGGCCCAACCUCGCGCCAUCCCUUCCUCGGCACCCCUAGCCCCGCGAAGUCGUACAGCCUCCUCCAACCCUGUCACCGCUUCAGCCUUGGCGAUCUCUAGUGGUGCAGGGGGGUCCUCGUGCUGCUGCGUUCCCUCCGCUGCCUCUUUCCUACCAGUGAGGAGACCAGGACUUACCAUCAGCAAACCUUUUCCACAACAAGCAGCUCAACCAGCUCACCGACAGGUCCUGCGGCGUGAGGAUGAUGUACUGGAAAUCGGCGUGGUCGCGCGCACACUCGAGCAGCGUGAUGGUGGCCAUGCGGCGGUUCACAGCGCCCGCUGUUGCUGGUCCCCCUCCUGCUCCUCUUGCGGCAGCAAAGGCUGCCCUGCGACUCCAGCGUCAGCGCCGUCUGGUUCCUGCACCCGCGCGGCAAGGUGCGGGCUGCACCCCUUGGGAGCUCGGCCUGAGCUCCCACCUGGGUCCUCCGGAGAACCGUAUAACCCAUGAGGUGCGUUGUACCCACCACUGCCACCAUAGCCGCCAUAUGCUCCGUAGCUGCCAUAGCCGUAACCGCCGCCCUGCUGCCCGCUCCCGCCGUACACUACGCCACCGCCGCCAUAGCCGUAGUACGGCGGCGCUGGGGCGUACCGCUCAGCUAGGCCGUACCCGCCAGGUGGCCCGUACGUGGCUGGGGCCUCCGGGUCGCAGGGCUCCUGGUCGUCCGGGCCGGGAGAGGGCUGUGUGAAGGCGCCGGCUGGGUCGCGUCGGCGUUCGGGCGUGCAGUCGCAGGUGGUAGCUGCUGCAAGGGGGGGCUGCUGCGGCUGCACGAGAGGUUGUGGCUGUAGGGGCGGCGGCGGCGCCAUUGGCCCGGGACUGGGGGAUGGGGGUGGAGCGGCGGCUGCACACAAGGACACGGGUUGGAAGCGUCGCAUAAAUUGGACGGUAGUUUCUACUCAUGACGCUUCAGUACCCGAGGGGCCAGUUGUCACUGCCCCUCGCAACGCAUUCUAACGUAACCGACCGCGAGGUGCACUGCGGGCACUGAAGAGUCGUAAUCGCGCCCUACCUUCAAUUGCCGGUGGCGGCGCGUGGACAGUGGGGAACACCGCUGGCGGUGCCGCCACUGGUGGCCUAGCAGGCGGCGGGGGCCGAGCAGGCGGCUGAGGCGCGGCUUGCGUGGUGGUGCCAAACGCUGGGGAUGACGAGACAGGUGGGGAAGGUGCAGGCGGGGGGAAAGGCACGCACGCGUUGUCGCUCGGCCAAAAGACCAGGCACACGCGGACCCGGGCCGUGACGUUAUGCGCGUCCGAACCAAGCAGCCAUACUUUCAGGUAAACUUUGUCUCGCAUGCUGAAGAACGCUGCGGAAAGGUGGCGAAACAUAAUGGAAAGGAGUCAGGACGAGCAUGGCGUGCUCAAAGCUAGACAAGAAUACGCUAAGCAAGGCAGAUGGAGGCUACUGCCCAACUCUGUCCCCUGCCCCUAUCCACGGCUCGCUGUAACGUGUUCGGCGACCGGCCAGCCGGACUCACAUGUGUCCCACGCGCCGGUCACGGAGCAGUUCCUGCCGCUCGACUGCGAGCAGGUGCCGAAGAAGGUCGGCUCCUCGGCUGCCUGCUUGUCACCCCGCCCCGUGUCCAUUGCAUACAGCGCCAGUUGCGGGCUGGCGGACGUGGUGUACAGCGGGGACAACGUGCCGACCGGUGUUGGGGACUUUUGGCCAGCCCUGAAAAGGUGACAGUUGGACGGGCAUAUGGGGAGCUGGGUUGAUGCCCACCGUUGGUGCCCAGGCUUCCAGCAGGCAAUACCCCCUUGAUGCCAGUGCGGCCUGUUCCACCGUCUCGCACCACCCAAAACGUGCGCUUCACGUCACCCAGCCGCAGCUGCACACGACCCAGCGAUUUGAGGCGAGAGCCCAACGCCGGCAGCUGGAACCUGAGGCGGUGGAUGGGGCGGCAGCAGUGGUGCUUGCACUCAUCAUGAUGCCACCACUGCUUUGGUCAGACGUACCGGCACACGGCAUGCAUCAUGCCGUGCGCCACUUGAUCAGCUUGAAGUGGUUGAAGUCGUGCGGACGCGAUGAUACUACGCAUGCAGGCUGCGCGUGACUACUCACUCUCGGCUGCCCCAGUAGGCGGCGUCCCAGGCCGCAACAUCCAGCGUGGCGUCCAGGCUGUCAGCCACAUCCGCCCAACCCAGGAUGUACUGCGGCCAGUGAUGAAGUGUGCACUUGAGGGCAAGCAGCACAUGCAGGCUAUGCGAAGCACUUGGUGAGCGACCACUAGCUGCACGAGAAUAUAUGCGCCCUUCUAUUCUUCGCACAUGCAUGCGAUGCUGCCGCUGUUGCUUUGGGGAACCGCUUUCAUCGUCCUGCCGUUGUGCUAAUGUACCACACGCCCACUUACUAGCUGGGGGCCAUUAAAGCAUAUGUUGUCCGAGCUUGCCUGCAUAUUGAGUUGUUGGCAUGACGUUCAGCAACAGCAUCACAGGCCAAGGUAGAGCACACCCCUUCCGCAGCCCCUGGGCCCUGCCUUUGCAUCUGCAGUUCUAUAGCUACCAACAUCUCUCACCGUCAGGCCGCUGGUGAAGUCGGGCUGGACGUCGCCCAGGCCGCCUGGCUUGGCCGCCCGGAGGCCCCAGUUGCGGCCCAGGCCCCGGAUCAUCGCCUGCGUACGGUACGGUAAGUGCGUGUGCGGCUUGGUACGUACGGCUGCGGCACGCGGCGGUGCGGCACUGCCAGCGUUUCCAAUGCCUUACCCGCACCAAGCUGCCGUCAGGGGUCACGCCGCUCAGAAUGUUCCUGUGUCGCACAAUGAUACCAGUAUUGCAACGAGCGAGGCAAUAGGGAUGACGUGGCAGCUGGCCCGGGGCUGACGCGUGAAGGGUUGCGCGUUGCUGCUGUCGCACCAGUGGCCCGGCUUGACAGGUAGGGAUAGCAGCAGUAUAUGCCGUAGUAGUACGGUGCAGGCCUAAAACCACCCUGGCAGUUAAACGCCAUCCCACUCACGCGCAAGACGCUGUUGACGGGUUACUGACGCCCACUUUCCGACAAUGUAAUCCUGUAGCAAAGGUAAUGGGUGCUGGCCGCCUGGGUGUCGCCCCGAUGAUGAAGCCGCACGCGACAAUGUCGCAAGGUGCUCACAACCCGGCAAAGCACCACUUGAGAUCCGUUCGCACGCCGCCGAUCCCCUCCCGAAAGAUGAUGGGACCUAUUCGCUGGGCUCGGGCCACGCCCACACAGUGGCCAGCAGCCCCAUACCCACCACAGUACCCAGUGCGCCCGCAUCGACACACACCGCGCUGAGGUCGUUGUCCCAAUCGCUGAGGUCGUCAAAUGUGGUGCGGCACACAUUCAUGACUUCCUGCUGCACGGUGUUUGGAAGGGAGUAGACCGCAAAUGCCCACUCCGUCGUGGCGAAGGAGCUCGACUUCACCUGCGGUCGUCGGGAUGCAGCGGGUACGUUACGUUAGCAACUCUCCCGACCACGCAUGAAAGCCCUUGCUACUCGGCGGCCCCGCAUGCAUCGAGUACGGCAUCAGCUAGCCAGCCGCCACUCACCGCCAAUAAAUUGUCCACCAGGAGCCAGAGCUCCUGCAAAGCCGCUGCCACGCAGGUUCCGCGCCUGAGCCCUUCGGGCGCAUUGGUCCCCGCACCCACGGCUGUUGCGGCGAUGUUCUGAAGAACGACCUGCUCAAGGUCAGCCUGCAAUGUGUACUUGCACAUGUUCAGAAGACCAUGGCCAUACAAGUAAGGUAAAAGAGAUUGAUGUUGACUAGCGUGGGCUCUAUGGAAUUCGUAGCAUACCAUCCACAUACCAUGCAGCAUGCAAGUCUUGCAACGUCCCGUAAGGUGUUGCUCCCCAACCUCAACGCACCGUCGUGUAUCCCUCCUCCAAGUCUGUUACGUCAUCACGGCUCGCGGGCACCAGCACCGCCUGGCCCACCGAGCACUCGCCAACAAACCUCUGCACCGUGGUCACCUCAUCAAACCACUGAGCCACCACCUGUGUACAGCAGGCGCGACAUGCGCGCAUACAUCAACGACAGGCGCAAGCAGUAUGAGAAAGCAAAGAUGACAGACAAGAUUAACGAUAAGCGACAACCCCCGCUGACAGCUCAGCAGUUGGCGCCACGAGUGCGCAGGUGGCGUGAGGGGCACACCGCAGCCAGCGCACCUCAUCUUUCGAGUAGGCACCUUCGCGGUCGCCGUUGAUGCCCACUGCUAUGACGCCGACCCUGAUGGGCAGUGGCACGCCCUCCACGCCGCUGGUCAGCACAGGCACCACGUCAUGGUCGUUGUUCGAGUACGAAGUCACAGGCUGCGACGGUCGAGGCAAAGCAAAGCGGUGGCGUGUUAUGGUGUCAGAACCACAAGGCAUUGGGCUUCGAUGGCAGAUGGCUCCAUCUGAUGCGCCGCCUUCCGUUGUACCCUCAUUCCGUGCGGUCCGUAAUCGUUGACGCAGUUACCGAUGUCUGCAUGACGUGCGUUGGUCCGGACACCACAAUCCGCACCAGCCCCAAGUUGCGCCGCCCCUCGGCUCACGUAUACAUCAGUGACCAGCACGACAGUCGUGUUUGCAGCGCUUGUGCCCAGCCGCGGGUAUCCGGUCACCAGCACUACCACCCCGGGCACCAGGUCCCACGUCUUGUUGGCGGGCCGCGACGACAGGUCCAGCAGGACCACGCGGCCUGCAGAGCCCGCUGGCGGGGACGGCAGACGCCUGCAGCAGGAGGGCAUGAAGGGCAUGGAGCGCACGCACAUAGCAAGGGAUGAGUACCCUUGCCGGUUAUGGGCUGGGGCAAUCAAGGCUGGGCCCCCAAUGACAGUCUCCGUGGCUGCCGGGGCCGCCGUGGCCUCCGUAUGGCGCUUUGGUCUCAAGACCGCGUCAAGACCACUGCUAGGAGUGCUGCAUGCAGUCGCACUCAUCAUGUCGUCGCUUCUGUCGCAUCUCUGACGCUAAGCCCAACUCACGGUGGCGGGGAUGCCGCAGGCGGCCCCAAGCUGGGAGCCUUCCCUGGGGAGCUGCCCUCGAGUUGCGGGCUGGGCGGCGUCGGCAUUGGAGGCCGCGGAGGUGCGGGGGGUGGUGCCGUGCAUUUGCCUGUGAUGGUAGUAUCCGUGAGAACCAGAUAAUACAAGGGCGUAUUGCUGGCUCCCGGGGGCAUGACCACCCGGGGUUGACCUGCACGCAGGGAGCUUGCGACAGGUUCAAGCCCCACUUGACUCGCAACCUCUGCCCAUCUCCAGCUGUGGAGGUACCAGGACAUACUCUCCCUGCCUGAAAUGCUCAGGCUGAAGUUUAAGACCCUUCCCCGCGACUCGCUCUUCCAGCCCGCGCACCAGUGAAGCAGAGCAGGACGCCCCCGUAGCCGUUCGGGGCAUGUGGGGGGCGUGGAUGUGGAGGUGGGGCAAUCGGAGCACCGCAACCGCCUGAACCAGCGACUUAUGUUAGACAGCGAGCGAAUGCAUACAUCAGCAUUGACUGUGGACGGCAAGAGCAAGCGCGCUCACCAGCGAUGCUAAGCAAGCUGCCUGUUAGCGUUAUCGUCAAGGCAAACCAUCCACGCAAUUCCAUGAGUAUGAGAAUGUUUGGCGUUGCCCCUAUAAAUGCUGCACAGGUGGUUUGGACUGGGAGUUUCAGAGCUCAGGAGUGAGAUGAGGUUCCUGUUGCAAUAUGCAUAAUGAAUGCCCUAUUAUUUUAAUCUAACACCUGAGUUAAAGCGAGGUUCGGGGAGAGGGCGGGCAACCACUGGUGAGCUGUGCCAGAGCGGAGGCUGGCCAUCGCGAUCGCUGCAAACAAUAAAUUAGGCUUGCUCAAUCACGCAUAAAGCAAUUGUAAUCUGUGCGUUGACAGGACUUGGGUGGGCCUUGGCGGGCUGCCGACAGACCGGCAGUCAAAUGGGCCCCAGAUGGCUUGCGUCAGGUGUGUGCUUCAAACCGCGCCAUACUUUACAUGAGUUGACUCAACCGUGGAGGGAGGAAUUGCUCCAGGCCAGCCAAGUCCAGCAGGUAGGUCCUCACCCCGCUGGGUAAUGCUCAGGGUAAUGCUCCCCGACGGAGCUUGUCCUUUUGGGGACGGCACAGACCUUGUAGCGAGAUUCCCCGAGGGUUUUUGAAGGCACGUCAAAUUCUGAAUGCGCAGCACCUGCAUGGUAUCCGAGGUGCCCUCGGCAGCUUGGCUCCGUCUUCCGGUUCGUGGCGGCGGUUCCCGCGCCAAGCUUGCUUCCAGUGCAAAGACCUGACGGCACGGCCGUGUUGAAGACCACAUAUGGCUUCUGAGUUGUCUCAGAUGCAUAACAUGAAAUUUACGUAGACUUGUAAGCUACGCAAGUUCCGCAAUUCUUGGAUCCAACGAUCACCGAGUUCGCGGUCAGCCGAAAUCGAGCAGGCCCAGCAGCACAAGCGCAUAAGUGGUGGCAUAGCAGCGAUAUCUGUGUAGGUAUUACCAACAGGACGUAGCUGGCGAAUGCAUGGGAAUUCGAGAACAAUUCCUUUAUUCUAUUCUAAUUCGAGUUUCAGACAUUUUAGCGGCGGGGCUUCCUUCCAAGUUUGUAGUAUUCAGUGCACCACUUGUCGCCCGCUUGUUGUGUGGAGCUGAACGUCAACCGCCGCGCGCGUCGACAGAAGCAGUCUUUUGCCACAACUGCGCUCAACCUUUCGGUCGCGGACUAGUCGCUGCGGCUUGCGGGAGCACCUCCAGGCCUGCCUUGGGCCUCAGCUGUAUCACCAGCUGAACCAUGUCCUUCUGGCGCUCGGCGGGGUUCAGCGCCGAACAUGCUGCAGUUGAGGAGCGCUCCGGUGAGUGCUUGCAUUUCGGUGACUUCGCCUGGCGGCGGAUGGGGGAUUUUGCUGCAUAGGCAGUUGCAAUCACGCGUGGGAGGCUCUGGCAGGCGCGCCAGCCGAGCGCUGCUUUCGCUUUCAGGUCAUCCCUCGACGACCGUGCAUCUUUUGUGCCCUCGCACGUCUCCACAGAUUCUCAGCUUCACGAGAUAAGCCUGGAUGACCAAGAGGUCUCUACGCCGGCCCCUCACCAGGUCAAGGACAAUUUCCCGCCCGCGGCCAGCAUGCGGCAAGCGAGCACAACCAUGGCGAAAGGUGCCUCUACCGACCUGUCGGACGCUGGAACAAACGGCCGCGACUCAUUUGACGGUGACGUCGACCUGACCGGCACUAGCCCCGCUUCCUCCACCAUCAGCACCCUGUUUGCGCCCAGCUUGUACGGCACCUCGCCCGACACGCCCCUGCCGGCGCUGCACAACUUCAUGCCUGCAGCCAGCGGCCCGGUAAGCAGCGUUUUGGUGCGAUGUCUGAGGUGGCGCGGGCUCCCCAACAAGAUCAAUAGGCUCUCCUGGUCGCACUCAUGCACUUGCAUGCCAGGGAGCGCCACUUCGGUCUUAGUACCGGUACUGACGGCUGCCUGGCCCCGGACAGGGUUGCAAGGAUUUCCAAGCCGCGGGCGGGCCCAUCGCGGCUGCAGUACACCACGUCGCCUCCGCACACCAGCAUCCUUCCAGCAGCACCAGCUGCGCGAGCGCCGCUGUUGCGCCCCUCCCGCCUAACUACUGUGCACCCGUCACCAGCACCUUCCGCCAGGAGCCCUCCGCCCCGCCGCUGCCAGCGCACCUGCACCUGCACGCGCAGCCCGCGCACACGACCCCCGCAGCGGCGGCCGCAUCGUCGACCCCCAUUCCAGCGAUCGCGCCCGGCAGCACCACCGGGGGCCGCGACGGCAGCUUCCUGUCCCUGUCCGUGACCACGCUGCUGGGCUGCUGCGAGAUGCUGGGGCACCACAUGGAGGACCGCUCCGACAUCGCCAGGUGCGGGCGGGCGCGGUCCGGGCUGAUCUGGGUGGGUGCGAACUGGUGCGUGACGGCAUGUUGGAUUGCUCACCAGUGACCACGGCGUCCUGUCGGGCGUGUAGCACCUGGACGCUGAUUCGCAUCUCCUCUCCGGCCCCGGUCAAUCUCGAGCAGGCAGCAGGACAUGGCGCUGCUGGCGCGGCUGCAGGCGCUGGCGGGCGCCUCCGCCGCCACCCCCGGCGCCUCCACCUCCACGCCGCUGCGGGACGCCAGCCAGGCGCCGCUGUUCACGGUGGCGCCGCUGGACGUGCUGGUCACCCGGGACGACAGCGGUGAGCCGCGGGGGAGGAUGUAGAGAGGGGGAGGGGAAGGGUGCGGCGAGGCGCGAUGGGCUUGUCGUGGGGCCUGCCUGCUGGGCGUCGGGGAGAUGCGGAUGGCAAUGAGCCGCGCGUACCGUCUGUGUCCUCUGGGGCGCGGUCGGAGGUGUGAGGACCUGAGGGUCUGCGCUUUCACGCUGACCGUGAUCUGAAUUUCCUAGUGUGCUACAUACAACUUUGCCCGCAGUCAUCAUUGCAUCCUGUAGCGCUUUUCCAAUCAUUUGCAACCCCCUGACACACAGGCCGCAACCACUUCCACGUGAUUGAGAUCAACGGCACUGGCAUCAGCGGCCUGACCAACAUGAGCGAGGAGGCGGUGGAGGACGUGCUGCGCUCCUUCAGGUGAGCCCCUGUGCGUGUGUGCGCGCCAGCUGCAGCUGCUGGAUGGCGGCCCGGAGCAGGAGGGCUGCAUCGGCAGCACCACAGUGGACUGUUGCGAUCUUGCGGCCAGCACCUCAGCCAUUGACACCCGCACCGCAUUCCAAAUUCCCCGCACCCUUUCCACGCACAGCGAGCUAGGCGCGCACCUGGCCUCCCAGCUUCCUCCGGGCGGCGACUGUGUGGUGCUGGUGGCCAGCAGCGGCACCGAGUCCUACCCGCCCGUCAGCCGCACGCUGCACGAGAAGGUGCUGUACAUCGAGGCGCUGCGGAGGGGCUUCGCGGCGGCGGGUGAGAGAGAGAGAAAGUGUUGGGAAAGGGGGCAAAUGCGUGCUCAGCAUCUAGGAAAGUUUUGGCACACGUACCGCGCUGGCUUGGUUCAUUCAGGAAGUGCCGCCUUAGCUGUCAUGACCAACGUGCACUGUCUCUUCCGUCCCCUCCCUGCCCCCAGGCCGGCCCGCCGCUAUCACCAACAUGACGCGGCUGGAGAAGCGGCCAGAGUCCAUGCCGCCGCCUGGCUCGGGGCCGCUGCUGGUGCUGGGCUACAUGAAGCAGUUCCGGGCGCACUUCAUGGCGGACGCCCCCACCGGCCGCCUGCUGCUGCUAGGGCGUCAGGUGGGUGUGCGCGCGUGUGUGCCAUGGCGGGCGCCCUUGGACACCAUACGGCGUUGCCACGCCUGUGCGCACCUUCACAUCCGGCCAGGCCCAACGAACACUCAAUCUCAUGCCUCGCCUGCCGACCCUCCUGACACCCUCCCCGCCCUCCCCCCGCAGGUCCACGCCGCCAUCAACGACCGCUUUGUGCUCAACACCGUGUACCAAUUCAACCAUUGCCUGGACCUGGCCGCAUUCCGCGGCUUCAACGCAGGAUUCGCGGCGGGCGCGGACAAGGUGCGUGUGUGGGCAGCACGGCGGGCUGGUGGCGGAGGGACAUGUGUAUGGGGCGUGGGUGCCUGCGGACUGGAUCGUUGCUGGGGCCGGGCUGCCUGCCUGCCUGGCAGCUACCGCAACGGCCGGAUUAAAGGGAUCCGAAACACGUCCUUUCCUCGCAACCGCUCGCUGCUGGACUGCACACCACAGGGUGUAGCCUACGAGCUGUACAACCAGUUCUUCGGCAGCGGCGCGGGCAGUGGCGGCCGCUUCGACUGCAUGGCGCCCUCCAUCCACUUCAGGUGGGGCCGGAGCGUGAACAGGCAGCGGUGGGACCAUGGGGACAGCACCGUAUGACAGGUUUCGGUCCGGCCGGCCGACAGGAGCAUAUUCGCAGCUAUCGGCCUGGGGCACUCAGCAAUGGCCUGAAUCCUUCCCAAUCCCCAUAACCCGCAGGCGCGCGCACACGCGUGACGAGCUGGUGUGCGCGGUGCAGCAGUGGCUGGCCACGCCCGGCUCGCGGCCGGCGGUGAUCAAGCCGCAGGGCACGGGGUGCGGCCACGGCAUUGAGUUCUUCUUCGGACCCAGCUCCUGGGAGGACACGGCGGCCAAGGUGCGCGCGGGGAGUGCACCUAGCAGCACUGGAACUCGGUUUGGAUGAAUUUAGGAUGUAUGGCAUGGGUGUAGGCUGGUUUCCAGGAGCAUGUAAUACGCUUAUACGUCACGCGCGUUCAGUGCUCAACACGCCGCUGCCCCCGCCCGAAUCUUCCGCCCACUAGGUUGACCGCGCACUGCACGCGGUGGCCGCCAACUACAACCUGCAGUGCGGCGGUCUGCCCUUCACCGUGUGCGAGUACCUGGACACAGCCACGGUGCACCCCGCCGCGGCAGCCGGCACGCCCGCGCACGCCAACAAGGCGGGGCACAAGUUCGAGCUGCGCAUUGUUGUGUACCGCAGCGGCGGCGAGCUCCGCGCCUUCCCCUCCAUCGCCAAGGUGCGGGCGGACACUUGCUGGAUGGACUUCUCUUGACCGACAGCGCUGGGCCACCUUUUACUACUGUAAUGGGUUGCUGUGUGGGGCGAGUCUCAAUGCAACCUGCCUUACUCGUCGCCUCCAGGUUGCCCGUGAAGCGUUCGACCCGUCCAACCCCGACAACAAGAAGAGCCUCAUCAACAACAUCACCACCUCCGCCAAGGAGACCGCGCAGGUGGGGCGGGUGCCGGGCAGGCAGGUCAGCGCGUGCUACAGUGUCGCAGUUGUCGAUGGACUCACUUAGCAUUCUUAUCUCCUACCCGGCGUCCAGACGGCCUUUCCUCCUCUUUAGUUCCGGCAAUUGCUUCACCCUCUUUUCUCGCUCCUGCUCCGCCCCGCCCCUCCGCAGUGCGGCCAGGAGUUCCUGCUGCCGCUGUGCCGGCCCGACACGCUGGAGCUGCUGGGCAUCAGCCCCGCCGAGCUGUCGCAGCUGUGCGCCGCCUCCACCGCCUUCAUCCGCUUCACGCUGGACACGCUGCAGGACAACCCCGCCGCCUUCGGCCUGCCCGGCGCGGCGGAUGCGGACGCGGAUGCGGUGCAGUCAAGCGCCAUGAUGCAACAGUAAUGAUGUACGGAGCUGCCGGUGGCCCGUCCCGGUUCGGGAGCUUCGUUUGAAUGGCGCUGUGCCGGCUGCAGCGUUACCUGGUGCUGAGAGAGCACGCAUCUUUGCAACGCAGAAGUAAACAGACCCUGCUGGGCGGGGUAGCAUUUCGUGUGACCGCACUGCUUGUUAACGAGAGGUGUGCACUGCGAGUAACAACGCAGUCAACCCUGAACAAGGGCAAAGUCCGCAUGUGAGGUUCGGGUUUCUGCAGUUCGAAUAUGUUUGCUUGAUGUAGUUUGGUUUUGCGUUUGCUUGGUGCGAAGAUUUGGAUGGUGCCGUGUGUGCAUGCCGCUGAACGGCGUGCCACCGUCACACGGCAACGUACCGUUUGUGUACCGUAUGUUAUGCAUGGACUCGGUUCUGUGCGGCCGCAUCCAGUUACAGCUGCCCAUUUAUUACAGCCUUGACUCAUCUGAUGACUCAACUUGCGUACGUAAGGCACUGGGGCGCAAACGCACCCGCCCGCACACAAGGCAUGGUGUACGGUGUGCCUCGCUGUUGUGCCCAGCGCCAUGCAUACAUAUGACUUAUGACGGAUGCGAGGACCGUGUCUUGACAGGUUCGAGCCCCUGGGGUUUGUUGUGAUUUCCCGCGAAUGUACAUACACGGAGGCGUUGCCGCCACUGAUGGCAAGGACAGGCGCCCAGAGAGGAGAGGAGUAUGGCUACAAGGGAUGCAUUAUCCAAUGAGUGGAUGAAGAAGCAACAAUGGGACGCGCUCGCUGACUAGGCGAUCUCAAUGAUGUAAUUUUAGUAUGCCCUGAGAUGGCCCAAACAAAAGCUUCCCACAUGCAAGCGUUCCCCGCCUGCGCACGUCCGGAGGGGGCGGGGGAGACCAGACUACCGCUACCAGCCAGCAGCCCCCUGCAGGAGUGCAGGGACCAGCUAGCCUCCUCCCUGUAGCGGAUACAGCGCCGUAGCGGAAGUGCUACGCCUGGCAAGCGGGUGAGCACUGCAUAUGUGUCAAGGCGCUUGGAAAGAGGACAUCGGAGUCGCCCGCGUGAGUCGGCCGUCUACAUUGCCAGGUAGGCCACGUGCGUCGGAGCCUCGCCGCCUCAAUCGAUAGCUCCUGCAACAAACCACAAAUUCAGCAGUCAAGUAACGCGGACAUUUGGUUAUGUCAAACUAGUGCGUCACAAGUGGUCACAAACGCAUAGGGCGAAGGCGGUCCCGUUAGAUGGAUGGUGGCCACUGCGGGUAGGGCGCGGCGCCUUGACGGGGGGGGGGCGGGGGGGCUGAGCCGCUGAGGACCCCUGACCCCGGUUAACCCCGUGGCCAGUAGAAGAUGAGAUGGCCGCGGAUAUGUGCGUGCUCUGAGACCAUCAAAUCCUAUGAGGGCAGUGGUUCUGGGAUGAAUGCCAGGUUAGCGGGCGCACAAUCAAGGAUGGGGCUCUGGGAGUUCUUGCGGGUUCAUGCCGUAUGGCGGGCGGCCCUCCGGGCGGCUAGACUGCCCAUAUUGAAAGGUAGACUUUUGUUCCACUGAGUAUCAACCUAUCAUGUCAGCUGCCCUGAGAAUGGGUGGAAGGCCAGGUGUGACAAGUGAAUGGCCAUAACCCAAAGUCACGAGUAAGCUUAUUGCAUCAUAACAUUGUACUGAAUGUAAGCAGUAAAGAUUGGAGCCUGGAAGAGGGGGGCGGAUGUCGCGCGCAAGAGCUGCGCGUUGCGCGCAUGCCAUUUUGCUCUUCAUAUUGCUGCAGCUGUUCCUAAAGCUGUCAAGCUCACAGUCAGCGCCCGGAGACAUCGAUGCUCUGCGCGUUUUCCUGGCGAGCGCAGCGUCGCCCGGUGAAGUCAGCUUUGAGCUAGUAAAAGGCAAUUACAGCUUGGAAGCACCAUUGUUUUUCAAUGCGACGGUGGCUAACAUGACCUUGACUCUCCUCGGUGGGGGCUCCCGCUUCUUGUGCGUCGGAAACAUCACCGGCAGCGCGAUUGUUGUGGCGCCUGGAGCUUCUGUGGUGGUCAACAACAUCACCUUUGAGCGCUGCGCCCCGGCCGUAGUCUUGCAACCGUCACUCUCGGGCCAGGGGUCGAACGUCUCGGCGGUUUCGGCCACCGCGGCCACGUUCAACGGCUGCACCUUCGCACAGAACCGCGGCGGAAAGGUGCGCUCAACUCGGCAUGGUGGGCGCGCAAACGGACCCUCUGGUAUGCCGCGGGCUGCGCGGGUGCUGCUAUGGCAUUAUGGAAGGGCGCCGGCAGGUAGGGCGCUCGAACAGCUUCCUCUUCUCACGUCGCAAUUGCAGAACUGCAUUGACCCCUCCCUCGACCCCUCCCGCAGACCUUGGCCGCCAAUGGCACCAGUCUGGCCCCACCGUAUCCACUGGCGCCGUCCGCCAUCGCCGCGCUGGGUGUUGGCGGCAGCAGCGUCAGCCUGCGCGUGGCGGACUGUGCCUUCCUUGGGAACGGCGUCGCGGGGGCCGUGCCAACCGCUGUGGAUCUGCGCGCCACCAGCCCCCCCAUUGGCGUGCGCUGCAUCGGCGACAGCAGCAGCAACAGUAGUGGCCGCGGCGUGUGCCGUACUGUCAUUGAGCGCACCAGCUUCCUCGGCAACACGGGGGCGCUGGCUGCCGCGGCGCACAUGCACUGCCAGGGCACCGCCAGCUGCUCCCUGCAACUGCGGGAGGUGCAGGUGAGCCGGAGGGCAAAGAGGACCAGGAUUGGGUGGAGUGUGCAGCCGUGUAGAUCUGGACGUGGACAAAGGGCGUGUUGCUGACAGGAGUUCCGGGGGGCAUCCGGUGUGCAGGCGAUGCGUGUAUGGUGAACCGCUCAUGCCGGUGCAGAAGGAGCUUGGCGGUGUCAUGGAACUGUCCAUCUCGUGCACACUGCGUAGGAUUGCCGAGAAUGUUCCCGCCUUGCCUCAUCCGGGCUUGUGCUCACACAUGCAGGCUUCCAGUGAUAACAUUGCCAUGCCGAACCUCACCACCACGACCACCACCACCAAUGCCACCGUGGGCGGCAUUGUGCCGCGGCCCGGGGUUGUCGCCUACAUCGAUGACUGGAUGCAGAGGGGUGUGGCGCUGGACCCGGCGCUGUUUAGCAUGGCGGUUACCGACGUGUAAGUACCGUGGUGGGGUCGGCCUGGUUGGAUGGGCUUACUUGCAGGAUAACGUUAUUGCUUUUUGCAAUUCAGGGUAGGUCGUGCAGGUGUUGACCUUACACCUGCAGCCCAAACAACCUCUGCCCCGUGUUGCCGCCCCGGCGUCCACAGGCCUGGACCCACGUCAGUAUCCGAGCCGGCAAACGCGCCGCGCGCGGCCGUGUCUGUGGAGCGCUGCGCCCUGGCGGCGCCACCCAAUGCCUCGGCGCUGUGGGCGGCGCACGUGCCCUCCCUGCCGCCGGUCCAGGUGGGCUCCCUCAACCUCACGCUGGUGGACUCGAACUUCACACAGGGCUGGCGGGUGGUGUGGGCAAAGGCGGGGCUGAACCGGGCCACCGUGACCCGCUGCCGCUUUGCGGGCAUCACAGGCGGCGCGGCGCUAGUCCUCAACCAGGCCUGUCGCACUGUUGCUUUGAUGGACACCGUGUUUGAGGACAAUGACCUAACCAGCAAUGGUGGCGGCGUUAGUAGCAGUAGCGGUAGUAGCAGUAGUGGCAGUAGCAGCAACAGCAGAGGCAAUGUUGGGACGGACCCGCUCGUGGUGAUUAACACGGCUCUGGGCAACGCACAGCCAAUGGCUGAGAGCAGCACCGUCACCACCAACGCCACGGGUGACCUGGUCCGUGUGACCUUCCAGCGCUGUGCCCUCACCAACAACACAGGUGCACACACAGCAUGCGUGCGCAGUGUUGUCCAGGACUGGUGUGUCACCACGAAUCGAAUCCACACUGCUGGCACACUGUUCCUUACUUUCAGCUUCCUGCACGUAUGUACAUCCCUCGGACUGUCCAUGCACAUGUGUUGCAAUGCACAAUGUUUGCAGUUAACACUACAUCGGGGGUCUUAUGGCUGACCGACACAACGUAUUCGCAAAUCUCCGCCACAAGCACGGCCAACCCCAGCAGCUGGCUGGCACCACGGCUGGUCAGCACACGGUGAGGAGAUCCGCACUGUACGGUACUGUACGGUUCUGUACGCAUGUGGGCUGACAUCCUCGAUGUCUUGCAGCUGACUGGGGUUUCUACAUUAUCUCCCGGCCCCCAAUCAACUAUGCAGGCUGGAGAGCAACACAAACUGGGGCCGCAACACCCUACACGUCGGCGAGAGCGCCACGCCCCUGUACGCCGCGCUGCCCUUCGCGCCCAUCAUCCGCCUUGACGCCUGCCGCGGCUUCUUCGCAAACAACCUGACCGCCCUUGGCAACACCGGCAAUGUGCUGGUGUUCACAGCCAGCGCUACUGGGGCCCCGAGGUUGCUGUAUAGCACGCUUUCAAACAACACCGUAGCCCCGGGAGCCUUGGGCGCUGCCGCCGUGACUUUUUAUCUGGUGACUGAGUCCCCAGGGUCCACUGGGGAGGGUGGCAUGGAGGUCACUGGCUCAACCUUCCGCAGCAACACGGGCGCCACAGUGUGCUGCUCGCUCGCUCGCCCGCCCGCCUGCUCCAGGCCGUGUCCCCUACUGCUGCUUGCCCUGUCCAUCGGCAUGUGCCCCGCAUCCCGUGUGGGCAUGAGGAGCGCCGUCCAAUGUACAGCGCAUGGGGCACCGUGCACAGUUUACAAGAAUUACAACAAUUCCCAUAUCAUUGCUCCUUCCCAUUCCCACAGGCGGCGCUAUCUGGGCGGUGUCUGGCACAUACUACAAACUAGACGGUUGUACCUUUGACCGCAACCGGGAGACACGCGGCGCACUCAGUGCCGCAGACGCGGCGCGGCUGUCGGCUGAGCCGGCAGUCAUUGGGGGCGGCGCGUUUGGUGUGGCCAGGCCAUCACGUGUAGGUGGAGGGGCCGCGGCUGUGCUGAAGACCGUACCCGCCCGGGGCCCGGCAAUCGAGGUGUCUAUCACUGGCUGCACCUUCGCUGCCAACUCCGCAGCGGCGCGAGGCGGCGCGUUGGCCAUACAGGGCGGUGGUGCGCUCACGGUGAGCAUCUCAGCAGGCAUCGCGCACGGACUGCUGCGGGCAGUGCAACACAGCAAUGCCGCAUGCCGCAUCCCGCCACGUGCCAAGCACCUGCAUCUUGAGAGUUACCCACUCGUCCGCCGCUGCCCUCCUUCCCUUGCUGCAGAUACGCAACAGUACAUUUGACUCGAACGUGGCCGGCGCGCGCCUCGCCGCCUGGCGGCUGCCUCCACAAUCUGACGGGCGCCGCGACCCUGCCAAUGGCGGCGGCGGCGUGUGGGCAGACGACGUGUCGUCCGCGCUGCAGGUCGCCAACUGCACCUUCAGACGCAAUGCAGCCGAGGGUCAUGGUGGGUGGGUGGGCUGCACGAGCGCCGCCGCUGCUGCUGUUGACAAGGCAACCUCGAGGCACACCCGAGUAAGGCACACACUUGCGUUACCUCGCUGCCUGUCACUUCAACAAUCACACGCAGGUGGCGGACUACGCGUGUCAAACUUUGCGGACCUGCAGCUGCUAGACAGCGUGUUGGCAGACAAUUACGCAACAGACACGGGCGGCGGCGCGGCACUGGUCUCGGGCGGCUCUGGCGGCGGCGCGGGGGCUGCGGGACUGCUCUUGGGUGCUGACAAUGCCGCCACACCCACACGGACGCUUCUAUCCGCGUGCCGCUUCUCGCGCAACCAGGCGGGGACCUACUUCCGGCCGCCCGCAGCUCCAGGCGACAGUUCAGGUGCUGCUCCCGGCACUUCCUCUGCCGUUGGGUUUCCCUGGAGCGACCCCCGAAAAAGCGCGGUGACCAGCAGCAGUGGAAGCAGCGGCGGCAGCAGCAGCAGCAGUGACAGUGAUGGGUCUGCUCCAGCGACUGGCCGGCGGGCGCUGCGGCAGGCGGGUCAGCAGGACGUGGACCAGCAGCAGCGGCCGUACGACAGCCUGACAGACGCGGUGGCGGCGGCAGGCGGGCUGCGGCUGGUGGGCGGGGCACAUGCAGCGGGGCUGGGUGGCGGGCUGUACGUGAGCGACGUACGGCUGCGUGUGGAGUGCGGCUGCGUGUGGGCAGACAAUGCCGCAGCGGUAGGGGGAGGCAAGUUUGCGGGCGGCGAGGCAGGCCGACUGGUACUGGGGGCGCCAAAUUGCACCCUGCCCCUCCCUGUCACUGCUGUGAACGGCUCAAAGUCGACUAGCAACAGUACCGCAGCUGCGCCAGUGGCGGCCGAUGACAGGGUGUACGGCGGGGUGCAGUACGGCAUUGCCUUCGUACGGAACCAGGCUGUGGUGGGCGGCGGACUGGCGGCGGCGGACGGCGUGAUGGUGUCGGCGGGCGUGCGGGAAGAUGUGGCGACACGGGUGGCGGCGCUGGCAGGCGGGGGCUCCAGCGGCAGCAGCGCCACUGGCUCCAACGCAGCAGGCACCACCGGGCCGCAGGCUGUGUCGGAGGCGCUGAGGCGGGACGCAGUGGGCCCCGGUGCGGCGGUGCUGCUUCUUGCAAACAACACGGCGGUGAGUGAGAGCUCAAGGCCCGGCGGUGCGCGGGUACCAGCAACUGAUGGGGGCGGCCUAAACAGUACUUUGCUAGCUCUCUGCCUCGCUAGCGGGCUCAUGACAGCGUGCUGCUGACGUGUCCACCUCCUGCAGGCCAGUGGCGGCGGCCUGAGUGUGGCUGCGGCCUCCACGGUGUUGCUGUACGGCGCCCAGCUGCUCGACAACACCGCAGCCGCCAUUGACCAGCUGGACAUGAACGGCAAGGACGAGGAGCAGGUGCGUGCGGGACACAGGGGGGGUGGAUGUAGCAGCCAGCCGUGCAGCUGCAUGUGCGGCCCGUGCAGCGGGCAUGACGCCCAUGUAACUCACGAGGCCUUCAUCUUUGCGUGGAUGAGUUAACCCCUUGGCGGCGCCCCUGCAUUGCCUACACUGCUGGGGCUGAUGGCGCACUGCUACUGCUGCAGGGUGUGGCGGACGUGCUCGGCGCCUACGGCUGCGGCCUGGGUGCCGGCGGCGGCGUGUGUGUGUCUGGCAGCCCCGACCUGUCACUGCUACAGCUCAGCGGCGGUGCGCUGGCGGGAAACGCAGCUGAGUUCGCAGGUGGCUUGUUCCUGACUGCACGUUACGCUGCCACCACCUGCCCCGACACCACAUCGCGGCUCUGCUUCGCGGCGGUGUUGGAGGGCGUGGCGGCCAGUGGCAACUGGGCACGGCAGGCGGGCGGCGUGGGGUACUGGACACACGAGGGGCUGCUCCAGGUGGUGCGGUGCGGCAGCAACACCAGCGCCAGCAACAACAGCAGCAGCAUCAGUGCCGGAGACUGGCGUGCCUCGGACGCUGAGCUGGUUAACUUUCCAAAUGUAGCGCCAGCCCUGGCGGCGGCAUCGCUGCAGCCCUGCCCCGACUGGUCGGCAUCCGGCGGUGCAGCCACGGCCAACGCCGCGGGCGGACAUGGGCCGCUGCUCACCAGCACGCCCUACGCCUUGUGCCCGGCGGUGAAGGGCGACGGCGUGGCGGCGCGGGCCGCGGCUCAGGGCCAGGCGCUGCCUGCAGGCGCGGUGGCACUGCCCGUGCUGACAGCAGCUGCUGCCAAGGGUGGCGGCACGACCGCCUCUGCGGCUGCGGCUGCGGCUGCGGCGCUGUACCACACCAGUAACGUCGAGCUAGGGCUGAGUGUGGCGGUGCUGGACUACUACGGCCAGGUGCGGGCGCGGGGAUGCGAGUCCGGGUGUGCAGAUGCACGUACGUGAAGACGAGUUUGUGCCUUGGCGGAAUGCCAACGGCCGUCAUCCUUGAUGUAUGAGAUCGCAAAGCCCCUUGCUUUGCAGUCGCAACGGCCGUCGGCCUGAUCCCCUUGCCAUGCCGACCUCCCAUUGACCCACAAACUCAUACGCACGCAGGUGUUCAGCUCGGACCUGCCACGUGAGCUGUACGUCACAGCCAUCAACGGCCGCCCCGCCAAGUGGCCAUCCCGCAGCAGCGUGAGCACGGCGGCGGGCCCAGCCGCUACUGCCGCUGCCGCAGGCGCUGACGUGGUGCCUGCCGUCCUCACGGCUGCCACCGCGGCUGCUACAGCCACCGCCCUGGCGUCCAACGGCAGCGCCUCCUUCCGCAUGAGGCCCCGGAGCACCGGCUUUGCGGCGGAGCAGGCAUGUGUAUGUGUGUAUGUGUGUGUGUGUGUGUGCAUUGCAUGUGCGUGUGUGUGUGUGUGUUUGUGCUGUCGCUGAUAUCAAACCUCCACAUCUUACCGCUGCCCUGCCAUCUCCUGCCGCCGCCGCCGCCAGGGUGUGUUCUUCACGGCGGUCUACUCGGACGACGUCGUGACUCGUCAGCUGGACACACGCCAGGUGUGUUUUUGUGUGUGUGUGUGUGUGUGUGUGUGUGUAAAUGGUGGUGAUGUGGGAAGGGAGUUGGAGAUGGCGCGCUUUCCUAGCUCCUCCCCCCCGGCUGCGAGGCUGCGGCUUGCUGCUCUCUGCGGAGCGUCCUCCGUACGUACAAUUACUGUCUUGUGCAAGUCCUGCCAUCCACGCUGUGGUCUUGCAUGCACCUGUGUGUGUCCCAUUCAUCCGCCUCCUCCAGGCCGCGGUGCGGCUGCUACUCCGCUCCUGCCUGCUGAAUGAGGAGCGGCCCGACAGCGCUGCCGAGUGCGCCCCCUGCGCGCCGUCCUUCUACCGCUGGUCGGUGGAGGGGCUGCAGCUGGGCCGGGAAGACUUCGAGAGCUAUGACGUGAGUGAUGCUGAUGAGGGCCAGGCCUGGGAGUAGGGUCACUCGUGGUGCGCUGCGUGUCCGCGUUGCAAGUGACGUUGCAGGCCUGCGGCAUGGCACGACUGUCCACAGACGGUGUCCUCAGCGGCUUACAAGUGCAUAAUUAUCAAUCAUCCCUCCUUGAAACACCAGCUCGCUCGCUCCCUCCCCCUGGCUGGCACGUGCAGCCCGUGGGCGUCAGCCGGUGCAUGCCCUGCCCGGACAACGCGGCCUGCUCCCUGCCGCCCCAAGACGACCCCACCGGCUCUCAGCCCCUGGCGGCAUGGGGCCUGGGCAACGCGCAGCUUGCCCAACUGCUGCAGCCCCUGGGGCCACAGGGUGCCCGGCCGCUUGCACGCCGUGCACUUGAAACCGGCGGCACCGAGCCGCCACGCAUCAACGGCAGCAGCCUCGCGGACUUCCUGCAUGCGGCCAAGUCUGAGCUGGGCGCUGCAGUGGAGCUGGGUGACCGCCCCGAUGUGGAGGUGUUUGAUGCUGGCGGCCCCGCUAAGAGCCCGGUGGCGGGCGGCACGGCGGCGUCGCUGCUGCGCGGUGUGGUGGUGCCGGAUGAUGGCUACUGGCACAGCAGCAUGUUCAGCGGCCAGGUGAGCGUAGUAGGUGCCGUCCCAGCGGUGAUGGCAGUAGCUUUGUUUGUUGCGGGUGGCAGCUGCAGGCUAUGGAAUGGCCAUUCCGUGCGUUCACACUCAGCCUGGCCCGGGUGCUGAUCCGGCUCCGCUGGUGCAGAUCCUGGAGUGUUUCAACGACCAGGCGUGCUCCGGCGACGGCCGCGGCGCCGCGCUGGCGAAGCUGCAGGCGGUGGCGGCCGUGUCGUUCGCGUUGCACCGCUUCCAGGUGAGUAGUGUACCGUACUUAUGCGGCCGCAGCCAACCCUGCAGCGCAAAGUCAACCGACACCUUGGUUAAAACCACUCUCACCCACAACCCCAUCCCUGAUUGUCAUUCUACCCUCGCCUGGUCUACCUUACGUCCAUGCGCGUCCACGCCUGCGGCUUCUGGCGCCAGGCCGCGGCUGCCGCCAACUUCAGCGGUGACGCCGUGGACGUGAGUGCCUACCUGGCCCGCACCGCGGCGCUGCAGUCCGCUUACACCGCCGCGCAGUGCGGUGAGGGCUACACCGGACCGCUGUGCGGCAAGUGCGCGCCGGGGUAUGGCUGGCAGGACGGCGGCAGGUGCAUCAAGUAAGCGCACCUAGUCCUCGGGAUGGGCGCUCGCUGCGGGCGUUGGGCAGUGCCUUGUCAGUUCAUGAGCAUUUACAGCACUUGGGCUUCGGGUCCACCCACACAUGAACGCACGCAUGCAUGCACGAGAUCGAGGGCAGCAAACCGUCACGGGGCACGCUCUUGACCGCCCGGCACCGCGCCCGUCCGCCGCUGCUGCUGUGUGCGCGUGCAGGUGCCCAUCUGCCGGCGUGAACACCACCUACUACGUCCUCACCACGCUGUUCACACUGCUGGCGCUGUUCCUGGUGGUGCGGGCGGACUGGCUCAGCUUGCAGGCACACAGCCACAACAAGAGUGAGUACGGGAGCACGGUAGUGCGACCAGGAUUCAGUCUGGAUGGCACGCACAUGGUGCUCCCUGUGCCCAAGAUGGUGAAAGUUAGCAGAGACUGACGGGGCAAAGCGGGUCACUACCAAAUGUGGCCAGAACCUCACCAGCUAGCGCACGCCCACGCCAACUGCAGGUAGGGCUCGACAUCGCUCCCGCAAAACUUAAUAUCAUUUAUACCGUAGCCGCUCGCCCUGUUGCUUUCGCCAUGGCUCGCUGGGCAACGGGGCUCGCAGCUCUGCUAGGUGGACGCUGGCUUGCGCCGUGUUGUGGGACGGGUUGGGGCUGCGGAUAGGUCGGCGGGUUAAGGAAAGCCCACUGGUACUGGUGCGACACCCAUGGCUGCGACUAUGUGAUUAUUGCCACAGACGUACGGGUGCUUGUCACCGACCACGAGCUGCGUGUGCUUGCUGCUCUACUUGCAGAGUCGUCCAAAGGACAGAAGGAUAGUGCCAACGCUGGCAGCAGCAGCCUAGGCCGCGCCGACUCGGCAGCACAGCACGCCGCGGCUGCUGCGGCUAAUGGUGCCACCGGCGGUAUUGACCUCGGCGCGGCGCCCUCGCAGCUGCCCUCGUGCUUGUCGUACCAGCAAUACAGCGUGCAGCCUCAAUCGCCCUACCCGCCUGUAUCCCCAAAAGCCACGUCCCCGUACCCAUCCUCGCCAUUGCCACCACAGCUGCAGCCCGCACCGCCGCACCACAGCGGUGCAGAGCACCAACAGCCGCCGCCGGUGUUGCAGGGAGACAGCCGGCGAAGCGUACUGUCAGCAGCGGCGGACCCUGCUGCUGCCGCCGCCGCCGCUGAUGACGGCGGCCUUCUGGUCGGCCCAACGGACACCCUUGGAGCGGCAGGCCAGGCGGCAGGCGCAGUAGCUAUGGCAGCAGCAGGGGCAGCAGCAGGGGCAACAGCAGGUGGUAGUAGCAAGUCCGCAUUUUUAGACGCUUCUGGCAGCAUCUCAAACGGUGUCACCAGGAUGCCCGUCGCUGAGGGGAAUGAAUACCUGCCAUACCCAGGCACUACAGCCAUCGCUACGGCCAUUGCAGUGGAGUGCAGCAGCCACGAGUUCGAGAGCUCUCUCUCUGCCACAUCCGCAGCCACGUCUGCGACGGCACCUGCGAUGGGACCUGCAGCAGAUGCAGUGGCGGCGGUCUCCACAGCACCGCCGGCCGCAUUGCAAAGUGGGCACUCCAUUACCAGACGUGACGCCCGCAAACCCCACAGUGGCAAUCAGCAGCAGGCCCUGCUGCCGCCGCCUGUGUCGCCGGCACGGUCAGGCCAGCUGGAGCCGGCACCGUCAUCGCCGCAGGUGUUAAACGUCCACGCGCACAGACAGGCGUCGGCGGCUCUGGCCCUGCCACAGGCGCACGUGCUGAAGGCGGUGGUGGAGGGCAGCGAGGGUACACAUUCAUCGGGGGCCCGCACCCCAACAGGCACUCCUGCGGGAAACGUGGCAGAUGGCGUUAGCGGCCGAGGCGGCGGCGGCGGCGGCGGCAGCGGCCAUUGGUCUUUGAAGACCUGGGACAACAAGGACGUGAACGAGGAGGCCAAGCAGUGCUACCGUGACAACGUGGUGCGUGUGGGUGGAUGGUCUGGCGAGCGCGGCCCUUGUGUGCAGCUUGUGUGCGAUCUUUUGUUGCUUCAUCAGCAAGGCCGAUGCUGCCUGCGCUCGGUACAGUGUGCUAUGGCCUAUGGGAUGGGCCUCGCCUCCACCCUGCUCCGUCCAACCAUGCCUUUACCCUGAACUCCACACCGACCCGCUCCCUGCCCCCGAAACCGCCCGUCCUUGCAGUCGGAGAGCUACCAGUCCUCCUUCUCCAGCCUCAUCAAGGUGCUCGUCUCGUACCUGCAGGUGCGUGCGCGGGGCCGUGGGGUGGACUGCGCGCAGGUCGCGUGCUCGGCAUGCAGCAGCACUGACUCCUAUGUCACUCCUAGCGAGCGACGUGGAUGCGCUCGAUGACAUCAUCACGCACAUGCCAACGUACAUCUCAUCUGCAAACAUGACUCCAGUCGCCAUACUGCGAUGGCACCCUCAUCCUUGUUCGGUAAUCACCAGCAAACUGCCCGCCACAACUUGUUGCCUCCCGCUCGCUUAUGCUCCCAUCCUUGUGCAUAUAUGGCACACACACACACACACACACACACACACACACACACACACACACACAAGUUUGUACACAAUCCUGCGUGUUAUCUCUCCUUGUACUCGCUAACAAGCAACACGCACACGCACACACACAUCCACGCUCGCACGUGCAGGUCCUGGCGCUCAUCCGGCAGGUGGACAUGCCGCUCACGGAGCGAGUGGGGCACUACCUGCGGGGCGUGGAGCAGGUGUGUGGGGGGGGGGGGCUGCGGGAGGGAGGGGGCGGGGGGGGGGGGGUUACGGCUGUAGGCGCACGGAGUAAUCAUGCGUGUGGUUUCGCAUGUCGGAGUGCCGUGGAGCUGCAGUAGGCAGGCAGCCUACGUGUGCCUCUCACAUUGCACGUUGCUGUUAACCUAUGGUGAUGUAUGGAUGGCUCCAGGUGACAUCGUUUCCCGGCUCGCUGGUCUCCAUCGACUGCUCCCUGCCCGAGUGAGUGCCGUAGCGUGUCGGCCUACCGGCCACACGCACAGCACACGCGGGGCCCUGUUGUGGGACAUCAGUUUACCGGCGGCUGGCCCAGCCGUGCGAGCCUGCUGGCCACUCACAUGCUACUGCUCAGCACUCACAAGCCACCAUCCAGUAGCUGGUGCCCUGUGCUACAUCCGCCAACAUGCAAAAGGUUCCCUUCCCCGUCCACACUUGCCCCGCGCCCCGAACGGCUACUGCCCCCUCCAGGGUGUCGGGCACCUCCAAGGCGUUCCUGCGCACAGUACUGGCGGCUCUGUCGCCCUUUUACGUGUGGCUAGGCUUCAGCGCCAUGGGCGUAGCUUACCUGCUGCUCAGCCACGGCCGGAACAGCGUCAUGCGCAAGGCGUCUCACCGCCGGCGGAGCGAUCUGCUGCAGGCGCAGCAGCAGCAGGCGCAGCAGCAGGCGCUGCAGAAGCAUGGGUCCGGCGCUGUAGCAAUGGCUGGUGUCAGUGCUGCCGCACAUCCUAGCAUCGGCGGCGCGGCCAGCUCCUUGGUGCAGCAGCAGUCACCCCAGUCGUCCCGUAUCCUGGACAGCUCGCGAGAGUCCUCUGCGACUUCGGCUGGCACGGCCAGUGCCGGAGUGGCAGCUGGGGCGGCAAGGGACCCGGCGGCCUCUGAGUUGGCAGCUGAGGCACCCGCAGCAGUAGCGGCCAGCAGCAGUAAUCGCCGCCUGGCGGCGGCGGCGACGACGGGCGCUCGCGGCGGCAUCAGCCUACGAUCCAGGCCGCCGCCGGGGCCAUCGCGCCUGGGCGGCGACCCGCAUGGCCUGGCCAUGACGGGGACAUCCGGGAGGGACCUCAGCACAGGCGGAGACACUGCCGGAGGCACGCCGGCCUCUGACCUGGGAAGCACGGCGGGAGGCACUGGGGCAGGGGACUCGUCCUACUCUGCUGCAUCGGCACAGCAGGGGUCUGAGCAGCUGGCUCCCGGCGGGACGGAUGCCGUCCAUGCACUGCUGGCCCACCCACCACCGCUGGCACCCUUGCCACCGGUCCCGCCGCCGCCUCCCCCGCUACACACGUCAGGUACCGGCAUGGGCUCUGAGCCGGCAGCUGGCGGCCAAUUUCUGCAGAGCAGUAGCCAGUGGCCCACCCACCUCUCAUCUGACCCGGAGAUCGGGAUACAGGUGUCAGAGUCACAGGACCAGGGCUCGACGUGGCCGCACAGCCCCACUAGUGACCCGAACGGCGGGCCCGCCGGGGGCUCUCACAAUGGCGGCGGCAACGGACACGUCAACUUGGGCCAGUCGCAGCUGAUGCCGGCGCCUGGAACAGAAGCAGCGCUGGUGGCGGUGGCAACGGCGGUAGGCACAACAGCGGCUGCCGGUGCAACUCUUGGAGCCGGUGCCGGCGCAGGCACCAGCCCCGUCAUCAGCCCCUUUCAGAUGGCAGCGAAUGCCGCGGGCAUUGUGACUCCUGCCACAUCCCGCCUAAACAUGUUCGGAUCUGGGGCCGCGCCCACACCCGCCAGCGCCAGUGCCCCGCUACCACACGGCCCGCCCGCUCGCCACGCCGCCGCCGCCGCCGCCGCUCCUGCCAGCGACCCGAGCGGCGCCCUGGUGCCAGCAGGGCAAACGGCGUCUGGCGCUGGCCUACAGGGCAUGGCGUCUGGCGCGCACGGUGUCGGAGUGCUGAACGGCUUUGGCAGUGGUGGAGUGGCUCUGGCGCAGCAACCUUCGCAGGCGCCGUUGCAAGCAAGCACGGACGCGGCGGACUCAGGAAUCAAGUGAGCUGCAUUGACGCCUGCUGGUUCUGCUGCUGGUAGUACUGCUGCAUCCCUCUCGUUCUGAUCUUGCGCGGUCGCCCCUCAACUUAUUGCGGAUUUCCCGGCCAGUCGGGACUUUGGAGGUCGCCCCUUGAGGUGGCCCCUUGAGGUCGCCCCGGCCCCUCCCUUUCGACACCCCCACCUGCUGCAGUCCGUUCCUGUUGCGUCUGGGUCAGCUGGUGACGCUGACGGCUAUGAACACGCUGUUCUUCUUCUACCCCUCCGUGGUCACGGCGCUGCUGGCCAUCUUCAGCUGCCAGGUGCGCGCAUGUGUUGCCAAGGUGCAAGAGCGGGUCACGGGACGCAUCAGCAGCAACCUGCAACUGGCAAUAGGCCGUCUGCAUGUCCUAUUAUUGCUGCUGGAGUUGCUGCUGUGUUGCGCUGUUAGUUGUGACCGUGUUUGAAUUUUCUUCCGCGUUGCACGUACCGUAUGCCCAGGGCUUGGACUCAACCUCCCUCGACCCGCUUGGUGAUCCGGGCGUCCUGGCGGUGAGGGGGGCGGCGGUUGGGACAAUCCCCACCAAGCCCACGUAGACACAGAGACCCAGAGGCGCAGAGGGGACAGGGGACUUCCUCCUAGGGCCUUUACGGCAGGCACCGGGGCGGGGAAGGUAGGCAUACAGGUGGGACCCGUCACGCCUCUUACACUUCAACAAACUGUCACCAAUCUACGACAUACAACACGUACCGUACGCCCACACAUAUGCACGUAGGACGCGGCGGGGCUGUACACGGCGCCCAACGGCUACUGGACGGAGGACAUGAGCCAGGUGCGUGUGUGCGCGCGCACUGCCUUCCGUGCAGCCCCUCCGUGCAGCCCCUCCUGCCGGGUGUUUGCAGCCCCUCCUCCCGGGUGUUUGUGUGACGUUGGCGUCAUCAGCAGUUGCACCGCCCCUGCCCUGCCCUGUGACGCACACACUCAUCACAGGAGUGCUACGUGGGGCGGCACGCGGGCCUCGCGUUCGGGCUGGGUGUGCCCGGACUCGUAUUCAUAGCGGCUGGCUGGCCUCUGGUCGUGUCAGGGCUGGCCAUCGCAGUGAGCCGCACGCGCCAUCACAAGCCAACAGCCGCCGCCGUACAGUCACACACGCAGCAGUAAGCAAGCUUGGCCAGGGGCGGGAUGGAGUUGGGGGCGCCGCAGCUCACACACACGCGCACACACAUACACACACACACACACACACACACACACACACACACACACACACACACACACACACACACACAGAACUUUGCACAUACGCAUGCCGUUGUUGCAAACAUGCUCCCGCAGCGUGUUUCCCGACGAUUGCCCUGAACACACGCGGCCGCCCGCGCAUGCACUCUGGUCUUGCUUCCAACCGCACCCUUCAUAUGCAUGGUGUAGCGGGCUUGGGCUGUUUCUUAGCUCUCCCCGGCCGUUUCUACCUAUCCGCAGUUUGCAGAGGUUGCCCUCCUCUAUUUCGACUGCGGGUGCUGGCCACCUCCAUCGUGACUGGCGCCUCAACGUACGCAAGGCGCUCAAGCCUUACUAUCAUGAGUACCGCGACAGGUGCGUUCCUGCAAUGUCGAAUUACACGUUCGGCUUUUACUAAACGUUUGUCAGUGUUGAUGUUUCCCCUUGCCCUUUACUCCUUUGACCCUCUUUGCCACCCCCUCAGUUGCUGCGGCUGGGAGUUCGUGGUGAGUGGGUUGCGGUGGGCCGUGUGGGGCGCUGCCACUGCUACUGAUCAGUGCAGCUGGGCGCACCGGAAACAACGACAGCGCGACUGAUUGCACGGGAUGGACACAUGCACGCAGGUGUCCAUGCGCAAGCUGGCUGCCGCAGCCGUCAUUGUGUUCGGCGCGUCCCAGGGCGCGGCCCGAACAUGCACUACCGAUCAGGAAACGCGUUUCGUUUUUACCCUGAUCACAGGAGCUGGCGCUCAUCAUCGGCCGCGGCGAGUUGUAGUGGGGGCGGGACACCCUCUUACCGGCUUGCAUGGAGCCCGAUUGCCGCCCGAUUCCAUACGGCCUUCAGCAGAGUGAUUAUCCAACUACUGAAUUUGACUACUUAGAAUUUGAAACCGUACAACUCAACAGACACCAUUAAUACAACUUGCGACAGAAUUGUAUGACUGCCGUCGCGCUCUCUCGCCCGCGCCUCGGCCACCCGGCCAAGUCUCGCCUCGCCGAGGCUGCCGCGGGGACAUAGGUGAGACCGGGCAGGGUCGAUGGUGGCCGCGAAUCGCACAAAUAGCGCGCCUAUAUUGGUGCACCGCCCGUCUAGUUCUCAGCCUCGGCCGCGCGGCACACAGCCGAUAUGGAACCAGGUGCUAUAAUUUGUAGAGAAUGAGCUGUGUGCCGCCUCUCGCCCCCCCUCCCGCCCGCAGGUCGGCAUCAUCAUCGCCGAGAUAGUGGACCCGCUCAUUAGUGCGAAAGCCUUAUAACUUGGUGAGCCUGGGCAGGGGCGAGGGAACUCGGCCAGAGCGAACAGAGCCGAGAAUGGCCGAGGAGCCGAGAAUGGCCGAGGAAAUUCUCAAAGCAAAUUAUCUCCUGGAGAAGUUAAGAACGAUGCAUGUGCCAUCUUCUACAAUCACCGCUCGCAGAACCAUGUGGAAGUACCUGGUCAAGCAAGGGCCAGGGACACGGAUGGACGCCGCGGCUGCCGCGAAUGCCGCGGAGGAGACCAGUGCAACGGACGCCAGCGCUCUUGCUGCUGUCUCUUGCUGCUAUCUAUGCGUAGUUUUGUGUUGCGUUUCUGUGCGAUAGACAUGGUGACGGUUUGUCGUGCCUGCGGACCGGCAUGUGACGUGCGUGUUAUGCGCGGCCCCUGCAGGUGAGAAGCGCAUGGCCCAGGAGGGCUAUGACGCGGACGGCAAGUCCACUGCGGCGGUGGCCAUGGGUGAGUGCAGCCAACACGGAUGCUGGGCCACUGCAUGGACGCACACUGUCACGCUUGCAGCCAUAAUCCAUCUGAACACCCUUGUCGUGCCUGCGGACCGGCGUGUGACGUGCGUGUUAUGCGCGGCCCCUGCAGGUGAGAAGCGCAUGGCCCAGGAGGGCUAUGACGCGGACGGCAAGUCCACUGCGGCGGUGGCCAUGGGUGAGUGUCGCUCCGGGGUUGUUGGGGCUUAAACAUCACAACUCCUGGGCGCGGAUGGCAAGUCCAUCGCCGCCGCCAACCUGGGUGAGUGUUGCCGCGCGGGGUCGCCGCGCAGGCCCCUGUGCCGAGAGAGUAUGUGCGCACGAGGAUGACAGGCGUCCUGCAUUAUUGCGUGUGCAAAUGUUACAGGGGUGGCGGUCAUGGCAGUCGACGGCUACGAUGAGGUCGGCAGGUCCAUUGCGGCACGUAGCGCGGGUGAGCCACGCGUAGCAUGUAGGCGGGAAUUGCCCUGCUGGGUCGGCGGUGCUCCCUGGCUGGCCUGCAUCGCCCACCCUUGCGCGCUCCCGCCCCUGUGCCGAGAGAGUGCGUGCGUCCUGCAUUGUCCCACAGGCGCUGCCCGUGCGGAAAAGGCCGGUAUGUUCAUCUGGGCACCCGUCUGGCCCAAGCUGCACGAGUGGGUCAAGGCCCACCCCUCCAGAACGGUGGACUGGACCGCGGCCGAAAAGCACCUGCGGCGGGAGUUCCCGGAUAUCCCCGUCGGUGCCUUCGAGUGCAACAGUACCGGCAGGACCAAUUAUUCUAGGUGGAAGAGGCUGUCCAACCCGUAGGCUAGAGGCGCGGAUAGGGCUAACACUGAUUAUAUCCAAAAAUCGUUGAGCCUGGUACAACUUGUGAUUGACUUUAAAACGGCAGGCAGCAGGAACAGGAGGGGGACGAGGGGGACGAGGAGGACGAGGACGAGGACGACUAGUCCAGCUGCUGGUUGCAGGCGUGCGGCCCCUGGCGCUGUGGAUAGUGGGGACUGUUUGGGUGAUGUCACAGCGCGUGUGUGGAUGUGAGACGCCAGGGGCUGCAGUUCAUAGAUAUCGUGGUAACCCGCCUUUGUGGCGGACAGGGGGGCUUAAGUCCCUUCCUUGGGGCGUGCUAGGAAGAUGGUGGAGAGGAGACCCCUACGCCGUGUGGGGAGGUUGGACUGGAUGUGGAGAGACUCGACAUAGGGAGAUGCGUGCGCCCAAAGCGGGCUGUACUGCUAGGUACGUCUAGGUACUGCUCUGGAGUCCCGCAGCCAUAUGUUUUGCCCGGUGCCUGCACAUGCCCGCGGUAUGUCCUGCAUCCCUAGGGCCGGCCUGGCACCACCAUUCAUCCACAGCCUCAGCAACUUGGAUGCGCACAGCGGCCUUAGGGUUAAGGGUUAAGGGUUAAGGGUUGUACUACGCGCCCCACAGUGACAAAGCUGCUGCUGCUCAUGUUCGUGUGCGGCACCGCCCUGGCGCUGCAGCUGGCGGCGGCGCCCUACCGCGCAGUGACCGUGUGGGACGACACAGAUUUCGGCAUGGGGCCGGGCAGUGGCGUGGUGGCGGCCGCAGAGCCGCAGCACGACCAAGAUCAUGGCAAGCAGCAGCAGCCGCAGGGCUCUGGCAGAGUCUUUGGGCCAAGCCAAAGCCUUACGCGGCGGCACACGACCAGUCUGGCGCUGCAGGGCUCACUCGGGCAACCCGCAGGCGCCACCGGCUGCGCGCCGCAGGACCCGGCGGCCGGCGGACCCCGCCGGCUGUACCUGUACCACCCCUACACCCGCCCCGUGUACGACGCCGUGAACUGGGCUGAGACGGCGGCGCUGGCGGCCCUGCUCCUGACUGUGUACUUUGCGCUGUACCUGACGUACACGGGCGGCAGCACCAUGGUGCUCAGUGUGCUCAUCGGCGUCACCAACGGCCUCAUGAUGGCGGUGCUGGCGCUGCUGGUGCUGCACCUCAGCAGCAUGUGGGUGACCCGGGGAUCUAGCAGAGGGGAGCUUGCAACCCGAGUCGGACGAUCAGGGACCAAAGGGAGGGCCAGCGGGCAACGCGUAUAUGUUGUGUGCGGUUGAAGCCUUGUGUGGGAAAACUGGGCCAAUGCUCCUAUACGAGGAGCCUUUCGUGGCCGCGCCAAGGUUGUAGGAUUUGCUUGUCUGCCAGUGUCCUUGCUGUUACCUUACCACUCGCCCCCAUCACCGCCCCACAUGGACGCAGGGCCAUCAUGCAGGAGCGCCGGCUCCGUCAGAGCACGCUGCAGAACUACAUCCUCAUGUCGGCGGCGGCGAUGGCUUUCCCCUGCUGCGUGCUGCCGGACGCCGACGACAUAAGCGCACAGAACAAGAAGUCAGACGGCGCCAGUAGUCGCAAUCUACAGCCGCCGCCGCAUGGUGCCACCAGCAGUGGGACCAGCGCACGUGGCCGCCUGAGUGCUGGCACGGCUGCCGGCAGUGUCAGCAGUGUCAGCGGCCGCUGCGGUGGCGGCGGUGUCAUGGGGGGCAUCAGCGGUGGCGGGUGGUGCACAGGGCUCAAGUCACUUCUCGAAGAUUUGAGAAAAGAAGAUUCCAGCAGCGUUGCCAGUGCGCCUGCGGGGGAGCACUGCUGGUGGCAAUGGGGCUGGAAGCAGUGGUGGCGGUGGGGCCGCCGCUUCAAGCGGAAGCUGAAGCGCUACCUACACGGCCUGUGGUUGUGGCUGGGUCUGUGGCUCCUGGGCUGUGUGUCCCAGGUGGUGCGCUGCAUGGGAGGGCUGUGCCAGCAGCUGUCGGGUGUCACAGUGCUGCUGCUGACGUGUGGCAACUGCUGUGGCCGCUGUGGCUGCCGCCGCUGUUGCUGCCCACAUCAGGACACGGGUCAGGCCGAGCGCACGGCGAGUCCGUUAGGGUCUGGGAAACAUUUUCGUAUUAUUUUAUUAAUUGCUCUUUUCUAUUGGCGGCAGGGAAAAAUUGGCCGGAGCGAGAAGCGAAGCAGUGAUACACUCCAGUGUAAGAAUGUGAGAUCAAUGUCAAGGAGAGUUGCUGGGUCAACAGCCAAGGGUUGCACAUUGUUGCCAGUCAUACCUGGCCUCCUUAAUUGCGCUUGUGAGCUUACUACGUGAUAUCGUAGCUUGCACAAUCCGUGAUGUACUGCAAACUUGCAUUGAGUUGCCACGUGAAUACGUCAGGGUAUCCGGGUUGCAACCCUGGAAUACCGUACGCACUUCGGAACAUGGGACUGUCCUUGACUCCUUGUCAUGUCACAUCUAUACCGUACCGUACUGUGCAUUGCACGAAUUCUACGUCCGCAAGCUUCUUUGCGCCGGGUGCCGGAUCCGCAUGCAACGCGCCUCAUGCGACCGCGCUCCGCCGCUCAGCCGCCGUGUUGUUAAUGUUACCGACACUGCAUUAACACCCAAAAGGGGAACACCCAUCACCACACAUACACGCACACGGCGCUAGCAGAUAGCCCCCAUCAGCAUGUACAUGUAGGACCCCCCGCCCGCAUUGAAGAUCCCGUUUCGGUGCUUGUGUUAGCUGCUGGCAUUACGAAAUCUUCUAUACUAUGGUCACGACGAAUCAUCCUCACCACAAAACGGUCAACAUGCAGUACCCCCGCAUCACGCUACGCCCGCCGCCCCGCUCGCACGCCAUCACAGCCAAGUACCCAGUGCUUUCGCUUGACCUGCAGCCGUGUACAGCGCCACCCCAAAAGGCCAAGUUGACAAGACAACUGCUGAUGCUCCUGAAACACACCGUAACCGCCACCGCCAAGUUAAGAUAUGACAAUGCGUGUACAAGGCGAAUGCAUACAUAAUGAGUGCGCAUCAGCAAGCUUGCAAGGCACCAGAAAAACGUACCACACGCCGCAAUUGGAAACCCGCUUGGGUAUGCAUUACGCAGGAUCACAACAGAUAACCAGUCGCUUCUCAAUGCGCGCAUGGGCUGGAGAAUACUGUAGCCAGGCGCGGUGUGUACAUGCAGGCAUGCUGGCCCCACGGAGCCGAGCGCUGCUAACCCCGCCCCUCCUAGUCCCCACCCGCUUCAGGCCUUGCGCUGUGCCACAACCACUGCCGCUGCCUCUGCUGCUGCCGCCGCUUGCGCCUUGUCCACGGCGGACUGCAGGCUCUGCCGGUAGCCGGCCAGGUCCUCGGGUCCCACGCAGAAAUCGCCGAAGCCGGGCGGCGGCGCCUUCAGCCACUCAAACGCGUUCAGGGUGGCUUCAAAUGUGUGGACCAACUGCGUGUGACAAGUGCACGUGCGGCAAGUGGACGUGGAUGGGGCAAGCGGGCGUGCAGAGGACGGAGGAAGGAUGGAGGUCCGUGCACGGGCAUGCGAAUGGCAGCGCGGAGUGCAUGCGGGGAGAGUCCAACAGCGCCAUGUGGUGCGUCAUGGAAAUGCAGGCCACCAAUACCGCGUGUGUCGUGUCCGCACCUCUGCGCUUGGGGGUGGGCCGUUAUAGACGGCGCCAAAGACGUCAUUCGACACGAACCGAUAAAAGGCAAACGCCUGCUCCCGCGUCACGAGCUGCCCGGGCUGCGCCUCCAACAGCUUCACGCCCUGCGUGCAGCAGCAGCCGCCCAGCGGCGCCAGUCCGUCAGGAAGAGUCUACAGCAGGUGCCAGCGGCUUGUGGCUGUUUCAAGACCCUUAGACGCACACGGCCCCACCCGUUGCGCCUCUGACUGACCAUGUGCUGCCCUUGUGUGUAACCCCUGCACAGCAGCUUGCAUAAUGUCAACUACCGGACACCCAACCCUCCAACCCUAGCCGCCCUUUAACUGCGACCGCCCCUGCCGUCCAUGCCUCACCUCCCAAAUAACAUCGAAAGCAGCGUCCAAGUCUCGGAGCGUGCAGCAGCCGCCGCCGGUGACAACCGUACCAGCCGCCCCGCCAGCGCCGGCGGCGGCCAGGGUCGUGUCGCGGCCAGCGGCACCCGGCACCAGCAUACCGGCAGCAACACCGGCAGCAGCUAGGCCGGGCAGCAGCGGUCCUGCAGGCGCCGCUGCGAGAGCUAUGGCCGCAACAGGGGCAGUUCCAGCACCAGCAGCACGCGCCGGUGCGCCAGGCUGUGGCCGAUGCGCCUCUUGACUGGGCACGCGCAUAUGUCGCAGGCUCAGGAGGUCAAUCGCACCAGCCACUGCCAGUGUGUUGCUGCUGGGCUGAGGCGCCGCCGCGUUCGCUGCACCGUGGGGGCGUAGCGGCUGCAGGCCGGCCCUGCCUCCCUUAGUGCCAACUGCGGCUACUGCUCCUCCCACAGCCGCAGGCCUGAGCGGCGCUGUGGCCCCGCGGCCGGGCCCUGCACCAACAGCACCAGCAGCAGCACCUCCACCACGCCCACCACGCCCAGCACCGCCGCCACGACCCACAUCCGCCGCCGCCACGUGGCCCUGGCCGCCAGCCGGCCCCGCCCUGGGCCCAGGUGCAGGCGCGGCGGCUGCUGCCGCGACUGCUGCUCGGCCCCCGCCACCCCGCCCUGACCCUCGGAGGACCACCCGGUUGGUCUCCUCCUCCAUCUCCUCCUCCUCCUCCUCCUCCUCCUCCUCGUCCUCUUCGUCACAGAGGGAGAUGACCUCCACAGCCGGCUUUUGCAACGGGCCAGGCCCACGCCUGCGCUUCUUAGGCGGCUCAUCAUCAGGCGCGAACAUGGGCUGGGGCCCGAGAGCCCUUGCCACACGCUCUUGGGCCAGGGCCGCCGCCUUGCGCUUCGGCCUACUACCCACGGCCGCGGCGCCGCCAGAUGCCGCCGCAGGCGCGAGAGGCACCGGCGGCCUCCCUGCCUGCGCCCGUGGGGCCCUGGGCAGUAUCCCGCGUGUGUGACGCGGCGACAAAGCCGGCUCCUGCGCCUCCUCCUUUUGCGACUGGCUCACCUCCGAGCCGUCCGUGCUGUUGCUCGCCCCCGACUGGCGGCGGUUGGUGGCGGGCGGCCUGGCCGCGUGGCCGGCACCUGCACCGCCACCGCCGCCCAGGGCCGCAGCGGCAGCGCCAGCCGCGCCGCCGCCGGCACCUUGACCGGCCUGCACUCGGCUGGGUGCGGCGGGUGGGCGCCGCUUCGGCUCGGGCGGUGCUACUUCGGCAUCCGCCUUCCGCUUCUGCGCGCCCCGUCUGGCCACCGCCGCCGCUGCCGCGGGAUGCGCCGUGGCCGCAGCCACAGCCCCGCCCCCCGCUGUGCCCCGCUGCACACCCACAGGCACCAGGUCCACUGACGUCUCCUCAUCCUCUCCCUCUCCCGCAAUGUCAACAGCCCGGGCUGCCGCAGCUGCAGCUGCAGCAGUCGCUGCUGCCACCUCCCGGCGCCGCCGCCUGGCGUCCUCGGUAAUGCGAGCAUUGUGCUCGCCCGCCUCUCUCACGGCCGCCAGAGCCAAAGGGUCCAGGUCUUGAGCCGCCAGCUCCAUCUCUGCGUCGCUGUCGCUGUCACUGGCAGCAGCGGCAGCCGCCGGUGCCGCGCCGCCAGCACCCCAAUGCACCGGUGCAGGCAAGGCGGGCGCAUGAACAGCAGCACGACCUGCCGCAGUGCCGCUGGGCUCUGCACCGGCGUCUGCGCCUGCACGGUCUGCCAGUUGGCCUUGGCCACCACCCACACCGCCACCCACCCGACCGCGUCCACGUCCCCGGCCGCGGUCACCAGCCGUGGCUAUGGUGCAGACAGUCGCGAGGGCACCGCCUCCGGGCCCCGCGCCGGCAGCGCCAUACGGCUGCAGCUGUAGCGGCUGCUGCUGCACAGGACCAGGCAGCAGCAUGAGUGGCGCCGCCAGCCGCCCAUUGGCUCGGACCGUGGCCAUGCGCGACAGCAUGAUCUCGGUACCCGCCACGCCACCAGCUGCCGCUGCGAGAAGGACAUGCUCGGGUCUAGUCUUGGCGCCGCGAGGCCGGCCCCGCUUGCGCGGCGGCGGGGGAGAAGCCUCCUCUGCCUCCUCCCCCUCCCGUUCAUCAGUGUUGGCACCAGCAGCCUCCUUGUCCUCGCCAUCAUCAUGCUCCUCCUGCUCCCCGCCCUCCCUCUGCUCCUGGAUCUCCUCCUCCCCCGGGCCCUCGCCCUCCUGCAGGCCCGUCUCCUGGCCCUCGUUCUGCUCCUGCGCCACCAGGCCCUGCUCCGCCUGCACCGGGCUCUGCUGCUCUUCCCCCUCCUGCUGCUCCCCCUCGCCUGGCUCCUGCUCCUCAGCGGCAUGCGACGCGUCCUUGAUGGUCUUAGGCGGCCACGUGAGCUCGCAGUACCUAGCGGGCGGCAGCGCAGCACGUCCGGGCGGCGGCAGGGCAUGUCAGGUUAAGGCGACACUAGCUCACGGCAGUCUGCGGCUUUUGUUUGAUCCUAAUUAUGCAGUGCAUGCAGUGCAGCCUCAAACCGUGGCGACAGGCUCAGUCGCGCUGGUGCACGGCUGCUCGGGUGCGCACUCACUUGCAGGUCCAGCGUUUUCCUGGCCUCGGCUCCCUGUGCCCCUCGCGCUUGAUGCACGUGGCGCAGAAGGAAUCCACGCAGCUGCGGCAGCGACAUAACCGAGGCACACGGACAUGCAGCAGUCCGACGUAAAGGAGAGAGGCCAUGGCGCUGCUGCAAACGCACGACGGCCAUUGCAACUCUCGUGAACGGCAACUUACUCAUCGCACGAGCGCCCGUCCGUCAGCUUCGCCAGCCUGCACCACUUCAUUUUGGCGAUCUUCCUGUAGCGGGGAGCCGGCCCGCACGCGGCACACCAGUCGAUGUUGCCGUGCCGAGCCACUGUGAGCUUGUGCACCAGCUCGCUCAGCUGCACAGCACAAAACACACGCAAUCCGACAGGGCAGGAGAGAGUGUGAGUGCUCGGGCCGCUACACGUACAUGUGGCCAGGCCAGUACCGGAGGCUUCUACGGUGUUCAGAUAGAUGAGGAGAAGAGUAAAAAACGCGCAUUACAGGACCUAAAGCGAUCCGCACGCACGGUGUCCUGAGUGAUGCCCAGGUCAUGGAGGAAUUCGGCCACGUGGUCGGGCGCGCCCGCAGCUGAGCCGCCGCCACCUGCCCCUGAGCCACCAACCCCCGCCUUUGAGCCUGAGCCUGUGCCGCCACUGUAGCCCGCUGCUGAGCCACCACCGCCGCCACCUGCCGCCGCGCCGCCCGCCGCUGCCCUCCCGGGCCGCGACGGCCCGUAUAGCGGGUCUCCGUCCAAAAGCUCCUCCAACGCCGUCCGCAUAUCGCGGGUGCCCACCUGAGGCCGUGUAGGGAAUGAGUGAGCUUGAGCAGGCAGCCAUGCUUACAUGAGCAUGCGCGGCAUGCCCACCGCAAGCUUGAUGUUCAGGUGCAGUGUCUCCAUACAUGUAGUGCCUCCCACGCGUGGCCACGAACAUGUACACAUACUUCAAUGUAUGUGCACACACGUAUCAUGCAAGGCCUACGGUGUCUACAACUGCACCCGCUUUCUCGGUCUACACGCACGCAUACAGCACACACACACACACACACACACACACAUAUGCACUCACGCACCUGCCGGCGAUGCAGCAUGGCAACCAGCCGCUGCACUGCCAACACAUCUCUUGGGCUGCGUGGCAGCAACAUGAGUCUUGACUCGGCUUUGUGCGGCAUGUGGGGUGGGAGUGCACACAAACUGCAGGCUGUAGUGGCUAGUCCGCUACCAUACCACCAACGACAAGCAAUUUUCUUACUCGAAGCGGAAAGACCGGUCGGCAGACGGCGCUGGGUGGCACAGCAGCCGCUGGGCCACACUGGGGCAGCAAAGAGGGCCGUUCCAGGAUUUCCGUGAGGUGCAGGUAGGGGCGGUGCGAAAUGCUUGCAUGGACGCAAUACCUGAUCAGGAUGCAUGCCACGUGGUGACAGCUACACACAAUCCCACAUAAUUCACCGCUCAGGGAUUAGGCAGAUGCCCGGGUUCAGAGCACUCCACACCUGCUUGAGUUGGGCGGCGCGUGCAGCAGCUCCCACACGCUUCGCAACCGCUUGCCCUGCGCCCCGCCGUCCAGCCAGCACAGCGCAGGCCGCGGCGGUAGGCCGCGCAGAUGGCGGACCUGGGAGCUGGACAGGACCGCAAAGGACCAGGGUAGCAGGCGCUGCCGCAGCGGGGAGCCCUCCUCCCGCGCCACCAUUGUUACGCAGUUCCAGCCGGGGUCUACGCCGCGGGGCCUCUUGAUGCGCAGCACCGCCUGCGGGAUGGCAUAUGAAUACACACACCAUCGGCCAUUUGCAAACUCUGCAUCUCCCUUAAGUCGUUAUGCACGACGUAACCUGACGCGAUCAUGGCCCCUUUCCGCGCAUGAAGAUGACUACUGCCACCCAGACGCACACGGAAGUGCGUGCCCGGUUCACGCAGCCGCAGCCGCAGGCAACCGCAACCGCCGACCCACCAGCGGCUCCUGCACCCACACCGCCACCAUGCGCAGCGCCUCCACCAGCACCGCCGAGUCGGGGUCGUCCGCGACCUGGCCCAAGCUGUCCGUGUCGAAAGUCAGGUUAUUCAGCAGCUCUUUGGCCGUGCUCGACAGCGCUGCCGCCACUUCCGCUUCCUCCAGAAAGCUGCGCACGUCCUCCGGGCUGCUCAGCACGCGCAGCGACGUGUUGGGUGGCAAGCCUCCCCCCACCGCGGCCGCCGCGGCAGCUGGCAUCAGUGCCACCCAGUAGCGCUGCGGAGGCGCGAGAUUGCAAGCAUUUGAGUAACGAGCCUGCUAAUUGCGUUGAGUUUCCGUCCCACGGACACUUGCCCCAAUAUUCAUGGCGCGACUGACAGGCGGCAUAUGCACAUGAUGACAGUCAGGCAGGGAAGCCACAAACGCACCCGCGCAAGUCUCGGCACCAUCCCCGGCUCAUCCUCCGGUGCGGUGUACUCGCAGUUGAACCGCAGCUCCGCCUGCACAUACAGGUGCUGGUGCGGCGGGUGCCCCGAAGGAGGACGAGGAGGAGGGGGGGCACGAUGCCCCCGCUCCGGCGACUGCCCUUCCGGCCGCGGCGCCGGGGGCUGUGCCGGCGGUGGGGCUGUGCCCCCUGAGGUGAGCCGUGCAUCUGCCGCAACCUCCAACGCGCCGGUAGGUGCCGGCGGCGCGCUGGCCCGGCGCGCUGCUGCUGGUCCGCCUGCUGAGGGCGCAGCACAUGGCGUCUGCGCUGCUGAUUUCGGCAGCUGCGUGCCUGCCAAAGCCACCGCGCUGCUGACACCAGCACUGAGCAACCAACCCCCCAAUACACGGUCGAUUAAGCCCACGAAUUUGCUGGCAAGGCCGGCCUUGCUUGCGGGCGCGCUCCCACCCCCUGCGAGUUUCACGUCAGGCGCUGACGCCGACCGUGUCACCCGCUGUCCUGGUAGUUCAUGCUCCGCCUGCUGCUCCGCCGGCCGCACCGGACUGCCCACAUCACCCGAGCCCGCGGUCCCGUGCAGGCCGUUCGGCAGUGCGUCCCCACUCGCUUGCCCGGCGCUCCUGGGCGGCGACGUGCCCGCUGUGUCGGCCCCGCCACCCUGCCCCAUCGCCUGUGCGGGCUCAGCACCAGCUGCCGCCGCUGCCGCUGCCUGGCACUUGUCGCAGACGCACGUCAGCAGCCUGCAAAGCUUUGCAGUGACUAAGUGCACGUCGGUGUCCGCCGGUUGCUCCACCUCACAGACCAGCCAAGGCUGCGCGAGCGAGCAAGAGGCACACCAGGGUGGUUGGGCAGGACCGCAGAGGACAUACGAGCGCCAGGGCACAUACGAAAGCACGCCAACGGGUGGUUGACAAGGUGCCUUACCUUUGCCAGCCCCCGAGCUGCAUCCGUGUGCGGCUGUCCACACAGGCUGCAUUUGAUAUGGCCGGUGCGGAACCGGCCAUGGUCGUGCAGCUGGCGCAACGCUUUCUGCCAAAUACCGGCGAAGCCUUCUCCCUCACGAGGAGGGUCUUGUUUAGUGUUUAUGAUUUCCAUGUAGAACAGCGUCGUCAGUGUCACUGACCACCAUUCCAGUCAAAGUUACCAGUUGGCGCUCACGUUCACACUCCAGUCUCACAUUGCAGCUGUAACUGUGAAUGUAACAUGGCAUGUAGUUUAGGUCACAUACGGGUGCCACAGAACAACACCCUUGCAAGCAUGCUCACGAGGCAAGUAGCGCCUUUGUCAGUAACAACAAGCGAUCGAUGGCAUAUCAAGUAAAUGGUCCUUAACCUUGUCGGACAGGCACAGCGAAGCAAGCCCCAUCUGCGGAUCGGUCAACCGCACGCCUACCCCACGCCGCUGUGCUGUCACGUUGCCAGGGGCUCCCCUGGGCUGAUUGCCCGAUUCCCAGGGGAACCCCCACCCUAUCUGACAUUGGCAAUCUGGCAUGCAAAGCUCGGGCGCAGUUCGACUCAACGUACCACAGUUGAAGGCAGGCGUGAUAUGAGCACGUCCACAAGAUGCAUAUUUGAGGUGCACACGCACACUUCACGCAGUUGUCCGUACGACCAGAGGCCCGUGCGCCCAGCCAUGCAACUGUACGUCGGCACGUCGGUGCGUUGACUGCCUCUCCGCGCGCAGCCCUAAAACGCAAGUGAUGCAACCCAGAAAAGUAGCCGAUGCGUGGGGUCAGUGCAGAAAGUCCCCCGCUUGUUACAAGAGAUCGAACAUCCCGUGGGGGCACCCCUGCAGGAAAUGACCGCUAAUUUGCUAUGCAAUAUACGACUUGGAUGCAUGUGCAAGCAAGAUUAUGCGGGCUCUGACGCUCUCCACAAGCAACCACCAAUUCCCUGACAUCCCGAGUGUGUCCACACUGAACCAGCCUGCUACGGAGUCCAGUCAUGAGUCAGUGCAUUGCGCACAGUCCAAGCGUCCACUGCUGCCGCUGCUACCGAUACUCCUUCAUUCAAGCGUGCGCCAAGGCCCACGAAAGUUUAGCCAAAGCAACCCCCCACAAACGUCCCAUAACAAUGGACCGCGGCGAGACACCUCACCUUGCGUCUCACACCAUUUUCCUUGUCAUUACGAACGAUACGGUAUCACCGAACAGUAAGUAACGGACAAGCCCCCAUUCCCUCAACACACACCCACACAUACACAUGCGCGCAUGGCGCUUUAUAUACAAACUUCUGGUUGAGUUCCGCAGUGCAACACACGCACGCACAUACAGCUAUCGCUUAUCCCAGGCGCCCCCCGACCAAACAGUUGUCACGCAGGACAGCCCGCUGUACAUGCAAUAGCAGCCAUGCUUUGGUGCUUGGGUCUACCACUGUUACCAAGGGUCUCAGUAAGGCGUCGCCGACCUUCAAAGCAAAGGACCGGCCACACACGGUGCGCUCCCUAUCCACUCCUCUCGAGUCGAAUCGGACUCAGUCCCUCCCCACCCCUGCCACAAAGCCACGCAAACAUUACAGUGCCUGCUGUGCUGCCGGCGCCGCCACCGCCACCGCCACCGCCGCCAUCACCUGCACCGCCGCCCUCGCCACUGCCGCCGCCACCCCGCCGCAGUGUCGGCCGCUACAGCCGCUGCUGCAGUAUGUGCAUGCAGGCCUGCAGGUCCUUCGGGCCCGCCGGUUUGGACAGCCCCUCCAAGCGAUUCAACACGCCUAUCAACGCCUGGGCGAUCUGCAUGUGCACGUGCGUGCGUGGCAUGACGGGCGCGUGUGACAGCAAUCAUCACGAGGGGGAAGGGCGACUGUGUGAAAGAUAGGGCCAGUGCAGGGUGGCAGAUAAGGAGCUACUGCCGGAGGAUGCGACGCUCGCCGCGUGCUAAGCGGGCUAUGCCACUACCUGCUGUACAGUGUAACUUAUGACCCCAACUAGACCAUCUUUUAGACGCACCUCCGGUUCAUUGCAUCGCUUCCGCACCCGAGUGAAGAUGAACUUUGCAAAGGCAUCCACCUGUUCGCGCAUUGGCUCCUGCCACAGCUGUUGCUGCAGCUGCACACCGCAAGGGUUGCGGCAAGAGGCCCACGGGGUAAUGGUCAGCACACGUGAAAGCACAGCAAAGACACGACCCUUUAUGCCCAUGCGGCCGCGCUCAUCGCCUGUGCCUUACCGAGACCACAGCGUUCCACACGUCAUGCAAGGACCGGUGCGGGCCGCUGCCGUUGGCGGCCGCACCCACGCCUGCAACGACACCGGCAGCCGUGCCAGCAGUGGCGGCGCCCGCCGCCAGCGCCACGGCCGCCCCUGCGCUGCCGUGCGCAUCAUGCUGCUGCACAGCCUGCGGCCGCGCCCUAUACCCGGGCGUUGCCGCAUGCUGCAGGGCCUCCAGCUCCCUUGCCGCAGCCUGGGUGUUGAAGCUGGGCUGCGGCACAUCGCCGCCCACAGCCGCGCCCGCAUCCGCCUGACGGCCCGAAGGUAGCCGGCCGCCCGAGACACCGCCUCCAGUCCUUCUGCCUGGGGCCGCGCUGCUGCCGUUCCCCCCUGAUACGCUGACAGAGGGAGCGGCCGCUGGUCCGGACGCCGCCACGGCCGCCGCAGCCGCCUGGUGCACUGCAGUCGGUCUGAGCGGCGCUGUGGCCCCGUGGCCGGGCCCUGCACCAACAGCACCAGCAGCAGCACCCCCGCCACGCCCAGCACCGCCGCCGGCGCCGCCACGACCCACAUCCGCCGCCGCCACCUGGCCCUGGCCGCCAGCCGGCCCCGCCCUGGGCCCAGGUGCAGGCGCGGGGGCUGCUGCCGCGGCUGCUGCUCGGCCCCUGCCAACCCGCCCUGACCCUCGGAGGACCACCCGGUUGGUCUCCUCCUCCUCCAUCUCCUCCUCCUCCUCCUCCUCGUCACAGAGGGAGAUGACCUCCACAGCCAGCUCUUGCAACGGGCCAGGCCCACGCCUGCGCUUCUUAGGCGGCUCAUCAUCAGGCGCGAACAUGGGCUGGGGCCCGAGAGCCCUUGCCACACGCUCUUGGGCCAGGGCCGCCGCCCUGCGCUUCGGCCUACUACCCACGGCCGCGGCGCCGCCAGAUGCGAGAGGACGUCGACCGGCCUUGGGCGCGGGAGGCCGGCCACGCGUGUGCUGCGGCGGCAGGGGCCUUUCCCGCUGCCGCUGCAUGUCCCUGGUGGCCUGUUGCAGGCAGUCAUCCUCCUCCUCCUCCUCCUCCUCCUCACCCUCCUCGUCCACCGGCUGGGUAGCGUCCGUACCGACCGUGUCAGCAGAGCUGUUGCUCGCCCCCGACUGGCGGCGGUUGGUGGCGGGCGGCCUGGCCGCGUGGCCGGCACCUGCACCGCCACCGCCGCCCGGGGCAGCAGCGGCAGUGCCAGCCGCGCCGCCGCCGGCACCUUGACCGGCUUGAACUCGGCUGGGUGCGGCGGGUGGGCGCCGCUUCGGCUCGGGCGGUGCUACUUCGGCAUCCGCCUUCCGCUUCUGCGCGCCCCGUCUGGCCAUCGCCGCCGCUGCCGCGGGAUGCGCCGUGGCCGCAGCCACAGCCCCGCCCCCCGCUGUGCCCCGCUGCACACCCACAGGCACCAGGUCUACUGACGUCUCCUCGUCCUCUCCUUCUUCCGCAAUGUCAACAGCCCGGGCUGCCGCAGCUGCAGCUGCAGCAGUCGCUGCUGCCACCUCCCGGCGCCGCCGCCUGGCGUCCUCGGUAAUGCGAGCAUUGUGCGCGCCCGCCUCUCUCACGGCCGCCAGAGCCAAAGGGUCCAGGUCUUGAGCCGCCAGCUCCAUCUCUGCGUCGCUGUCGCUGUCACUGGCAGCAGCGGCAGCCGCCGGCGCUGCGCCGCCAGCACCCCAAUGCACCGGUGCAGGCAAGGCGGGCGCAUGAGCAGCAGCAGGACCUGCCCGCCCCUUGGGGACAUCGCCAUCAGCACGAGCAGCCUGGGUGGCAUUUAGGCCUGCUGCACCGCGGCCUCCACCGCGACCUCUGCCUCGACCGCCACCCCAAGCGGCAGUGGUGGCAGUUCCAGCCGCCUGCCCCGUGGCGCCCGCAGCAGCUACACCGGCGUCGCUUGCGUUGCGCUGCUGCGGCGCAGCAGCUCUUAUGCCCACAUUGUAGUCGGGCUGCCGCUCCCUCCCUGCAGCACCCCCAGCCGCAGCGAUCAGCCCUGGGUGCGCGUGCCGCUCCCUUCGUUGGAUCCAGCGCACCGGGCCGCCUGCUGCCCUGCACUCCGCCCGCAGGCCCGCCUCCAGCCGCGCAGCUCGGCGGCGGCCCCCCUCCGCAUCCCACUGCUCGCUCUCACCCGUCAAACAAGAGUCGUCCGCUGUAUCCGAGUCCGUCCCUGCCGCCGGCUCUGUCCCCGCCCCUGCUGCGGCUGGCGGUGGUGCUGCUGCGGCCGGAGAUGUUGCGUCCCUGCCGCGCCGUGGCCGGGCCCCUUGUCUGCCUCCACCACCGCCGCCGUCCUCGGAGCUCUGCGCCGGCCCACUGUCGCCCUCGCUGCUGCCCAUAAGGCCGGUGCUGUCCUCCUCCUUUCCUUCCUCCUCCUCCUCCUCCUCCUGCUCCUCCUCCUCCUCCUCCUCCUCGUCCUCCUCCCCCUCCUCCUCCUCCUCCUCCUCCUCGUCCUCCUCCUCGUCCUCCUCCUCCUCCGCCUGGCCCUGGUCCUCGUCAACCUCCUCAGCGCCCUCGCCCUCCACUCCAUCCUCCUCCUCGUCCAGCUGCUCUUCCGAGGCGCCCGGCUCGCCCUUGACCUGGACGGCCUGCUGCCGCUGGCGCCCCUGCCGCACCUCCGCCAGCUCAUCCUCAAUGGUGGCGGCUUUUAAGGUGUGCCGGCAGUACCUGGAGGCAGCACGUGGUAGAUCGCAGGUGAGGUGCGCCGUCGGCACAUGGCUGGCGUAAGCCGGGGGUAAGUUGCUAGACCUCCUGGUUGCAGCCUGAUUGACGCACAGACACGGGUUGCUCAAGGGUCAGGAAGCAAGCAGGCUAUUGGAGUGGAGGGUAGAGCUUCUACUUGCUCCACAUGGAUGGUGAAGCGCCGCGGCACAUUAAAAGGCACUCACCGGCACACCCACGGGUCAUUCGCCAAGUCGUCCCAGCCGGGCGUCGAGCGCAUGCAGGUGUGGCAGAACGAGUCCACACAGCUGGGUACAGCAGGGAGUGAGGAGGGAGGGUUGUGGUUUCCGAUCCCAAACGACCCGGAAGGCUGCGUGCGUGCAGCUGUCGGGUUUUCUUGUGGCCUCAGACUGUGGAGGGGCUCAACCCCUUUUCCCGUGACCGGGGAACACUCAAUGUUGCUAGCACUCGUGUCGAAAAUGCAAUCCAAUGCUGCCUCCACCUCCACAACUCACAUGUCACACAUCACGAGCUCCGAUUGCGACCUGGAAUCAUCGGCUUCACCGCCGCACUGCGCACAGCAAGCGAUGUUGCCAUCUAGUGCGAAGUUGCCAUCUAGUGCGACGUCGGGCCGGAUCAGAUUGCACACCUGCGCCAAACGCCCGGCAUCCGUAGUGUCGGUUACGAAGCGGGAGGGGCGCGGUGGGAACAGUUAGCAUGGGACUGGGUGCGACAGGGAGUGUCGGCACCGACCGACGCUACACUGACACAUGUGGCUUCGCUGCUGUUAGCGCAGCCGAAUCCUCGCUGCUGUAUGCCCACACCGGUGCUGUGGCUUCCAAACUUCAGCACCACCGGGCACAACACUGCGCACCGUUUCCGCGUCGGUGUUGAGGUCGCGAAGCAGCGCGUACGCUCUCUGUGUCCCGCCCGCCGCACCCAGCCGCCCAGCCGCUCCCUGCACGGCCCCAGCGGCCCCAGCACUUGCUCCCCGCGCUACCGAGUACAGCAGCUCCUGGCACUGCAGCUCCCUCAACAGCUUGCCGGGGGUAAUCUGCACGCACAGCGGGGUGCCUCGGAACAGCUACACUACUGGGCAUAGCGCCAGGGCACACACUCAGGACGGAGCUGGGCGGUAAGGAGGGGCGAGGACCGCCGCAACAACAACAGGCGCGCUGGUCAGGCGGAUGAGGCGCGGCUGGCCCAGGCCCUUGCCCCUGCGCACCCACCUGCCACUCAACGUUAACCUUAUUCGCACGCCGGCGCAGUAGCGCCACCAGGCGCUGCAGGAUGAUGGUCGGCAGCGGGCUGCGACGCCUGACGCAUCAGUGCGUUACGGGUUCGCGGCACGCAAACGGCACGUGCGGGUCAGUUGUCAUGACGGUAUGUGCGUGAACACGCCCAAGCCACACACACACCCCGCUUGAUGCAGGCCUGCUACGUUGGAGUUGGCUACGUCCAUCGGGGCGCUCACCCCAUGAAGCCUUCCCUCCACACCUACAUGGAUUGGUCAUCCUGGCUGUCUUCUGCUUGGUGCAGCAGCGUCACGGCCACACUGCGAGCAGUCACCACGUGUGCACCAGGGUGCACCAGGGGGGACCAGGGGCAUCCGGAGGAGUCAAACCAGCAGCGCCGCCACACACGCGCGCUGGAGCCCGGCCAAAAGUGCUACCGCUCUACUUCACUGUGCCACGCCAACCCCGACACCCAACUUGACCAACCGCACCUGUGAGAGUACGGCGGCGCGUGCAGCAGCUGCCACACGCUCCACCGCGGCUUGCCCUGAUCCCCGUCGUGCAGCAGGCGCACCGCAGGCCGCGGCGCGAUGCGCGAGGUCCGUAUGAAGUCGCUUUCUAGCACUUCAGAGGCCCAGCGCAGCAGGCGCUGCCGCAGUGGAGCGCGCGGCUCCUCGAGCGGCGCCUGCACGCGGCCGGGCUCCGGCGCCAGGCCUGGUUGGUCGGCAGUGGCCUGCAGGGCCGGCAGCGGCGAGAACCAUCAGUACACACGGUGCUGAGCCAUGGAUUGCAGGCUGGUCAGCAAUGCGCACCCGUCAACUGGCAUCUUCCCAGUUCGGGCAUGCAACGGACCGACAGGCCAUUAGCACAUGCGCAAACACACCAGCCGCAACAGCCGACCCACCGGCGGCUCCUGCACCCACACCGCCAACAUGCGCAGUGCCUCCACCAGCACCGCCGAGUCGGGGUCGUCCGCGACCUGGCCCAAGCUGUCCGUGUCGAAAGUCAGGUUAUUCAGCAGCUCCUUGGCCGUGCUCGACAGCGCUGCCGCCACUUCCGGUUCCACCAGAAAGCUGCGCACGUCCUCCGGGCUGCUCAGCACGCGCAGCGACGUGUUGGGUGGCAAGCCUCCCCCCGCCGCGGCCGCCGCGGCAGCUGGCAUCAGUGCCACCCAGUAGCGCUGCGGAGGCGCGAGAUUGCAAGCAUUUGGAUAAGAAGCCUGUUGGACGCGAUGAGUUUCCGUCCCAUUGACGCUUGCCCCAAUAUUCAUGGCGCGACUGACAGGCGGCACAUGCACAUGACGACAGUCAGGGCAGGGAAGCCACAAACGCACCCACGUAAAUCUCGGCUCCAUCCCCGGCUCAUCCUCCGGUGCGGUGUAAUCGCAGUUGAACCGCAGCUCCGCCUGCACAUACAGGUGCUGGUGCGGCGGGUGCCCCGAAGGAGGACGAGGAGGAGGGCGGGCACGAUGCCCCCGCUCCGGCGACUGCCCUUCCGGCCGCGGCGCCGGGGGCUGUGCCGGCGGUGGGGCAGCUGCGGCUGUGCCCCCUGAGGUGAGCCGUGCACCUGCCGCAACCUCCAACGCGCCGGUAGGUGCCGGCGGCGCGCUGGCCCGGCGCGCUGCUGCUGGUCCGCCUGCUGAGGGCGCAGCAAAUGGCGUCGGAGCCGCUGACCUCGGGAGCUGCGUGCCUGCCGAAGCCACCGCGCCGCUGACACCAGCACCGAAGCACAUGUUGCUGGCAAGGCCGGCCUUGCUUGCGGGCGCGCUCCCACCCCCUGCGAGUUUCACGUCAGCCGCUGACGCCGACCGUGUCACCCGCUGUCCUGGUAGCUCAUGCUCCGCCUGCUGCUCCGCCGGCCGCACCGGACUGCCCACAUCACCCGAGCCCGCGGUCCCGUGCAGGCCGUUCGGCAGUGCAUCCCCACUCGCUUGCCCGGUGCUCCAUGGCGGCGACGUGCACGCUGUGUCGGCCCCGCCACCCGGCCCCAUCGCCUCAGCACCAGCUGCCGCCGCUGCCGCUGGCUGGCACUUGUCGCAGACGCACGUCAGCAGCCUGCAAAGCUUUGCAGUGACUAAGGGCACGUCGGUGUCCGCCGGUUGCUCCACCUCACACACCAGCCAAGGCUGCGCGAGCGAGCAAGGGGCACACCAUGGCGGUUGGGCAGGACCGCGGAGGACACACGAACACCGGGGCACAUGCCAAAAACACGCCGACGGGUGGUUGACAAGGUGCCUUACCUUUGCCACCCCCCGAGCUGCAUCCGUGUGCGGCUGUCCACACAGGCUGCACACAGGCUCCUCGGUGCCUGGGUCAGUGCGGAACCGGCCAUGGUCGUGCAGUGGGCGCAACGCUUUUCCCCAAAUACCGGCGAAGCCUUCUCCCUCACGGGGAGGGUCUUGCUUAGUGUUUAUGAUUUCCAUGUAAAACAGCGUCGGCAAUGUCACUCUUGCAAGAACACCAUUCCAGUCAAAGUUACCAGUUGGCGCUCACGUUCACACUCCAGUCUCAUAAUACGCUAAAGUUGUAUGCAUGCAUCCUUUGCAUUGUCAUCAGGCUUAGAGCUAGUGCCUUUAUCCGCGGUGAACAGGGUUGCGUACUUGGCUCAGCUGUCGCUGUAGGUUUACAUGAAUGAUGAUGUGGCCAUAUUGGCAUAAGCUAGUUACGACCUUAAGCCUCCCCGCUUGACGUCAUCGGCCGUGCCCCGCCAGGCCCCGCCCGCAGCGUGCCAGAUGACUUGAGCAUGUCACGGGCCCCUCAUCACGCGUAGACCUGAGACCCCAAUGCCUUUGACUCGCGCUCGCAUAACUUCAUGCUCGCAGCGCUUUCGACCAUCUGUGCUAUGCCGCGGCGCUGUCGGACAGGCCCUCGCGGGAGUGCAGCACUGCAGCGAUGUCGCCUAUCAGGGCCACAGGAGCCACAUCAAAUUUUCUUGCGCACAGGGGUCACACCACAUUUCCUGACCAGAACCCGCCGAUUUCCGCCUCAGGCGAAUGCUGAUUGUCUUCCCACUAAACCAGCAAGUUGAUACUAUACAUAUGAAGGGAUUGAAGUCGUGGGGGAGCCAUGGGUGACCUUGGCGACGUCUCAACGCACUCUUUGGGCCGUCAGGGAGCCCGUACAGAGCCCCCCCUACCCCCCCCUAAGCCCCCCCCCCCCGCACGGGUAGGGCCAUACGGCACUUGGGGGCUGGCAAGGUAUCGGACACGUUGGCAAGGUUCCUGAAGCCUCCCAAAAGGUUACUGAACCUGGCUGAACCAGCAAGUUGCUCCUAUACAUUUGAAGGGAUUGAAGUCGUGCGGGAGGCAUGGGUGACCUUUGGGCCGUCUCAAUGCAAUCUUUGGGCCCGUGCAGAGCCCUGCCCCAAGCCCCCCCCUGGCAAGGUUGCUGAAGAUAUCUAGUCCAGUCCCGUCAGUUUAUCCCAGGGUCCAUUGAAAGGGUCAAAGAUGCGCCAGUUUUGGACAGGGGCCACAACUGAAGUAAAGCCGGGUUGGGUGUGCGAUGGGACUGUGUUAAGGCAGGUUGGUGAAGUCCCGCCCGGUGCAGCUGAUUCCCAGACCCCAGAAGAUGGCAAACAAUUUGCAAUGGCAGGGCUGGAGUGCGCGGCUGGUUGAACGCCGGAGUUACUGUACCGACGCUUUGCUGGCUGGCUGAAAGUUUGCUGAUGCGCAUUCCUCACGCUCCGGGCGCCCAGCCAGGCGAUAGCACCACACAGACCAGACACAGACACAGACACACCGCAACGCCACACUCGCGAUGCAGAGCCGCAGCGCACCUGCAGGAAGGUGACCAGCGUCCACAGAUGAGCACCAGAGGCAGAAUGCAGCAGAGCAAUGGCUGGGCUAGGCCGGGCGACAGUUAGACAAGCAGGGGCGAACCCGGGCGCGGAGGGGCGCGGCAAGGUGGCAGAAAGCCGGGUUGGGUGCGGGUAGAGGCGCCCACGUAGCAAAGUGGGGGCCGGAAGCAGGGGCCACACUAUUACUGGGUUGCGCAUGCACUCUGACCAUCUGUAUUGCACCAGGCGAGGUAUAGACAUAAACCCGCCGGCAAGGCGAGGACGCUGCUUCGCGGCUGCUGGCGGCUGGAGGAAUACGCGGCUCCGCUGGGACGAUCGCAGCUACCUGAGUUAUAAGAUACCCUCGGAUUGCUAGCUCAAUACCAUUGCAAACCUGAACUCACACUGUGUGAAAGUACACGAAAUUUAUUGACAAGGGCAUGACAACCCGUCCUCGAACCCAUGUCCACUGCACCCGCCCGCAGGGGCAUGCCGCACGCCACACCGCAACGGCGAGGCGUAAUGUGCCCGAAGGACCACGCCGCUCACACAGAUGCACCGUUCGCAUUUGCACAACGUCUCCAAGGGCAGCGGCGCCAGCUGGCAGGCUGGUGACCGUUGUACCCACUGCAACCACCACCACUUGUCCCCACACAAGGGAAUCUUCAAUGGGUGGUGAGCAGUGUUCCACGGCACGGCACACCUGGUUUUGGCCGCUCUCCUCUCCACACACCCCUGACCACACACACCAACCACCCAAUCGCAACGGACGUCCGUCUCAGCGCUCCCGCACAGCCAUUUACUGCAAGUCGUCGCAUGUCCAACGCCUCAAGCACACCUGGGUGAACAGGCUGGUUGCAACCAAAGAGCGCCUCGCCCAGACACCGCACGCGACCCCACACCGGGGGUCGGGAGGCGGCAGCGGGUCAGGGGAACUCCAUCAACUAGGUCAACUUCAACUAGUUAACACCGCCAUACUCCUGCCGGCAAAAGACCGCCGGCCGGUCGCGGCCCAGGAGCUGCAGGAUCAACAGCAGCCGCAUGUUGAGGGCCGCGUUCUCGUCACGGUCCUGCGGGCGCGGGCAGCAUGGUGGGGGGCGGGGGCGGGUUUGUCCAGUGUGUCGCGUGUCGCCCACGAACCUUUCCGGCCCUGCCCACGAAACUUUUCAGCCCUGCCGUCAUCCACCAAGCGACCUGCAUCGCUGCAGACUGGCGGCGGCGGCGGCGGCGGCAGUGGUGGCGGCGGCAGCGGCGGCAGUGGCAGCGGCGGCAGCGGCAGCAGCGGCGGCGGCGGCAGCAGCAGCGGGGGCGCGUGCGCGCAUCUUGGUAGCGGAGGGGGCGGGAAAGGCCACGUGGAGGAGGAGAGCGCAGCGCCGCCCAACAAGCGGCGCAAGCGCUCAGGCUGAGGAGCCGGCUGGUGUCUAGGUAGCGGUCCGCGGUGGGGCUGGCAGGGCAUGCGUAGCGGCAUGACAAGUAGUGCGGCUGUUGACAACUGUGCUGCGUCUGGCUGCGCUUGGCUCUGCUGUGGCAUCGCGAUUGCUAGGCACAUGGUUUGGCUAAGUGCCUGUGGAAACCGACCCCGGCUAUGUCCGGGCGAUGAGGUUGUUCGGCCUCAGGCUGUGGAGGGUCUCAGCCCCUUUUCCCCGUGACCGGGGAACACUUGAUCGACCCCGCCCACAUUCCGUCAUCCAUCGUCACUCAUGUCACUCCCACUUACCCACGUCGUGUGACAGUCGUUAUUGCAGACCAGGACGUGGAAGUCCGCGCCACCCUGCGGCAGCUCCUUGCGGCGCAGGGUGCGGCGCCCGCAGUUCGCACACACCUGGAAGGGCAGGUUAUGGGCGAGGUCAGCGGCGUGUACUGUCAAUGUGUACCGCUGUGCCCUCACCAUGCUGGUGCGGUACUCGUUGAUCACGAUGACGUGGCGCGCGAACCGCUCACGCAGUAGCCGCACGAAUUCCUUGCGCGGCGGCUGACCCGCCCGGCUGAUUGUGACGACGCUGCCGCCACCCCAGCCCACCACGUGCGUCACCUCCGGCUCCUGGGCCGCCUUGAACAAAGCACCAGCCAGUUGCGGUCAGCAGACAAUUGCAUACACGUCACGAACAAACGUUGUGAAGGGUCCAACCAGCGACAGAAGUGUCUUCGCUGCAUUCGGUGGCAAUCGGGCCGCGGUGCAGCCGCUGACAAAGUAAUCGUCCGGCCAGUUCGUCUGGUCUCAUACAGAGCUUUCAUUUCAAUAUUACACUACCCCACCUUUAUUCAUCAGUCACAUUCACGCUUGUUGACGCGACGUUGUUCAAGCCAGGGCUUUGCCCUGAGCCCGGGGUUGCCCUCUAUGGAGCAGCUCACCUCAAUGCCUUUAGUCUAAAUAAGGCGGGCCUUGGCCCCGGCCCGGUCAGGGUGGUCGGAGAAAAUGGUUCUGUCGAGCCAAGCUGGGGCUCAGCCCCUUCCCGCUGAGGAGGCGAAGAAGGACGAUCGUAUCCGCGUGCGGCUGCACUACGGGGGGAAGUUCGCGCAGGUGCGUUUGAACAGACUCGGCUUGGGCGCGAGCGCUGUGACCUCAGCAACGGGUCCCUCGCGCACGCAGGACGCUCCGAACCUAUGGCGUUAUGUUGGAGGCGAGGUGUUCAACGAGAGCUUCCCUCUGGAGGCCAAGUAUGCAGACGUCUGCUUGCGCUUGAAUGACAAGUUUGGUGACACCGUCUCCUUCAAGUACCUGUGUCCUGGUGAUGACCUGGAUCCUGACAACCUGGUGCAAGUCCAGGGCGAUGAUGACCUAACGGUAAGCGUGCUGUUACUUUGGGCCCAGCUUGGCCACGCCAAGCGUGGACCGCCGCCGGGUUUGCAGCCACUGUUACUCCGCCUGAAGCCAUUGAACUGGCUUCCUGUCGGCUUUAGACACUGGAUAGGUUUGAUCGAGGGUCUCGACCGCAGUCUGGGCCUGGCCAAGGGCAUCUCCGCAUAUGAUGCACUAGCAGGCCGGAAGAGACCUCGCUGGCCCCACAAGGAACCGCAACAACCUGAUUUAUGCUUGCAGGAGAUGAAGGACGAGUACGCGCACGCUGUCGGUGACACGCGUUCGCGGACCGUUCGGUUGAAAAUAUAUGUCUUCCGGGCGGUCAUUUUUGAGCGCGAGGUGCAGGACCAGGACGCUGAGCUGGAGGACGAGGAGCUGAUGGAGGAGCCGGGUGGCGACGUGUCGAUGGACGCCAGGUGCGUUCCGAGGGUUCCGAUCCGCAGCGCAGCUUUCCGGAACCGGGUCACGGUCUUGCGCUAUUGCCACCACUGCAGCGCAAGUGAUUAAAGCUUCGGGGCUUGGCGGUGUGGCUGGGCUUGCAGUGCGCUCUUGCUCUGACGCUUGCGCCCCUGAACUCGCCGCGAACAGUUGCGGCGUGGAGGAGUGCGGACCAAACUGGAGCGACUGGGGCGAGCCAGACGAACCAGAGCCUGCGAUGGAGAGCAGUAUUCCGUCGGCGCAGCCAUCCAUGGACGCGGGUGUGCUUCACAGGUAGGGGGGUGCUGCGUGGAUGGGGCCGGGAACCGGAAACAGAUCGCUGUGUCCAUGUGGCCACAUGAUGACCGACCUUAUAUGUAAAUUGCUCCCAUCCUGCAGCGCAUCUGUGGCCGUGGCGUCGGCUGCAGCCACAGCUGCACUUCAAAACAUCAGCAUGAGCAUGGUCAGCGGUGCGAGCGGCCGGACAUCGGCUCGCGGCAUGGCGGCGCCUCUGUCUGCCUCAAUGACCGCUGGUGGUUCCGCGGGAGGCCACUUCGCUGGCUUCAGCAGCAGGCGCUCGUCUGCGGGCUGGCAGGCACAGGCGCUUGCCCACCAGCGGACGUUCAGCGGCACUGAGGGCAGCGGAGGGGCCGGCGGCGGCGGGCUGAGCCGGAGCGGGCGCUCUGGUUCCAUGUCUGCGGCAGUGGCAGCAGCAGUGGCGGGCGAGGGCGGGGACAUGGGUGGCGCAUACACGGGCUACCCUUACGACCCGCUCAACGUGUUUCCCGAGGGCGGGUACCACGGCGAGCAGGACGUGGUGUACGAGGAGGACGAGGAGGGCGGCGCCACCAGUGAGGCAGUGGGCGACGGGCUGGGCUACGCCUACGAUGAGCAGACGGACGGGGCGGGCUACGAGCAGGCAGGCUACGAGGACAGGGGCGGGGAUGUGGGGUCCAGCUACUGGGACCCGCCGCUGGUCUUCCCAGACGAGGUGAUGGGGCCCGGGGACGGGGUCGAGCGGCGCGGCAGCAGCCCAGAGCGGCAGCUGCGCGCGUCAGCGCCCGACUGGCACCUGCCGGCGGACUGGGUGGGUCAGGUCAGAGCGCAGCCGGCAGCAGAUGACGCGAACAGGCAGCCUGAGGGCCAGCUGGCGAAGGCGGACGCGGAGCAGCAGCAGCACCUGAAGGGGCUGCAGAACCGCGGUGUAAUGAAUUCGGGCAUUGGGUUUUACUGCGACGAGGAGCUGGAGGACCCGUAUGGCGAGCAGUAUGACAACGAAAGUGCAGCAGCGGCGGCGGCCGGCAUGGGGCUGUACGGUAUGCACCUGACAGAUGACGGCAAGAUGGGACGCGGUUACGGUGCUGCCAGUGACGGCGCUUUGCAGAUGGCACCGCGGGCCGCGGACGUGGCCGCGGACGGCGACGGCGAGCUGAGAGACCACAACGCCGGCGCCGGCGUGUUGGCUGCCUUGCGCGGCGCCGAGGCGCGUAACCGCCACAGCAGCAACGGAGGCGCGGGAGUUGGGGACGGUGGCGCGUUGAGCCGGGCAGUACUGGGCCGAUUGGCGGCCGUGGCAGAUAUGCUGCCGCGGCACAUCAGUGCGUUCGGCGAGAGCAGCCGCGACAACAGCCAAGGCGGGGCAGGGGCGGGAGCAGUGAACGGCAGCGGCCCCUUCCUGCCCUCGCGUAUCACCAUAUUUGGAGACGAUGAAUCUGUCUACGGCUUUGGCAGCGGUCCGAACAGCGGCGCGAUCGGUACUGGCAAACAGCAACAGGGCAACGGCAACAACACGGGCGGCCUGCAUCGCCUGGCGGUGCUAGGCGGUGUCGGUGGCGCGGCGCGCUGGCCGGACACAGCCGCUGGCGCAGGCGGCGGCGAGGCCGGCGACAUAGGCGGCUUUCCUGUGAACGGCAGCUUGGUGGGCGACAGCGGGCGCUGCAUCACGCAGGAGUUCGGGGCCCAGCAGCAGAGCUCGCUGCUGGACCUGGGCGACGGCGGCGAGGGCGGCAGCCAGGGCGGGCCGCAUGGCGGCGGCGACCGCGGGCGCAUGUCGCCUCUGGACCCGCUGCUGCUGCGCACUGGCGGUCUGGGUCUGGGCGGCCUGGGGCUGCUGGACGACCACCACCUGGGCGGCUCGGGCGGCGGCGCCAUGAGCCACCCGCUGAAGGGGGUGGUGAAAAAGCGGAAAAGCGAGGUCACCAUCAUGGCCAAGAUUGGCGAGGGCGCGUAAGUUGGCGCGUGGGCUGUUUGUAUUUGCGCAGUGCCCAACACGACAAUCUACUGAGCCCCACAGUAGAUUGUCGUGUUGGGUUGUUGCAAGCAUGCGGUUGCGCAUCAAGGUUGGAGUUGGUGCUGAUGCGAUACUUAAGUACGCUCACUGCAUUGCCCCGCAGGUUUGGCGAGGUUUCUCAGGCCAUGGUGUUCCCGUACGGCAUCGUUGCGGUUAAGUGGCUCAAGGUGCGUGUGCGCUGUAGGGACUAAGCUGCGCAUCGGCGUCCAAUAACAGCCGGAUGUCCGAAUCAAGCAAUCCUUGACUUGAAACCCCGUUUUCCCUGCAGCGCGAGCGCUUCGCCAAGUACUCGGAGUCUUUCCAGCGCGAGGCGGAGACGUUGGCCAAGCUCAACCACCCCAACAUCAUUCGCAUGUACGGGCUGGUCAUGGACACGCCCGCCACAGAGUCGGGUGGUAGUGGGGGCAGCGGAGGCGGCAACGGAGGCGGCAGCGGAGGUGCGGGCGGAAGCGGCGGCAACGCACCCGUACCUGCCAGCAGCGGCGCGGGCACGCCCACGGGCCUGAUCGGCGGCAUCAUCACUGAGUUUGUCCGCAACGGCAGCCUGGGGCAGUACCUGCGCUCGCUCAACGGCCGGCGGCUGUCGCUACGGCAGCGCGCCAUGAUUGCGCUUCAGGUGUGUACGCAGUGUCCGCAGCGUGAGGAUUGGGCACUGUUCUUCCAGGUUGCACCACUGUGUUGAUGACGUGUUUCUGUUCCAUUUGCUCGUACCAUUACACCGCCCCCCUCGACCUUUACCCCGUGCAGGCUGCUCUCGGCAUGGCCUAUCUGCACGAGCAGGCGCCGGCGGUGGUACACUUUGACCUGAAACCCGACAACCUGCUGGUGGACGGCGAGGGAGACAGCAUGGUCAUCAAGGUGGCGGACUUCGGGCUGUCCAAGCACAAGCUGAGCAGCCACGUCAGCUGCCGCGACCUGCGGGGCACGCUGCCCUACAUGGCGUACGAGCUGGUGUCCAACGCGGGCAAUAUCAGCGAAAAGGUGCGAGGGAAGAAGUGCAUAUGCUAGGGCGGGCGCCGCCUGCUCACUUUAGUGGGCAGCUUCAGAGCUUCCGUGAUAUAAUGUCAACGCAACCGCCGCCGUCAACUGUCUCUGUGCCCCUCAGGUGGACGUGUACAGCAUGGGCGUGGUGAUGUGGGAGAUGUACACGGGCGAGGUGCCGUUUGCGCACCUGAGCGCUCAGGAGAUCCUGAUGGGCCUGCUGCACGGCAGCCUGCACCUGGCCAUCCCGCCCUCGUGCGAGCCCGAAUGGCGCUCGCUGGUGGAGACGUGCAUGGACCCCAACCCCACCAACCGCCCCAGCUUCCAGGUACGCGGCCGGCGUCGUGCGGAAAGUUAGCUGUGUCCUCCUUGACGAACUAUGGUCCUUGCGCCUUGCCUAUCAUGUGCCCGUCUUGACCGGACCUCCCCUUCUUGCCUGGUUGAGCCCCGCAGGAGCUGGCGAUGCAGCUGCAGGAGAUCCUCCGGCUGGAGCGCCAGGCGUCGAACGCCAGCAGCGUAAGUGCCGCGGCUGUAGCCGCGGCAGCCGCCGCGCUAGCGGACAGCACCACCGGCACCAGCACGCAGCAGCAGCAGCAGCAGGCGCAGGCGCAACAGCAGCAACAGGGGCGCGGAGCGGGCGGAGACAGCGCCGGCACGGGCCCAAGCACAACGUCAGGUCGCGCCAUGGCGCCGCCGGCCGCUGUGCUUCCCACGCCGCAAGCGGCGGUGGCCGCUGCCGCUGCAGGCGGUGCCGCCCCAGUGCCACCGCUGCCGGUCCAGCACGCGCUGCAGCAGUGGCGCCUUCCGAUAGCGCCGAUCGUCCCGCCGGCUGCCCCGGUGGGCCCGUCUUUACCCAGCCCUGGUGCAGCCGCUGCGGUGGCUGACCAGGGGCUUGCGCCUGCGCCACAAGGACUCCUGGGCCGACAGCCGCUGCAGCUACCGCCGCACCCGCCGCCGCCGCAUGCGCCUUCGCCGCUGCUUGCUCAGCUAGCGGGCGGCUCUCAACAGCCGCACCCGCAGCAGCAGCCCUACGGCUUACCCUCGCCGCAGCUGUUCAUUCCGGCGUCGCCUACCGACCUGCAGUACGGCGGCCAUGGCACCCAGCUCCCUUCACCUGGACACCAGCCGCCGCCGGCGCCACAGCUCCUGGCACCGCAGCCGCCUCGCCUUGCUCAGCCUCCGCCGCUGCCACCACAGCCGCAGCAGCUGCAGUUCCAGCAGCAGCAGCAGCCAAUCGGGCCUAGCGCUGGCAUUGGGCUGGCGCAGCCGGGAGGCAUGUUACCGCCGAACCCAGCCUACGGGUUCCCGCUCCGCCCUGAGCCGCUGUUUCCGCCGCAGCCGCAGCACAUCGGCCUGAACGCCUUCUAUGGCAUGGGUGGCGGCGCGGGGGCAGGCCCACCCCUGGUGAGCUGGGGGGAGCGAGGCCGAGGCUGAGUUGCUGCUCAACUGGCCCGUGUCGCGCCUCGCCGACAUUUGUCUGCCGCACUUGCGCGUGCGGCGGUGGCGAUGGGCGUAGAGCAGGCAGACAUGGCGCAGUCAGAGGGCUGGAUGGUUGAAGGAUGGUCUCUGAAUGCCAAGCUUACACACUGUGGAGAAGAGGGAGCGGCAGCAACAGCCUACAGUGCUGGAGGCUGGUGACGCUGCAUGGCUGCAAGCCAGCAGCUAUAUGGCGCCUAUGCUCGCCCUGUGCAGCGGCGGUCGCAAUAGGUCAUUUGUUUGCAGGCGUCGCCUCCACCGCCAGGGCGGAGAGGUAGACACUUACGCGACCGCACAUGCAGGGAUGGGUAAGAACGACCGGUCGUCACGACAUGUGUUUCAUGCACCAGGUUCGUGAGGCGCGGCAGCAGCAACCAGCGGGUGAGCGGGAGGCGCAUUUGGGCGCACACGCUGCUAUGCGCCGCGGUGGCAAGCUGUUACGGCCUUGAUUCAAGUGUCAAGAGCAGCUGGGGUAGGAAGUGCUGGCGCUGCGGCCGCUGAGCGGUGCGGCUCGCAGUCAGCUGCAGCACAACACGGGCGGCGCCGCGGCCAUCAUGGCGCAGCGCACGCAGGAGGAAGCGGGCACAGGGCAGGCCCGGACAGGCCGCCGGCCACAGGGCAGUGGGCGUGCCUGAGCCGCGGCGAGGAAGCAGGAGAGACCUAGAGCGGGGAAGUCAGCGGAGGCAGCCGUUUCGCGGAGGUAACCUCCGGCGCCGGGCAGCCAUUGAUUUGCCACUGUCGCAUUCAUCGAGGAGCCAACACGAGGGCUGGUGGUGGGCAUCUGGAGCCCCGGCGGUGGCGCGAGGCGCAGCAAGUGCACCCGCUGCAUACAACGGUGCAUAUGCUCUGUCACACCUGUCAUGCGCGCAUGGAAAAAAUCGUAAGCGCCGACGGCGCGCUCAGGCACCGGUGCGGGGCUUGCAGUUGCUACUUUCGCCCAGGGACCGGGUGGCGAAAGUAGAUAUUUCGGGCAGCAGCUGCUGACCCGAGAGGAGAGACGGCAAAAAGCGGAAAGUGUGAAGCGGAACUAGACACGUUCGGCAGCAAGUCGACUGUUAACGAAGUGCUUGCUAGUGAAUGCGAAUGUGUCUGCCGGCGGCCGCCAUCAGCCAAGAGUAGCGUGCGAGAUGCGUGCACUCGUAAGGGAGGAUGGAGAGCGGUGUCUGAUUGCCUCACCAGACAUACCUGUUGUCUGAAAUCUCACGAUCAUUUAGUCUGUCCUCCCGAUUAUUUAGUGUGGCAUCAAUUGUAGUGUUUGAAGACUCGUCCCUUUUAUAGCGCUGAAGCACGGAAAUGGGUUGUGCGGGAAGGAAAAUGAGGAUUACGAAACUGCUGGUGGCGGCGUCAUCACCGACGGGGAAAUUACGCUUUGCUCGCGCCCUGGACGGUAGUGGCCGUCCAUCCAGGUAAAUUAGCCCGACUCGCUACUGCGUGUCUGGUGUGCGACAUGGGAGCCCGGUAGCGAGCUGCGCGGUGGUCGCCGUGCCGCAUCGGUGCUCACGGCCUGCCCCGCCGUGUGUUCGUGCUUUUUACUGCGUCGUUGGUGGUAGUGGCGGCGGACACGCAGCGGCGGUACAGAUGCGCACGAGGGGUGUUGGGUCUGUGCGCCCACGCCCUCAAUGAUUACAGGCUCUGCGCUCAUUGCAUGGCGCCAAGUGGCGGGACGAGCGAGACCUGAGUAAAACAAACACGGCGACUCCGGAAACUGCAGCACUGACAUAGGGGAGAACGCGCCUGUGGGACAUUGCUGGCGUCGGACUACCCUACUUGCGCAGACCUUUCCAGUGUGCUGACGACGGGUAGCCGUCGUAUAGCAUGUGCUGCUGUCUUGUGUGUUUUGACUUGAUUGUUUUGUGGUGUGUGUGAUUGGAGAGGGCCUGUUAUUAGGAUGCGCCCAUUCUCAGCCCGGAUGCCGGGUAGCAAGUCUUUUUGUGUUGAUGAACAUAGAGUGCGUGUGUGUGUGUGUGUGUGUGUGUGCAUGCGAAGAGGCUGUACGAGAUAUAUGGCUGGCGCGGCUGCGGCCAGGCAGCAGCAAACACCAAAAAAAUCGUGACGAUCUAUUGCGGAUGCGAGGUACACGGGAGCGGAUGCGGGACAUGCGGCUGAGGUUUGCCCAGGUAGAACGGAGCGGCCUUGUAAGGGCUAUGGUAGGGAAGCGUCACUCUUGCGAUGGCGUGUCGUGGUUUGGCAAUUUUGACCACGUGGGUGGGCUGUAACAAUUAUUCUGUCAUGUAAGACAUGUCGACGGUGCCAUUGAGUACUCUAGACGUACGUACCUGAGACCUGAGGCUCCUGUCCAGAGGUACUUGUGGGGGGUAGGGACAAGGAAUUGGUUUUUCCCUCGCGAGGGAAAAGUGCGCCGAGCCCACGCCAUGCCUCUAGUCUGAGGCCGCCAAGCGGGUCCCACUCCAGGAAAAAGCGUGUCCCCAGGGAGGCGCCCACGGGAUGGCACCAAAACCCCUUGGUAGAUUGUCCUUCAAGGAAGCCGCCACGUCUACGGAUUCAUCUCGUCGUCGCUUGCUGAUGCUUGAAGGACAAUCUAUCAGGGGGGUUUCACCGCGUGCCGUCCGGGGGGUGCGUUUCCCCAGCCAAACCCGCACGCCGAGGAGGCCAGGAGACGUCGCCCCGAGAAAAAUGCAGAGCGGGAUACAGACUCCGCCACUUAAUGUAUAUGUUACAUGCAAUCUGUUGGAGCAAUAGCGCUUGACAGCAGGCUAAAACGUGCUCGUCGAGGCUCAAGUCGCGAAAUUGACCGAAGCCAACAUCCUACAUAGGCGUUGUUUUCGGGCUUUAUCGAUUGCCGUCAACACAGAUAUAUGCAUAGGUGUAGUUAGGCUACUGUCUGGCCUGGUAUGGCGUGUCCUGGCGAACGCGACAUUUAGAUGUUCGAGGUCGGCCCCGGCUCGAUUCAAUGCCCCCGGGUUACUCUAAUGACCUUAUAUGUGAUAUAAGAUGCUAUAGGAAAGGUAUUGGGCUGGGGACACGACCGGCCCGCAGGGCCGUGCGCGAGUGGGACCCGCUUGGAGGCCGCAAGCGUCUAACUCAUCUCCCAGACAAAGCGGGGGUCGGUUCGUGGCCCGCCAUGCGACCAGCACCGUGUCAGCAAUCAGCUUGCCGCGGGAAUCCCAGUCCUUGCCCUCAUGUGCGCUUGCGAGUGCAGCCCCGCGGCAAAUCCAUUACGGUAAUGCAUAAUGGGCUGCGCUAUAGUGCGAGGGCUAUGGCGCUUCGGGCCAGGGGCUGGGGACGAUGUGACAGGGCAAGGGAAGCAAGGGCUGAGUCCCGAGAAACAUUGAAACAAGUUACGCCCGGCCGGGCCAGACACCAUCGACAACACACAAUGCCGUGUGGGAGUGCUAGGGGCCAGGGGCUGGCAUGCCUGAGGCCACGCCCGAGUCCUUCAGUGUCCUUCCACCGCUUCCCAAACAUCCGCUUCAAGCUCAACAAGGGCAGCGCGGCGGGCAACUACGCCUAUCCCAACGGCGCCCUGGAGCUGGUCAGAACAUAUUGU
rnacentral:lncRNA from 1 species